CCUGCACUUGGAAGAAGUAGAAGGUGACGGAUGUACGCUCGCCUCGCCAAUGCUGCUUUUACCAAGGGAUGCACUCCUGCUGGAGAAGGUCAUAAACGUCAAGAGCAGUGGAAGACACCAAUCGAAAUCUCUCGUGGCAUGACUGGUUCUACCCUAGAUGCAAUCUUUCUGGUAAAGUCUCACCACAAGCUGCUCAAUAGGGAGAUUGUUGGUGCUAGAACGGAUUUUCCAUGAGAAGCCAUCCGAAAAGUGAAGGUUCGGAUUAGAGUUUCUCUUUUUGAUUGGGAAGCAACUUGGGAACGAAUCCUCGCUUCAGAUAACCUAAAACAAAGAGGCCAAAACGCUGGUCAUCAGGCGUUUCCUCUGGAAGGAGGCAGAAUCCCUGCAGCAUCUCCUUCACCGUUCAUGGACAUUGCAUGUUUUUAUUGAGCGCAAAAACUCUCCAUAAACACACAGUUGUAUGACCAAAAAGCAAAAAAGAACUCACAGUUGCAGUUCCUUUUAUGAGUAAGUUUAUCGUGACAAGACAGUGCCUCUACAGCCUAAAGUCAAGAUCUAAGAAAUUCAAGAGAAAUUUUGGAUCCAAAGGGAUACUAACACAUUCCCAAAACAGAACAAUAGUAUGGAUACAAAGACUAGCAUACAAAACUCGUCCGUGGUAAAAUCCAAGUAUUUAGGCAAGUAGAUCACGGACACCUGAUACAGAUCUAUAUUGCAUGUGACUUAGUAAACCAUUUUCAUUUUACUAGGACUGAACAUCUUUAACAUUACUCUGCCAAAAAAUGGUCAUUAGCUUAAAAGAUGGCGCUCUAAUUGGAAAAAUAGUUGGUAAAAAAAAUAUAAAUUAACGAAUUCCCACAUCUAAGUACGUUAACAAAUUGUGCGAACAGAAGCUCUCAUAACCAAGGUUAAGCAUCACAGGGGAGAUCAAUGUUGGCUCAAUUCAGUAUGAUCUGAGCAUCUGCCAGUUAUUUUAUCUGUUUAACAUCAGGAUGCUCUGAAAGAUAAGGUGUGUCUCAAGAUGUGCAAAGCAUAACUUACCAUGACUGUUCUGUGUGAUACUUAAACUCAAUCAUUUAUCAGAGAGAAAGGCCAAAUGCAAAGGUAAUAACGUGCACCUGUAGAUGAUUGAGGACAACCAGCUGAAGUUCUUUUCCAGCACCACAACCGACUAUUGAUACACGCUUCAUACCCUAUCAUUGAACAAACCAGCUGACUAAGAUAUAAAAGCAACAAAAAGAACCGAAGUCCAAAAGCAACACUGGAGCUUCAAAAACCAGUCGUACCACUUCACCCAGAGAAUUAACAAGAAACUGAUGGACUGCAGGACUGGUUCUAGCACCACCUAGAAGACUGAAAAAUUCCUCCUGAGGAGCAGAGUCAAGACCUAGAUAAGCAAACAGAAACAGUCAAAUGAAGAACAACGGAAAGCCAUCUACUGCUCUAUAUUAACAGGACAACUAACCAUGGUCAUUAAUAAAGCUUCAUAAAAAAUCAAACUUCUCAUGAAAUAUGUCCAUGGCAUCAGCCCACUGCUUGUGCAUGACCAAUGAUGAUAUCCAGACGACAUGAAGUAAAUCUUCGAUAUCAGAAGCCUGUUGAGCAACUUGAUGGUGUUCAUUACUGCAGAGAGGAAGAGAUUGAGAAUCUAAGGAGGCAUUCGACCGAUAAAGAUUCUCAGAAAUCUGUUCUCAUUUAAUUUGAGAAUGUAAAUGGUCCACAAAAUGUGUUUAGUAACUCCAAGUUACCAUUUUUACAACAGGGGUUAAACCUGCCAACUCCAAGUGGGCAUCAAGCAUUUCUACAUCUGACAUAACUAGUCUAUCUAGCAUAAACAACAUCCCCUCCAAUUUGAGUUCUUUAUCUUCAUGAACACUUUGACUGGUGCAGCGUGAAAAGGGCAACAAGAUAGCAGUACAAGAGUCGGGUACACUCCCGGUUGGUCUAAAUGAUUGUCGCUUAUGUUAUGGAAAUCUCCUAAGGCACCACUAUUAUCUAGAAGUUUAUAGGAAUCUGUCGCGUCCGUAAAUAAAAAUCGCUUUAUUCAACUAGUAUCAGCUUGGGAUUCUUUAUUUGCAACUACGUCAUAUCCACAUUUGCCCUCCCAUUACCAUCAUUCACUCUUCAUUUUCAUGUAAAACACCAACUCCUUUGUUCGACAUCACAUCCUCAUUUAGACUUUCAAGCACUACACCUCUAUAUUGACCAAAUCUCCAUCAAACGCAAUUUGAACUGGAUUGGCAAUUGAAGUGAUUUUUUUGGGGAAAAGGAUCGUGGCACAUUUAAGGAAAAGCAAAGGGGGAAUAAGGCCAACGACUCAAAGGGCACACACCAAGCCAUCGUUGAAGAAAAGAACACGCUGAAUAAAAAAAAUAAAAAAAACGAGGAGAACUUUCUUGAGUCGAAGCAAUUACCAGGAGAGAUUGUCCACAGCCUCUGCCAAUUGAAGCGAUGAAGCACCACCUUCGAGUCCUCCGUGACCAUCGCCAGCAAAUCCUUCUCCGAAUUCCACUCCGCCAUCUUCACCUGCCAAUCGGAAGAAAUCGAGCCUAAACCUCACACAAAACCGAAUGGGAAAACAAUCGAAUCUACCCGCCCAUUAUUAGGUCGCGAAAGAAGGCGGACCAGAGCCGAAACUGAGAAGCCAGAGGUUUGUCGAACUGUAGCUGAAAGAGAAGCACGUGCCGUGAACCUUCGUCGGUCUCCAUAGCUGAAAAAGAUCCGGGAGCAGCCAAAGCGUCAGGUGGCAAAUGCGAACCGAGAGGGAGAGCCAAUGGCGGAGGGUAGAGCCCAACAAAGGGCUUUCAAAGUACAAUUUACCAAACACGGUUGCAUUUUGGAAAACACCUUUAACUCAAAGGUGUUUGCAUUUACCUAAAGACUUUCCCCCAAAGUUUUCCCAAACGCACCCAAUGAGGAAGAAGCGAGAGAGGAUACGAGCCGAGCAGGGCCGGAUUGGGCCAUAAGUCGGGCUUAACUUCUUCUCCGGGCUCGUUCAUCAUACGAAAAAUAAUGUAAGAGAUGACCCAACGGGCCGCUACGGCCUCGAACGGUCCAGACCACUUUCGAUAACUUCAAGUAGAGAUUAAACCGAACGGGGUUUGGUUCGGGCAUUUCAUCGAACGUUUAAAGCGCGCUGGCUGAAAGGGGGGGAAAACCGAGUACCAACUCGCGCCGGGACUCGCAAUAAUAAUCAACAAGCAGUAGUGAUCCAAAACAGCAAUGCACAGACGAAUGGGGCCGGUGCUCGCGCGAACCGGACGACGAGGAAGCCUGGUCCGGCUAGCCCGAAACGGGGCAAGGCAGGGGCACAAACAGGGGUGUCGGCCGAGAGUCCCUACCCGGCUUGAGAGCGCGGCCAGGAGUCGUCAGACGCGGUUCGGGCGUGACCGGACUGUCGGAGGGCUCCUCGCUCUCAAACUCUCUCUCUCUCUCUCUCUCUCGGUUGCUUUCACGGUCUAUCCACCCUUUCUUUAUUCCCUCUCUCACUCUAUUUCUCUCCAAAAAUCCUGCCUUUUAAGCUCUCUACCCGGUGCGCAUGGCUUCCUGCCACACAAGCUGUCGCUGCCGGUCUGCCUCCGACCACCAACUCCGGUGAGACGCUCGCCGUGUUCUCGCGUCCAUGUCCUCGCAGUGCGGACCCCCUCCACUUUUUUUCCCCAUUUUCCCCUUUUUUAAUGAUUUAUAUAUUUUUUAUAUAUAUAAUACUUUUAAUAAAUUCCAGCACCUUACAACUUUAUUGUAUAUAAAGCAUGGCUCUAACGCCAAUUGCCGACUUAUGAAUGCCUCCGUCAAGAAGGUACACUAUGACCAUUGUCGCCUCUCAAGAGCCUCGUGUUCCUUCAAUUAAUGGGUUAAUGAUAGUUGGCCUUUUUUGCUAUGAUAUGACUAAUUUUACUUUUCUUUAGUUUUUUCCAUGCAUUAGGAAACGAAAAAUACAAGUAAACCUUAAUAGACACUUUCUGAAGACUGGUGAUCACGUUAAAUUUAAAGUUAUACGAAAGAAUCUAGAUUAAAUUUAGCAAAAAAUUACUGCACCCACGUUGAUGCUUUUGGCCUAUUUCAGCAUUUAGUUUAUCAUGCCUUAGUUAUUUUAAAUCGCAUGCUCUCAUGGACUUCACGCAUUGGUGUGACACUUUUAUGGGAUUGGGAAGUGGAAGGAAAUGCUUUUAAAGGCGAUGAUUCAAUGGAUGUUAGGACUAGUUAUUGGUGCAGCCUUGUGGGUAGAAGGUUGAGGGCUUUUAUUAAUCAACUAUAUUAUAUAUUCUAUUUUAAUGAUUUAAUUAGAAACGAGAGAGUACAUGUAUUUAUUAAGAAUGUUUUCAAAAGUAACUGUGUAUGCCCUUGCAGGACUCACAUAAAUGGUAGUGUUCCACUACUCAUAUGUCACAUUGAUCUUAGAUAAUAAGGGCGCGUUUAGUAACCAUUAUGUUAUGGAGAACAAUUUUUGAAUAUAAAUAGUUUUUUCUAUUUCUGUUUUUAGGAAUAAUUUCUGAGCAAAAGAACGUGUUUGGUAACUGCAUAAAAUUUCUAUUCUUGGGAUAGAAAUACGUUUGGUAAAAUUUUUAGAUUUUUUUUUAUUUCUUUUAAUUUUUUUAAUUUUUUUCUUAUUUUUUCCGUUUUCAUUUUUUCUCUGGCCGGUUGCUGGCCACCGCUAUGGCCGACAGUCGGCUAGGCGACAUUCAAUGAACUCACCGGAGGCCAGCCUGGCCUCGGCGAGGCUCGGCCUCGCCUAGGCGGUGCGAGGUCGACCUCGCCCUGGCCUAUCGAGGCCCAGCCUUGCGCCGGCUGGGGAGGCCAAGUCUCGCCAUGCCUCGGCCUCUCCGGGGGCCGGCGAUGCUCCGGCGAGGUCGCUGACCCUCGUUUGGCCGGUCGCUGACAUCGGCCAUGGCCAAGGCUGGUGACCGGCCAAAAGGAAGAAGAAGAAGAAAAGAGAAGAAAAAAAGAAGAGAGAGAAAAUUUGUUUUUAAAAAUUGUUCUCGGGAAUAAGAAGUAAAUUUUUUCUACUUCUUGUUUCUGUUCCAAAUCUAUUCUCGGGAACAAAAAAAUAGAUUUUUUGUUCCCGAGAACAAAAGUUUUACCAAACACGUUUCCGUUCCUUUUUGUUCCCCGGAAUAAAAGAAUAGAAAUUUUUGUUUCGAGGAACAGAAACACUUUUUAACAAACGCGCCCUAAUGUGAUGAAAAUUGUUUUAUCCCACAAAAUUGAGCUGUGGAUAGAUGUUUAUUUAUUUGUAUAUUGUUAAGCAUACUUAUCGUCAUUUUCUAAAACUCAUUACAUGUUAUAAAUGAGUUUUUGAUUGUCCAUAAUUUCUUGCUCAAAAUGCUUCAGUUGGCCUCACCAGAUUUGGUGAGGGGGGCCUCGCCUUAGCAAGGCAUGACUAGCGCUUGCCCUCGCCUAGGCGUGGCUUGACAAGGCUGACCCUCACCGGCCAUGGUUGUGGCUGGUGACUGGCAAUGGCCACCGGAGAAAAGAAAAGGGAAAGGAAAAAAAUAAAAAAGAAAUCAAUAAAUUCAAAAAAAUUAUUAAAAUAUUAUUAAAAAUGUCCAUCUCAGCGCCAAUCGCUCGAUCGAUGUUCAUGUAAAAAAUUUGUAGCCUAAAUUGGCCUAAUAAAUUGAAUUGGUACUAAUAUGAAAAAAGGUUUAAGGUUAAAUUGGUCAAAUCGAAAAGUUUGUGACUGAAUUAGUACCAAUGUAAUAUAUUUAAGACUUUUUUAGUACUUUUUCCCUCGAUAAGUGGUAUCAAAGCUAGGUGGUCAAGGAUUGACUAGACUUCACUCGAGUCCUUGUCCAUCUGCCAGGUAAGGUGAGCAAUGACGUGAUCGAGAAGAUUUUGAUGGGUGGCUGUAUUCUUGAGCACUUAUACUUAAUCGAGAAACUUGAAGAAACUCGAAACUAACUUUACCUGAGCAUCUUCGGAAGCUAGAUGAUAUCUUUCAAAAAGAGGGUUCUUACUGCCGACAUCGAACCUUUCAAAUUGAGCAAAUUGAGCAAACUUCAUGAAACCGAGUGGAAACCAAGUCGACUGCCCGUUAGGUCGUGAAAUAAUGCCGACCAAGAGCUGAACUUGAGAAGCCAUUGGUUUGUUAAACUAAAGCUGAAGCUAAAGCACAUGUUGCAGUCGUUCAUAAACCUCCAUAGCCAAAAAGGUCCACGUGCAAUUGAAAAACACAGCGCUGGGGCUAUUGGAAGAUACACGUGAAGAUUCACAAUAUCAUUCAAGGAUCAAUUAUGUUCAUUUAGUAUCGGAUCUAACCGGAUACAAAUAUUGUAAAAUAUUUACUUGCUUUUCAUAUACGGACUUUGUAUUAUAAACAAUGUGAACAUUGUACAUUGGAAGACAUACGGAAUACAAAGAAAAUUCUCUCCUUUUCUUCUCUCGACUAUCUCCUUCUCAUCUUCUUUCGUGGUAUCAGAGCAGUCUCUGAUUUUGACCUAGCUUCCGCAUUCCUGUUCGAAUUGCCUUCUUUUUCCCUUCUGUCUUUAUUGCUGCGACACUUACAGAACAGAAUAGUCUGCGGGAGGAAUUCGGAAUCUGCAAAAGAGAGAAUUUUUCUAUUACAAUUUCUAUUCAUCAUGACCAACCCACAAGCACUUACCUUACCCUCUGAAGAUCAGUCGGGAACGAAUCCGACACCACCUGCUUUGUCCAAUUCAAGCUCAUCCAUGGUUGAACAGCAGCCCAGCCAAGGUCAAACACUAUUACAGCACACACAGUGGCAACAAAUUCCGGCUCAGUUCAAUCCAGGGUUACCUUUCUCGGGCUAUCCUUAUCAAUGGAUGCCAUACCCAUGGAUCCAGGGAUUAAACCCAGGUACAUCAUAGCCGGGCUACCAGGGUGUGCAGACCGAUGGAGGCCUACCGGCCAACACUGGGGCAGGCACAGCCAUUGGUCCUGAGCAGACAGGCGGAUCAAAAAAUUUGAGUGCGGGUCAAUCUACAAAUCCAGGAUUCCCAGUAGGGUUCAUACCCUUUCCAUUCGCGGCCGCCAUGGGUCGCCCAAAACCCGACGACACGCUAUAUAUCUCCAACGCCGACGGACCAGAGUUGCAGCUUAUUAGUCACCCCCUCACAAGAUCGGAAAAACUACUCAAAUUGGGCACACGAAUUCCAUCGAGCCCUCGUAACAAAAGACAAAGUGGGAUGUAUCGACGGAACCAUCCCGGUUCCAACUGAUGAGAAAUUAGGGCGACAAUGGAAAAAGUGCAAUCAAUUGGUCAGGACAUGGAUAGGCAACUGCAUCAGCCCAAAGAUAGCAGCUGGGUUGCCCCCAACAGAAGAUUCGAAAUUUUUUUGGGACAAUAUAAGAGAAAUGUACGGGAAACUGGAUCGGGCGAGAAUCUUCUCGCUACAUCAAGCUCUUUCCGAACUGAAAUAGGGAAACACGUCCGUGACAACGUGCUUCAACAAACUGUCAGCUCUUUGGAACGAGCUAGAAGCAGCGGAGGAGAAACUCAACAGACUCGAAACCACUAUUCAACAGUACAAGGCGAUAAAAGACAGAGAGAAGGCGACUUGAUUCCUCCUUAUCCUUAACGAUUCUUACCUCUAUUUCAGGUCACAGAUACUCGCGAUGGAGCCUGCACCCUCGAUCGGCCGAAUAUUUCAACUCGCCGUGCAAGAAGAAAGCCAAAGGCUUGCUUCGACCGAAGGAAAGGGGGCGGAAACCCUAGCUCUCGCCGCAAGAACCAAGAGAGCUUCACGAACCCUAGAUAGGAAACGCGAUGCAAACCUAGGGUUUGCGGAAGCUAAGCCUUUUAAAGGCUUUGCUGUGGACGGCCACGAUCGUACACAGCGAUUGGACAGCUGGAGAGGAGUGCAAACGCAUGGAGAUCUGGACGGUGGAGAUGAUUCGCUCAUUAAAGGAUCCAACGAUGGGAGCCUUUUGAAAAAUCAUGGGCCAAAUCCAUAUGGGCCUAACUCUCAUGGGCCCAAUUCCUUUGGGCCGAACUCCUAUGGGCCUAAUUCCUAUGGGCCGAAUUCAAAAAAUAAGGCCAAAUCAUAUUGUGAAUUAUGCAGAUGACCUCAUCACACCAUAGAAAAUUGCUAGAAGCUGCAUGGCAAACCUGGUGAAAAAAAGGGCAAAGAAAUAUCAGCAGCUGCAUAUCAACUUACAGGAUAGGCGGGUACAAAUCAACCCAUUACUCAUGCUGAAUAUGAGCCAUUGAUGCAGGCACUGCACAAAUUGGAUGUUCAGAAAAAAGGGGAUAGUUUUACAGGUAUUUCUCAUUGUCGAAUAAAUAAUAUAUCGAGAAAUACUUGGAUUGUUGAUUCUGGAGCCAGUGAUCAUAUUGCAUGUGAGAAGGCAUUGUUUACCACUGUUAAUGAAGAACUGUAUAAUCCUAUUAUAGUGCAAUUACCAAAUGGGAAUACUGCUCAUACAACUGGGACAGUUAAUCUUAGUUCUGAAAUCACUCUCACCAGUGUCCUAUAUAUUCUAGAGUUUCAGUUCAAUCUUAUAUCUGUGUCUAGAGCCUGUAAGGAGAAUUCAUGUCAAGUUUCCUUCAAUGCUGAUAGUUGUCAAUUUCAAGCCCUUUCGACUGGGAAACUGAUGGAAUGGGGUAAUCUAUCAGAUGGACUAUUUUUCUAGAGAAGUUCACCCAAGAAUCUAGAUUUUUUUCAUUGUAAUAAACAAUCAUUGUGUAAUCUGACUACCAAUGAUAAAAAUUUCAUUUUCCAUUCCAAAUUGGGUCAUAGUUCCUCUUUUCCCUAUUGUCAAUGUCACAUUUGCCCACUUACAAAGCAAUCACGUACCCCUUUUCCAUUGAGCAAAAGUUGUGCAGUUGACAUUUUCUCUUUACUUCAUAUGGAUGUUUGGGGACCAUAUCAUACACUGAAUCAUGAUGGCUCUUGUUUCUUUCUUACCAUUGUGGAUGAUCAUUCAAGGGCUACAUGGAUUUUCCUCAUGCAAUCUAAGAGUCAAGUCGUAUCAUAUUUAAAAACUUUCAUUUAUCUGUCGAAAACUCAGUUUAGGAAAACUAUUCAAAAAAUUAGGACAGACAAUGGGAAAGAAUUUUUCAAUUAUGAGUGUACGACUUUAUUAUCAUCUCAAAGGAUUCUGUAUGAGAGUUCUUGCAUAUACACACCUCAACAAAAUGGAAUAGUGGAAAGAAAGCAUCAUCAUUUGCUGGAAGUGGCCAGGGCCUUAAAAUUUCAGGGUUCCAUUCUAGAUAACUUUUGGGGAGAAUGUGUAUUGACUGCAACAUAUUUGAUCAACCGUAUACCAACCAAGAUUCUUAAUGGUCGAAGCCCCUUUGAAAUUCUUUUUGGGAAGAAGCCAUAUCUUAAUCAUUUGAGGAUCUUUGGGUGUCUAUGCUAUGCAUCUAUAGUAGGACCUAAGGAUAAGAUGGGUCCACAGGCUCGCCGUUGCAUAUUUAUGGGGUAUGCUACCCUACAUAAGGAUACAUAUGAUCCCUCUACAGGUGAAUUCUUCGUUAGUAGAGAUGUUUCCUUCCAAGAAGAUUUUUUCCCUUUUUCUAUCAAGGAAUCAGACAGGAACAGAUAGGACUAUUCUCAUACUCAUAAUAUUGAAGAAUCCAUCAAUGAUCCGGGAUAUGUUCUGAUCCCUUCCUCAGCUAAUACAGGUACUGCUUUUGCAUCCACUAUGUCAAUGACACCUUUAGCUGAAGACACGGAUCAAGAACCGAAUGAGAGGAUUAUAUUGGAACCCAACUUGGACAUUCCAGCAACUCAGUCUUCUUCUGAGGACAUUCAACCAAGACGAUUAGGGCGAGCAACACGUCCUCCAACUUGGACCAAGGACUACAUAUGUGGAGUGAGAAAUCCAGGUAUUCUUUUUCCUAUUUCCUCUUAUGUUUCCUUCGAUCGGUUAUCCGAGGAGCAUAGAUGUUGCAUUACUCGCAUUUAUGAAGAACAAGAACCAUCAAGCUAUGAUGAGGCGAGAACUGACCCGCGAUGGCAAAAGGCGAUGGAAGAAGAAUUGCAGGCACUGGUGGACAAUCAGGCAUGGGAUCUUGUUAGUCUACCUCCACAUCGCAAACCAAUUGGAUGCAAAUGGGUCUACAAAAUCAAAUAUCGAGCUGAUGGUUUAGUUGAAAGGUACAAAGCCCGAUUGGUGGCAAAGGGUUUCACACGGAAGGAAGGUUUUGAUUAUCAUGAAACCUUAUCGCAUGUCGCCAAGGAUGUUACAGUCCGUUCAUUCCUCUUUGUAGCAACUUACCAAGACUAGCCAUUACAUCAGAUGGAUGUUCAUAAUGCAUUCUUGCAUGGAGAUUUAGUUGAAGAGAUUUAUAUGGACAUACCACAGGGUUUAUGGAGACAGGGGGAGAAUAAAGUAUGUCGUCUUCGCAAAUCCUUAUAUGGCCUCAAACAAGCAUCCAGACAAUGGUACGCCAAAUUUUCUGAGUCUCUAAUAGCUGCUGGUUUUCAAUAGUCCAAGUUUGAUUAUGCUGUUUUCACAUGGACCAAAGGUACGUCAUCCAUAUACUUGAUGAUAUAUGUAGAUGAUAUAUUGAUUAUGGGCAAUGAUGAGAUGGCUGUUAAAAGUUUCAAGAAAUAUUUGCACUCUACUUUCCAUAUAAAAGAUCUAGGGUCGCCAAGGUAUUUUCUUGGAAUAGAAAUUGCUCGCUCAGAUCAAGGAAUAUGUCUCAGCCAGAGAAAAUUUUCCUUAGAAAUCAUAUCAGAAGUUGGACUGUCAGGAUGUAAGCCGGCAGUAAUUCCGAUCGAGCAAAAUAUUAAAUUGACCAUAGUAGAGUAUGAUGCUGGAAUCUCUCAAGAAGCCGAUCCUGUACUAAGAGAUCCAAUGAGCUAUCAGAAACUUGUUGGGAAGCUCAUCUACUUGACUAUGACCAGGCCGGACAUCAGUUAUGCCGCGCAAACUCGUAGUCAGUUCAUGCACAAUCCAAAGCAGUCCCAUAUGAAUGCAGCACUCAAAGUGGUAAAGUAUCUGAAGAAAUGUCCGGGACUUGGAAUUCUUCUCUCCAAGAAAUGUGAUAUGAGAAUGGCUGCAUACUGUGAUGCAGAUUAUGCGACAUGUCCAAUGAGCAGGAGGUCCAUAACAGGGUUCUGUAUCAAGUUAGGGGAUUCUUUACUUUCAUGGAAGACAAAGAAGCAAGCAACUGUUUCAUUAUCCUCAGUAGAAGCAGAGUAUCGAGCCAUGACAAAGACCGUAUGUGAGAUAGUAUGGCUACGCGGAUUGCUUCGAGAUCUUGGGGUACAAAUUGAAGGGUCAACCAAAUUAUUUUGUGACAACGAUGCGGCUCUCAAACCUGCCUCGAAUCCAAUAGUUCAUGAAAGAACGAAGCAUAUAUAAGUGGACUGCCAUUUCACGCAAGAAAAGAUCCAGCAAGGGAUAAUUGAGACAUUGGGGAUCCGAACAGAAGAGCAACCAGCGGACAUAUUCACCAAACCCUUGUGUCAAAGUCAGCACGCGUAUCUCCUAAGCAAGCUAGGUGUCUUGGAUAUCUACAAGCCACCAGCUUGAGGGGGAGUGUUGGAAGAUACACGUGAAGAUUCACAAUAUCAUUCACGGAUCAAUUAUGUUCAUUUAGUAUCGGAUCUAAUCGGAUACAAAUAUUGUAAAAUAUUUACUUGCUUUUCAUAUACAGACUUUGUAUUAUAAACAAUGUGAACAUUGUACAUUGGAAGACAUACAGAAUACAAAGAAAAUUCUCUCUAUUUCUUCUCUCGACUAUCUCCUUCUCAUCUUCUUUCAGGGCCGAGAACAAUUUGCAAUGAGUGUAUAGAAGUGUCGAUGGAAAAUGUGAGCUGAAAGAGAGCUUGAAAAACCCAGAGGAAGGCUCGAGGCUAGUAGGAAAGAAUAGAGCUAAAGAGCAAGUCAAAGAAUGGAAGAUCAAGAGAGUAAGAAAGUCCACUAGAGUCUGAAAUCAUGCAGAGAAAAUUGCAGAAGAGGAGUAGGCGAGAGAGAAAAAUAAGAGAAAAAGACAUGAUUACAAAAGUGAAGUCGGACUCAUUUGAUUGAUGGGCGGGCUGAGCCGGGCCGGCUCGUGCCAUAUGUUAGAUGGAACUUGUUGUCUAGGCUCAUUUGUCAUGAAGAAAAGUAUGCGAUUUCGAAAGGAAUUGAGUUACCAAAGUGUUGGGUUAACUUGUAACCAGUGGCCACCUUUCUUAUGCAUCCGUUUUCAAAUUGAUCAAAAUCAUAAUGAAUUGAGAACCAUAUAAGCAAAUUUCAUUAAAUUUAAAUUAACGGAAAGACAAUAUUGAACAUAGGGUUUAGAUUAAACAUUAAGUAAAUCAAAAGUUUAUGGAUGACAUUGCACCUUUGACUAAUGGGCUAUUUAUGUCUUUUUUUCCUUUUGUUAGAGCUAAUUCUUUAUUACAAAACUAAAGCAACAUCAAUUGAGCUUUAAUAUCCCACUAGAAGCACGAUCUCAAAUGCGCAUCAAUUGGGCUCUGGAGACCUUCUUCACACUAGAAACAUUUUCUACUCCUAUUCCAACAACCUUGUUGGGGGUAGUUAGGUAACAAUUCACUAAUAACUAAUCCAAUCCACAAUCAAUUUCUUCCCCAAAAUUAAACUAACCAAAAUGGACUUAACGCCAACAACAACUAACUGUGUAUUCCAGCGCUAUGUGUCACGCCCCGAUCCUCAGGCACGCACACAUCCUUAUCACUUGGUCAAUUUUAUAAUGCGAUAUCCCAGGACAAUGUAUCGCCGACCCUUUCAUUUAUUAAGCACAUGCGGAAGCAGUUAAAAUCCCCAGACAAUAAAACGAUGGGAUAGAAAAAGCAGGGCCAUAUUUUUCAUAUUGAAAUUUAUAACCAAACUUUUAUACAAAACACAAACCGCUUCAUAACUAUUCACUUCAAAAGGAAUUCUCAAAAGAAGAUAGACUCUCAGUCCAUCCAAGCCGUACUCAAGGCCCCUCUCGAGAUUAUCUUCUUCUUCCAAAAAUCAUUCUCCUCAAGUUUUACCUCCGAGUUCUCCUUCUCGGACUCCUCCUCCUCAACUCCUCAGUGGGGUCUUGAAAUGAUUUCCCCAAACCGGGAUGAGACUACGUCUCAGCGAGUUCUACCCCACUAAGGCUCGAUUAGUAAACCAUUAUACUAUAGGCUGCCUAAACACGCAUAGGGCAGAGGAUUUACCUUGGCCUCAGAUUCCACCUGCAAGUCAGUACAAUUCAUAAUAGGCACCCAUUUACUCCAAACAAAUCGAACGAGUCGAUUACAUGUCACACAAAUCAUUCUCCACUGAGGAGUAUAUAAAAGCUAGGCCACGUGCAUUCUCUAGGACGACAUUCCAAGUCUCCGAGCCAUGUGCCUCAAACCUUGGGCCCACGUGCAUUCUCUAAGGCGACCUCUUCGCCAAGGUGGUACAUCAAGUCACCGGGCCACGUGCCCUUUUAGAUGCUAUUCUCGAAAACUGGACCCACGUGCAUUCUCUAAGGCACUAGUUCACCAAAGUGACGCAUCAGAUCACCGAGCCACGUGUCCUUUUAGACGCUGUUCUCAAACACUGGACCCACGUGCAUUCUCUAAGGUACUCGCUUACCAAAGUGACGUAUCAAAUCACCGAGCCACGUGUCUUUUUUACGAUGCCCGGGUCCAUGUGCCUUCUCUUAGGUGCUAUCUCACCAAAGUGAUACAUCAAUUCACCGAGCCACGUGCCCUUUUAGAUGCCAAACUUUGUCACCGAGCCAUGUGCAUUCUCUAGGAGGACAUACCGAGUCUCCGAGCCACGUGCAUUCUCUUAGGUGACCUCUUCGCCAAGAUGACAUACUCAACCACUGGACUCACGUGCAUUCUCCAGGUGAUAUUCCCAAUUCACCGAGCCCACGUGUUUUCUUUCAAGUGAUUACCAAUCUACUUUCAAUACCGACAACCAAUGCCCAACGAUUUCUCAAUCAAAUAAUUAAAUCAACUCAACAAAGCAUUAUAAAUGCUGAAUAACAUACUUGGCCAUUUACCAAUCAACAAUUCAAUCUCAAUCAAUUCCAAUCAAUUUAGGGUAAAUCCCUAAAAUAUCACAAUUUAUUUAAUUCCAUGCAACGUGGAGCUCAAAUAAAUAAACGGACUGUGCCACGACAAUCAGCACGAGAUUUUGGUCGUCGGCCAUCAAAAUCUUAAUUUCCGAAAAAUAAAUAAAUAAUUAAUUAAUUUCGAAAUUUAAUUAAUAAUUAUUAAAAAUUCAAUUUAGCACAAAAUAAAUCCCAAUUAAAUAAAUGGACUUCAGCACGGUCAUCAGCAUAAUAUUCCAGUCCCGGGCCAUCUUAGUUGAAUUUUCGGAAAAUAAAUAAUUAUUUAAUUAAAUUCCGAAAAUUAAUAUUUAAAUACUAAAAAUUCCACUUAAGCCCGAAAAGCCUAAUUGAAGCCCACGAAGGGUCGGGAAAAAUCCCGAGAUACUUUCAAUAAAUAGUAGACCACGUCUACUUGCUAAUUGCACAAUCAAUUGGUCUAAUUUGCAUCACAAUUGACUAAUAAUCGCUAAUCUAUUCUAAUCUAACCACUUAAACCUAAUUAAUUAAAACUAAAAGUUUCCUCAGGAAACUUAUGCAAAUGCUUCCCGUGUUUUAUUUUUCAGCAAGUAAAUGAACUAAGAAGAGCUUAUGCACUAUAUAAGGAAUUAUUUCACAGUACACCCAAUUAUGUCAAAAGACAUUCGAGUAAUGUCUUGCUUGGCCCAAAAGUUCAGGUAUCUGACAAAUGGCUUUAGCAAUAGUACAAACAUCAAGGUGCAUUCUUUGGGAUAAUCUAUAAUUAGCCUUGGAGUAGGUAUAUCUUGGAUUCAAACGAAAUGAACACGGAUCCCUGGUCCAAAAAAUUCGAAUUGCAAUUUUCUCAAUAGAACCAAAUAAUUCACGAUGAUUUUGCUUCUGUCGUAUUUACUAGUUUGCUCACGACCACACCAUUAGGAGAAGAGCUUGUUAUUGGAUUUAGCAUUUCUAGACUGACACAAGUACUUUAAUCAGCUAAUGUAGAUAAAUUUAUGAGAUAAAUUGUGUUGAACUCAAUGGCUAAACCUUUACCAAAAAAAAAAAAACUCAAUGGCUGAACAAGUCUUAUCCCAAGUCAGUAGACUAUGCAUAGUAAGGGAUGCCUUAUCAACAUGCUCCUUUUGCAUUGUAAAUUCACCCUUAAGUGUACCUUUGAAACAUGCAGUCAUGAAUUGCCUAGUGAGCGUAGAGCAAACUAAAACCUCAUAUUAGAAGGAUCGCCAUAUAGGGUCCUUCAUUUAGCAUUUUCUUCAACCUAUACAAUGCCUUCGGCAUGCUAUCAAAAUACUUGUACACAUCUAUUUUUAUUCAGUAAUUCCAGCAUUCUAAAAUCAAUCAAACAUUGUGAAUCUUUAAUUUCCUACAUAGGAUGAAGGAUCUUACCCAAAGACUAAUGACAAAUGAUGCACUUAGAAAGCCUCUUCAUCUAUUCCCCUUUCUAGCAUGAUAAGCUGAAUCAUUUUGCCAAAGCACACAUCAACUUUCAUGGACAUCUCCACCAAAUUCCUUGAAUUCAAGUAAGAAAACAACGAGGAACUGUCAUCCAAGAAAUAAUAAUGGCGAGAUCAUAAAUCUUGAAAGAUAUUGCGAGCAGGAAAUACAAAUGAAAAUUGGGCAGUAGAUCAAAGAAUAAAGGUAAUUUACCUAUUCUAUGUACCUUUGAUAGUAAAUGGGGAUCAUUUCCAUCCUAUUGACUCAUCUGAGUUAUCCGUAUACUCUAAUACAAUUUGUAUCAUUUUUCUAUCUUCAAUCUCAUAUUAUUGAUAAAUCCAAGUUCUAGAUAAUUUUGGAAUUGUUUUGAGUGACUUGCAUCCAAUGAUAUUCAGAUAUUCCAAAAACUCCAACCUAUCGAGACCUUGAAUUUCGACCAAUUUUUUGCAUUCAUUGGCCUUCAAUAUCUUCAAACUCUUGGAUUUUGGAAGGAGCAACCUUUCAAUUGAAUUGCACCUAGAUAUAUUAGUCUUUCCAAGAACUCCAACCUAUCGAGGCCUUGAAUUUUGGCUAAUUUCUUGCACGAAUUAACAAAUAAUAUCAUUAGACUUCCGGAUUUGGGAAGGUAUAGCCUUUCCAUUGAAGUGCACUCUUUGAUAUAUAGCCAUUACAAAUACUCUAACCUAUCGAGACCUUGAAUUUCGGCUAAUUUCUUGCACGAAUUAGCAUCUAAUAUGUGGAUAGAAUAGCUUUGUUUACUAAUUUUUCAUUAGAUGGUACCUCUCUACUCUAGUUCUUUCAACAUGUUUCUUCAAAAGGUUCUCUGAUUUUUCACAUGUAAGGAAUGCAAGGUAUAUCAUUCAAAGAGCGGGCUCGGAUUAUGUGCUUGUUUUGCAUUAGCAUUACAACCGCGUUGAUCGAGUGCUAUGUAUUGAGUCUUGCCUGUUUGCUACCGUCCACAAGCAAUACAGCUGCUUUUUGGACGCAUACACUGUUAAAUUAUGAUACUAAGUUCCCUCAAUAUCCUCCAUUUGUUCAGAUUGUUAGUUUAAUAAUGAUGUUGAGUUACAAACAUAGUUCUAUAAUUAGUAAAACAGUAGCAGGAGCAAAUUUUAUAAGACUACACAACAGGGGUUUAGCCAAAGGUGUUAUGAGUGAUAGACACAAAUCGCCUUCUAUUACUUUCCUAGGCAAAAGAACGCUUCAAGUGCCAUAACUUUGCACAAAGGGACACUUAAGUGCCAUAACUUACGAAAGAUACACUUAAGUGCCACAUUUUAAGAAAAGCGGGACACUUGAGUGCCAUCUCCGGCGAAGCUGGCUGGAAAUCAUACGCGGCAUUAAAAUAUUAAUAUUUCUCGCCGAUGUAUCUCGCCGGAGAGCUGAGUCAGCUCGACUUCACCCCAAACGACGUCGUUUCGGGUGUUGGCCCAAAAUAGAGCCCUUAAAUCAGUGAAAACGCCGUCGUCUCCCCAUUUGCCCUAAAUCUAAAACCCUAAAUCGGGCAAAAUGCCAUCGAAGCGCUGAAGCCCUAAUCCCGCACCCUAAUUCGAUUUGCCCCAAAUUCUACCACCGAGUAUUGGAAAUGGAGAACAGGACUUUCAGCAGCGGCUCAAAUUUCUCUCGCCAAAGCGAAGGAGAAGGCGAGCGUUUAUGUUUUUGUGGGUUACCAAGUCCAAGAAGAACAUCGUGGACUCAAAUGAAUCCCGGGAGAAGAUUCUAUGGAUGUGCCCGAUACAGAGAAGGCUUGAAGUGCAAAUAUUUCAAAUGGGUUGAUGCGAAAUUCUCUCACCGAGCCACAGAGGUGAUAUUGGACCUACUUGAUGGAUGUCAUCAACCUCUAUCUACGCUUGUGGUUGACUCAAUGCAAGCUCAAGCUCAAGCAUCUUCUGUUAACCAUUUGAAGAACGAAGUUUCAAAAAUGAAAAUUGAACGGAAGUGUUACCAAGCGUUUAUUGUGUUGCUGUUUUUUUGUUUAUCCUACUUUAUGAUGAAAUGUAAAGUACUGGAAGAUGAGAAGAAGUUUCUCUGACUGCCAUAGUUGUAAAUGUGUGGAGAAAUGUACUUGUUUUGAAUGAANNNNNNNNNNNNNNNNNNNNNNNNNNNNNNNNNNNNNNNNNNNNNNNNNNNNNNNNNNNNNNNNNNNNNNNNNNNNNNNNNNNNNNNNNNNNNNNNNNNNNNNNNNNNNNNNNNNNNNNNNNNNNNNNNNNNNNNNNNNNNNNNNNNNNNNNNNNNNNNNNNNNNNNNNNNNNNNNNNNNNNNNNNNNNNNNNNNNNNNNNNNNNNNNNNNNNNNNNNNNNNNNNNNNNNNNNNNNNNNNNNNNNNNNNNNNNNNNNNNNNNNNNNNNNNNNNNNNNNNNNNNNNNNNNNNNNNNNNNNNNNNNNNNNNNNNNNNNNNNNNNNNNNNNNNNNNNNNNNNNNNNNNNNNNNNNNNNNNNNNNNNNNNNNNNNNNNNNNNNNNNNNNNNNNNNNNNNNNNNNNNNNNNNNNNNNNNNNNNNNNNNNNNNNNNNNNNNNNNNNNNNNNNNNNNNNNNNNNNNNNNNNNNNNNNNNNNNNNNNNNNNNNNNNNNNNNNNNNNNNNNNNNNNNNNNNNNNNNNNNNNNNNNNNNNNNNNNNNNNNNNNNNNNNNNNNNNNNNNNNNNNNNNNNNNNNNNNNNNNNNNNNNNNNNNNNNNNNNNNNNNNNNNNNNNNNNNNNNNNNNNNNNNNNNNNNNNNNNNNNNNNNNNNNNNNNNNNNNNNNNNNNNNNNNNNNNNNNNNNNNNNNNNNNNNNNNNNNNNNNNNNNNNNNNNNNNNNNNNNNNNNNNNNNNNNNNNNNNNNNNNNNNNNNNNNNNNNNNNNNNNNNNNNNNNNNNNNNNNNNNNNNNNNNNNNNNNNNNNNNNNNNNNNNNNNNNNNNNNNNNNNNNNNNNNNNNNNNNNNNNNNNNNNNNNNNNNNNNNNNNNNNNNNNNNNNNNNNNNNNNNNNNNNNNNNNNNNNNNNNNNNNNNNNNNNNNNNNNNNNNNNNNNNNNNNNNNNNNNNNNNNNNNNNNNNNNNNNNNNNNNNNNNNNNNNNNNNNNNNNNNNNNNNNNNNNNNNNNNNNNNNNNNNNNNNNCACUUUUUCUAACUGGACGUGAGACUCUCUCAACUGUCUUGGAAUGCGUUGAUUCUGAUGGAGCUGCAAUUGUCUUAGGCUGAACUGAUUCAGAAGGUGCUGCAACUGUUAUAAGUUGAACUGAUUCAGAUGAACUUGCAACUGGGUUCUUCUUACUCUUCUUUCUUGUUGGUGCAGGCAAUGUCUUCUUCUUUGUUAGUGCAGCCAUUGAUUUUUGAGUUAGGCCUUGAGAGAUAAGAACCUCUAAACUUCUCCCAUACUUCAUAAAGAAAACUCAAUUAUCAACAAAAGUUUGCACUAUAAAUUAAAUUAAAUGCAGCCUAUAAAACUUAUAUUAAGAAUAAUUUUUCCAGAACGCUUAUCUGUAUAAAGGCCAUAACCAUAUUUUUUUAGCCUCUUCCUAAGAGCCCCUCUUAUUCGAAAGGGAGCGUCACUUUCAAGUACUUGUGAUUGGUUGCCUCUUCUUCUCGCAUGUGAUUUAUUGGGCUCUUGUGACUGUUCAACUACAGCAGGGGCUUUUUCAGCCAAUUCUUCAGCUAGGUGUCUUGUAGAUGGCCUUCUUGUAGGUGGCUCUUGAUUUGGCUUUCUUCUGGUUGCUUUUCUAGUUAGGCCUUCAGCUUCAGUGACACCUUCGGUUGGCUUUGGUGGUGGCCCUUGUAUUGACCCUUCUAGUGGCCUUUGUGAUGACCUUGGUGAUGGAUUUUGUGGUGGCCCUUUAGCUGGGCCCUCUAUUGGCAGCUGAGCUCUAGCUUGCCUUCUUCGAAUCUGAGAAAAAGGUAAAGGACAUCAUAAAUAUAAUAUCAGGCCAUAUUAGAACGUAAAUGAAAAGUAAACUCAAAUCAUUGAACUUACUGGGUAUUUUUUUUCUCCGUUGCUGCUGAAGAACAGUCGACUUAACUGGCCCUCUUACUUCAGCCAAUCCUGCAGCUGGCUGUCUUCUACCUUCCCUUCUUUGAAUAGGCCAUUUAGUUUCAGGUAUAGCAAGGGCUUCGGCCAAUUCUUCACGUGUUAUGGUGACCUAACAAAGACAAAAACAUUACAUACAUAUCACUUAUAUCUAUAUACAUAUUCGUAACAAACCAUAAAGCAACAUAAACACAAUUGUCAUGACUUACUGGGUUUAUUGUCGUCGACUGAAAAACAGUCGACUCACUUCGCCUUUUCUGUUUCUCCUUCUCCAACUAUCCCUUCACUAGGCCCUUCGACUGGCCUCAAUUAUUCCUGCUGCUUCUUUAAUUGACAACUCUUAAUAUUGUGCCUUGCUAUGUGGAAAAAAGAGCACUUUAUCGGUACACCUGUCCUAUUCAUCCUACGAUGACAUGAGUCCUCUCCUUCUGUUAUUUUUUGUUUUCGCUUUGGUCUUCCCAUUCUCUUCUUUAGUGGCAAAGGUUGAAGUGCUUCGUGAUCUGUUGGCUCCUAGAACUUGCUACUUCUAAUUGGCUGCAACAUGAAUUGAUACGAAGCAAGAUAUUUCGGUUUCUUGUAUCAAUCAUCAAGGUAGUCUUCUGUGUUGUGGCCCUUCAAUUGAAUUGCACAUAUGGUAUGUGCACAAGGAAUUCCACUUAGUUGCCAUGCUCUACAUGAACACUUCAUCGUACCUAAAUGGACAACAUACUUAUUGAAACCCUUCAUUAUCUCAUAUCAUUCAUCUCCAUUCCAAAUGGGAUGACAAUACCUACUUGUAGCCAAGUUGUCAUCCAAUUUCUUAGCAAUCCUAGGACCAUAUUGCUUAAUCCACUUUGUAGUCUCAUCUAUUUGUCUGUGCAGCCGAGUCAUGACCAAAACCCGUAUGUCUUCAAGCAUCGAGAUAAUUGUUUGGCAUCUAUUAUCCUCCCAUUGAAUGCUUCGCAGAUGUUGUUAUCACUGUUAUCGCACUUGAAUUCCUCGAUGCAGAACGCCCUACACCAAUGCUUUGGGGUUGUUUGGGAUAGUGCAUCAUAACCAUCCUUUGUCAAUUGAAGCAUCCCUUCUUUGGCCAUCCUAAAGUCAGCCAUAUCGUGCUCUUUGUUAGCUGCCAAAAUUGCGACUGCAACUUAUCCCCUUUAUAGGUCUUUGCCCAAUUUGCGUAUAUAUGCCACGCACACAUUCGAUAUUCAACAUAAGGCAACAACUCAGCUAUUGCUGGAACCGGUCCCUGCAAUAAUUCAAAAUAUAAAAAUGUAAGCAAAUGACAUGUUGAUAUCAAAAAGCAAACAAGUGACCAAUUUUUUUAAAAAGCAAACAUUACCUUUUGUUGGUCGCUCAUGAACGCCCACCCUGCCCCAUUUGUUAUCUCCAAAUCAGUCAUCAAAUUUUUUAGGAACCAAGACUAAUUGUCCUUGUUCUCUACCUUCAUAACAGCCCAAGCCAGGGGGGACAUUUGGUUGUUUGCAUCUCUUCCAAUUGCGGCUAGCAAUUCUCCCUUGCACAAGCCAUUCAAAGAAUACUCGUCCAAUCCUAUAAUCCGUCUACAAUUAGAUAAAAAUCCUCAUUUGCAUGCGUCGAAGCAAACAUGGAAUUUAUCGAACUUCAUCCCAAUAUCAGGAAGUGGUCUCUCCACGACAUCUAUAUACACUUUACUUUCAGGAUUUUGCAGCCUACACUCCCAAGCAUAGUCCCACAACUGUCCAUAUUCACCGCUGUACUGACCAAUGAGUAUUUUCAUCACCUUUUGCUUCGAUCUUUUACAUUGAUUCUUGGAUAUAUUGAUGUAUACCUGCUCCUUCACCAGCAUCCUGAACUGAGUAGUAUUCAUCUAAGACAUCAGCUUAAUCAAUUCAAAGAAGUACUUCGACAACCAUGCACUUGUUACCCUUUUAUUCUCAAAAUUAAUGGAACAAGUAUGUUCAUCUUGGUAGGCUCUAAUCUGGAAAGAUCCACUUCUCCUAACAAAUGCACCAUAGAUCUUCCAUGGACAAUUUUGCUGCGAACACCUAGCUCUUACAAAGGUCUUAGUGUUUCUAAUGAAGUCAAUAUUCCUUUGUGCAGCAAUGGAGUUCUUCAGUAUAACUUCUCUAAAUUGUUUCGCAUCAUGAAAUUUCAUGCCUACCGACAAAGUAGGAGAGGCAACGGAUGGAUCAUAAGAAGGAAACUUACUUUUCCUUUUCCUUCUAUGGACACGGUAUUCAUCUUCUUNNNNNNNNNNNNNNNNNNNNNNNNNNNNNNNNNNNNNNNNNNNNNNNNNNNNNNNNNNNNNNNNNNNNNNNNNNNNNNNNNNNNNNNNNNNNNNNNNNNNNNNNNNNNNNNNNNNNNNNNNNNNNNNNNNNNNNNNNNNNNNNNNNNNNNNNNNNNNNNNUGACUGUACAAGCUCCUUGUGUCGUCAUCACUUACAAAAUUUUCACAGGCACCCUCCAUCAUCAUCAUCAGUUAAUUCAGCUACUUCCCAAUCUAAUCCAGAGAUUGUGACAUCACCUAUGUCAUCAUCACUUUGGUGAACUGCAUCUGCGCUUCUCUCAUGUCCAUCAUAUCUAUCCUGUCCAUCAUAUCUAUCUGCUCUUCUCUCAUGUCCAUCAUAUCUAUCACCGGCUAUUUGCAAAGUUACAAACUUAGCUGUAAAAAAAUCCCUUCGUUGUAUUCUUGAUUGUACAAGCUCCUCGUUGUCGUCAUCACUUAUAAAAUUUUCAGCAGGCAACCCUCCAUCAUCAUCAUCAGUUAAUUCAGCUACUUCCCAAUCUAAUCCAGAGAUUGUGACAUCACCUAUGUCAUCAUCACUUUGGUGAACUGCAUCUGCGCUUCUCUCAUGUCCAUCAUAUCUAUCCUGCCCUCCUUCGACCCUAACGACAAUGAGAUAGCUAGUAUAAGCACCUAGAGGGGGGGUGAAUAGGUGUAUAAUAAUUUCUCGUGAUAAGUGAGCAAUACGAAAUAGACAAUAGAAAGGAAGUUCGCCUUUUGUUAGCAAAAACAAAUUAUGAUCAAAGUAAAAAUAGUAAGGAAGAGAAAAUGAACACAGAGAUUAUAGUGGUUUGGCUUAUUCCAAGCCUACGUCCACUCUUCCGCACUGACAGCCCACUGGCUGGAUUUUACUAUGAACAAAAGAGUUGUUACAGCAAAGCUCUCCCUUGAUUCCACAGUGUAGAUACUCUACCACACUUCCUCAAGGUUUCUCAAAGAUAUAGACUCUAUUUUGCGUACAAGAUUUCGCUCAACAAAUGAAUUGACUAAGAUCAAAGAGCUUCAGACUUUGGAAUUCUUCUAUCAUGCACACACUCGAACAACUGGAACGUCUUCCUUAUAUACUCCUUUAUGCCAUCAUACCCGUUGGCACUUACCAAAGGAAUUCCUCCAAUCUACCCGUUGGACGGAACCAAUUAGGAAGAUCAUUCGAGCUAUUUAAGGAACAUGUCGAUAGCCCAUCAAUCAUGCUCGCCCAUACAAUCAGGAUCUCGGUUUCCAUAAGUAGAACCUUCCAAGUAUACUUCGCCAAUCAUCGGAUCCUUAAUCUCUGAAUCAAUCAUGAUCAAACAAAGGAUUCCGUUAUGUCAUAUCCAGCCAAGAGAUCUUCUCCAAUCGAUAAGGUCAAAUCCUUAAUGAAACACCCAGUUCUGGAUAGCCCUUCUUCGACGAAUUAGAAACUGUCAAUGAGAAUAGACUUUGAGUCUUGAGUCUGGCAGUCCGGAGGUCUUCAGACUUUAAAUGGUAGAGUUUGCAAAUCUUCAGACUACACUGAUGGAAACGUUUUGUCAGCUUCAAAAUACUCCAGGAAGAUUUCUCCAACAAUCUCCCCCUUUUUGAUGGUGACAAAACUUUCCUGCAGAUUUGGAUAACUUUGACCUGCAAAACAUUACUCAAGCAAAUAUGGAUAUCUCAUAAAGAUAAAUGGCUUAAUAAUAACACUAGAAUCUGCAACCACAGAAAAUAGGUUAGUCUUUCAUGUGAGUAAAGUCAUUCAUAAGAUAUCAAUAGUACUUAAUAUAAGCAAUCAAAUCCAAAUCCCAAAUUCAGUCCACAUCUAGACACAAAAGUCAAGUCAAGUCAAACAUCAAAACAAACCAAAAGUUCAACAAGUUUAAGGUUCAAAGUUUCAAAUCUCGCAUCUCUCCCCCUUUUUGUCAACAUAAAAAAGGUUUAGAUGGGAAGAGAAUGGAAUCAAGAAUGCUUGGGAACACGAACAAGCUAGAAAUCUCCCAUUGACUGGACAAUGCCUUCCAGCUUUUUCAAGUCCUCCUUCAGUUGUGCCACAUCUUCACCCUUAGCAUUUGCCUGAAUCUGAAGAGAAAUGGCUUGGAUUUGAUCAUUCAAAGAAACUGAAGAAGCUUGGCCUGCAAUCUGCAAAUUCUGAACUUCGCAUCCCAAAGCAUAUAUCUGACCUCGCAUUUCCAAGAGAACAUCAAGAAUUCUGCGAAAAUCUACUAAAUUAUCAGUUUGCGUACUGGAUUCUGCACGAUCAGAUGGAGUAAAGGCAGACGAUGGCAAAUCAGCAUAGUCACGCAGAUUGGGCGAUGAAACAUCAUGUCCCUCCUCAGGAAAUUGAGAGUCAUAGAUGUCCUCUGGAUCUGCUGGAGAGCGACUGACUCCUUCACUAGUAGCAGGAUAUGAGGACAUUCCUCUUUUCUCAUGGUCUCCCCCUGUUUCCAUGCCUUCAGGUGGAGAAGAGAGUUCCUCAUGCUCUCCUUUCUCUUGAUUUCCUCUUUCCUCUUCUUCUUCUUCUUCAAAUCUUUCCUCCUCUGCAUCUCUUUCCUCUGUUUCUUUCUCCUCUGCUUCUUUCUCUUCUGCUUCCAAAUCUUUUCUUUCUCCAAUCCUCUGUUCUAAGUCUUUCUCUUGUCGUUCUAUUGAUUCUGGAACAGAAUGACUCAGGUUCUUCAAUGCCAUAGCAGAAAUGGUGAUGUCUUCCUCAUCAUCUUCAUCCUCAACGAUGAGAGCUCUUCUUUUCUUGGAUGGAGCAACCAUGGGCUCCUUCCCUUUUCUCUUUGCAGCCGAAGAGAUUUGAUGAGUUUUGAUAGGGGUUUUCUCCUUGAAUUUCUCCAACGCCUUGUUGAGUUCCUUCAGAUGCAUUUUGGAGACCAUUUUUAGUCCCACCACCAUUUGAUCACAAGAUCGAACACAGAGAAUUCAUGGAGGUUGAACAUUCAAAUGUCUAAAUAACUUUGUCACAAGAGCUGGAUAAGGAAGUUGACCCUUGUCCUUCACCACUGCUCUAUACAUGUGGAACAUAAUAGUGUGAGGAAGAGAAAACUUUUUCCCAGCAUUGAUGACAUACAUCAGCUUUGCCUCUGAGUUUGAAACAUCAGUCUUUGAAGUAGAUUUUGGUCUGAGGCAAUUAAUCACAAUCUUGUGAAGCAGAAUGUUAAAUGCACUCAUCCUCAAGUAGGAAAUCUUUCCCUAUGUCCUUCUAUCUUUAACAAGUUCCAACGUAGCACGAGCAAUAGAGACAUUGAUAGGUUGAUAUCUCCCUCUCUCAACCCUAAUGACAUCAACCAACAUAUCUACAUCCACCACAUAGUCCUGAUCUCGGACACUAAAAGAGAAUCUAUUCGCAUCCAAGAAACUGAGAUUCGAAUAGAAAUAUGCAGUGAGUUCAGCAUAGGCUUCUAUAGAGUCAGAAUAGAACUGUUCAAGUUGAAGAAGACUAAAUUUUUCCCUCAAAUUAACAUUUACAGCAUCAAGGAAAUCAAAAUCCACACUUCUAGGGUUUAUCACCCCACACUUCAACAACUUAGAGUAUAGAUGCUUUUGGUCCUCCGAUCGAAAUAAGUCUGUCCUUUUUCCUCGAAUUUUUGCCGCAACACCCAUUCUCGGUUGAAACUGACUGUACAACUUGUCAUCAUCAUUCUCAUCUAUCUGAUUCAGCCCUCCAACACGAGGAUCGAUUGGAAUAUUUGCCAUUGCUUCUUCUGCCGAUCCAGCAGGGGCAAUUCCCAACCGUUCCAUUGUGCGUAAAAAGAAGGUUUCAUUUUUGUACCCUUUGUCUUUUAGAAAUUCGUCAAUGUAGUUCAAAGGAGUUCCACCCCUUUUCAAAGCACGAUAAAGCUUGUAGAUAAAAGAGGGCUUAGAAACUCUUACAGGUUCUGCAUCUUCGAUUAUUUCUUCCUCUUCUUGUCGAGCAACCUCCUGUUGUCUGGAGAAGAUGGACGCUGCUGAGAAUGUUGUGGGCUCUGCUGCUGACUAGGAAACUCUUCUUCCUUAGUGAGAUCAAAGUGCGUAGGCCCCUCACGCAUUUGCUGUGGUCCCCUGUUUGCGAUCCUCGAAGACUUCCUUUGAGACGACAUCUUUCACAGUUUUUGAAAGAUUCCAAACUUGACUUUCCCAAGAAAGAUGACAACUUUUCGAAGAUUAAACAAGAAAAGAAAGUGGAAGAUCGAUACUCUCUUAGGGUUUUUGAGAGUAAAGCGAAGAAGAAACAACAUUAUAUAAGAUAGUCGAAGAGAGGCAUACGGAACGUCAUAAAAAAAAGUAAAAAUAUGUCUUUUCAAAAAAUAACUGCCUUUUUCAAAAAAUUAGAUAAUUAUCAUUUCAAAAAUAACUCCUUUUUCGAAAAGGAAACGUUGCAAUAAUCACGUCAAUUAAAGAUAGCAAUAAUCAAACACGGUUGAUAAUCGUACCUUUUCGAGAUGAGAUUCGAGAGAUGAAAAAGUAAAAUAGCUUACGAAAGAAAAACUUGAUCGUCUGAGUCUAGGUAUCUUUAGACUUUCAGUCCUGAGUCUGAAUUUCCUCAGACUUUAAGAUUUUGAGUCUGGAACGAAUAGUUUCAAAUUGAUUUUUCUCCAAAGGCUUUGUAAAUAUAUCCACCAAUUGGUUCUUUGAGUCAACAAACUGAAUUGAAACUUCUCCAUUUUGAACAUGAUCUCUAAUGAAGUGAUGUCGAAUCUCUAUAUGUUUUGCUCUUGAGUGAAGAAUUGGAUUCUUAGUGAUAUUGAUUGCGCUGGUGUUGUCACACUUGAUUUCCGUGCAUGAAUCUUCAAUUCCAAAGUCUCUUAGCUGUUGUUUUAUCCACAGAAUUUGUGAACAACAACUCCCAAGAGCUACAUAUUCUGCUUCUGCUGUAGAGAGAGCUACUGUACUUUGCUUUCUUGAAAACCAAGAUAUUGUUCUGCUUCCAAGUAGUUGACAGGUACCUGAGGUGCUCUUUCUAUCAACUCUGCAUCCGGUUAGGUCUGCGUCUGAGUAUCCAAAAAGAGUAAAGUCUCCCUUUUUAGGAUACCAAAGACCAAAGUUUGAAGUUGAUGCAAUAUAUUUGAUAAUACGCUUUGCAGCACUUAGAUGAGAUUCUUUAGGGUCUGCUUGAAAUCUGGCACAAAUACAGACACUAAACAAAAUGUCAGGUCUAGAAGCAGUAAGAUAAAGAAGUGAGCCAAUGAUACUCCUGUAUAGCUUCUGAUCAACUUUCUUUCCUCCUUCAUCUUUGUCUAUCUUCAAGGAACUUGACAUUGGUAUAUCAGCCUUUUUGCAAUUUUCCAGUCCAAACUUUUUGACAAGAUCAUUAGCAUAUAUUUUCUUGAUGAAUAAAAGUUCAUUCCUUCAGUUGUUUCACUUGAAGCCCGAGAAAGAAGGUUAACUCACCCAUCAUGCUCAUUUCAAAUUCAUCAUGCAUAGACUUAGAGAAAUUCUUGCACAGACUUUCAUUAGGGGAUCCAAAAAUAAUAUCAUCAACAUAUAUUUGAACAAGCAUAAAACUUUUGCUUUCUCUUUUGAUAAACAGAGUAGUGUCUACUUUACCUUUUACAAAGCCGUUUUGAAUUAAAAACUUACUCAGCCCGUCGUACCAAGCUCGAGGUGUUUGCUUUAGACCAUAUAAAGCCUUUUUAAGUCUGAAUACUGAGUCUGGUUUCCUUGGGUCUUCAAACCCAGGUGGUUGUUCCACAUAGGCUUCCUCUUGGAUAAAUCCAUUCAGGAAAGCACUUUUGACGUCCAUUUGGAAUAACCUGAAAUUCUUAUAACAGGCAAAAGCAAGUAAUAAUCUAAUUGCUUCUAACCUCACUACUAGUGCGUAAGUCUCGUCAUAGUUUAUCCCUUCUUCUUGCGUAUAUCCCUUGGCCACGAGUCUUGCUUUGUUUCUUACGACCUUUCCUUUCUCGUUCAUCUUGUUCCUGAAAACCCAUUUAACUCCAAUAAUAGAUUUACCUUUCGGUUUAGGAGUCAACUCCCAGACAUCAUUAAUACUGAAUUGCUUGAGUUCUUCUUGCAUAGCUUCAAUCCAGCUUUCAUCAGAUAAAGCUUCUUCUAUGCUUUUGGGUUCUAUUUCAGAAAUAAGAGCCACAGCACUAGACCUUUCGCGCCUUUUGGAUCUUGUGCGAAUUCCUUCAUUAAUGUCGCCAAUAAUAAGAUCUUUGGGAUGACUGGACUUAUGCUUCCAGUUGCUGGUUGAUUUGUCAGGUUGAUGAUCACUUCCUUCAUUUGAAUCUUCAACAAUCAUUUGUUGCUGGUCUUUCGAAGUCUGAGCUGCUUCCUGAGAUUUAGACUUUUUAGAGUUUGGAGCAGGUUCAGAUUCUUCAAGAUGAGUCUGAAUAGAUUCAUUUUGCAUAGAAUCUUGGAAUCUGACAUUCAUUGAUUCCUUCACAGAUUGAGUCUUCUUGUUGUAGACUCUAUACGCUUUGCUUGUGGUUGAAUAUCCAAGGAAGAUGCCUUCGUCUGAUUUUUCUUCAAACUUGCCAACUCGAUCAUUUGCAUUUUUCAAUAUAAAGCAUUUACAUCCAAACACAUGAAAAUAUGAAACAAUAGGCUUCUUUUCUUUGAAUAACUCAUAAGGGUUUUUUCUAGAAUAGGCCUUAGAAAAACUCUAUUAAUAAUAUAACAUGCUGUAGAAACUGCUUCAGCCCAAAAAUGUGAGGAGAUGUUACUUUCAAUUAAAAGAGUUCUAGCCAUUUCUUGAAGCGACCUAUUCUUUCUUUCCACAACUCUGUUUUGCUCUAGAGUAUAUGGAGAGGAGAACAAAUGCUGAAAACCAGAUUCAUCACAAAAUUUUGUAAAAUCUUGAUUUUCAAAUUCACCUCCAUGGUCUGUUCUUAUACUUGAAAUAACAUACCAUUUUUCAUUUUGGACCUUUUUAGCAAACUUUUCAAAGUAAGAAAAGGUUUCAGACUUACUUGCCAGGAAGUAUACCCAAGUAAAUCGUGAGUAGUCAUCCACAAUUACUAGGCAAUAUUUCUUACCUCCAAUGCUCUGAGUUCUGGUUGGUCCAAAGAGAUCCAUAUGCAGAAGCUGCAGUACACGAUUAGUGGAAACUUGAUUUAUUGGUUUAAAGGAAUUUCUUACCUGCUUUCCCAAUAUGCAUGGUGUACAUAGAUCAGACUUUUGGUAUGAUAGAUUGGGUAAACCACGAACAAGCUUCUUUGCUGAAAUUUUGGCUAUCUGCUUCAUAUUGAUGUGCCCAAGCUUUCUGUGCCAUAAGUUCGCUUCGUCUUGAAUUGAGAUAAGACAUUGUGAUUCAUCUGGUUUCACAUCCAAGAGGUAGAUAUUUCCAUGUCUUCGACCCAUGAAUGACUGAGUAGAAUCUUUACUGGUUCCUGAACAUAUUCCCUCUUGAAAGUUGAUUUUGAAACCGGUAUCACACAGCUGACUAAUACUGAGCAGAUUGUAGUUGAAUCCUUCCACUAAGGAAACAUUGCUUAUUGUGAGGUUUCCAAUCUUUACAGUUCCGAAUCCGACAAUUCUUCCUUUGUUGUUUCCUCCAAAUGAGACUUUUCCACCAUUUACUUGUAUGAGUUUUAUGAAGCAACUUGAAUCUCCUGUCAUAUGUUUUGAGUAUCCACUAUCCAGAUGCCAUUUAACAUUUUUCUUGAUAGUGACCUGCAUUUAAAAAAGAGACUCAAGCUUUCUUUGGUACCCAUAUUUUCUUGGGUCCAUUGGUGUUAGCAUUAUAUAUGGUCUUUGUCCAUACUUUCUUAACGGGUUUCCAAACCAUAGGACAUUCCUUUUCAAAAUGGUUUGAGCUAUUGCAUUUAGAACAUUUAAGAGCAUUGCGACCUACUGGUUUUACAAAUAUCCUUUUUAAAUGAUUUUUGUAAGCAUCUCUUGUGGGUCUUUGCUUAAUUAUUUCCUUCACUUUAGGAAAAUCAAUUAAAUGAAUAGUUUCCGCAGUCAUUCCCAAACCAGAUUUAUUGAAAUAAGGUCUUUGAGCUGAAAGAAUUUUCUCAAGUUUCUCAAAUCCUAUUGAAAAUCUUUUGGAAAUAUUUGAUAUGUCAUUUUUUUAAAAAUACAUUUUCUUUCAAAAGAUUAUCUUCACUUUCUUUAAGAGUAGAAACAUUCAUAUCUAAACAUUUUACUUUUUCUUUCAAAAUAUUUUCUUGUUGUUUCAGUGCAGAGUUUUCCUUUUUGAGUUCGGAAAUCCUUUUAAGAGAAGUCUUAAGACUAAAACACAACUCAUCAAUGUAUUUAGAAACUUUAAUAGGGAUUUUGAAGUUACUCACCUCAAAUUCACUGUCUGAAUCUGAGUCUGUCUCGGAGUUUGAAUAUGAAUCCGAUUAUGCCAUCAAACAUAUAUUGGCAUAAUCAUCAUCACUUUCUUCACACUCUAUAUCACUCCAGGUUUCUGCUUUAAGGGCCUUUCGAUACUUUUCAGCUUUUCCUUUCUUCUUCCUCAGAAGAGGACAAUUGGGUCUGAUGUGUCACUUUUUCUUACAUUCAAAGCAGACUACAUCUUUGUUUGAUUCAUCAUCCUCAACAGACUUAGUUUGUUGCUUUUGAAAACUCUGUUUCUUUGGAUUGAAUCUUCUUCAUUUUCUGUUCAGCUUUCUGAAUCUUCUUAUCAUAAGAGCAAGCUCCUCAUCAUCCAUAUCGUCUUCAGAAUCUGUAACAUCAUAAUCAUCAUUGGAUUUUAAUGCAAUGGAUUUCUUACCUUUAGGAUCUUCAUCUUCGUUGAUUCGCUCCACUUCAUAAGACUGAAGAGUCCCAACCAAUUCAUCAACUGAAAGUGGCAUAAUCCUUUGUGUCUCCCUUAUUGAGGUCUUUAUGUGAUUCCAAUCCNNNNNNNNNNNNNNNNNNNNNNNNNNNNNNNNNNNNNNNNNNNNNNNNNNNNNNNNNNNNNNNNNNNNNNNNNNNNNNNNNNNNNNNNNNNNNNNNNNNNNNNNNNNNNNNNNNNNNNNNNNNNNNNNNNNNNNNNNNNNNNNNNNNNNNNNNNNNNNNNNNNNNNNNNNNNNNNNNNNNNNNNNNNNNNNNNNNNNNNNNNNNNNNNNNNNNNNNNNNNNNNNNNNNNNNNNNNNNNNNNNNNNNNNNNNNNNNNNNNNNNNNNNNNNNNNNNNNNNNNNNNNNNNNNNNNNNNNNNNNNNNNNNNNNNNNNNNNNNNNNNNNNNNNNNNNNNNNNNNNNNNNNNNNNNNNNNNNNNNNNNNNNNNNNNNNNNNNNNNNNNNNNNNNNNNNNNNNNNNNNNNNNNNNNNNNNNNNNNNNNNNNNNNNNNNNNNNNNNNNNNNNNNNNNNNNNNNNNNNNNNNNNNNNNNNNNNNNNNNNNNNNNNNNNNNNNNNNNNNNNNNNNNNNNNNNNNNNNNNNNNNNNNNNNNNNNNNNNNNNNNNNNNNNNNNNNNNNNNNNNNNNNNNNNNNNNNNNNNNNNNNNNNNNNNNNNNNNNNNNNNNNNNNNNNNNNNNNNNNNNNNNNNNNNNNNNNNNNNNNNNNNNNNNNNNNNNNNNNNNNNNNNNNNNNNNNNNNNNNNNNNNNNNNNNNNNNNNNNNNNNNNNNNNNNNNNNNNNNNNNNNNNNNNNNNNNNNNNNNNNNNNNNNNNNNNNNNNNNNNNNNNNNNNNNNNNNNNNNNNNNNNNNNNNNNNNNNNNNNNNNNNNNNNNNNNNNNNNNNNNNNNNNNNNNNNNNNNNNNNNNNNNNNNNNNNNNNNNNNNNNNNNNNNNNNNNNNNNNNNNNNNNNNNNNNNNNNNNNNNNNNNNNNNNNNNNNNNNNNNNNNNNNNNNNNNNNNNNNNNNNNNNNNNNNNNNNNNNNNNNNNNNNNNNNNNNNNNNNNNNNNNNNNNNNNNNNNNNNNNNNNNNNNNNNNNNNNNNNNNNNNNNNNNNNNNNNNNNNNNNNNNNNNNNNNNNNNNNNNNNNNNNNNNNNNNNNNNNNNNNNNNNNNNNNNNNNNNNNNNNNNNNNNNNNNNNNNNNNNNNNNNNNNNNNNNNNNNNNNNNNNNNNNNNNNNNNNNNNNNNNNNNNNNNNNNNNNNNNNNNNNNNNNNNNNNNNNNNNNNNNNNNNNNNNNNNNNNNNNNNNNNNNNNNNNNNNNNNNNNNNNNNNNNNNNNNNNNNNNNNNNNNNNNNNNNNNNNNNNNNNNNNNNNNNNNNNNNNNNNNNNNNNNNNNNNNNNNNNNNNNNNNNNNNNNNNNNNNNNNNNNNNNNNNNNNNNNNNNNNNNNNNNNNNNNNNNNNNNNNNNNNNNNNNNNNNNNNNNNNNNNNNNNNNNNNNNNNNNNNNNNNNNNNNNNNNNNNNNNNNNNNNNNNNNNNNNNNNNNNNNNNNNNNNNNNNNNNNNNNNNNNNNNNNNNNNNNNNNNNNNNNNNNNNNNNNNNNNNNNNNNNNNNNNNNNNNNNNNNNNNNNNNNNNNNNNNNNNNNNNNNNNNNNNNNNNNNNNNNNNNNNNNNNNNNNNNNNNNNNNNNNNNNNNNNNNNNNNNNNNNNNNNNNNNNNNNNNNNNNNNNNNNNNNNNNNNNNNNNNNNNNNNNNNNNNNNNNNNNNNNNNNNNNNNNNNNNNNNNNNNNNNNNNNNNNNNNNNNNNNNNNNNNNNNNNNNNNNNNNNNNNNNNNNNNNNNNNNNNNNNNNNNNNNNNNNNNNNNNNNNNNNNNNNNNNNNNNNNNNNNNNNNNNNNNNNNNNNNNNNNNNNNNNNNNNNNNNNNNNNNNNNNNNNNNNNNNNNNNNNNNNNNNNNNNNNNNNNNNNNNNNNNNNNNNNNNNNNNNNNNNNNNNNNNNNNNNNNNNNNNNNNNNNNNNNNNNNNNNNNNNNNNNNNNNNNNNNNNNNNNNNNNNNNNNNNNNNNNNNNNNNNNNNNNNNNNNNNNNNNNNNNNNNNNNNNNNNNNNNNNNNNNNNNNNNNNNNNNNNNNNNNNNNNNNNNNNNNNNNNNNNNNNNNNNNNNNNNNNNNNNNNNNNNNNNNNNNNNNNNNNNNNNNNNNNNNNNNNNNNNNNNNNNNNNNNNNNNNNNNNNNNNNNNNNNNNNNNNNNNNNNNNNNNNNNNNNNNNNNNNNNNNNNNNNNNNNNNNNNNNNNNNNNNNNNNNNNNNNNNNNNNNNNNNNNNNNNNNNNNNNNNNNNNNNNNNNNNNNNNNNNNNNNNNNNNNNNNNNNNNNNNNNNNNNNNNNNNNNNNNNNNNNNNNNNNNNNNNNNNNNNNNNNNNNNNNNNNNNNNNNNNNNNNNNNNNNNNNNNNNNNNNNNNNNNNNNNNNNNNNNNNNNNNNNNNNNNNNNNNNNNNNNNNNNNNNNNNNNNNNNNNNNNNNNNNNNNNNNNNNNNNNNNNNNNNNNNNNNNNNNNNNNNNNNNNNNNNNNNNNNNNNNNNNNNNNNNNNNNNNNNNNNNNNNNNNNNNNNNNNNNNNNNNNNNNNNNNNNNNNNNNNNNNNNNNNNNNNNNNNNNNNNNNNNNNNNNNNNNNNNNNNNNNNNNNNNNNNNNNNNNNNNNNNNNNNNNNNNNNNNNNNNNNNNNNNNNNNNNNNNNNNNNNNNNNNNNNNNNNNNNNNNNNNNNNNNNNNNNNNNNNNNNNNNNNNNNNNNNNNNNNNNNNNNNNNNNNNNNNNNNNNNNNNNNNNNNNNNNNNNNNNNNNNNNNNNNNNNNNNNNNNNNNNNNNNNNNNNUAUGAUUAUCGGAGAUCCUUUUUAUACAGGCAUUCAUUUGUGUCCGAAAAAUAUAGAUGAUUGUGAGGAGUAGGAACAAAUCUCUAGAUAUGCCUCUUCGUAUUUCUACAUCGCUGAAAGAUAUGUUGUUAUCUAUGUUGGCAUGUGAGAUGUGUGACGUAACCCUAGUAGAAUGAGAUCUGGGAAUGGACUUGAUAAUGAUAGUUAUGUAUGACUUUGACGUCGUCAUAAGUAUGGACUAGCUCCAUAAGCAAUGGACUAGGAUGAGUGAUCUCUUGAGAUAGUGCUUGCCCAUGCGCCAAGGAUGAAACCAUGAGGCCUAGUAUGGGAUAGGCCAAAGCGGAUAAUAACUCUAUAAGUUAAUCCCUAUUGAAACGAGACCCUUCAGUAAACGUGUAGUUUGGGUUCAAACCAGGCGAAAGCUGGUGUACCUGUAACGUCCCGGUUUGAUGAGGGCGGGGAGUGGACGCCGAGGUCAGAGGACCUGAACAAGGAGCGGCUCCUGGCAGGCUUCUAGAAUGACAAAAGGGAACAGGAGUGAACCGAACUAUGAACUGAACUGGAAAGGUAGUGUUUCUGGGAUAAGUUUAUUAGAGUGGCGCAGCUGAAGCAUGGUUAAGUUUGUAGAACUCUUGCUUGUGAAAAAGAAAGACGGAUCGAUGCACUUGUGUAUUGGUUAUAGGCAGCUGAAUUAGGUGACCAUUAAGAAUAAGUACUCAUUAUCUAGAAUUGAUGACUUAUUUGACCAACUGCAAGGAAGUUCGGUCUUUUCUAAAAGUUGACUUGAGAUCAAGAUAUAAGUUAAGGAUUGAGAAGGAAGACAUUCCUAAGACCGUAUUUAGGACUCGCUACGAACACUAUGAGUUCCUAGUUAUGCUAUUUGGAUUGACGAAUGCCUUAGCUGCAUUCAUGGAUUUAACAAGCAGGAUACUUAAGCCUUAUUUGGAUCAAAUUGUGAUUGUCUUCAUUUGAUGAUAUCUUGAUAUAUUCUAAAGGACUUGAAGGACAUGCGUAGCACCUAAGCGUAGUGCUGCAAGCAAGGCUUAAGAAGUGAAUUAUGGAUAGUAAGUUAUGAAUUUGAGGAUUAAGUUAUGAUCAUUUGAGCUAAGUAGUGACUUCCUAUUUGAGGAUUUCAUUGGAAGUCUUGAUGCGUUACAUGGAGGUAUUUAAUAUGUAUAGAUUGAUCUUGGAAGUCAUGUGUUUGAGUGGUCAUAUGAGACAUGAAAUUAUUUGUGGUUUAUAUGUCAAAUAAUAGGUUUAAUCGAUAGUGGUCAACUUUUAAUUUUAGGUGAUGAUCUCAGUUUGAAAGGAUUUGGUGGAAUUAGUGAAUAUGAUCAUUUGUGGUUAUAGUCUUUUCAAGGUGAAAUGGUGGAAGUUCAAAUUGUGGAUUUGAUGAAUGAUUAGUCUAAGUGAUGAUCAUUUAGGAUGAGAUAUGAGAUAUAUUCGGUGGAAACUAGGCAAGUUUUAUUUUGGUGGAUUGUCGAUCUUUGAAUUGAAUAAGUCUUGGUGGACUAUAGAUAUUUGAAUCGAAGGAAUGAUGCUAUAUUUUAGGCUUGAAUCUAUGUUGCGGUGAAUGCGUAGUGAAUGUCUUUGUUGGACUGAACCAAAUGAGUUAUUGGUGGUGUUGAUUUUGAUGGUUCUAGGCUUGAAUUGGUGGUGACAAAGGUAUAGGAAUAAUUUGGCUAAAUGGUGCGUUCGAUUGAGUCGAGAAGGUGGAAUUCUUUAAAUUUGAAUCUCAUUGAUAGUUGCACUUAGGAUAGAGCUUGAAAUAGAUGUUUUCACAAAAGGAAUUGAAUAUGAGAUAGAGGAGGUGGAUGGAAUUAUUAAAAGAUCUCGAUUGUGAACUGUUUAAGAAAAUCUCUUGAAUUUCAUCAAAAUUUAUGAGUAUUGUGACAUCGUGCCCAAAUGUUUUAGAAAUGUUUUCUAUUUCAAGGAUUUCUGAACUUUUUAUAGAAAACAUUCCAACCCAUUGGAGUUGGGAUUGAGAUUGGAAUUUACCAACGUACUGAUUUAAAUUUACUAAGGGUUUUGAUAAAGUAUUUUAUUUCGCGCCGUGAUGCAAGUACGACUCAAGGCUUUACAUGUGGAUUUCGAAAAAAAAACAUUUGAAAUUUAGGCGUGAACAUGAAUUUUAUGGAUUUGGUAUCAUGCUUUGAUUUUGUGAAUUGGUUUCAAUAAUAUGAGAUUUACCUAUUUUCAAAUACUAUCAUUGUUAUACCGAUGUGUCUUUGAAAUCCCUGUUUUGCAUUAUUUGAUAUCAUGAGGUGGAAUUUUCGAGAACUCAAGGAUUUUCCACAUUGAUGAUUUGAAAACGUUUUGACAUGGAAAUGGCAUAUGAUUUCAAAGCUUGCUGUUGUUGUUGAAUACUUUUGAAAACUUCAGUUCGUAUUGUUUGAUUUCAUGAAGGAAGAUUUUCAAGCGUUCAAAAGGAAUUUCAAAUGUGGUUAUUGUUUUAAAAUUGUUUUGGUGUUGAGAUAAAUUAAGAAAUGUUAAGAGCCUGCAUCCUUGACUUUAAAGGAAGUUGGGAUGAAAAGUUAUACCUGGUAGAAUUUGUGUACAGCAAUAGCUUUUAGAAAAGUAUAGGCAUGUGCUGAGGAAGUAUUAGUUAGACCCUGGUCACAUACUCGAUCAUGAAGCCAUCAAAGUGGAUAAGAGAGUGAGGUAUAUCGAAGAGCCUGUGCUGAUAUUGGAUCGGAAUGAACAAAUUCUCAGGACCAAGAGAAUUCCAUUGGUUAAGAUAUUAUGGCGACAUCAUGAUGUGGAGGAAGCCACAUGGGAGAGUGAAAAUGAGAUGAGGGAAAGGUACCCUCACUUAUUUCAAGAGACAUAAGGAAUGUCUAAUUUCGAGGACGAAAUUCUCUAAGGUGGGGAGAAUUGUGGCAUCCCAGAAAUUCAAAGCCAAGCCUUAAGGUGUGUUAAAGUCUUUAAUUAGGUGUUAAAUUUCCAUGGCUUAUGUUUUAGCCAUUAGUCUUUUUAAUUCGAUGAUUUGUGCUUGUGAUUGUGGAAAUUUAGAUUUAAUAGAUUAAUAAUCUAUGCUUGGCCUUAUGAUUUAAAUUUCAAUGAGCAAGAAUAUCCCAAGACUUUGGCCAAGAUGAAAAUUGGAAUUCAAAAAUAUUUAUAUUUCAAAAAAAAAAAAAAGAGGGAAAAGGAAGGUUAUUUUCGAAAUGGGCCUUGGGCCCAUUAGCCUAAAGCUUGGUGGGCCAAGCUUGUCGGCCCAUUAGAGCCCAAGAAGGAGAGAAUUCGACCAGCCCAAGGGGAGUGGCCGGAUGGGCCUAAGCCCAAGCCCAAAUCAAUUCAAAAAUUAGUGUGACAAGUGGCAUGAAGGAAUGGCAUGCAUUGGUGGGAUUGUAGGCAAAGCAAUGAUUACUAAUCAUGGGCUUUAGGGAGUAUAAAAAGAGAGAGAGAAGAGGAGUGGCCGGUUCUUCUUUCUUCAUUUGGCCGAGAGAGUGUGCGAGAGAGAGAGAGAUUUUGAGAGAAAGAGGGAGAGGCCGAGAGGAAGAGGAAGGAGGGAGCCGCCCGUUCGCCGUGUCCCGCCGUCCGUCCGCCCGAUUCGCCGCCGUGUGCUCGUCGUUUGUUCAUUUUGGAGGCAAGUGGAGUCCAUAACUUCUCUUGCAUGUUUGUUGUGGUGUUUGCGUGUUAUAUUUUAGGUAUGAUUCGUGCGAAGACCAAGGUAAGAGUUGGUUAUUUGUAAACCGUGUGACUGUUCUUGUUCGGUUUGCUGGAGUCAGUAGCUUGUCCGAGCUUGCAUGUGUAUUUGGAGUGCGAUUUUGGCUUCGGUGUCUUCAUGAAAGUUGAAGCUAACAUCUUUUAGUAUGACAUACUCGAAUUUCAUGGAAAACGAUGGUGAUAUGUGGGGUCAAAAUCUUUGUUAUACGGAGACCUCAGAUCUGCGAAAUCUUCACUGACCUUUUGUUGAUUUCUUGGUUGCAUGUUGAUUUCUGUUGGAGAUCUCACCUUGUUGUAUUCUUUAAAGUUGUAGGAAACACCUUAAGCUACAACAUACUCAAAUUUGAAGCAAAAAUAACAAGUAUAACUUGGUGAAUCUGUUAGAUCUUGGAGAUGGUUGAUUCUGGUGAGGUGUACCGAGACACCCGAGAAUUCAUUGGUUAAAAUGGUGACCAUAAUCUGGUUAUUUGACCUAUAUCCCUUCAUGAAAAUUGUAAUGGACAUAUUUUUACAUAACAUAAUUAAAUUUCAGAAGGAACGAAAGAGAUUUGAUGGGUGAAAUCUAAGAAAUACGGAGGAGUGUGUUCUGGACGUCGCGGUAGAGAUUCCAGAAGCUUCGUAGGGCUAUAUAAAUUAAUAUAAAAAUAAUUUGGCUUAAAGUUCUGAAUUAAAAAGGUACGGAAAUGUGUUGGCUAUCACCCUGUAAAAUUUGGGAAUUUUCGAAGCCAUAUGAGUAUUUUAAUCGAAUUAAUUUGAAAACUGUGCAGUGGGUUUAAAUNNNNNNNNNNNNNNNNNNNNNNNNNNNNNNNNNNNNNNNNNNNNNNNNNNNNNNNNNNNNNNNNNNNNNNNNNNNNNNNNNNNNNNNNNNNNNNNNNNNNNNNNNNNNNNNNNNNNNNNNNNNNNNNNNNNNNNNNNNNNNNNNNNNNNNNNNNNNNNNNNNNNNNNNNNNNNNNNNNNNNNNNNNNNNNNNNNNNNNNNNNNNNNNNNNNNNNNNNNNNNNNNNNNNNNNNNNNNNNNNNNNNNNNNNNNNNNNNNNNNNNNNNNNNNNNNNNNNNNNNNNNNNNNNNNNNNNNNNNNNNNNNNNNNNNNNNNNNNNNNNNNNNNNNNNNNNNNNNNNNNNNNNNNNNNNNNNNNNNNNNNNNNNNNNNNNNNNNNNNNNNNNNNNNNNNNNNNNNNNNNNNNNNNNNNNNNNNNNNNNNNNNNNNNNNNNNNNNNNNNNNNNNNNNNNNNNNNNNNNNNNNNNNNNNNNNNNNNNNNNNNNNNNNNNNNNNNNNNNNNNNNNNNNNNNNNNNNNNNNNNNNNNNNNNNNNNNNNNNNNNNNNNNNNNNNNNNNNNNNNNNNNNNNNNNNNNNNNNNNNNNNNNNNNNNNNNNNNNNNNNNNNNNNNNNNNNNNNNNNNNNNNNNNNNNNNNNNNNNNNNNNNNNNNNNNNNNNNNNNNNNNNNNNNNNNNNNNNNNNNNNNNNNNNNNNNNNNNNNNNNNNNNNNNNNNNNNNNNNNNNNNNNNNNNNNNNNNNNNNNNNNNNNNNNNNNNNNNNNNNNNNNNNNNNNNNNNNNNNNNNNNNNNNNNNNNNNNNNNNNNNNNNNNNNNNNNNNNNNNNNNNNNNNNNNNNNNNNNNNNNNNNNNNNNNNNNNNNNNNNNNNNNNNNNNNNNNNNNNNNNNNNNNNNNNNNNNNNNNNNNNNNNNNNNNNNNNNNNNNNNNNNNNNNNNNNNNNNNNNNNNNNNNNNNNNNNNNNUAUGCAUGGUAAUGCAUGGCUAAUGAUGAUAUGAUGUGAUAUGCAUGGUGAUGCAUGGCUAAUGACGAUAUGAUGUGAUAUGCAUGGUGAUGCAUGGCUAAUGAUGAUAUGAUAUGCAUGGUGAUGCAUGGCUAAUGAUGAUAUGAUGUGAUAUGCAUGGUGAUGCAUGGCUAAUGAUGAUAUGAUGUGAUAUGCAUGGUGAUGCAUGGCUAAUGAUGAUAUGAUAUGCAUGGUGAUGCAUGGCUAAUGAUGAUAUGAUAUGCAUGGUGAUGCAUGGCUAAUGAUGAUAUGAUGUGAUAUGCAUGGUGAUGCAUGGCUAAUGAUGAUAUGAUGUGAUAUGCAUGGUGAUGCAUGGCUAAUGAUGAUAUGAUAUGCAUGGUGAUGCAUGGCUAAUGAUGAUGUGAUAUGCACGAUGAUGCAUGAUUGUAUGCGCAUGGCCGCAAGGUAAGUUAUGCCUGCUAUGCAUGUAUGAUGAUAUGCAUGAUGCAUUGAGUUGUUAUUGGAUUUCCCUAUCUGCUGAGUGGUUGUACUCACCCCUUUUGGGGAUAACAUUUCAGAUUAGUAGAGGGUUUGAACGGUUGGAUGUGACCGUGAGGAGGAGGAUAGCAAGGGAAGGAGCUUUUGGACGCCGACACUGAUCGAUGGACUUAAAAUGUAUGACUGUUUGAGGAAACAUCGGUCAUCUUUUGGAGUGUAGCCGAAUAUAGAAGACUAUGACAUUUCGAUGUACUGAUGAAUGAUGUCCAUCUGAUUUAAGUAAAUAAAAAGUGUACGGCCUUUACCUAUAAAUUUUUGGUAGGUGUGCAUUGUUUUUGAAUAUAAGGAAGGGAGUUGUUGGAUGUGCUUCCGCAUAUAAAUUGCGCAAGGGACCGAUCGAAUAAAAAAAAAAAAAAUGUAAACCCUCCAGUUGUAUGGACCCGCUGCAUUUGAAAUGGUAUCAGAGUAACAUGUUAAUAGGGCAAGUGAAAGGUAGUGCGGACUGUGGCGACCCUAAUGGAUCGGGGGCCGUCGAGGGGUGCCACAAUGAAGAUAAUGGUAUAGAACAUCCCUAAGACCAUUAUCAUCUUCUAAGCAUCUCAAACUAUCUCUUAAGUCUUUCCUAGGAAUACAAUACAGCAGCUUCUGAACUUUACAAGACAAAUAAGUCUUUAUAUCCCUAAGAAAUCCUAUAUAAGAUGCCUUCUUUAUAUCCACAAAGAUGGUACCCUCAUUUCCACCCUCAUACUCCCACUCAUCCUCCCCAAUCACAAAUUCCCCAUCGUAGCAAAUUAUGACAGUGACAUAAUCCUUGUCAUAAGCCAUUACUGCACCAAGAACAAGAAAAAGAAUCGUUAGUUUUUGGGACCACUAAACAAUUGCAUAUGGGAGUCCCCCCACUCUCAUGGACUUUAGUAAAUAGAGGUCCCCACACUGACAAUAUGCCCCUACAUGACAGCCAAAAAAGAGGUCGGCACUUUAAUUAUUUGCCUUCCAUUUCCUUAAAAUAUUAACAAAAAACAAAGGUCCAUACAACAAUCACAACCCAAGCAAUUUUGUCUACUGCACUAAACUUGCGAUGUGAGAGAAUGUAUAUCAACUUAACCAAAUCAAAGCAUACUCUGACAUCAACUUAAUCAAAUCACAGCCGCUGACUCCUACAAAUUUCUUUAGAAGUUUAAACUAAAAUUAGAACAACUAAACUUGGAAGCAUUUUAUGUCGCUAAAGCUAAAGAAAAACAAAGAGAAAAUGAAGCACAGAUAGAUCACUCCAAAGUCUUAGACUAUCCUAACCCAUAACAAAUUUGGACAAGUAGGUAAUACCUUUCUCAAAGAAGACUGACGCAAGCUGCAGAGCCAAUUCCAGGAAAUAGCUUCACCAAAACAUGCUUCAAUACCCUUUCAAGUUCUUAUUCUUCCUACUUGAAACUUUUUCUUAGUUUGUAACUUUACCAAUAAAAUUCUAGCUACAGUUGUUAUGUUCUCAUUCAGGAUUUUAGAUUGAUAAACAUACCCUAUACAGCCUCACAAGCAGGGUGGUUCAAGGACUUAAUUUUCUUCUCGGAGAUGCAUUAGUCACCUGCUUUAUUAGGAUGCUCUUAAGGAGAUGCAUAGCCAGUGACUCAACAAUCAAAGCAUACUCUAACAUUGGCUUGAAAGAAAAAUUCACGAAAAUAAUGAGAAAUCUAGUCUCUUUGUGUUAUGUCAGCAAGUUUCAGUUGAAGUAUAUCAACACAAAUUCCAUCGGAGCUGUAAUAAAAUAAUCAAGCCCUAAUAAAAUAAUCGAGCAAGUCCUAAUUAAAUAAUCGAGCCCUAAUAAAAUAAUCGAGCAAGUCCUAAUUAAAUAAUCGAGCCCUAAUUUUAUCAUAGGGGAGGAGGAGAAGGGGCCGAACCUGGACGAGCGACGAUGGUGAGCGGUGACGACGACCAACGAUGGUGAGCGGUGAGCGGCGACGGCGACCAACAACGGCGACUAACGACGGCGACCGAUGACCAGCUCUAGGCAUGAACAGUGACUGAGAGAAGAGCCUGAUCUACUAUGAACGCGGACGGGGAGGAACAGCGUUUGGAUCAAUGCACAAUGACCUAAACGACGUCGUUUAGGUCAGCGCACUCAAUGUGGAUGGACGACAUCAUUUUUGUCGUCCAUGUCGGCUUUUUUUUUUUUUGAAAAAAAACAUUUGCCACUUCAGUAAAAGAAGUCACCAGAAAUCGCCAGAAAAUGCCACAUAUGCAAUUUGGCCGGAUUUCGGCCGAAUUAGCACUCAAGUGAUCCAUUUUGCUCCGAUUUUGGCACUUAAGUGUACCUUUCGUAAGUUAUAGCACUUAAGUAUCCCUUUGUGCAAAGUUGUGGCACUCCAGGGGUCCGCACGUCUACUUUCCUAUCAAUAGUAUAGCGUCUCUCCAUAUUCCAGUAGUACUCGUGAUCCCGGCCUUCUCUUCUUGUUUUCUCGGUCCUUGAAAAUUUUAAUUGUAGUCUCUUCAAAACGAGCUCGUCUAAGACUGCUCAUGCAUCGUUUGAUUUAAUACGUGGUUUGCACUGGUAGUGGACCACAAUAAUUUAUUUUGUUGGUAAUAUUUAUCGUUUCGUCAUAUUAUUAAUUGUCGCUGUCACUAUUUCUGCACUUAUUAUGCAUCAUGAAAGAAUACAUUGAUGACAUGAAGAUUUGGAAAUAAAUUAAUAAAGCAGGUUAAUCUCACAGUAGAUUCGGCUAAGAAUGGAAAUAUCACAUAUGCACAUUUUACAUGCAUACAAUCAUAUAUACGAUUACCAUCUUGGUGCAUAUGAUCGAACACAAAGCUACUACGUCUAUAAGAGUUUCUUCUCUAGAUUGGCAAUAAAUCCUAGAGAACGAAUGAUAAAAUUAAACAAUUUUAGAUUCCUGUAUAUCUAUACAUCAUUAAGUUUUUUGGCUACAUGAUACUCUUGUCAAGAAUACAAAAUAUAAUCUCAUAAUCUUAUACUCGUGUCGACAAGGAGAGCAGAUACAUAAUAAGUAGGAAGAACAAAAGAACAAAAGUUUAUAAAACCAGACUAGUGGUUCAACCAGUCAAACUUGAGAGCCGUACUCUACUAGUUCAACCAAUUGAACCGAUUGCAUGUGAUGUUAUUUGAUAGAAUAUGCAUGUUCAGAACAAAAGGAGCCCCGGUCACUCGGCAGAGCCGCUUGAGCAAAAAAGACUGGAUUCCGGUUCUCAAAAGCAUUGUCUUAAUUUCUAAUAGACUAAGCCAAUACAAUCAAUAAAUAAAUUAUCCGCCACAAAAAGGAGCAAGAAGACACGCGGAGCAAAUGGGUGGCAUGCCUGUUAGUAACCAGAGGUUGGAGUUCCAAACCCCAACCCAUUUUCUUGAGAGAGAUAUCUACAACUCAUCUAAAGGAAUUACUUUCGAGAAAGAUAUCCACGUUCUUUCUAAUGGUAUGGAGAAUACAAUAUACAUGUGUCACGGUUCAUUUUGUACAUAAAGGAAAUGGCUAGAUCUCUUAUAAUGAUUUUAAAGAAUUGAUUUCAAGGGACAAAUUGUAAAAAUAGUAGCCGCUGUGACGCAAGAUGAAGAGUUGAAGAGUUGAAAACGCUUUUAGAGUUGAUUCCCCAUGUCAUGUGCUGCAGUAGUAUAUCGAAUAUCAGUCGCCCAAUGUACUUCAUAUUCUACAAAGUAGGCCGAGGUGAUGGAUAGGAAGAUGCUGAACAGAUCAGAGAUACUGGUCAAGAUCGUCAAAUUUACAAGCAUGAUAACCCAAACAAAGGGAGUUCCACAUAUGAGAGUUGCGUAUAUGUGUUUAACCAAAUCAAAAUAGGGACUUCCAUUACUACUCCCUCUCGGGUAAAUUAUCCAAAAAGUCCUAAACCUAUUGCAUUUUUGCUAAUUUAGCUGUAAACUUUUCAAUUUUAUCAAUUAAAUCCUAAACAUUUUCAUCUUUUACCAAUUGAAUUCAUCUAGUCAAUUUUGACCGGAAUUUGCUAACGUGGAUGGUAGGCACUGAAAUGAUACUUUUUAAAUAAUAUUUAAAUAAUAUUUUGAAUUUUUUGUUGGUUUUUUCUUUUCUUUUCUUUUUUUACUUUUUUUGCUUUUAUUUUUGGGUUUUGGAGGGCUGGCGAGGGCACCCGGUUGACCUAGCUCGAGGGCUCAUGUGCCCUCGCUUUGGCUGGCGGAGGGUGCUGUGGCCUUCGCCGGCCUAACUCCAAAACCCAAAAAAAAAAGCAAAAAAAGUAAAAAAGAAAAGAAAAGAAAAAACCAUUAAAAAAAAUCAAAAUAUUAUUAAAAAAGUGACUUCAGUGUCAGCCGUCCACAUUAGUAAAUUCUAACCAAAAUUAGUCUAAUAGACUCAAUUGACAAAAUAUUAAAAUGUUUACGACUCAGCUGGCAUGAUUAAAAUGUUUAUAACUAAAUUGGCAAAAACGCAAUAGAUUUAUGACUUUUUGAACAAUUUUCCCCUUCCUCUCUCUCAUAGGCAAACUAUGCUUGUGGAACUAUUCUGAGUUCGAGAUGAAACACAUUAUAAGAUAAGAGUAUAUAUGACAGUCAAUUCCACAAGGGAUUAGAAUGGACAGAGACCACGGAAUUUGCCAAAGUCACUCGCCCUCACCAUCCAUUGGCAAAAGGAAAAGGGGAAAAAAGAAGAAGAAAAAAGUCAGAAAAAUAAGAAAAAAUUGUAAACAUUAUACACGUAAGUAAUUUCCGCUCAAAAUUUGACUUGAUGAAUUACAUUGGCAAAUCCUCAAAAAGUUCAUAAUUCAAUUAGCCAAAUUUGAAAGUUUAGGACUGAAUUGGUGGAAGCACAAUAGGCUUAAGACUUUCUUGGUAAUUUCUCCUAAUAUUGUGUGCCAAACAUCCAAAACUCAUUUGGCUUGAAAGGAUGUCAAGUGUUUCCACACUUGAAUAGCUAAAACUCACUUUCACUUAGGUGAUGCCAAGUGGAUAUUGACAGGAUAUUUUUACCACUAAGUAGAUAAGAAAAGAUGUAAUAAGCACACCGCGACAUGUUUCUGUAUGUAUUUUUAUCAAUAGAUGACUAGAAGAUCCAAUUAGAAAAGAAGAUUAGUUGGUUAAACUAAUAUGAGGGCAUUUAGGUGCCCCAUCAUCAUUAAUAAAGUUAUUUGUUUGUGUAUAGAUAAGCUUUGUUGCCUUCUUAAGUGGCUAAUUUUCUGAUCAGAGUCCCAUGUAUUAAGUGUUGCUAGUGUGCUGCUAUCCAUAGGCAAUAAAGCUAUUUUUCGGAACACCCACUGUUAAGACAUGAUGCUAAGUUACCUUGAUAUUCCCCAAUCAUUCGGACGGUUAGUUUAAUAAUGAUGUUGAGUUACAAAUGAUCAUUCAUUCUAUUGUUACUAAGAAUAGUGGCAGAAGUAUAUUUUAUGAGGCCCUACAAUGGCUAUAAAUAGAAGGUUUAGCCAAAAGUGUCUGGCAUGAUAGACACAAGUUAUCUUCUUAGACAUUUCCUAUUAAUAGUAGAGCGUCUACCUUAACCAUACUUCUUUUCCUAGCCUUCUCUUCUUAUUUUCUCGGUCCUCGAAACUUUUAACGACAAUUUCUCCAAAACAAGCUUGUGUAAAAUAGGUCAUGGAAUUUAAAGUUUACAUGGGAUUUGCACUGGCAGCAAACCUAUUAACAAUCAUUUAGGAAGAAUACAUUGAAGACGUGAUGAUGCCCUUUAUUAAGGAUACAAAGUCCAUUUACGAUGCUGUAGACAGAAUCUCAUGAUCUUAAACCUACCAUCUAUUUGAGGGCUCCAAAUAUCUGAGAUUGGAAUACAGGCUACAUUCUUUAUUGCCAAACUGAAACCAUAUAUCUGGCUAGUCAUGUUCCCCGCAAGAAUGCAUUAUCUACACCGGAUCGAAUGCGUCACUUAACAAUGACACGUGGAGAGGAGCAAGUCAAUUUCGGGUAAAAGAUCUCAACAUUCAAAUGCAGAGUUCGCUAGUCGAGUACACCGCCUGAACCAUUCAGCCCAAAGUGUAGAUAAUCCAAACCAAACAAUUGGUUCUCUUACACAUGAAAAUAGUGAACAUAUACAGAUGAAGCAAAAGCUUGGCACUAUCGAGCAUGUCUCAAAGCUUACAGCAAUACCAUGACAACAGUUACCAUCAGAUAGAAGCCAUGAUUCAGCAUCUUUCGGUCAAUUCUAUCCCACUCGAUAGAUAAAUCGCUACAUUUUACUCCACUUUUUUUUAUCGGCAAAUACCUGCCUAGCCGAAAAGGCACAUGGCAGGUAUGGAUUAAGACUUCUCCAAAAAGGGUGAAGUCGAAGAGCAUCAGUCAGAAAGCCCACAUGUAUUGCUUCUCACACCAAUGUUUGCAGCUCCAAGUAUGAGAGGUCCACCCACAGCAGCAACAUAAGCAUAACCACCACAAACUCUUGAACAGACAGUCAUUCUGAAUCAGAGAUUUCUUCUUCAUACUCGUCCAGUAUGUAGAUCAGGGCCCACUUUCUUGCAGCUAAAACACAAGCCACACCUCUACCUCCCAUUGCCAAAAAAAAGAUCAACUUGAUUUCAGUCCAGUGUUCCUUGAAUGUAUGGCCAUAACUAACAUGAUGUUUAGAUACCUUUGUUGGGUAAAAGUAAUAUUACAACGCAUGCAUUACGCUAAAACACAGGCAGGAAGCAAACCUUAAUUGCCUAAAGAGGCUACAGCUUGCAUGUAACUAUGAAUGCUCCACAGUAUCUUGCUACACUAGAUGCCAUGAUAGUAUCUAUGGUCAUGAACUUGUAAAUAGUGGUUCUCAGUCAGUAACUCAAGACUGCUAUGCACCUCCCAUGAGAGAAUGAUUAUUCAUUUUGUAUUUGUCUGGUGACUAUUAAAUCAUUUCGCACUUUGUCCUCUCAAUUGAUUUAAAAUUUAGGGGAAAACUAAUACUUCAUUUUUUUUACUUCUUCGACUAAAAAAUAUUCUUCUUUGGAGCAUAUUUUUGCACUUCUUCAAUCUAUAGGGACAAACAUGAAGUGGUCUGUUAAAGAGGCACAGUGUACCUAAGCCAGUCACAUUUGAACUUAAUAGAAGGUUCUAAGUGGAAAUGUAGUAAGGAGCAUGGACAGGAUUAAUUCAAUUCCAAUACCCAGCCAACGAGAUAAAUUUGUUACCGACACUGGCAAGUUUAUUAAACAUUGAUCACUAAGGAAAGAGUAUGGGCAACAAUAAGUUUCCAGACAUCCAAAACUGCAAAUGGACAUGGCAAGAAGCCCAAAGAAAAACACUUCAGAACUAUACAAUUGAUGGCAUAGCAAUGAAUUGAUCCUUAGCUUGAUGGUAUGACUGUCAAAAUGUUCUUACCACCAACUGACAAGGGAGAACUACAGGACGGGGAAUGCUGCGAAGCUUCUCAUUCUCCAUCUCCAAGGGUAAGAUAUGGUCCUAGAUGUGCAGUUUCACAGGAUUAGUGUUUCAGAAGUGAGAAUAAUACAACCGAGCAAAAAUAUCCUAACAAAAUACAAGCAAAAAGGGCACUACUAAACCAUUAGGGCCAUCAAAGACACAUUUCUUAACCUACAUACAAGGCUCCAGCUGUCAAGGCAUGUUGGAACUUUUUGCAGUUACAGUAAGGUAGAAAGUAAAACAUCCUUUGAUAUCGCAAGCAUGUAAUGACAUGUGUAUGCAUCAUGCACAUAGGAGGAAGAACUAAGCUGCUACUAAUCGUGCUGAUGAGAAGAGCAGAUAAAUAAUAAAUAGGAACAAUAAAAGAACAAAUGUUUUAAAACCAGAACAGUGGUUCAACCAAUCAAAGUGGUAGAACCUACUCUUCCAGUUCGACCGACUGAACCAAUUGCAUGUGAUGUCAUCUGAUAGAAUACUUUGCAUAUAUUAGAUUACACACUUUUAGAACAAAAGAAGCCCAGUGAGUUGGCAGACAUUGUAGCAUCUUAAUAGAUUACACAUGCUUGAUGUCAUCUUAAUAGCAUCCUGUUCAAUUUUAGAUUAGGCCAAUAUGGUCAAUAAAUAAAUUAUCCACCACGAUUGUAGCAAGAAAACACUAGAGCAAAUGGUUGGCACACUUGUUAGUUACAAGAGGUUGGAGUGCCAAACCCCAACCCAAUUCCAACAUUACUCCUUUAAACUUUUUUAUGCCUGAGAGUUGGUCCAGACAAGUUGACAGGUUUGCUGGGUAUCAGUUGAUAGGUACACCUGGUUACCGGUUGAACAGGGUCAAUACCACCAGUUCUUGAUCAAUACUAUUUUUGCUGGGAAACCAGACUGGACUGGUCUGGUUCCCAGUCCAACCAGAGCCACUUCUUAAAACUCUGACAUGAACAGGAGUCAACAUAAAAGCAUGAUAUGCUACUUUUUCCCUUUUGCCAUCAAUGUCUUAAAUAGUGAAUUGACAUGAUUGGAAUAAAACUCUAGAUAUCAUGAGUAAGAAAUCAAUAUGCAAGCUCUAAAUCCAUGAGUUACCUUCAACUGGUACAAAGCCCAGUUAUUUGCACGUGUGGUUCCUGCAAUAUGCACAAAUGGAAGGUCACUAGCCUGCAGGAUUGUCAUCUUGGCAUCUCCCAAGUUUUCACCUGUGUCAUUCAUCUUAUUUAGCAACAUAAUAAUUUGAUGUUCCUGCUUCCAACAGAACAUAUUAGCCAUACUUGCAAAUUUGGGCCACAGAAUAUGAUAUACAAAGCUUUUACCUCAGAUAGAGUCUAAUCCACACAGCAAUGACCAAGAGGGAUGCACAACAAGAUCCUUCCAAAGAUCUUCCCUUCUUCACAUUUGCUUGAAUCAUUCAUAAGUCCACUCACUACCACUAUACGAUUUGUUACAUCUAAAAAAGACUCUUCAUGUAUUUGGAAGGAAAUAUACUCUGAAGCAAAUUUGAAGUCAUCCUGCAAUACCAUACAGAGUAAAAAUUAGCAUGAAAAAACAGUUGGACUCAGCACAUGUGGAUCUCUGGAUAAUAUUUGUAGUUUCAUAUUAAAGGUAUAUACCCUAUAGAAAGACAGUGAAUUGGGAAUAUAUUUGGUGGAUGCUAAAACUAACAUAAGAGGGAAUUGUAGCAAUAAAUUCUUACAAAGUAUCAUUUUUCAAAAUAGAAGAGAAGGCAUAUGGGCAGCUUCCUUGAAAAUGUGGUUAUCAAAUUAGUUUCUAAUCAGGAAACAUGAGAUACAGUAUUUCCAUACACGAGGAUCAUAAGUUAAACACAGAGCGCAAAUAAAAUCGCCCAACUAAAGCUUCGAUGUACAUUGUUAAGUAAUUGUUAGAAUAUUUAAAUAAUAAACCACACCUUCAUCUAUCAGCUUAAGCUUUUAGAAUAGUUGGUAGUGGUCCACAAAAUUUCACAUGGUAUCAAAAUUAGAAGAUCCUAAGUUCAAAUCUUCCAGACCCCUAUUUGUCUCCCCAAUUAAAUUUCCAUGCUUAGUACUAGGCAAAAAGACCAGACUAAGCGUGAGGGGGAGUGUUAGAAUAUUUAAAUAAUAAAUCAUGCCUUCAUCUAUCAGCUUAAGCUUUUAAAACAGUUGGCAGUGGUCCCACAAAAUCUCACAGUAAUCAAACAUCAAAUACGAAAAACUAGAUUAUUAGACAAAGGGUAAGUGAAAAACCAUUGUUAAGGACAACCUCCAGAAGACAACUCCUAACGCCCAAGGGUUUCCUUUUCUUUCUCUCCUUCUCUCAUUAUAGUCUCAAGGUUCUGGCCACUAAGACAAGGAAAUGAAAAAUAUAGGACAACUUUAUGGUAAUAGGCAUUUGGAUAGAAAUAUCUACAAACCCAUUAACAGAAGUCUUGAAUUUGCUAAACGAGAAAUGAAUAUUUCAGCUCAAAUAAUUGAUGAGUCAGGUAAAGCCAAAAGCACAAACUUCUAAUUAAAGGAUUGCAAUAUUUACAUAAAACCAAUUUUAAGCCCAGGUCUCAUACUCAAACUCCUGUUACACACAGAGAUCUAGAAUUUCACAUUUGGUGCACAUAUCAGCAACGAGGACCAGAUUUUAAGGGGGGAAAAGCUACUUAAUAGAGAGAUUCAUGGCAAAACAGAUUUUCCUCAGAAAUCGAUUUGGAAAGUGAGAAUUCCAAUUAGAGUCUCUUUUUGCUUGGGAAGCAACCUGGGAACAAAUCCUUACUUUAUAAAUGAGACAAAAUACUGGUUAAUAGGUGUUUCCUCAUCAAAAGGAGGCAGAGUCCGCACGACAUCCCCUCCUUCAUUGUUCUUGGAAAGAAUGGUUUGGACAGUUUCCUAUGCUUGUGCCAUGUUACAGAGGUUUUAUUGAGCAAGAACUUUGGGCAUGGCAAGGCAUUCAUUUAUAGCACAACAAGUGGGAUUAACGCAAUUCCCCUGUUUCUUUUGGCUAAUUUGGAAGGCAUGGAGCAAGAGAGCUUCUGAUGGAGAGAAAUCAUUUGUUCCAUUUUAUGGAAAUUUGGCUUAAAGUCACACACUUUUGGUAUAGUGCAGACUUGCAUAUGGAUGUAAAUGCCCUGGUUGAUUAGUCGAUGAUUCACCCGGUAUUUGAGCUCCCUUUUGGAUUUGGGAGUUGUUUUGUAUAUGGCUUUAGUUUUUUGGGCUCCUUUGGUAUAUGGGUUGCACCCCAUAGGUGCCCUACAGGUGAACUAUAUAAUAUAUAAGAAGAAACUUCACACUUUUUGAGGAUUUUAAGUUAUUCCAAUUGCCCUUUAUUCCAACACAUGUUAUCUCAUCAUAUAAUUUCAAGUACCAACAUCAACAUCUCACUUUUUUGCGAGUAACGUCACCAUGACAAAAGGGUGCCGCUACUACUAAAAGUCAGAUUGAAAAAGUUCAAAAGAAACGUUAGAUCCAAAGAGCUACCAACACACUUCCAAAAAAGAAGCAAUACUAGGGACUGAGAGUAGCAUACAAAACUGAUUUGAAGAGGAAAAAUGCGAGUAUAAUGCAUUAGUAGGUCUCAAACACCUAAUAUGAAUCUAUCUGACAUGCAACUUAGUAAAACCAAUUUCAAUACUAGGAGUUGACAUCCUCAGCAUUGGUCUGCCAAAAAAGAGGUGGUAUAUCAAAAAUCGUGAUCUAAAGAUAAAAAUAAUAAUACAAAAUAAUCAAUCUCACAACUAAGUACUAAACAAAUGAUUAAGAUCAGAGGCUCUCAUAACCAUGGUUACGCAUCACAAAUUAGAUCCAUGUAGGCUCCAUUCACUGUCAUCCGAGCACCCACUAAUUAGUUUUUUGCUCAUUUCUUUGAAGAUCUGAGUUUUCAUUCUCAUCCUUAGCUUGUUGACCAUAAACAUAACACAGGAAAGAAGAGUUUUACUAACUACAAUGAGUUCAAUGGGUGGAAUUUGGCAAUAUAAAUAAGUCUAACUUCCCCUAGGCUCUAAUAGUAAUAUCGAAGGGUACAAAGCUUUGAAUAUGAUUAUUUGGUAUAAAAAUUGACUCUCGCAAUUGUAAGGGGAUAUAUGCUAAGAUCGAAGUGGGCAAUAAACUCUUUCCUUUUAAAUUGAGAACAUAUCUCUACACUUGCUAAUUAUAAUGUGAACGUAUAAACAUUAUAUAUCCAAAUCUCCAUGUACAGUACACUCAAAGCUCAAACUUAGAUCAAGUUCAAGUUCAAACCAAUGAUUAAUGACCUACAAUUUCCAUUAUACGCUUAUAGGAGAUAUUGCCAACUUAUUGAAUCAGACUCAAAUCAGAUUUUACUUGAUCCUUUCCAGUCACUUAAUAUUAAUAAUUCAUAUCAUUGCAUACAAUAUGAUUGUAUGAAGAAUCAACAUCAGGAUGUUCUGAAAAAUAUGGCUUGUCUCAAGAUGUGCAGAAGAAUAAUUUCCUGUAGCAAAUUCCUAUCUCUAUCCGAUCACCUCUAAGAUUCACUGAGAUGCAUGAAGGAAAAAGGCCAGAUGCAAAGAUAAUAACGCACACCCACAGAUGAUUGAGGACAACCAACAGAAGUUCUUUUCCAGCACCAUAAACAACUUGUGAUACACACUUCAUACAUUAUCACUGAACAAACUAGCAGACUGAGAUCAUAAAAACCAACCAAAAAGGCCAAGGUCCUAUAGCAGCACCAAAGCUUAAAAAAUUAGCCAUACCACUUCAUCCAAAGAAUUAACACGAAACUGAUAGAUUGGAAAAUUCCUCAUGAGGGAAAGAGUCAAGACCUAGAUAAGCAAAUGAAAAUAGUUAAAUGAAGAAAAAAGAAACGCCAUCUACCACUCUGAAUUAAUAGUAUCACUUGCCAUGGUCACUAACAAGGUUCGACAGCAAAUCAAACUUCCUCUCGAAAUAUAUUAAUGGCAUCAGCCCACUGCUUAUGCAUUACAUACAAUGAUGCCUGGAUGACAUGAAGUAAUCUUCAAUGUUCAAAGCCUGUUAAGCAACUUGAUGAAGUCCAUUUUUUCUGUAGACAGAAAGAGAUUGAUAAUCUAAGGAGGCAUUUGGCUGAUGAAGAUUCUCAAAAGUCUGUUCUGAUUUCAAUUUGAGAAUUAAAACAGACCAGAAAAUGUGUUUGGUAACACUCCAAAAGCAGUUGACAAAUAAAAGGAAAACUAUUCUCAGAAUCAAAAUCACAAACUGAAGAUGACUUUUUUGUAUUUUGAUUCUAAAUGCAAACAUGGAGAUUUGGAAUAAAUAAGCAUGUUUUUGGAAUGUGAUGUAACCUGAGCAUAUUCUCACAAUUUUCAUCCCUAAUGACAUUAUUUUCACUAAACAAAUAUUUUGUCAACAAAACAUCGAAAACAGUUUCUAUGACAAUGGAAACUAAAGCUGUUCUCUAAAACUAAGCAGGCCUUAAGCAGUCGAGAACAAAAAUGACGAGUGACUCAUGCGACAAUGUUUAAAAUUUUGCAACAAAUUUGCCUCACAACUUUCAACAUCUGAACUACAUAGAUUUUUAGGGACUUUUUACUGAAAGAUAGACGAUACUUACAGGUUGAGUAGAAAUUUGAAGCAUGAACAAGAUAAUUUAGGCUUCCAAGUAUGAGGCAUCAUGUUGUUCAGCUGAUGGCAAACUCUUGAAAGUCAACUCAAGCAUUAAAAAUUAUCAGCAGGGAAGUUCUUCCAUAACGUAAAGUUUAAAGUUAUUUCUAAGAAAACUGCCUCGAAAUUGCUCUACCUUAACUAUCCAUUUCUUUGUAAGGACGAUGAUAAUAUCCUGAGUUACUUCGCGUUUUACUUUCCUUAUGACCAAACAAAAUUAGAUACCACCGAAACAAAUAUCAAUGCACAUAAACAACCAUAAUAUAAUCGUAAUAUCAAGUACAAUCACCACCACAUAAACUAGAACAGAAUCUAGAUUUCCACUCGGAACCUUCAUUCACACUAGGUUUUUUCUGUAAAAUGCCAACUCCUCAGUUCAAAAUCAAUUUCUCAAUUAAGACAUUCAAGCACUUCACACACUAAAUAGAAAAAAGAGAGAGCUUUCUCAAUUUGAAGCAAUUACUAGGUGAGACUGUCCCCAGCAAUAGAGGUCCACCUACAGUAGACAUUCGUUCUGAAUCUGAGAUUUCAUCUUCAUCCUCGUCCAAGUAUGUAGACCAGGGCUAGCUUUCUUGCAGCCAAACACAAGCCACACCCUUGCUUGCUGUAGCCAAAAAUAAAUAACUCAACUUUAUUUCACUCCGAUGUUCCUAUAAUAUGGCCAUAACUAAUGUGAUGUUUUGAUACCUCUGUUAGGUAAAAGUAAUAAGUACGAUACUUGCAUCACGCUAAAACAUAGGUGGAAGCAAUACUUGUGUAUUGAAGAGGCUAUCGUAUGCAUAUGUGAACCAUGAAUGCUCUAUAGUAUCUUUCUACACUAAAGACCCUGAUAGUGUCUAUCAUCAUGAACAUGUAUGUACUAGUUCUCAGUCAGUAACUCAAACUGCAAUGAACCUACCAUAAGAAGACAAUUAUUCUUUCUGUAUAUGUCUAGCCACUAAAGAUUCAUUUUUUUCGCACUUUGACCUCCCAAUUGAUCUAAAAUUUAUAGGAAAACCUAAUAGUUCAGUAUUGUACUUCAUGAAAUGAAAAAGAUAUUCUUUGGAGCAUAAAUUUGCACGUUUUCAACCGUCGGAACAAGCAUGAAAUUGUCCAUUAAAGAGGCACAACAUACCUAUGCCGGUCAUAUUUAAACUUAAGAGUAGGUUGUAAAAGUGGAAACUUAGUAAGGAGCAUGGACAUGGUAAUUCCAGCUACAGCUCCACCACUUAGUCAUUGAAAUAAAUUUGUUACUAAUACUGGCGAGUUUAUCAAAAAAUGAUACAGAAAGGAAAGACUAUGGGCAACAACAAGUUUCCAAAAAUCCAAAUUGCAAAUGGACAUGGUAAGAAGCUCAAGGAAAAUAGUUUUCAGAGUAUACAAUUGAUGGCAUCACAAUGAGUUGAUCCUUAGCUCAAUUGAAUGGCGGUGUAAAGAAAUUUUACCACUACCAAGGAGGAACUACAGUAUGGGGAAUGCAGCAAAUCUUCUCAUUCUCCAUCUCUAGGUGUAAGAUAGAGUCCAAGAUGUAUAUUUUCACUGGGUUAGUGUUUUGGAAGUGAGAAUGAGACAACCAAGCAAAAGUGUUCUCACAAAAUAGAAGCAAAAGUGGCACUACUAACCCAUUAGGGUCAUCAAAUGCACAUUCCUUAACAAACGUUCAAGUACAAGGCACUAACUGUCAACACAACUUUUGCAAUUAUGUUAAGGCAGAAAGUACAACAUCCUUUAAAAUUGCAGGCAUGAAAUAGGAUGUAUAUGCAUAUAGGAGGAAAAACUAAGCUGCCACUCCUCACGCUGAUGAGGAGAGCGGAUACAUAAUAGGAAGAACGAAAGAAUAAACGUUUUUAAAACCGGACUAGUGGUUCAACCAGUCAAACCAGUAGAACCAUGCUCUGACAAUUUGACCAGUUGAACCAAUUGCAUGUGUUGUUGUCUAAUAGAAUACAAAUUUCCUAAACAAAAGAAGCCCAUUUCACUCGGCAAAGCUGCUUAAGCACAAAAGACAAGGUUCCUGUUCUCGAUAGAAUCGUUCAAAUUUUUAAUAGACUAAGCCAAUACGGUCAAUAAAUAAAUUAUCCACCACAAAAUGAAGCAAGAAGACACCGAAGCAGAUGGUUGGCAUGCCUUUUAGUUACAAGAGGUUGGAGUUCCAAACCCCAACCCAACUACAACACCCUUCCUUAACGUUUUUGGAAGGCCUAGAAUUGGUCCAGACUAGUUGAUAGGUUUGCUGGGUUACCAAUUGACAGUACACAUGGUUACUUGUUCAACAGGGUGGAUACCACCAGUUGUUGACCACUAUUGUUUCCGCUGUGAAACCAGACUCAAAAGAAAAGCACAAUAUCCUAGUUUUUCCUUUUUGCCAUCAAUGUCUUAAAUUGGGAAUUGACAUGUAUAGGAACAAAUAGAACUCAGGAGCAUCCUAUAUUUCUCACAAGUAAGGAAUCAUUAUGCAAACUCUAGAUCCACAAGUUACCUUCAAUUGGUCCAACUCCCAGUUAAUUGCACAAGAGUUUCCUGAAAUAUGCAUAAAUGGAACGUCACUGGUAUGCAAGAUCAUCAUCCAGGCAUCUCUCAAGUUUUCACAAGCAUCAUUCAUCUUAUUUAGCAGCAUAAAAAUUUGAAGUUCCUGUUUCCAACGUAAUAUAUUAGCCACAUCUACAAAUAAGGGAUUUAACAUUUGAUAUACCUAGCUUUUACCUUUUAUAGAGCCAAAUCCACACGAUAGUAACCAGGAGGGAUGCACAACAAGAUCGAUUCCAAAGGCCUUCCCUACUUCACAUUGCUUGAAUCAUUCAUAAAUCACCUCGCCACUGUUAUAUUGUUUAUAACAUCUAACAAAGACUAUUUGGAAGGAGAUAUAAUCCGUAAACCCAAUUUCAUGAGUUUGAUUGGAUGAAGCAAAUUCAGAGCCAUCCUAUAUUUGUACUAUGCACAUGUAAGUCUCUAGAGAAAAUUGUAGUUUCAGAUUAAAGGUUACCUCAUCGAAGGAUAGUGAAAUGGGAAUGUAUCUAGUGAAUGCUGAAACAGACAUUUGAGGGAAUUGUGACAAUAAAUUCAUAUCAAGAUUUGUUUUUAAAUAGUAAAAAAAAGGCAUCUUGAUAGCUUCCUUGAAACUGUAAUGAUUAAAUCAUUCCCUAAUCUAAACACGCGGCACUAUUUUUCCAUACACAAUGAUCAUAAGCUAAACAGAAAGCCCAAUCCGACAAGAUCACCCAACUUAAGUUCCACUUACAUUGUCAAGUAAUCAACCUGAGACCAAAUACGCAACACUAGAAUAUUAAGAAAAGGGUAAGUGAAAAUCAUUGUUGACUACAAAACCCAGAAGACAACACCCCACCCCCAAAGGUUUCCCUAUCUUGUUCUCCUCCUCACAUUAUGGUCUCAUAGUUCUGGCUACUCAAGCAAGGAAAUGAAAAAUAUUCGUACAAUUUUUUGGUAAUAGGAAAAUGGAUAGAAAGAUCAACAAACUCAAAUAAUUGAUGAGUUGGAUAACACCAAAAAUCAAAGACUGGCAAUGUUCACACAGUCCAAUUUUGAAUCCAGCAAUCAUACUCAAACUCCCGUUAUGCAUACAAUGAGAUCAAAAAUUUCACAUUCGGUACACACAUCGGCAAUGAGGACCAAACUUGAAAGGGGGAAAAAUGAAAUCACUUCAAACAAUAGAUACCAGCAACGUUUUAUCCCAUAAUUCAUAUCUCCCACAAAGGUGGCAUGGGUAAGAACACUUAUGCAUGGCAAACUAGAUAUAGCAUUAAUGAGAAGAAUCUACAAUGAAAGAGUAAUAAACGACACAUUCAGAUACGAACUUCUAUGCAAGAACAAGAUUCUAUUGCAUCUCGCAUUUCUAAUUCUUUUGUUAAUACCUCUGUUCCAUCUGUUGAAAUUCCUCUGCAAGUGUCCUUCGCAAAUAUUCACCGUCCCAAAACCUCCAAGUUGCAGUAAUUCUCUGGCACAAUAAUGCGUGUAAGACGUCUUGCUGACCUGACCUGACAUAAUAAAUAAAAGCAGAAAGCGCAAGAACUUUAUCUUUAAAAAAGUGAGACCUUACAAUCCAACGAGAAACACAAUCAACCCAUCUAUUUUAACCCUCGUUACCAUCUGGAUAAUUGAAAUAAUGUUGGACCAACAAAAACCAGGGUUGACGACCAUCNNNNNNNNNNNNNNNNNNNNNNNNNNNNNNNNNNNNNNNNNNNNNNNNNNNNNNNNNNNNNNNNNNNNNNNNNNNNNNNNNNNNNNNNNNNNNNNNNNNNNNNNNNNNNNNNNNNNNNNNNNNNNNNNNNNNNNNNNNNNNNNNNNNNNNNNNNNNNNNNNNNNNNNNNNNNNNNNNNNNNNNNNNNNNNNNNNNNNNNNNNNNNNNNNNNNNNNNNNNNNNNNNNNNNNNNNNNNNNNNNNNNNNNNNNNNNNNNNNNNNNNNNNNNNNNNNNNNNNNNNNNNNNNNNNNNNUACCAAAAUAGCUGCUAGAGUACAUGAAAGCAAAUACCAGCUGACAUAUUUCGCAGUAUCCAAGGAAUACUAAGCUGACCAACCUUCUCGCUUCGAAGCAAUUACAAGGAGAGACUGUCCCAAUUGACAUUGCCUUCGAGUCCUUCUUGACCAUCGUUGGCCAAUUCUUCUUUGGAUUCCACUCCAUCGUCUUCACCUGCCAAUCAGAAAUCUAGCGAACUUCAGAAAAUCAACUUGGAACAAUCAAGUCAACUGCCCAUUAGGUCACAAAAGAACACUAGGAGCCGAACCUGAGAAGCUAGUGAUUUAUCGAACUAAAGCUGAAACAGGAGGACGACACACUGUGGUCCUUUGCUGGUCUCCAUAGCUAAAGCUUCGCAAGCAGUUGAAAAUGCAACAUUAGCACUAGAGCAAAUCGCAAGGAUGCGAGCUGAAAGAGGGCUUGUGAAGGAUAGAGCUCAAACCUAGAGGAACGCUCCGAGCCAGUUGAAGAGUGAGAGGAUGAGGAAAGUCCACUUGAAUUCUAGAGUAACAUGUGGGAGAGAAAAUAAGGAAGAUAGAGAGACUUGAUCACAGGAGUGGAGGCAGACAUUUUCAGCUGUGCAAAGCUUCUGUUAAAUAUAAGCAGGGCAAUGUGGGAUAACAACAUGCAAACAACCUUUUACCAUUCCAAGUAUGCAUUGAGCUCCUAAUCCUUCUAUGAUUUCGAUCUAUUUUAGAAGUGCCUUGCGAAAGCUCUUUCGAAUAUUUCAGCAUUUUCAUCAACCAGUGAAAAAAUAACCAAAUCCUGCCAGUGAGUCAGAUGAAAUCAAUCCAGCAACUAACAUCAACGAACUAGUAAUAAUACUCUGAAGUUUACAAAUCUCUGUUUGUCAAACUCAAUAUUCCUUUUGAGCUCUUUGGAUCCAACUAAUGGGGCAUCUAACAUCAUCACCCACAGAAGCUUUGAUCAAAUUAACAUAGUGAAUUCAACUCAAGUUGCUUGCUUUUGUGGGACAUAGUAUGAUUCUUUUCCUUAUCAUUACAUGAUAUUCAUGCAUUAGAAUUAAUGCAAGGCAGUUUUCAAAUGGCGUAUAGGAUAUCAAAAAUUUUCCUUAGGAAACUUAUACAGAUGUCUCCUAUCUUUUACUUUUCAGCAAGUAAAUGAACUAACAAGAGCUUAUGCACAAUAUAAGGAAUUUAUUUUACAAUACAGACGAUUAUGUCAAAGGACAUUGUAGUAAUGUCUUGCUUAGCUCAAAAGUUCAAGUAUAUGACAGAUGGCUUUACCAACUCUACAAACAUCAAGAUGCAUUCUCUGGGAUAAUCUAUUAUUAGCCUUGGAGUAGGUAUAUUCUGGAUUCAAACCAAAUGAACAAGGAUCCAUAGUCAAUAAAAUUCGAAUUGCAAUUUUCUAGAUCGAUCCAAAUAAUUCACAAUGCUUUUGCUUCUUCCCUGUUUAUUAAUUCACUCACAGCCACACCACUAGAAGAAGAGCUUGUUCUUGCAUUUAGCAUUUCUAAACUGAUACGGUUACUUUAAUCAGCCAAUGCAGACAGUUCUGUGAAAUAAAAUGUGUGGAACUCAAUGGUUGAUGCCAAGGGAUGCCCUGUCAACAUGCUCCAUUUGCACCGUAAAUUAACUCUUAAGCAUAACUUAGAAACAUACAGUCAUGAGCUACAUGGUAAGGGCAGAGCAAACUAAAACCUCAAUUAGGAGGACCGCCAUAUAGGGUCCUUCAUUUUUCAUUUCUCGACCUACAUAAUGACCUUUGGCAUGCUAUCAGAUACCUGUAUACAUCAGUUUUUAUGCACUACUUCCAGAAUUCCCAGAAUCAAUCAAACGUUGAGAAUCUUUAUUUUCUACAUAGGAUGAAAAAUCUUACCCGAAAACUAAUGACGAAUGAUGCACUUAGAAAGCCUUUUCCAUCUAUUUCCCUUACUGGCAUGAUAAGCAAAAUCUUGUUGCCAAAGCACACAACAAUUUCCAUGGAUAUCUCCCCUCAAUUCCUUGAAUUCAAGUAAGGAGACAAUGAUGACACUGUCAGCUAGGAAAUAAUAUUGAGAAGAUCAUAAAUCUUGAAAGAUAUUGGGAGCAGGAAAUACAAUGAAAAUUGGAUAGUAGAUCUCAAAAGAACAAAGGUAACUUACCUGCUCUAUGUACCUUUGAUAAUAAAUGGGGAUUACUUCCAUUAUAUUGACUCAUCCGAGUCAUCCGUAUCAUCUAAUUCAUAUCCUAUCAUUUCGCUAUUUGUAAUCUCAUUUUGAUCGAUAAAUCUGAGUUCUAGAUAAUUCUGGAAUUGUUUUGAGUGACUUGCAUCCGAUGAUAUUCAGUUCCUGCAACUUUAACCUAUCAAGGCCUUGAAUUUCAACCAAGUUUAUGCAGUCUCUAGCUUGUAAUUUCUUCAGCCUCCCAGAUUUUGGAAGGUCUAGCCUUUCGAUUGAACUGCACCAAUAGAUAUCUAGCCUUUCCAAAUACUCCAACCUAUCAAGGCCUUGAAUUUCGACUAAUUUUACGCAGUUUUUGACUUGUAAUUUCUUCAGCCUCCCGGAUUUUGGAAGGUCUAGCCUUUUCAUUGAAAUGCACAUUUCGAUAUCUAGCAUUUCCAAAUACUCCAACCUAUCAAGGCCUUGAAUUUCGGCUAAUUCGUAGCAUGCCUUAAUAGUCAAUUCCUUCAGACCCUCGAGUUUUGGAAGGUCCACCUGUUUGAUUGAAUAGCAGCCUCCGAUAUCCAAGCUUUCCAAAUAUAUCAAUUCUGGAAUUGUUUUGAGUGACUUGCAUCCGAUGAUAUUCAGUUCCUGCAACUUUAACCUAUCAAGGCCUUGAAUUUCAACCAAGUUUAUGCAGUCUCUAGCUUGUAAUUUCUUCAGCCUCCCAGAUUUUGGAAGGUCUAGCCUUUCGAUUGAACUGCACCAAUAGAUAUCUAGCCUUUCCAAAUACUCCAACCUAUCAAGGCCUUGAAUUUCGGCUAAUUCGCAACUGCUAACAUUCAAUUUCUUCAGACCCUCGAGCUUUGGAAGGUCCACCUGUUUGAUUGAAUCGCAGCCUGUGAUAUCCAAGCUUUCCAAAUAUAUCAAUUUGUCAAGAGCUCGAAUUUCGAGUAGAUUCAUGCAACAGCAGACAACUAAUGUCCUUAGAUGGACAAACUGUGAAACGUCCAGCAUUUUGAUAGAUCCACAAUAAUAGACUUCCAAGGAUUCGAACUUGAAGGGCGUGUUUAGGGAUUGUGGUGAUUCUAUUUCUUCAAUGUCCGUCGGUUGGGAGCAUUCUGAACUCUUUAAUUGCGUUGAUGGAAGCUCCUGGAUGCACUGGAUAAAUUCGCAACCGUAAACUAGUAGUUCCUUGAGAUGGGCUAGGUGGGAAAGCGAAGGCAAUUUGCGACUUUGACAACCGACGCCCAAAUAUGUUAAGCCUGAAGGAAGGUCCGGCAGCGAUUGGAGCUUGAUGCAGUCAUGAAAAUCAAGGCAUCGUAGGGAAGAAAGAUUACACAUGCUUUUUACCAUUAUCCGUUUCAGAUUUUUGCAACCGUAAGCAAGUAACUCUCGGAGCUUUCUCAGACUCCCAAUACCAUUGGGCAAUUCUUCUAUACCACUGAGAGAAAUAUUUAGAAUCUCUAGAUUCUCCAAAGACCCUAUGCUAUUUGGUAAUGCAGAAAGGGAUGGAGUAUAGUGUAGAUCGAGUUGCUGCAGUGCUUUUAAUUUACCAAAUUCUGCUGGAAGCUCCCCGAGGCAGAAAUGAGGAACGGGGCGUUCGGCGCCUGUGUCGGCGCCUACCGCGAGAUGAAGUGCGUGGGACGAGCCCUGCUCCAAGCGAAGGAGGCCCUCCAUGUCUUCAAUGGAAGCGUCGAUUCGCUUCAGUCUCCUACACCCCCCGAGGAUGAGAACCUCUAAAUUCUCAAAAGCUGAGANNNNNNNNNNNNNNNNNNNNNNNNNNNNNNNNNNNNNNNNNNNNNNNNNNNNNNNNNNNNNNNNNNNNNNNNNNNNNNNNNNNNNNNNNNNNNNNNNNNNNNNNNNNNNNNNNNNNNNNNNNNNNNNNNNNNNNNNNNNNNNNNNNNNNNNNNNNNNNNNNNNNNNNNNNNNNNNNNNNNNNNNNNNNNNNNNNNNNNNNNNNNNNNNNNNNNNNNNNNNNNNNNNNNNNNNNNNNNNNNNNNNNNNNNNNNNNNNNNNNNNNNNNNNNNNNNNNNNNNNNNNNNNNNNNNNNNNNNNNNNNNNNNNNNNNNNNNNNNNNNNNNNNNNNNNNNNNNNNNNNNNNNNNNNNNNNNNNNNNNNNNNNNNNNNNNNNNNNNNNNNNNNNNNNNNNNNNNNNNNNNNNNNNNNNNNNNNNNNNNNNNNNNNNNNNNNNNNNNNNNNNNNNNNNNNNNNNNNNNNNNNNNNNNNNNNNNNNNNNNNNNNNNNNNNNNNNNNNNNNNNNNNNNNNNNNAUCAACGUUCAUUAGGUACUAUACCCAACUAAAGUCACCAAAUAUCAUUUGUUCAUAAUGCUAUCGAUGUGUAUUAAUAUGUUCAAGAGACCAGCAAUGUGAAGACAUGAUUUUCUUUUUAUGCCAAUAAACUACAAUUAUAAAAGGCUCACAAAGUGAAGGAUGUCGACUUUCCAUUUUGAAAUUUGGCCAUACGCAUCCAGAUCUUAAAAAGAAUUAUGAUGUAAUGGUUCGUGUAGAGUAAAAACUUUACAACUUGUAAUCUUCUUCUUUCUGGAAUUGUAGUUCCAUUAUCACACUAGUUAAAACAUGCAUGCAAAGCACGGAAUAUAAUCAAAUUGCAAAGUGCAAAAUCAAAAUUUUACUUGGUUAAUUUUAUAUUUCUAUUAAGGAGACUUGUUCUAUUGAGCAAUGCAUGGGUGAAAGGAUAGAUAAAAGGGAGAAAAACCUCAGAAGCAGCGAGUCGGCGAGCAAGACUUACCAUAGAUUCGGUGUAAUUAAGGAGACUUCUAGCAAAAAAAUAUAGUUUAAAAAGUUAGAAAUAAAACUCCUUUUUUUAUUUUAUUUCAAGGCAUUCAUAACACUCCAAAAUGGAAAUAACCGUUCUGACAUCUCCAAAAAUUAAAAUGGAAGGGGGAGGAUAAAGAGGCCACGAGAUCCCCGCCUAACCGUUUUUGAUGAAAGAAAUUAAUUUCUCGCCAUCGAUUCGGAUAAUUGAAAUAACUCAGAAAGGCUUGUUUCGAGUAACUUUUAUUCUUCAUCUUUUGUUUUUUCUCAAGAGCACGCACUUUGGCCAAUUUUUUUUUUUUUUUUUGUGAUAUAUCCGUGAAACUUGUCGACACGCCGAAUUAUGCAUGAUUUUUUUUUUAAUAGUUUUCUGGAAUCUGAGUAUUAUUUGAUCUUUUGACGGGAGAGCAAGAUAUUUACUUUUGAUUUUUUAUUAGUUGCGGCGAGCAAUCUAUCUCGCCCUUUGCUUCAGCUUGUAGAUUUUGACUGAAGGUAUUUUGGGAGUACCUGUUAAGUAACCUGGCUGUUAAAAAAAAAAACUCUAUGUGAAGUGGUUUUUAUUAAAAGUAUUGAUUUAACAUAAUACAAGAGCAUGAAAAUCAUGAAAGUCAUCUCGAAAGAGAGACAAAGAUUUUUAGCGAAGAGGGCCAUUUCUCAAGUGAAAAAGUUAUACGUGAAAUACAAGAUUUUACUAAUUAAUAUAUCGAACAAGAGAUUUAAUAUGUACAUAUAUUGCAACGUACACUUAAUUUCAUGUGAUAGGGAAAAUUAAUAUAUGACAGAAAAAUCAUAAAAGGAAAUUCUUUCUACGAGAGAGCAACUCCCAACUUUCUAAUCACAUCAAUGAAAAAUUCGGGGGCAAUAGCGAAGGUUCUCGGUCCUCUAGACCAAGCACUAAGUAGUGACCAACAUUACUCUUAAGCAUAGAACAUGGACUAAACGAGAAAAAAGAAACGAAAUGAUUACCUUAUUUUCCUCUAGCACUUUUUCAGCUUCCUCAUAGUCCCAUAACCUGCUACGGCACCAAGGCUCUCGUUGGUUUUCUUCACGAACUAUUCCCCUACCAAGAUCUCUCAAUUGGUCAUGCAUUCUGAGCACAUGAUAAUCUUCAACUUUUAUCAAUGACAUUGAUAUCAAUACUUCAAUUCCCUCCUCUGGGAAAAAGCCACAAGCGUCCCACAUGUAGUAUACGAUAUUCUUGCUAGUGCCGAUGAAAAAACAAGCAAUAUCCAAGAAGAUUUGUUUUUGGUUAUAGUCUAAUGCUUCAAUACUUAUCCUUAACUUCUCUUGCACUUCCUUAGGAGGCACUUUUCUUAACUUUUCUAUUGUACCUCCCCAGAAUGCUGGCUUUUUCCCGCCCAAUAAUGAACCUAAAACCUCAAGGGAUAAGGGAAGCCCUUUGGUGAUGGAUACGACUUCACGAGUGAGGUCCUCAAAUUCCUUUGGAGGAGAGUCCUUUCGAAAUGCAUGUCUGCUAAACAGAAUCAAAGAUUGAUUGUUAUCCAAUACCUCAUGUUCAUAAUUGUGGUCCACCCUAGCUUCUUCAAGAACCCCCUUGUUUCUGGUGGUGAUAAUGAUCGUACUUCCCAAAGAAAACCAAUCACGGUUACUAGCCAAACGCUUCAACUGAAUGACAUUAUCCACAUCAUCAAGAAGAACGAGGACCUUUUUACCUUUAAACCUGGAGGAGAUGAACUCAGUCCCUUCGUCCUCAUUGGAAACUUGAUUUUUUACCUUCAAUAUAUUGUAGAUUAACUGAUUCUGUAAAUAAUGUACACCAUUACGCUUCCAUGAUUCCCUUAUAUCAGCAAUGAAGCUGCGAUGCUCAAAUUGAUCGAAGAGCUUGUUGUAGAUGGCUUUAGCAAGCGUAGUCUUACCAAUGCCUCCCAUUCCGUGGAUGCCAAUAAAUAGGGUGUUAUGAGAUUUAUUAUCCAUAAAUUCCAUAACCUUCUUCACAUGAUCAUCAAUUCCAAUCAAAUUCUCAGUAAUGACCAACUUAAACUUUUUCUUUAGUUCGUUCAACACUUUUUGGACAAUCAACUUCACCAACUCUCCUUCAUACCUGUCAAAUGUGACGAGAGUUCAAAUAUGUGGCAACAAUAAUAUUAUAUUGUUUUAUUUAUAGAGGACACAAUAAAUUUGGGGAUAGAUUGAAAAGCUUUAAAGGUUGUUGCUGUCAUACCUCCAUAUAUUCUCAUAUGUGCUAAGUCUAAAGUGGGAAAUGAUGGUGGUUGCUUCACAUGGCAUGUCCAUUCCACUGUUACUCCAACAUAAUUUAUCAAGCCAUGAAAAUCUUGAGGAUAUCACUUACAAAUUUUAAAUAUGGUAUAUAUUUUUGGAUUUGAACUGAAUUUAAACUGGUUAUUUAUUAAAGAUACUAGGGAUGAUGUGAACAUGUUUGAAAAUUCUCUAGAGCGUUUGAAUAAGCAAAAAUCCAACAAGCCAGCCCAAGAUGAGAGUUAACCAUCAAUCAAUAAACAAGCCAUAACUUUUGAUGUAAGAUGAUUUCAAGUCUCAUAAAAUCAAUCCGAAAAGUUGUUCAAAUUGUGAUAUUGUGAACUACUUGAAUGCAAUUGAAGUGAUUCUUCUUGUUUGCACAAUUCUACGGGCUUGUAAGGGCACGUUUGGUAACAAUUCUGUUCCUGAGAACAGAUUCUGAUAAGAAAUAAUUCUUUUUCAUUCUGUUCACACGAACAAUUUCUAAGCAUUUUAAGCCAUUUGGUAAUUGUUCAAAAUUUCUGAUUCUUGAAUAAAAUUGUGUUUGCUACCAUGCUCAUUGAUUCUAUUCCAAAUUAAUUUCUUUUAAUUUUUAAAUAUUUUUUUUACUUUUUUCCUUUUUUUUCUUUUCUUUUUUCCUCCUCCUAUUCUUCUUCUUCUUCUGGCCAGUCACCGGACUAACGACCAGCCAUACGAGGGCCAGUAAGCUGUGCUAUUAAUCUCAAAUAUAUAUGUAAUUAGGAAAGUUUGUGAUGAUGACUAGUGUGACGUACACUAUGAACAUGAAAAAAAAAUGGCACAAUGUUACAAAAUCUUUGGAUAUAAGUGUAAAAACUCAAUCAAAAAAUCUUACCAUUCAAGCGAAUGGGAUCAUACCAAUAAAAUCUGUAAGUAGAUUUGUCAAUAUCAUUAAAGCAAAACACUAAAAAAAAAGAAUAAUUUAUCAAACUCAUGCUUCGCAGGAUCUUACUACCAACAUAAUCUUUCUGUUUAUAUAUAAAGAACGAAAUUGAAGCGGGUGAGAAUCAGAACAACCAGCAAACACCCACACAUAUUAAAAGAAAGUGGAGAAUGCCAUGGUGAGAAAUUUUACCUAUCGGCUUCAUAUCCUUUCAAGUUGCUGACUUCAAGGAGUGCUUGCUUCCAUUUCUCCAAAAUUGCUGGGUCGAAAGAAGACCUCCCAAGUGAAUGCUUCUCACGCUCUUUAAAUGCCUCUCCAAACCUCCCGGUUUGAUAUCGCACUUCAUCUGAUUUCACUUUGUAAAAUAUAGGCAACACUAUUUGUCCGUUAUUAUUCUUGCGCUCCAUUAUUUGAACCAGUUCGUCCAGGCACCAACUGCUUCUACCAUAAUUCACAGAGAUAAUGGGGAUCGAGAUUUUACUGUUCCUAAUGGCUGCCAAAAGCUCUGGUUUGAUGUUCUCGCCUUGGCAGAGCUCGUCAUCAUCUCUGAAAACAUUAAUUCCAGCAUUGAGGAGCCCAUGGUAGAGGUGAUCGGUGAAGUUAUGUCGAGUAUCCGGGCCUCUGAAACUCAAGAACACCUCGUAGCAGUUUCCAGUCGAUGCACUAUUGUUAGUUUCUGUCGGAGACGAACCAGAUCCAACGAAAUUAGUUUCUGUCAGCACAGUCAUCGAACCAGAUGCACCAGUAUCAACAUCCUCUGCAUUUCCACUCGCAUUAGUUUUCCUCUUCUUAAUGCGACAAUGCAUUUCAGCCUCUGACUCUGCCAUUGAGUUCAGCUUUCAAGCCUAACAGAGAAAAAACCAGAAUGCCCCUCAGAAAAGAAUGCCCCUCAGAAAACAGGAAAUGCCUUCUUGCCUCUUCUAUUGUGGUCUGUUAAAAUUUCAAUACACAUGAAGCGGUGGAUUUGUUCGGAAGAUGAAAAGCGUAGAGACUUAUGACGAGGCUGUGACAGGGAUUUGCAGGAGAAGAUGAAAGAUGGGGGAGAAAGAGAGAGAGAGAGGGAGAUUCGUCCUGUCCGAUAUUUUCCAAACGAGUGCUCCGAAUAUAUAAAAACAUCAAAGCGUCGGGCCGGCGAAGAGUCCAUUGCUUGCACACAGUCGAACCGUCCUUUUCUUUUGUUCAUUUAUUUCAGCUCUUGAUCCCACUUUGGAAUUUUUUUUGUCGUAAUCCCAUAGGGAAUUUACCCUUCUUGCUUUGAGCCUUUUAAAUAUUAUGCUAUCAAACCGAUAAACUCAUUUUAAUACGAGAAUAUUGUAUUAUAACAAUCACUCUAAAAAAAUUAUGUUCUUUACGUGUGUCGAUGAUCAUAGAUAUUAUCAAAUUGCUAUAUACAUUUAUUUUGUACCCAAGCAUAACGAGAAGAAUGUCUUUUUGGCUCUCGUUCUGCCUUAAUUUUCCCUUCUUCUUUUUUUUUGGUCGAACCUCAAUUUCUUACUCAAAUCUCCUAAAUAAAUUUAAAUACCUUUUUGCUUUUGCUUUUCUUUAUCAUACAUUUAUUUCUCUAUAGGUUUGAUUUAUCUAAUCCAACAAGUUGGCAUGCACCGAUAAUUCAACGUUGCCUUCGUGUGGUGGAAGUUUCAAUGACAGGAGAAUUCAAGGCAAUCCAAACCAGGAAGAAGACAACAUGUGAACAGUUUGGAUGCACAGCCAUGAAAAAAAAUAAAACCAAAAAUAAAAGAGAAUUAUGAUAUUGCAAAUUAGGAGUGAACAAUUUCGUCCAGUCCACCCAGAAUUUGAGAAUUAGAUCAGAAAGACCAAUUCUUGCUUUUUGGAAUCGAACCGAAGCCAGUCCGAUCCCAAAAAAAUGCGUCACCAAAAACAAAACCUCACACCUAGCCCUAGAUCUGGGAAGAAGAGAAAAUAGAUGGGGCCUACUACAUAAAUCUUAUUUCCUUUUAUGAAAAAUAAUACUUCUGACGCGAAUGCAGGCCUCACAAUCAGAACCUAUUUCCCUUCGUCCUAGAGCAUUAACUAACUAGGAAAGACGCGUAUAUGUAUUUUUAUCACAUUGGAUAACAGUUUUACAUCAUCUCAUUCAUUGACAUCAUAAUAUUAGUAAGGGCAUAGUGAAUUUUUUGAGAGAGCACAAGAAAUUCUCUAGUUUUCAAUUUUAUAUUUGUAUAAAUAUAUAAUGUUUAGAACUCAAAUAAAGCUUUUUCAACCAUAGAAACUUAAAUAAUUCUAAUUCCACAAAGUUUUUUUUCUUGGUCAAAAAAUUCUACAAAGUUUAUAGAGCUGUUUCCUUACCUACAUGAUACCAAUAAUAGUCUCAUCUUUGGGAUUACUAUUAUUAUUAUAAUGAAGUACUUAAUUUCAAAUACGUGGAGAUUAUAUAUAUUUCAAAAACAAUAAAUUUGAAUUUACUUUUUUAAUAUCAUGAAAUCGUCAUGCCCUUGCAUGUUAUAAGAUAAUUUUAUUACCUUGUUUGGACAAAAUGAUAAUCUAGAAGAGUACAAGCUCUCAUGUACACGCUUAUAUGGUGAUUACAUGCACAAUGUUCUAAGAAAGUAAACUUUUGAUCAUCAUUUUCUUGUGAAUUAGAUUUUAAUCCUGAUAAAUUAUUUCAAUGACAAAACUAGUCAAAAACAUAUUCGUUAGAUUGAUUAAAAGCAUUUGACCCUUUAACAAAUUAAAUUCAUCUCCUUGGGUAAUCCAAAUCAAUCACAUAUUUGUGUGCCCUUCUUUGCUAGUGAAUUGGAUUAGUGAACUAAUCUAAGUGAAUUGAUUCCUACUUUUUCGUAUGAUUUUCCACAUCACUUUGCUAUUGUGGGUUUUUUUACUGACACAAAAAUGUCACCUCAAACAACUAAUAAUGUUUUCGAACGUAAAGUUAACAGAUUAGUUAGUGAUUUGUUUAGACAAAAAAAUGUCCGGGCAUAUUUUGCAUUGGACACAAAGUUUUGAAUUUUUUUAGGCAAAAAAGUUGGGGGUAGAUUUAGGAUUGAAUCCAAAGUUGAAGUUUUUUUUUUUAGAUAAAAAAUUUUGGGGUAGAAUUAAAAUUGGAUUUAAAAUUUGAGGGUUUUUAGGGCAGUAGGUCUAUAUAAAAAGAGGGAAGAGAAAAUUGAAGAGUUUCACCUGUUUUAAUCAUCCAAGGCAUAUUAGAUGGCAUUUAAUUUUCUUUCCGUCCCUUUGCCUGAUGGCUGGGUCCCACCAGACCUUGCAUAACUUAAGACUGCCCUCAUAUUUACCAAGUUUUUUUUGGUCCAAUUCUUAUUUUAAAUGAGUGGCUGAGUCUAUCACUCUUUUCUCUAUUUAAUUGUCAAAUCAACAAUUAAAUUUUUUAAAUACCAACUUAUUGAUUUCAUUUAGUCAGAUUUAUUAAUUUCAUAAUUUCUUAAUUAAUCCAAAGCCAAAUUAAUAAAUCAAUAUUUACACUUUUUAUGGGGAAAUGUUCUUUUCUUUGGUUUAGUUUAGCGAUUGCUUUAAUAUUUUGCCCUUCUUCUUAACUUGAUCAAAAAGUGGGCUUUGAGAAAAAGGGAAAGAGGGAAAAUAAGAGAUAUAAAAGGAAAAGAGAGAGCACGCACCAGCGACAGAAACGUAAAGAAAGGGAAAAGACGUGAGCUUCCUCACGCGUGCCCAAACAAUUCUCUCUCUUUCUCUCUCUGUCUUUUCAUUCUUUUUCAUUUCACCUCCUCCACGAGAACCUGCCUUCUCUGUCCUUUUUCUUUCUUUACUUUUGCCGACCACUUCCCAGUUUGUCUUUAUUGAAGUUCUCUCUUAUGCCGGCCAUAACCUGCUCUCUGUAUUUCUCUCUUUUUUUUUUUGUAAAAGUAUUUCUCUUUCUUGGCCACGGAGAAAAAUGCCCGCCCAACCUGACUGAGAAUCCUCUGCUUUUUUUCUGCCCAGAUUUUCUGGUCUUCUUUGGCCAUAAAUUCUGGUCCUAAAUGUUGAGAUUGCUCCCUUGUCGGGAGGGAAACUGCUCUCCCUUCACCUCAUCCUCGAGGUUCUUGCCCUUGUUCGGGGCGAAUUUGAAACUAAAUAUAAAGUUCGAAAUUUUUUAAGACGAAAGAAUUAGGGGCUGAUUUAACAUUGAGUCCAAAAUUAAGGAUUUUCUGAGAUAAAAAAAAUUCGGGAUAAAAUUAAAACAGAACCUACAGUUUGAGGGUUUUUAAGAGAUGCAAAGGGAAAAGGGAGAGCACGCACCGGGAGAGAAACGAAAAGAAAGGGAAAAGAAGAAAAUGAAAACAGAGUGGGUUUUGCGUGUAGAUCUCCCCUAGAUUUACUUCCAUUCGCAAUGUGCCCGAUAAGAAUUUAUGUCAUUUGUUCGUCUAAACGGUUUUUAGAAUUAGAGUAUAAAUUCAAAAAUUAUAUCAAAAUUUAUAUUGCAAAAUUCAAUUUUAAAGUUGUUAAGCUGUGAAAGUAAAGGCAUUGUGAGGCUGUGACGUAAACGGGAGUUGAUUUGAAAUAACAUUUUAAUAGACAAGGUCCGAUAAAAUUUUGAUAUCCAUAUAACAGUGGAUUUGUCGGGAAGAAGAAAAGUGGAGAGAGACUUGGGACGAGUCUUCGUUGAACUUAGUCCAUUGCUUGCACCAUUGAACUUUCCUUUUCCUUUUGUUAAGUUAUUUUUCACUGGAAAUGGUAUUUUUAUUGAAUAUUUUUAAGCUCUUGAUCCCACUUAAAAAUUUAAUCCCUCUCACUUUAAGCCUUUUAAAUAUUAUAAUGUUAAAUUGAUGAACUUCAUUUCAAUACUUAUAAGUUCAAUGAGUUAACACAUGCAAUUAUCAACAUACUAUAUAUAUUUAUUUUUUACCCAAGCAUAAUAAGAAGAAUUUCUUCUGCUAUGGUUCUGCCUUAAUUUUCCCUUCAAAUUUCACAAAUUAAUCAAAAUACCUUUUUGCUUAUGCUCUUACUUUAAUAUAUAUAUAUAUAUAUAUAUAUAUAUAUAUAUAUAUCUUUAUUGAUUUGAUUUAUCUAAUUCAAUCAAUUAACACGUAGCAAUAAUUCAAACCUCUUAUUGAUUUGAUUUAUCUAAUUCAAUCAAUUGGUACGUAGCAAUAAUUCAAACUUGCGGCCGUAGAUAUCAAUUACUAACUUGUUGACUGGGACCACCGACUGUGCAUUUAUAGUCUUUGCCUUCAUGGCGGGGAAGUUUUGAUGGGGUGCAUUUAUAGUCGUUGCCUUCACAGUGGGGAAGUUUUGAUGGACAGGAGAAUCCAAGGCGAUCUUGCCCGGAAGAAAAUAACAUGGGAGCAAGUUUCAAUGCAAAAGCAAUUAAAAAAAUAAAAUAAAAAUAAAAGACAACUACUUUAUUGAUAUCCGUGGAAAAUGGUCAUAAUUGAUGAAUAUGUACAAAGCAUCAAGACAAUUGCUGCACCAUUGAACUUUAUUUUUAGGACCCAAAUAAAAACUUUCCUUUUCUUUUUUUAAUUUAUUUUUCAUCAGAAAAAUUACCUUUAUCGAAUAUAUUUAAACUCUUGAUCCCAAUUAAAAUUUUACCUUAAUCUUAUUAAGCAGCCAAUGGCAUUGAAUUAGACCCAUAAUAAAUAUAGUCUAUAAUGAAGAAUAGACCAAAAGGACUUCCAAUGAUACAUAACUUUUUUACACACAUCUACCUUAAUUUUGUUAGUAAUUGAAUAUGAUGGCAAAUAGAGUGGGAAGUUUUUCUAAAUAUAAAAUAGGAUAUGAACAUCGACUUGAAUCCAUCUAGACAAGAAACAUGCAGAUGCAUGGACCAUUGAUAAAUUUUAUUAUUUCUUGUACUAAUUAAAGAGCAAUCAAUGUUGAAUAGGAAUCGGUACGAAGAUAAAUAUUUUCAUAGCCCUUACUACACGUCUUUGAAGGUGGAGAUCACUUUGAAAACAACUACUCCAUACUUUUUGUCUUUCCUCUAUCUAACUUCUUUUCCAGUAGACUUUUCAACUCCAUGAUGACUCUUUCAUGUUCCUUUGCACUGCUUCCCUCACAUGCCCGUGACAUGGAUUUGCUGGAGAAAAUUAAAAGUGGAGACAGAGAUUCGUCCGGUCCAAUAUUUUCCACACAAGUGCUCACAAUAGAUAAAAACGUACAAAGUGUCAGGACAAUGAUGAGGGCACGCUUGCACCGUCCAACUUUCCUCUUUCUUUUGUUAAUUUAUUUUCCAUCAAAAAAGGUGUUUUUAGUUAAAUAUAUUUCAGCUCUUUAUCACACUUGGGAAGUUAUCCCUCUUACUUUGAGCCUGAUAUAUGUUACCUAUAAUCUUCACUUUUAUACUGAAAUGUUGUAUUAUUAAUGAUAGGUUAUUCUAAAAAAUUAUGUUAUCAACGCGUGUUGAGGAUCAUAAAAAAAUAUUAACAUGCAUAAAUAUACGUGUGUGUGUGUGUGUGUAUAUAUUCAUUUAGUACUGUAACACAGUGAAAAGAAUUUAUUUUUUAUUCAGGUUCUGUCCUAAUUUCUCCUUCAAAUCUCAUAAAUAAAUCAAAAUAUGUUUAUACUUUUACUUUACUUCAUAUAUAUAUAUAUAUAUAUAUAUAUAUAUAUAUUAUUGAUUUGAUUUACCUACUCCAAUUAGUUGAUAUGCAUCAAUAAUUUAAAUUUGGCGAACUGAAUAUAAAUUAGUAAUUCAUUGACCGAACCAUUAGACAUGCAUUUAUGGUCGUCGCCUGCAACCGGUGGAAGUUUCAAUGCACAGGAAAAGUGAACUUUCAAGGAAAUGCAGAAGCUGCAAAAGUAGAUUUUCAAUGUGAAUGCAACUUUUUGCUCCUUGUUGUUUUUUCACGCGUGUCCUGAUAACUCUCUCUCUCUCUCUCUCUCUUCAUUUUUUCUUUUCACCUCCUCUGUCCUUCCUUGUCUUUCUUUUCCAUUGCAGGCCACUUUAUCAGUUUUUCUUUGUAAAAGCUUUCUCUCUUUUGCUGACCAUAACCUCUCUCUCUCUAUCUCCUUUUCUUGGCCCAAAAGAAAAGCUCCAUCUUUUUCUUUUUUGAGCUCCCCUCGGCAAUUAUGGUAUGCGGAAAAAUGCCCCACCCACUCGGUCGAGAAUCCUCUGCUUUUCCAUGCCUAGAUUUUCUUGUCUUCUUUGGCCGUGAAUUUCGAUCUCUGAAUGUCGAGAUUGCGCCCUCGUCAAAAUGGAAAUUACUCUCUUGAUCUUGUCCUCAAGGUUUUUGCUGCUAUUCAAAACAAAUUUGGGACUGGAUAUAAAAUUUGAAAAACUUUUUUAGACGAAAAAAAUUGAGGGUUGAUAUAGCAUUUGGUUUUAAGUUGAGGGUUUUUGAAACAAAAAAAAAAAUCGGGAUAAAUUUAAAAUUGAACCUAAAAUUUGAGAGUUUUUAAAGAAUUAGGACCGUAUAAAAAGACGAAAGAAAAAGUGGAGGAGCUUCACCUCUUUUUAUCAUAGGGGCAUAUUUGUAAUUAGAUUGCAUGUGAUGAGUUUAUUUCUACCCCACUCCUGGUGGCUCGGCCCAAGAAUCCUUUUCCUUUCUGAGGCUAUUGCUCUUCUCUACCAAGUUUUUGUCCACUUCUUAUUGCAAAGGAGUGGCUAGCCCACCAAUUCUUUCUCUACUUAAUUAUGAAGUUACUCAAAUUUAUCGAUGUCACAAUUUCUUAAUCAACCCAAAGCCAAAUUGAUAAAUUAAAAUUUUCAAUUUUUUCCAAUUUUUUUGCUUGGUUUAAUUUAGCAGUUGCAAUAGUCCUUCAACACCUAUAAUCUGUAAUAUGUUAAUUCAAAUAUUUAUAUUAUUGAAUGGAACUAAUACGUGAAAUGUUAAUUCAUUUAGAUUAAACUGCAUUUUAAGUAACACUUUAAUAUAAGUGCAUGCGGUUCCUCUUAAAUAAUGAGGGUAGCUAUUUUAAUGAAAAUGUAAAAUAAACCGACAAAGGGUUGGUCUAGUGGUAGCAUGCUAAUCCUGCAUGGACUUCACCUUCCAAUGGGCAGGGGUUCAAAUCCUAGUGAAAAGCCCUUGUUGGAAGGGAAGAAAUCCUUGAUGCUCUAAUCCUCAAAGUGGUUGCGCACUUUAACCACCAUUUUAUUUACCAAUAUAUAUAUAAUAGGUUUUACUUACCAUCCAAAAUACACCUAGGCAUAUUAUUCUCAUCCAACAAUUUAUUUUAUAUAGAUCUAUUCCCAUUAAAUAAUGAGGGUAACUAUAUUUGAAAAUAUGUUAAAUAGAUUUUACUAGUCACUCAAAAUAUAUCUAAGCAUAUUAAUAUUGUUGUUAUUCAAGUUGAUUGGUNNNNNNNNNNNNNNNNNNNNNNNNNNNNNNNNNNNNNNNNNNNNNNNNNNNNNNNNNNNNNNNNNNNNNNNNNNNNNNNNNNNNNNNNNNNNNNNNNNNNAAGCUUUAAUCCAAUAUCCACUGUAACCAUGCAAGCUAAAAGAAUUAUCAAUGCUAUUUAAAUACCACCAAUCCCAAACAAAAUUGUUGAUACUGAAAUUGUGAAGUGUAAAAAAAAAAAAAAAGUGCUUCCACAUUUCACAAGCACUCAUGUUUAUACUAUUGAUUUGCAAUACUUUAUAAGUGCUAAAUUAUCACAUUAAUUCGACAGCUUAAUUGCAUUAUUCUUUGAAGCUAAUCAACUCUAGCUCGUAGGUUGAGAGUACUUUGACUAAAAUGCGUCCAAUAUAAGAGGCAUCAAACAUGAAUGUAAUAUAUCAGCCUAUGCAUUUUUACCACUCUAAUAGAAGAGUAUUAGGUGUAUUUACCAUGUCAACUGUUGCGAUACUAACAUAUUCGGCCUAUUAAUGAUGCAAUAAAGUUGACCUCUGAUAACGACAAACACAAUUUUAUCAAAUUCAACAUGGUAUUGUUAUUAAAAGGCAAUGUCAUGAUUUUACGUUUUUAUCAUAUUAUUAAUUCAUUAUAUGCAUGCUAUUUAGUUCCAUAAAUAUUGCUUUAAGUUUAUAUUUACAAUCUUCAUUUUUUCACACUUGUUUUUCCAACAUCAUAUCGUGCAGAAGUUUGACAAACAUCAUGACCAUUCAAGUAAAUUUUCUCUUGAAGUCUAGACUAGGGCUUUUGCAAUGUCCUUGGCCUGGAUUAUACUUGCUGGGUAGGGGAAGAUCUUCAUAGGCUCUCUCAAUCUUCCGAGAAUAGAGCAGAAACCCAAUAGUCUGGAGAGGAGCAAUAAGUAUGCAAGGCAGGCCAACCUCAGGCCAAACAACAAAAAGCGUAAGAUAAGUGUUCAGUAUUGAAGUUGUAAGUGUCAUCUCUGAAGUGACCAACAGAAUUGAAAUCUAGCCUAGGAAAUGGCAUAAGCAUCUAGAACUUUUACAAGCAUAACCUCGCCUAGGAAUAGUUGUUUACUUAACCAGCCCAUUACUUCCUAGGCAAUACUGAUUUGCUGUCAGUCUACCAUCAAAUACAUUUAUUAAAAAAAACUGCUGUAUGAGAAGCAAGAACAAGGAAAGGACUCAUUUAUUGAAUAUGAUAGACCAUAUAGCUAAAUAUUUGAUUUGAAUAGACAUGACAUUGACAAUAUUUUCGAUUGGAAAGACACCAAAUAUACUAAAGCAUAAAACCCCAUNNNNNNNNNNNNNNNNNNNNNNNNNNNNNNNNNNNNNNNNNNNNNNNNNNNNNNNNNNNNNNNNNNNNNNNNNNNNNNNNNNNNNNNNNNNNNNNNNNNNUUUGAAGGAAUUUGAGAACUCUACCAAAUGAAAUCUGGACCCUUUGUAAGUUUAAACCAGCAUCUUUGGGUACUAGUCCAGGCAAUUUGAGGAACUCUUGGAAGCUGGAAGGAAGGAAUUGAGUAGUGUGUCCUUCAGACCCCCUAGAGUUACUAGAAGCAUUCUAUAAAACAAAUGAAUAAUUACUUUCCAGUUGGAAAAUAAAAAGAUGAAAAAAUAUGAGAUCAAAGAUAAAGAGUCAAAUAAAUCAACAAGUUACAGAUGACGCCAAACACACGCUUCCAUAAAAUCUUCCAUAAACCCAUACUAAAGCUAUUGGACUGUGAAAAAAGAUUCUAAGUUUGAAAAAGAAGUAUUUAAGAACAACACACUAAAGUAACUACUUAACUGCAAACGAAGCAUUAUGAAAGGUGUGAGCUAUAAGAUAUCUGCUAUUGGUAAUAAAGAUCAUGAAAUCGUACCAAGUUUUAACUUAAAAGAUGCCAUAUUCCAUUCACUUGGGCAUCCUCCUCCUAGUUGAGACACACCCCAACUGCUAUACUUCAAGCUUCUCAACAGUUUUCCAUUAUGCUUCAUAUUUAUACCCUAUUAGAAUGAUUAUACCACAGUGUGCAUAACUGCUGCAAGCACUAGUAUGUCAAAAGCAGCACCCUGCACAUUUAUAGUUCCAUAAAGACAGCUACUUUGGUAAGUAGCAUUCAUUAUAUAUAAACAACUUCUUUUCUCAGCAAUUCUUUUGGAUCUAUAGGUGCAAUAUUGGAUUUGAAUCAAAUUUUGGAUCCAUCUCUAUUGAUUGACUGCAAUCCAUGAAGUGGAUGAUUAGUAUUAAACUAGUAGAAAUCUCAAAGAAACAUAAUUGCAGCAUCCUCAGCCAUGUACUCAGCCAUUCUACUCAUGACCAAGCCGCUAUAGCUUGAUAAAAACAUAACCAGUUAUUUACAAACUUUUCCACACACAAGCAUAAUUGAGGCACACACAAAUCCCAUCAUUUAAGGGUCACCUAAAUUAUUACCUUCCUAAUUUGAUUGAACUGAACAAAUUUACUAACAAUUGAAAGAAACUAUUAAUUUUCAUGAAAAUGAGCAUCUCAUGGAUGAAUGCUUUAGUACGACACCAUCCACCUAGACCAUAGAUUCUAACCACAAGCUAGACCCCGUUACACACUAUCCUGUAAUUUGUCGUUGACAAUUGAAAUAGUUUCAACCAUUGAUGACAACAUUAGCAGUGAAGUAAAAAUCUUGUCCUACACGAGAAUGCAAUUGAGCACAUCAAUAAGAUUCAACUCCUAAAGUAUAUAAAUCUAUUAAAUGAGCAUACUAAUUCUGUAAGAUAUGUGAUUAAAAUAACUCACUGCUGAUUUCACUAAUUAAAUAUGAGUCAAUCAAUUUCCUUGAUUCAUAAUUUAACUCAUGCAUCAAACAAUGUAACGUCAAAAACAUUUCAUGGCUUUGAUGUAGGACUGAGUCCCACAAUAAAGAAUAAAUAUUUAAGCAUCACAUGCAAAAUUGCCCAAGCAACACACCCAGGGUUUCUUAAGCGUCACGCCAAAGAUAAAUUGCAUCACACAAUCUGCAAAGCAAACACUUGCCAAGUUCAAUAACAAGAAACAUUAUUGUAGUAUACGUAAGAUCCUACUACGCAAGCUUAAAAAAAGAAAGAAAAGGAAACUUCGUAAAAUCCUAAUAAUAUUCAAAUCCUAGUUGAUAAUUUUAGUGAUUAAACUUCAAGAAGAAUCCUGAUCCUUGUUUGAGUUUCAAAGUCAAUCUUCACCAAAAACUUGGUAGCCAUCCUGCAUGAUUUUGUUGGCUGCAUCAGGCUUAGUGGAUGUUUUGAUUGUCUCAUACUCAAUUCUAUGAAUGGGAAUCCAAUUACAAUACUAUGUAUAAGAUCUUUGCGUCCUUGCAGUCAAAUGGAUACUCAUUGGGCAAAAGAAAUAUAAUUUGUAGCGAUAUUUCAUGUCUGGAGAUAAUAAGAUUAGUUGAAUUUUAAGUAUCUGUGUUUAGUUAUUAUCUAACAAUUAAUCUACGUAUGUCNNNNNNNNNNNNNNNNNNNNNNNNNNNNNNNNNNNNNNNNNNNNNNNNNNNNNNNNNNNNNNNNNNNNNNNNNNNNNNNNNNNNNNNNNNNNNNNNNNNNUCACUUCAAAGCAAUUACAAGAAGUGAUUCUCCACAGCCUUUGCCAAUCGAAGCGAUGAAGCACCAACUUUGAGUCCUCUGUGACCAUCACCAGCCAACACUUCUCCGGAUUUCCCUCCGUCAUCUUCACUUGCCAGUCAGAAAUCGAGCAAACUUCACAAAACCAAGUCGGAACAAUUGAGUCAACCAGCCAUUAGGUCGCAAAAGAAUGCUAGGAGCUGAACCUAAGAAGCUGGAGGUUUUUCAAACUAGAGCUGAAAUGGACGCAUGACCCACAGUGGUCCUUUGCUGGUCUCCAUAGCUAAAGCUCUAUGAGUAGCCAAAAACGCAGCACCAGUGCUAGAACAAAUCGAAAGGAUGCCAGCUGAAAGAGGGCCUGUGAAGGAUAGAGCUUAUAAAAACCAAAAGAAUCAUGGGAUGACCACAUGCAAACAACCUUUUACCAUUCCAAGGAUGCAUUGUCAGUGUUUGGUGAAGCUAAAGAAACAUUGAGUUCCUGAUCCUUCUAUGAUUUCAUUCGUUUUAGAAGUGCCUUGUGAAAGCUCUCUUGGAUAUUUCAGCAUUUACAUCAAGCAAUGGAAUAAUAACUGAAUCCUACCAGUGAGUAGAUGAAAUCAAUCCAGCAACUAACAUCAACAAACUACUAAUAAUGCUCCAAAGUUUAUGGGAACCCACUUAGUCAAACUCGAUAUUCUUUUUGAACUCUUUGGUACCAACUAAUGGGGCUUCUAACAUCAUCAACCAUAGAAGCUUUGAUCAAAUUAGUAUAGUGUAUUUAACUCAAGAUGGUUGCUUUGUGGGACAUAGUAUGAUUCUUUUUCCUUAUCAUUAUGUGCUAUUCAUGCAUUAGAAUUAAUGCAAGACAAUUUUCAAAUGGAAUAUAGGAUACUGAAAAUUUUCCUCAAGAAACUUAUGGAAAUGAUUCCUGUGUUUUUCUUUUCAGCAAGUAAAUGAACUAACAAAAGCUUAUGCACAAUAUAAGUAAUUAUUUCACAGUACACCUGAUUAUGUCAAAAGACAUUCUAGUUAAUGUCUUGCCUGGCUCAAUAGUUUAGGUAUACGACAGAUGGCUUUACCAACUCUACAAACAUCAAGAUGCAUUCUUUGGAAGCCUUGGAGAAGGUAUACCCUGGACUCAAACCAAAUGAACAUGGAUCCUUAGUCAGAAAAAUUCGAAUUGCAAUUUUCUCAAUUGAUCCAAAUAAUUCAUGAUGCUUUUGCUUCUGCCCUGUUUGCUAGUUCAUCACAGCCACACCACUAGGAGAAGAGCUUGUGCUUGCAUUUGGCAUUUCUAGAUUGAGACGAUUAUCUAAAUCUACAAAUGUAGACAGUUCUGUGAGACAAAAUGCAUGAAACUCAAUGAUUGGACAAAUUUUAUCACAAGUCAGUAGCAUAUGCAGAGUAAGGGAUGCCCUAUCAACAUAUUCCUAUUGCAUGGAAAUUCACUCUUAAGUGUACCUUAGAAAUAUGCAGUCAUGAAAUGCAUGAUGAGCGUAGAGCAAACUAAAACCUCACAUUAGAAGGAUCACCAUGUAGGGUCCUUCAUCGAGCAUUUUCUUCAACCUAUACAAUGACCUUUGGCAUGCUAUCAAAAACCUGUACACGUCAGUUUUUCAGUACUUCCAGCAUUCCAAAAUCAAUCAAAUGUCAAGAAUCUCUAUUUUUCUGCAUAGGAUGAAGGAUCUUACUUGAAAACUAAUGUCAAAUGAUGCGCUUUGAAAGCCUUUUCAUCUAUUUCCGCUAUUGGCAUAACAAGCAGAACCAUUUUGUCAAAGCACAUAUUAACUUCCAUGAACAUCUCCCUUGGAUUCCUUGAGUUCAAUUAAGAAAACAAUGGCGACACUAUCAACCAGGAAAUAAUAAUGACAAGAUCAUAAAUCUUGAAAGAUAUUGCAAGCAGGAAAUACAAAUGAAAAUUGGGCAGUAGAUUUCAAAAAAGCAUAGGUUGAUUACCUGCUUUAUAUACCUUCAAUAGAAAAUGUGGAUCCUUCCGGUCUAUUCCUCAUCCGAGUCAUCCGUAUGGUAUGGACAUAGUUCGUAAUCUGCGCCAUUUGUAAUAUGAUAAUAUCGAUAAAUCUGCGUUCCAGAUAAUUCCGGAAUUGUUUUGAGCGACUUGCAUCCAAUGAUAUUCAGUUUUUCCAAAAACUCCAACCUAUUGAGGCCCCGAAUUUCAACCAAGUUUUUGCAGUCUCUAGCUUCUAAUCUCUUCAGACUCCCAGACUUUGGAAGGAGUAGCCUUUCAAUUGAAGUGCACCAAGAGAUAUCUAGUAUUUCCAAGGACUCCAACCUAUCGAGGCCAUGAAUUUCAGCUAAUUUCUUGCACCAACCAACAUUUACUCUCUUCAUACUUCCGGAUUUUGGAAGGAGUAGCCUUUCAAUUGAAGUGCACCUACAGAUUUCUAGUAUUUCCAAGGACUCCAACCUAUCGAGGCCAUGAAUUUCAGCUAAUUUCUUGCACCAACCAACAUUUACUCUCUUCAUACUUCCAGAUUUUGGAAGGAGUAGCCUUUCAAUUGAAGUGCAGCAAGAGAUUUCUAGACUUUCCAAAUACUCCAAACUAUCGAGCCCUUGAAUUUCGGCUAAGUUUUUGCAAUCCCAAGCCACUAAUUUCUUCAGCAUCCCGAAUUUUGGAAGGUCUAGCCUUCCAAUUGAAGUGCAACAGCAGAUUUUUAAACUUUCCAAAUACUCCGACCUAUCAAGGCCUUGAAUUUCGGCUAAUGUGUCGCACCCGUCUUCUAAAUUGCCGGACCCGUCAACAUUCAAUCUCUUCAGACACCCGAAUUUUGGAAGGUCCAACCAUUUGAUUGAAUUCCGGGAUUCGAUAGUCAAGCUUUCCAAAUACAUCAAUUUGUCAAGACCUUGAACUUCAAGUAGCUUCGGACUAUGGCAGACAUCUAAUGUCCUUAGAUGGACAAACUGUGAAACGUCCAGCAUUUUGAUAUAUUCACAGAAAGAGACGUUCAAGACUUCGAACUUGAAGGGCGUGUUUAGGGAUUGUGGUGAUUCCGAUUCUUCAACGUCCGUCGGUUGGGAGCAUUUUGAACUCUUUAAUUGCGUUGAUGGAAGCUCCUGGAUGCACUGGAGAUUAGGGCAACCGUAAACUACUAGUUCCUUGAGAUGGGCUAGGUGGGAAAGCGAAGGCAAUUUGCGACUUUGACAAGUGACACCCAAAUCUGUUAAGCCGGAAGGAAGCUCCGGCAACAAUUGGAGCCUGUAGCAGUAUACAAAAUCAAGGCAUCGUAGGGAAGAAAGAUUAGCCAUGCUUUCUACUAGUAUCCAUUUCAGAUCUGCGCAAUUGGAAGCACGUAACUCUAGGAGCUUUCUCAGACUCCCAAUACCAUUGGGUAAUUCUUCUAUACCACUUUCAGAAAUAUCUAGAAUCUCUAGAUUCUCCAAAGACCCUAUGUCAUCUGGUAAUGCAGAAAGGGAUGGAGUAUGGUAUAGAUUGAGUUGUCGCAGUGAUUUUAAUUUACCUAUUUCUGCUGGAAGCUCCCCAAGGCAGAAACGAGGAACGGGGCGUUCGGCGCCUGCGUCGGCGCCUACCGCGAGAUGACGCGCGUAGGACGAGCACAGCUCCAAGCGAAGGAGGCCCUCCGUGUCUUCAAUGGAAGCGUCGAUUCGCUUCAAUCUCCAACACCCCAUGAGGAUGAGAACCUCUAACUUCUCAAAAGCUGAGAGGAAGUCAGUAUUUUCCAAGGAUGCACAAUGCGAAAGGUCUAGAUAUUUAAGCUUCUUUGCCAUCUACGAAGAAAAAAAGAAAACAAUAAUGAAUGUCGAUGGGUGAGUGUAGAGUCAUUAUGAUUCAAAAGAAAGCAUAAAAGGAGAGGAAAAAAAAAGACUUUAAUUCUUACCUUGAAAAAACUCCAUCCUCCCCAUUUCUCAUUUAUCUUGAUUCCUCGCAAUUCGAGUACAGCUAAUUCCUUUACGCAAAAAUUGUUUACUUCGAAAUUCGCUGGACAAAGUCGCCAUUGAAGCCAUUUUAACUCCCCAAUUAAGUCCUUAAAAUCUCCACUUAAAUGUGCCCCAUUUAAUUGAAGGAAUCUUAGACUCGUCAAAUUCUUGAAUUGUUUUUCUGCGUAAAUUCUGCCAGUGCCUUUACUAAGAUUAAUCCCCUCAAUCUUGCCCGUUCCCUAUAAGCAAGAAUCAAGAGUCAUUAGUACUAUAUCCAACUAAAGUAAUCAAAUAUCAUUUGUUCAUUUUGUGAUUGAUGUGCAUUAAUGCAUUCAAGAGACUAGCAAUAUGUAGAUAUGAUUUUUCUUUUUAUGCCAAUAAACAGUAUUUAUAAAGGCUAACAAAGUGAAGGAUGUCAACUUCCAUUUCGAAAUUUGGCCAUACGUAAUCAGAUCUUAAAAGGAAUUAUGAUGUAAUGGCUUGUAUAGAGUAAAAACUUUACAACUUGUAAUCUUCUUCUUUCCGGUACUGUAGCUUCAUUAUCAUAAUAGUUAAGACAUGCGUGCAUUUAAUCAAAUUGCAAAGUGCAAAAUCAAAAUUUGGCUUGUCAAUUUUAAUAGAUUUAUACAUUUUCUCUUGAACUUUCACAAAUGCAAUUACAAUCACAUACUAAAUUAUACAAAAUAGUAUCUCUCGGACUUUUUAUGAAGAAAAAGUAAAACAUUUCUCCUUUUAAUAGUCAUUGCGUGAAGUAUGCUUGAUGAUAUAACUAUACAGGUAUACACGUGCAUAUAUAUUAUAUUUAAGGAAUUUCUGUUCCUAUCUUAUUUGGUAAGUUUUAAAUCAGUCCUUGUCUAUGAAUAUUGGUAAAUGAUAUUCCUAACGUAAUAUUACAUAAUAUUAGUGUCCCUUUCAUUCUCCACUAUGGAAUAAUGACUAAAAUUUCAUGAGAAAUGCGGGCACCAUUAUUCCUAUUAUCUCAAUUUUAACAUCUAGAGAAUAUAAUUCUAUGAUUUAUAUAUCCUAAGUAGUUAUGAUUUAUAUAUCAUAACAUCAGAAUUGCACAAUGCACCACCGGAUAAAAGGGGAAAAAAAACAGAUGUUCCGACGACAAAUUCACCGUCGCCACAACCCAAAACGCAUUUUACACACCUAGAAAAAAGUAUCUUCGUUGGAGAACAAGCGAAAUUGGCAUGGAUGAAAGGAUAAAUAAAAGCGAGAAAAACCUCGGAAGCGGCGAGUCGGCAAGCAAAACUUACCCCACCACAGAUUAGGUGUUAUUACGAAGACUUCUAGGAAAAAAGAAAAAGAAAAGGGUUAAAAAGUUACAAAUAAAACUCCUUUUUAUUUCGACACAUUCAUGACGCUUCAAAAUGGAAAUAACCAUUCCGACUACUCCAAAAGUCAGAACGGAAGGGCGACAAUGAAGACGCCAUGAGAUCCCGGCCAAACUGCUUUUGAUGAAAAAAUUAAUUUCUUGCCAUCGACUCUAAUAAUUAAAAUAACCAUAAAAAAGACUCGUUUGGUGUAACUUUUACUCUUCAUCUUUUGUUUUUUUCUCAAGAGCAUGCACUUUGGCUUCUUCUUUUUUUCAGUGGUAUAUCCCUGAAACUUGUUGACACGCCCAAUCGUACAUGAGUUUUUUCAUAGUUUUCUGGAAUUUGAGCAAUGUUUUGUCUUUUGACGGAAGAGCGAGAUAUUUAUUUUUGGUUUUUUUAUUAGUUGCGGCGAGCAAUCUAUCUCGCCCUCUGCUUCAGCUUGUCUAUUACUUGCCAAUAUCUUGGGAGUACCUGUUAAGUAGCCAGGCUGAAAAAAUAAAUUAUAAGAAGUGGUUUUUAUUAAAAGUAUUAAUUUUACAUAAUAUGAGAGCGUGAAAAUCGCGUGUUAAGUAACCUGGCUGAAAAAAGAAGAAGAAAAAACCUAUAUAUUAAGUGGUUUUUAUUAAAAGUAUUGACUUAACAUAAUAUGAGAACGUAAAAAUUGCAGUAGUCAUCUUAAAAGAAAAACAAAGAUUCUGUGAAGAGGGCCAUUUAUCAAAUGAAAAAGUCAUAUGUAGAAUUCAAGAUUUCACUGAUUAAUAUAUCAAACAAGAGAUUGAAUAUGUAUAUAUAUUGCAACGGACACUUAAUUUUAUCUAAUAGGGAAUAUUAAUAUAUGAGAGAAAACCCACAAAAGGAAAUACUUUCUAAAAGAGAGCAACCUCCCUACUUUCUAAUCACGUCAAUGAAACAUUCGAGGGCAAUGGUAGUGAAGCUUCUUAUUCCACUAGAGCAAGCACUACGUAGUCAACCAACAUUACUCUUAACCGUAGAACAAGGACUAAAUGAGAAAAAGAAACCAAACAGUUACCUUAUUAUGCUUUAGCACUCUUUCGACUUCCUCAUAGUCCCAUAACCUGCUACGGUACUGAGGCUCAUGUCGGUUUUCCUCACGAACUAUUUCCCUACCAAGAUCUCUCAAUUGGUCAUGCAUUCUGAGCACAUGAUCAUCUCCAACUUUUAUCAAUGACAUUAAUAUCAAUACUUCAAUUCCCUCCUCUGGGAAAAAGCCACAAGCAUCCCACAUGUAGGAUGCAAUAUUCUUGCUAGUGCCAAUGAAAAAACAAGCAAUAUCCAAGAAGAUUUGUUUUUGGUUAUAGUCUAAUGCUUCAAUACUUAUCCUUAACUUCUCUUGCACUUUCUCAUGAGGCACUUUUCUUAACUUUUCUAUUGUACCUCCCCAGAAUGCUGGCUUUUUCGUGCCCAAUAAUGAACCUAAAACCUCAAGGGAUAAGGGAAGCCCUUUGGUGAUGGAUACGACUUCACGAGUGAGGUCCUCAAAUUCCUUUGGAGGAGAGUCCUUUCGAAAUGCAUGUCUACUAAACAGAAUCAAAGAUUGAUUGUUAUCCAAUACCUCAUGUUCAUAAUUGUGGUCCACCCUAGCUUCUUCAAGAACCCCCUUGUUUCUGGUGGUGAUAAUGAUCGUACUUCCUAAAGAAAACCAAUCAUGGUUACCAGCCAAACAUCUCACUUGAUCGACAUUGUCCACAUCAUCAAGAAGAAGAAGGACCUUUUUAUCUUUAAACCUGGAGCGGAUGAAAUCAAUCCCUUCAUCCUUAUUAUGAACUUCAUUGUUUUUAUUUGAUAUAUCAAAGAUUAACUUAUUCUGUAAGCCAUGAGCACCACACUUCCAUAAUUCCCUUAUAUCAGCAAUGAAGCUACGAUGCUCAAAUUGAUUGGAUAGCUCAUUAUAAAUGGUUUUAGCAAGAGUAGUUUUACCAAUGCCUCCCAUUCCAUGGAUGCCAACAAAUAGGCGGGCAUGAGACUUAUCAUCCAGAAGUUCCAUAACGUUCUUCAAAUGACUAUCAAUUCCAACCAAAUUCUCAGAAAUAAUCAACUCCAACUUUUUCUUCAGUUCACUCAACACUUUUUGAACAACCAAUUUCACCAACUCUGCUUCAGACCUAAACCUGUCCAAUGUGACAAGAGUUCAAAUAUGUGGCAACAAUAAUUUUAUAUUGUUUAUCUAUUGAGAAUGUCGUAAUAAAUGAAUUCGGGAUAAAUUGAAAAAAUUUAAGAAUCAUUUUUGUCACACCUCCAUAUAUUAUCUUAUAUGCUAAGAAUAAAGUUUGAGAAAGGCUUGUGGUUGUUUCACAUGGCAUGCCCCCUUCUACUAUUACUCCGACAUAAUUUAUUAAAUUAGAAGAAACUUGAGGGCAUCACUUACGAACCUUGAAUACUCUAUAUGUUAUGAAUUUGAAACAAAUUUUAGACUUGUUGUUUGUUAAAGAUGUUAGGGAUGACGUGGACGUCACUUUGAAAACUUUCUAGAGCCUUUGAAUAAUCAAAAAUCCAAUAAGCCAACCUAGUUUGAGAGUCAGCAAUCAAUCAAUAAACAAGUCAUAACUUUUGAUGUGAGACGAUUUCAACUGUUGUAAUACCAAUCCAAAAAGCAGUUCAGAUUGUGAUAUUGUGAACAACUUGAAUGCAAUCGAGGGGAUUUCUCCUUGUUUGCACAAUUCUACACGAUUGCAAGUUUCUACUUGUGUUAUCAUUAUAGAUUGGUGUUCUUAUCAGUUUUCAUUGCCUCUAGGAAUGAUAAGUUCUUGUACUUUGUUUUCCUUUUGAGUAACUAUGUCCUUUGAUUUUGAUUGAUCUAAGUAGAAGAAUAAUUUUUUGCCAAAAUAAGAACAUUGAUUCAAUAUAUUGAGGUGUAUGAGAUAGAAAUUACUUGCUGAAGAUAGGAAAUGCAUUGAAAAUUAUUCAAACAAAUAUAUAAUAUAAAUAAUCCCCUUUUUCCUUCUUUUUUUUAUAUUUUCCAUCAUCAUAUAUAACUAAUGAAACAUUUCUUUCGUAAAAUAAUUUUAAUAGCAACUAGUCAACAAUAUUAAUGAUUUAAUAAAUGUAACUUGAGAAGAUAAAGAAUUAUGCCUUUGACAAUCACUAUGCACAGUUUAUGAUGUUACAAGCUCUAAAUAAAAAUCACCAAUAAGUUGUACUAUUAAUCUCAAAUAAAUAUGACUGACCAAAAAAAAAAUCUCAAAUAAAUAUGUGAUUAGAAAAGUUUGUGCCGAUGACGAGCGUGACGUACACUAUAAACAUGAAAAAAAAAAAUGGCACAAUGUUACAAAAUCUUUGGAUAUAAGAGUAAAAAUCCAAUCAAAAAAUCUUAGCAUUCAAGUGAAUGGGAUCAUACCAAUAAAAUCUAUAAGUAGAUUUGUCAAUAUCAUUAAAACAAAACACUAAAAAAAAACAAAGAAUAAUUUAUCGAACUCACGCUUCAUAGGAUCUUACUGCCAACCAGUAAACACCCGCACAUAUUAAAAGAAAGUAGAGAAUGCCUUGGCAAGAAUUUUUACCCAUCGGCUUCGUAUCCUUUCAAGUUGCAGACUUCAAGGAGUGCUUGCUUCCAUUUCUCCAAAAUCACUGGGUCGAAAGAAGACCUCUGAAGCAAACGCUUUGCACGCUCAUCAAAUGCCUUUCCAAAACUCCCGAUUUGAUGUCCCACAUCAGCUGGUUUGACUUUGUAGAAUAUAGGUAGCACCAUCUGCCCGUUAUUAUUCUUGCGCUCCAUUAUUUGAACCAGUUCAUCCAAGCACCAACUGCUUGUACCGUAAUCCACAGAGAAAAUGGGGAUCAGGNNNNNNNNNNNNNNNNNNNNNNNNNNNNNNNNNNNNNNNNNNNNNNNNNNNNNNNNNNNNNNNNNNNNNNNNNNNNNNNNNNNNNNNNNNNNNNNNNNNNUCAACUUGUUUAAGUUACUGGGGAAUUAUGACAGCCAUUUGAGUACACUUACUAUUACCUUUAGAGUUACUGACGUGUCAAAAUUACCGUAUAAACUACUCCAAUAAUCUAUCAACACACAGAUGAUAACUUUAUUACACAUUGCUCGAAUAAUCUAUCAACACAUGGACGGUAAUUGAUAUCAUUAGUGUGUUGAUAAGGGAUUGGGUUGAAAAGAUUUACCAAACCAGCAUUGAAGGUGAAAAUAGUUUAAUUAUUUGAUAGGCAAGAGGCCAAAAAAAUGUGAAAAAAGAAGAAGAAGAAAUUUAAACGCUUUAAUGUCUCCUAGAAAUGUACACGAAGUUACAUUUUUUGCGAACAUUUCAUGAUAACAAACACUACAAAAAGGUGUCAUUUUUUUCUCUGCUGCAGUAUUUCUGCCACCAAACACUCUCGUAUUCAAACACUUAGCUCAAAAGAAAAGAAAAUUGCAGAAGAGAGCUUCGGCUUCCUCUUCUUCAGGUCAGCCAAGUCAACCCAAGAGACCCUGGCUUGCUCCAAUCAAGUAGCCAUCUCAUGAGCUUGAAAAUAACAGAUAAUUGCUUCCAUCACAUCUUAAAUUACAUCCGCUCGAAUGCGAGAAAUCAAGCCAAAACCUAGGAUAGACAUCUUAAAAACCUUGGAGUCCUCCGCGCUCGUCGCCAGCAAACCCUUCUCCAGAUUCCACUCACGCCAUCCUCACCUUCCGAUAAGAAGAAAUCGAGUCAAAACCUCACAAAACCGAAUUGGAAAACAAUCUAUUAGACUUGCCCAUUACAUCAUAGAAAGAAUGCCCGAAUGGGAGAUGAACCUGAGAAAACAAAGCAGUUCAUCGGAACUUGAAGCUGGAACGGAAGCACGCGCCGGCGACCCUCCUUCGUUGGUCUACAUCAAGUAGCUUGAGAACCGCAGCCACCAGCUCUGCUGGAACAGAGCUGGGUAUACUCGGUCUGAUAGUCGGAGGGCAGGGGGGGAAGGGGCGGGUCUUCCUUUUCUUUCUGAAAAAUUGAAAAUUGAAAUAUUUUAUCGAACCCCAAGUGUGCUUGCUUUUCCCCCCUUUUUCCUCUCUUGCUUCUUUUAAGGACAUGUUUCACAGUGGAUUAUGAAUCUUCUGAAUUAAUAGGCUGACCCUUGUUCGGCUCUAUUCCUCUUUCCAUUUCGUUUCGUUUCUCCAAUUUAUUCUGUUUUAAUUUCGUACCUUCCGUUUUUUUUUUUUAAUCAGUUGGGUUGAGAAUUCUUUAGAACGCACAUGAGUGUCUACCGAUUAGUUUCAAAAAGUACUAGACUUUGUUAUAAUAUUCAUUAUUCCAAUGAAAGAAAGUUCAUAACACUUGGUACAGCAAAGAUUGGUCGGAUUGGUGGUUGGUAAUUUUCAAAGAGUACAUAAUAAUUCGUUCUUUGAAAUUCGUUAUGAGAACAAUAGGAAUCAAGGAGGUUCCUUUUACCUUGUCUCCUUUUUGCUAAGCAAAUGAAGAUUUGAUGAGACUAAACCAUAUGCUAAGAAUAUGUAUUCAGAUACCUUAUGUUCAUUCAUUUUUUGCACUGCUUAUGCCCGACGUGAACUUUUGAUAAUUGCUCUAAAAAUUAUCCAGAAAUAAAUUAGCAAGAAUUCUCAAAAUGAACAAAAGAACAAAAAAAAAAAAAAACCAACUCUAGACAGAACAGCUCAAUAACACGGAAAAAAAAUGAAGACGAAAAAAUUAAAGAGAAAAGCAGCGCAUUGAAAAAAGUCGUAAAUUUACUUUCAUGAAAUCCUAUUGAACUUUACAGGCUUUUUUUUUUUUUUUUUUGCGAACAAAUUUUUUUGAUCGAGUGGGUUCUACUACUAUAGACAAAACGCACUUUUUACACACCAACGUGUGUUGUCACUGAUUAAAAAGAAAUGAGGAAAAUCUAUAAGUUAAGCGCGCAUGUAUACUCGUGUGUUGAGAUCAUACGAGGUUCGUAAUGGAUCAAAUCGUUGCGCUUUUAUCUACCGGCAAGUGUGAUAAAUGCCUAUUGGUCUCAAUUUUUGAUCAAAAGGAUGAAGCCAAGAUUGAUUCCAAAAUAGGGAUCAGUAUUGAAUCGCUAGCUAAAAUCUUUCACGGAAAAACGAACAAUUUGGAAAAUUAUUUUUCAAAAAAUAAUCACUCAUACAGUUACAAAAAUGAAUGAAUACGAGAAAUUCUUGUUGAGUAUGCAAAUAUUUGAAUAUAAAUUAUUGUCAAUAAUGAAACAUAUUUCAUUAAUGGAUUCUUUCAAGCAAUGCGAGCAAUAAUUUUUAGAAGGAUAUUUUUCAAAUCAUUCUUUUUUCUUUUUCUUUUUUUCACGAAACAAAAAAAACUUUAAUUCACAUCAAUUUACAAAUAAUGUCAUAUAAGGCAUGAUGUUCAAGUUUGUCUAAGAAAUGAUAUUGUUUGAUUUGGGUCCAUACGUUCAAUUGUACAAAUACUCUCGUUCCACACCACAACAAAACGAAGUGGCUUGACUGGAGGAAAUUUUGCUCUAUUCGAGCAGAGCUGGUACGGACGCGUUGGAGGACUCAUGGGACAUCACAUUGAAACGAACGUGACUAUACAUUAGUUCUUGAAAUUGUAAUUUGGAGAAAAGCAAUGUGAUAAUUAAUCCUUAUUUACUUUUGAAUUAAAAAAAUUACUAAUGAAUUAUUCGAAUCAGCAUGUCACAAGAGCACAAGAGCAAACAUUCACGCAUGCUAAAUGUUGAGACGACAGGCCAAGCCCGAACUCGAACAAGCCAUUUGCCAUCACCACCCAAGCUCCAAACACUCGGCCGAAUAGAAAUACUCUGACCUCAUUGUUUGCCAUCACCGCCUGAAACCCACUCCCGUUCUGCGCGCCAUUUUUUUAUUUUAUUUUAUUUUCCAAUUUGUGACGAUUGCAUAUUGAACUUGAACAUAGAGAAUCCGAAAGUUAUUCGUGUCUAUGCUUAUCCUCAUCCACUUUCUGGACAGAUCACUACUCUUGUUACCAAUAAAUGUACAGGCCACAUAUUGCGAGGCACAAGAAUUCGUCCCGCUGCAGACCUUCACUCGUGCUUGGCUCGGCACCUGAAGAGCGUGGAGACUGCCAGGUUUGUAGCUCGUUCUUUCAACUAUGACCUAUGCAAGCUUGCCUUGCCAAUGCUGCUUUUACCAGGAGACGCACUCCUGCUGGAGAAGAUGGUCAUUAACGGUGAGAGCAGUGGAAGACGCCAAUCGAAAUCUCGAGUCUUUGCCACGGCUGGUUCUGCCCUAGAUGCAAUCUUUGCAGUAAAGUCUUGCUACAAGCUGCUCACAAUAAGGAGGUUGUUGGUGGCAGAACGGAUUUUCCAUGGGAAGUGAUCUGGAAAGUGAGGGAUCAGAUUAGAGUCUCUCUUUUUGCUUGGGAAGCAACUUAGGAACGAAUCCUCCCUUCAGAUAACCUACAACAAAGGGGCAAAAUAUUGGUUAACAGGCAUUUCCUCCGCAAGGAGGAGGUAGAAUCCAUGCGGCAUCUCCUCCUUCACCGUUCAUGGACAAGAAUGGUUUGGACAGUUUCCUAUGCUUGCACCGAAUUAUCUUUGGGUUAUUGGAGCUUUUAUGGAGCAAGAAAAGAAAGAUCAACUCAAUUCGUCUCUCUGUUUUUAGGCUUAUUUGGAAAGAGCUAAACAAGAGAGCUUAAAGUCAUACACUUUUGGUAUGGUGGAGACUGCAUAUGUAUAUAAAUGCCUUGGUCAAUAUAGUCGAUGAUUUAUCUUGUAUUUGAGCUCACUUUUGGUUUUGGGAGUUGUUCUUCUGUACAUGGCUUUAAUUUUUGGGCUCUUUUCUCAUAUGCGUUUGCACUCCCUUGGUGCCCUAUAGUUGAACUUCUGAUGUGUUAAAAGAAACUUACUUUUCUGAGGAUUUUUAAGUUACUCCAAUUACCCUAUAUCCCAACAUUGUAUCUAAUCGUGUAGUUUCAAACUAACAUCUCACAUAUGAUUUUGUGCUAAUCGGCAUAACCAUCUUCCACAUAGCAUGUCUUUAUUGAGCGCAAAAACACUCCAUUAACUCAAGGUCGUGAUUCCCUUUAUGAGUAAGUUCGUUGUGAUAGAAGGCUGCCUCUACAGCCUAAAGUCAAGAUCUAAAAAGUUGAAGAGAAACUUUGGAUCCAAAGAGAGACCAACACAUUUUCAAAACAGAACAAUACGACGGAUACAAAGACUAGCUUACAAAACUCAUUUGAAGUGGUAAAAUCCAAGUAUUUAGGCAAGUAUAUCACAGACACCUAACACAAAUAUUUCGCAUGUGACUUAGUAAACCAUUUUCAUUUACUUGGACUUAACAUCUUCAGCAUUACUCUACCAAAAAAUGGUGCUUAGCUUAAAAUGGCUAUCUAAAUGGAAAAAUAGUUGGUAAAAAAAAAUAUAAACUAAUGAAUUCCCACAUCUAAGCACGUGAACAAAUUGUUGUGAAUAGGGGCUCUCAUAACCAAGGCAAAGCAUCACAGAUGAGAUCAACAUUGGCUCAAUUCACUAUCUUCCAAGCACCCGCCAGUUAUUUUAUCUACUCAUUUUCUUUUGAUAACUGAGUUUUCAUUCUUAACGUUAGCUUGACAGUAAUAAUACCAUAGGAAAGUAGAGUUUCACUUACUACAUCGAGUCCAAGGAGUGGAAUUGCAAGUAUAAAUAAGUCUUAAACUUCUCCUAGGCUCAAAUAGUGAGAGUUCAAUAUGAUUCAUCGAUACAAAGACCGACUCUUGCAAUUAUGAGGGAUACAUGCACAAAAUGUGAGAAACUUUCCAGCCUAUAUCAAAUCUCUCCUUGCAAGGAACACUCAGCUAGUACAAGAAGAGUAGCUGGAAGUAAUAUUACACUGUGAGAGUCACAAACAGAAAUUGAAGGAAAACUAUAUAGAUGCAUGACAACAUUGAGAUGGUAUUGCAGGGGUUAAAGCUGCCAACUCCAUGUGAGCAUCUAGCAUUUCUGCAUCUGACAUAGCUAGUCUAUCUAACAUAAAUGACAUCCCCUCCAAUUCAAGUUCUUUAUCUUCGUGAACACUUUUGACUGGUGUACCAAAAAAGGCAGCAAGAUGGCAAUACAGGAGUAGGGUACACUUCCGGUUGGUCUAGAUGAUUGUCAGUUAUGUUUUGGAAUCUCCUAAGGCACCGAUCUUGUCUAGAAGUUUAUAGGAAUCUAUUGCACCUAUAGAUAAAAUCCCUUCAUUCAACUAAUAUCAGCUCAGGAUUCUUUACUUGCGACUAUGUCAUAUCCAAAUUUUCACUCCCAUUACCAUCAUUCACUCUUUAUUUUUGUGUAAAACACCAACUCCUUAGUUCAACGUGAUGUUCUCAUUCAGACUUUCAAGCACCUUACCCCUAUAUUCACCAACUCUCCAUCAAACGCAAUUUGAACGGGGUUGGCAAUUGAAGUGGUUUAUUUGAGGAAAAGGAUCGUAGCACAUUUAAGGAAAAGCAAAGGAGGAAUAAGGCCAAUGACUCAAAGGGUGCACACCAAGCCACUGUUGAAGAAACGAACACACUGAAUAAAAAAAAAAGAGAACUUUCUCGAGUCGAAGCAAUUACCAGGAGAGAUCGUCCACAGCCUCUGCCAAGUGAAGCGAUGAAGCACCCACCUUCGAGUCCUCCGUGACCAUCGCCAGCAAAUCCUUCUCCGGAUUCCACUCCACCUUCUUCACCUGCCAAUCGGAAGAAAUUGAGCAAAAACCUCACAAAACCGAAUGGGAACACAAUCCGAUCGACCCUUCCAUUAUUAGGUCACGAAAGAAGGCUGACCGGAGCCGAAACUGAGAAGCCAGAGGUUUGUCGAGCUGUAGCUCAAAGGUAAGCACGUGCCGCGACCCUUCGUCGGUCUCCAUAGCAGAAAAAGCUCCGGAAGCAGCUGAAAACGCAGCCACCAGCUGCUGGAGCAAGCAGCGAGGGGGUGUCCAAGGAGCUAGUGGAGGGUAGAGCUCGAAAACCUUAGAAGAAAGCUUUUCAGCUCUCAAGAGAAGACCAAGACAUUCUGCCUCAAGCUCUUCCCCACGCUUCUCCUUCGACAGCCGAUUACGCCUCCACGAGGCCGCGCACGAAUCGGAACCGCCUUCGACGGAGAGAACGUACCGGAGGCCGGAAACUCGGACCGUCGGGGAGCGGAGGAGCUGGAGGUCAACUCGACGAUCGUGAGGACGGCGGCGGGAGCGAGCGAGGGCUGGCGGAGACAAUGAGGAAGAGAAGAGAAUUUGAUUACGGGCCGAGCCGGGCCGGAUUGGGCCAUAAGUCGGGCUUAACUUCUUCUCCAGCUUCGUUCAUCAUACAAAAAAGAACCUAAGAGAUGACCCGACGGGCCGCCGCGGCCUCAAACGGUCCGGGCCGGGCUUAACAAGUGGCCCUUCGGGCCCGGGUCCCGGCCCGCCAUGCUACUGUUCAUGUCAAGGCGCGGCCUAUUUAUAGAGUUUUUAGGUGGGGUUUAGUAGUAAGCCACCGAGCCAGUGAGCUUCAGAACAAAAGGGAAAGAGAGUCUGGCAAUGUCAGAGAAACUUCUCGCGUAGGGUAGAGAAAACAGCCGGGCUCCGUUUUUUGGGAAAAAAAUAAACAAUUUAAAAAAUGUUUUCUUAAACUUAAUCAUUAUUCUCUCUUAAAAAAUGAGUCAAUGAGAAAAUAUUCCCAUCAUUAAAAACAAUUCCUACCUAAAUAUUUUUGUUGAUAGUGAGAAUAUUCGCCAUCCCCUCUUUUCCUAAGAUAUAUAAAUGAUUAAAAUGAGGAAAUUUCUUUUCCAUGUCAUUGAUUUUUCAAGAUGGGAACGGAGCCUUAGAGAGUUCGUCUUUAUAUGAGCUAGUUAGCCCCAAGUGUUUGGUAGUGGUGUGAGAAAUUCAAUUGUAAUAGUGAGGUGCGGCCUUUUGCUACAUAUAGCGUCGACUAGUUGUCCAAGACAACAUUUUGUUUGAGUGUUAUGUUUGUGUUGGUAUAAGUGUGUCUCGAAUUACCUAGUGCAAUUUUAUUGUAUUACUAGCACCACACUUUCGCACCCAUCAAUUGGUAUUAGAGCCAUGCUUCUUUGCUCAACUAGUGGUAUCAGAGUUAGACGAUCGGAGAUCGAUUGGACCUCGCUUAAGUCUUUGUCCAUCAGCCAAGUCAAGGCGAGUGAUGACAUAAUCGAGAAGAUUUUGAUGGGUACUCGGAGUCUGAAAGUUACAUGCAUAGGGUGUGAUCACAACAACUUUUAUUCGAGAAGCUAGAAAGAACUUAUGACUGGCAGAUGUUGGCUAGACAAGGGCAUAUCUAUGUAGGAGCCUGUCAUCAUUGAUAAUGGUAUUCAUCUGCGGACACAACUUUGUUUACUAAUUCUUCAUCAAAAAGUAUCUCUCUGAUGAAAAAUCCCAGAGAUUAAUUUUCCAUCAUUGAUAAUGUGCUAUUACCAUCUUUCUUAAAAAAGUCCUCCAAUUUUUCACAUGUAAAGAAUGCAAGGUAUAUCAUUCAAAGAGCAUUCUUAGAUUCUACAGAAUUGCAACCACAUUGGUCGAGUGCUAAGUAUUAAGUCUUGCUCGUUUGCUGCUUUCCACAAGCAAUACAGCUACUUUUCAGAGCGCAUACAUUGUUAAAUUAUUAUCUUAAGUUCCUCAAUAUCCUCCAUUCAUUCAUACUGCAGUUUAACAAUGAUGUUGGGUUACAAACAUAGUUAGUUCUAUAAUUACUAAAAGAGUAGCAGAAGCAAAUUUUAUAAGACUACACAACAUCUAUGAUAGAGGGUUUAGCCAAAGGUGUUUUGUGGGACAAAUGCAAAUCACCUUCAAUCCGUUUCCUAUCAAUAGCAAAGGUGAUCUUGGCCUUCUCUUCUUGUUUUCUUGGUCCUUGAAAAUUUUAACUGUAAUUGCUUCAAAACGAGCUCGUGCAAGAUUGCUUGUGCAUAGUUUGAUUAAAUAUGCGGUUUGCACUGGUUGCGGACCAAAUACCAAUAAUUUAUUUUAUUGAUAAUAUUUAUCGUUUCAUCGUAUUAUUAAGUGUCGUUGUUACUAUUUCUGCACUUAUUAUGCAUCAAGAAAGAAUACAUUGAUGACAUAAAGAUUUGGAAAGGAAUAAAUCAAGCAAGAUUUAAUCUUACAAUAGAUUCCGCUAAAGUCGAUAGAAAGUCAUCAUAAGGAUAAUUAACAAACACAAGAAACGAAAUAUCACACAUGCACAUGUCACAUACAUAAAAUCAGAUAUACCAAUGCAGCUCGGUGCAUAUGAUCAAACACAAAGCUAUCAAGUCUAUAAGAGUUUUUCCUCUAGAUUGGCAAUAAAUCCUAGAGGAAGAAUGAUAAAAUUAAACAAUUUCAGAUUUCUGUAUAUCUAUAAAUCAUUAAGUUCUUUGGCUACAUGAUACUCUUGUCAAGAAUACGAAACAUAAUCUCAUAAUCUUAAACCUACCACCUUGAUAGUAUAUAUCUAGCUAGUCAUAUCGAUUAUAGUAAUCCCAGAGAUCGACCCUUUCACAUGAGCGUAUUUUGUACAUUGGCUUGGAUGCAUCACUUAAUAGUGAUGUGUGGAGAAAUGAGUCAAUAUUAAGUGGGAUUUCGACAUUCAAAUGUAAAGUUCGUCGGUUGAUCACACCAUGUAAUCCAUUCAACCCAAAGUACAAACAAUCCAAACCAGACAUUUGGUUCUCGUACAGACGAAAAUAAUAAACAUAUAGGCACGAAGUGAAAGUUGGGCACUAUCGAAUAGUUGUCAAAGCUUGCAGAAAUACCAUGAAAACAAUCAACCCCCCCAGAUAAAAGCCAUGGGUCAGUAUCUUUCAGUCGAUUCCAUCUAAUUCAAUAGAUAGAUGCUUAAACUUUCAUUCUGCUUUUUCUCUUCGAUGAAUGCACGCCUAGCAGAAAAGUUUCAUGGCGGGCAUAAAUUAGAACUCUCCAGAAAGAGUGAAGCCGAAGAGCUUCAGUCAGAAAGCACAGAUGCAUUGCUUCUCACACUGAUGCCUGAGGUUUGAGCAUUAGAAGUCCGCCCACAAGAGCAACACAAGCAUUACCACUGCAAAUUCACAAAGAGACGUUCAUUCUGAUACAGAGUUUAGACGUUCAUUCUGAAUCAGAGAUUUUAUCUUUAUCCUCGUCUAGUAUGUAGACCGGGCCUACUUUCUUGCAGCCAAAACACAAGCGGUGCCUCUACUUGCUGUUGCCCAAAAAAAAAAAAAUCAACUUGAUUUCACUCUAAUGUUCCUAUAAUAUGGCCAUAACUAAUGCGAUGUUUUGAUACAUCUGUUGGGUAAAAGUAAUAAGUACAAUACUUGCAUCGCACUAAGACACAAGUGGAAAUAAUAAUUGUGUACCUUAAGAGGCUAUGGUAUGCAUGUGAACUAUGAAUGCUCUACAGUAUCUUGCUAUACUAGAUACCAUGAAAGUAUCUAUCAUCACUGACAUGUAAGCGCUAGUUCUUAGUCAGUAACUCAGACCACAGCGAACCUACCUUAAGAAGAUAAUUAUUCUUUCCGUAUUUGUCUGGCCACCAAAGAUUCAUCAUUUUUGCACUUUGACCUCCCAAUUGAUCUAAAAUUUAUAGGAAAACCUAAUACUUUAGUAUUUUGCUUCUUCAAAUGAAAAAAUAUUCUUUGGAGCAUAAAUUUGCAUGUUUCCAUUCAUCAAAACAAAAAAUGACAUGGUCCAAAAAGAGGCUCAACGUACAUAUGCUAGCCAUAUUCGAACUUAAGAGUAGAUUGUAAAAGUAGAAAUUUAGUACGGAGCAUGAACAAGAUUGAUUCAGUUCCACCAUCCAGUCAAUGAGAUAAUUUUGUUACCGACACUACUGGCAAGUUUAUCAAAUAAUGAUCCAGAAAGGAAAGACUAUGGGCAACGAUAAGUUACCAAACAUCCAGACUGCAAAUGGACAUGGUAAGAAGCUUGAGGAAAAUAGUUUUUUGAGUAUACAAUUGAUGGCAUGACAAUGAAUUGAUCCUUAGCUCGAUGCAAUGGCAAUGUGAAAAUUUCUCACCACUAACUGACAAGGAGGAACUGUAGUAUGGGGAAGGCUGCCAACUUCUCAUUCUCCAUCUUUAGGUGUAAGAGUCCUAUAUGUAUAUUUUCACUGGGUUAGUAUUUUAGAAGUGAGAAUGAGAUAACCAAGCAUAAGUGUUAUCACAAAAUAUAAGCAAAAGUGGCACUACUAAUCCAUUAGGGUAAUCAAAUGCACAUUUCUUGACAUACAUACAAGGCUCCAGCUGUUAAGAUAUGUUGGAACUUUUGAAGUUAUGGUAAGUUAGAAAGUAAAACAUCCUUUAAAAUUGCAGGCAUGAAAUGACAUGUGUAUGCGGAGUAAAAACUGAGCUACUGCUAGUCAUGCUAAUGAGGAGAGCAGAUACAUAACAAAUAGGAAGAACAAAUGAACAAACCUUUCUACAAGAAGUUGGAGUUCCAAACCCCAAUACGCUCUUCCUCUAAUUUUUUGAAGGCCCAAAAAGGUCUAGACUAGUUGACAAGUUUGCUAGGUAACGAAUUGACAAUACACCUGUUACUGGUUCAACAGGGUCAAUACCACCGGUUCUUGACCAGUACCACCAGUCCUUGACAACUACUGUUUCUGUUGUGAAACUAGACUUGAAAGAAAAGCACAAUAUCCUAGUCUUUUUUCAUUUUGCCAUUAAUGUCUUAAAAAGUGAAUUGACAUCCGUUGGAACACAUAAAACUCAUAAGCAACCUGUACUUAUCACAAGUAAGGAAUCAAUAUGCAAGCUUUGGAUCCACAAGUUACCUUCAGUGUGACACCCAGAUUUUCAAGCUCCGACUUCGAUGGGAUAAAUUGGGCAUUUCAUCGACGCGACUACAGUAUUUUUCUUUGAGUUGGCCACUCACAAGAUAACUAGACUAGCUGGGUAAGCUAUUAGGGACUUUAAGGCAGAUAGACUGAGAAUUCGACCAGAAAUCGACUUCUUGACCGUGCUUAUCUUUAGGGAUCAUUGUGGCACAGUAUAAAAUCGAUUUGAGAUCAAAGAUAGGUCAGUCGACUGAGAUGUGUGACCGAUCGUGGGUGACUCCACUAAAUUGGAAAAUUCUCGUUGAUCGGUACUAGUUUGAUUUUACUGUCGUUUUGGUACCAUGUAUCCGUAUCUGAAUCCUCGAGAUUUUCACUAUAAUCAAGAGUCGCCAAUGAGUCGAGUGGGUUCAUAGUGGCUCGAAGAAAAUCGACCACGGGUCAUUUGCCUUAAAAAGUUCUGAAAAUUACCCAGUAGUCUAGGUCAUGCUAAAAACGCGUCGGAGUGAAAUUAACCGCCAAUCUGAGUCCGAUUUCAGAAAUUGAAGAUUUUGUCAUGUCACAAUAAAUUUUAGGAAUGUCGACUCACCUUUUGAAGAAUUUUCAGCGAGUUCGGGAUUUUUACGGAAAAUCGUUGCGGACGAUGCGGAGAACGAGCGAAAAUUCGGAUUGGUCAAUUUGAAGAGACUUUUAGCAUCUAGUGUAAGUGAAUCGGUGAAUGGAAGUUGUUUGGGCUUUUUCUGAUUUCAAAUUGGACCUCAACCGAAUUUUUUUUGUUCAGAAAAUCGGAUUCCGAGAAAAAUGAAAUAAAAAUCAGUUUUGAAGGAAAUUCGUGAGAUGGAGAAAUCGAUUCAUCUUGGUCUUUAUUGAGACUUCAAAUUGUGCAAUUGGUAAAGAAUUGGACCCCAGAAUGACCAAUCGACGAAGUUGGUUGAAGUUGAGCAAAUGGUGUUUAUGUUUUGUUUAAUUUUCUCUCCAUUCUCCUUGGAUCCACGCACUCAUGCACGUACCCCUCUUCGGCCGACAACACCCAUGCACAUCUUCACUUUGAAAAUUGCUUUGGUCUUCAUUUCUUUAAAUGUUGACCAAUGGGACCCCCCUUCCUUCCUAUCCAUUUGCGGUCACAUCUCCCCCUCUCUUUUAUUAUUUCUCCAUGCUUCGCACGUUCCUCAUUACUUCAGCCGACAAUCUCUCUCUCUCUCGCACGAAACCCCCCUGCAGUCUUCAAUUUCUUCUUUUCCUUUGACCGGUCUUCUCUUUUAUCUUUUCUUCACUUGCUUCCCACGCCAGGGCAGCUGAACCCUACUCCCUCACGUCUUCUGCUUUCUUUAAUUUGCUUGGACGGAAGCAAACCCGCAGAAGCAGCCCCGCGAUUCCUCUUCUUCUCUGCCAUGCCGCACUCACGCAUGCCUCAUCCCCACCGAGAAUUUUCUUCCCUGUAGCUCACCCACGUAUUUCAUUCGGUCAGCAAAUCAGCAACUUCUUCUCAUGGUUAACUCCAGCAGCGACGAAAAGGAUUCCUCCGAGAGACCUCACGUCCCGCAAGCCCCGCAGCUGCAACUCAGCCCGGUUCCUGGUAGUUCCAUCACUGCGGCCACCGAAUCCAGUCAAACCGUGUCCAUUCAGCCACUGAUUUCAUCCCUGCAGAACCGAUUCAGCAAGGUCAGAAGCUCGGGAGCAGAAUACCCAACUCGAACAGCGAGCUUGUAGGCCGAUUUCGGCCUCGGUUUGGCCCCACUUGGCAGUCCUGCUUUGAGGUUUAUCGGCACUCGUCGCGUGCUCGUCAAUUUGAUCCCAACGGAUCUUUAAUCAAGUGAGUUUUACUCACUAAUGCCUUCUUAGUGUGCUAAUUAUACUUAAAGGUUGAUUAGUGUUAAUUAAGUGUAAUUAGGUGGUUAGAUUAGAAUUGAUUAGUGAUUUUUAGUUAAUUGCUUUGCAUAUUAGUUAUGUGAUUAGUGUAAUUAGAUAGAGAAUUGCCUAUAGUAUUUAUUGGAAGCUUCUUGGGAUUUUUCCCGUCCCUUAUCAGGUGUUAAUUAAGUAAAUCAGGCCUAGGUGGAAUUUUUAGGAAUUAAAUAUUAAUUUUCGAAAUUAAUUAUUUAAUUAUUUAUUUCCCGAAAAUUCAACUGGGAUGGCCAGUGACCGGGAUUUUAUGCUGAUGAUCGCAGUCCGUUUAUUUAAUUGAGUUUCAUAUUGUGCUAAAUUGGAAUUAUUAUGUUUAUUUAUUAAUUUUCGAAAUUAAUUAUUUAAUUAUUUAUUUCCCGAAAAUUCAACUGGGAUGGCCAGUGUCCGGAAUUUUGUGAUGAUUGUCGUAGAUCAGUCCGUUUAUUUAUUUGAGCUUUAAUUCGUGUCGAAUUGAUUUAAUGGUGCAUUUUAAGUUAUGUUAUUAAAUAAUGCAAUUUUCGCCUUGUGAUUAAGAAUUGGUCGGGUAUCGGUUGUCAGUAUCGAAAGUGAGUUGGUAAAUCACCUGGAGAAUGCAUGUGGCCUGGUGAAUUGGAAUGUCACCUGGGAAAGACACGUGGCUUGGUGAUUAGAUAUGUCAUCUUGGCGAAAAAGUAGCCUUAGAGAAUGCACGUGGCUCGGAGACUCGGUAUGUCUUCCUAGAGAAUGCACGUGGCUCGGUGACAGAGUAUGGCAUCGUAGAAAGGGGUCGAGUGGGACCAUAAAGCCACUAAAUCUUGGAAUGGUCGGGUGGGACCGUAAAGCCACUAGAUCAUGAGAGGGUUGGGUGGGACCAUAAAGCCACUAAAUCUUUAAGGGGGUCGGGUGGGACCAUAAAGCCACUAAAUCUUGGAAUGGUCGGGUGGGACCGUAAAGCUACUAGAUCAUGAGAGGGUCGGGUGGGACCAUAAAGCCACUAAAUCUUGAAAAGGUCAGGUGGGACCAUAAAGCCACUAAAUCUUGGAAAAGUCGGGUGGGAUCGUAAAGCCACUAGAUCAUGAGAGGGUCGGGUGGGACCAUAAAGCCACUAAAUCUUGAAAAGGUCGGGUGGGACCAUAAAGCCACUAAAUCUUGGAAAGGUCGGGUGGGACCAUAAAGCCAUUAGAUCUUGAGAGGGUCGGGUGGGACCGUAAAGCCUCUAGAUCUUGAAAGGGUUGGGUGGGACCGUAAAGCCACUAGAUCUUGAGAGGGUCGGGUGGGCCCGUAAAGCCACUAAAUCCAAGGAAUUGCUUGGUGUGGGAUGAAUGACCUAGAAAUGGUCCGGCUGGUAUGAAAUCGACUAAGUCGGUUAGAUCGAUGCUUCGAUCUGUGAUGUGAUUGCUUGUGUACCUAUAUGAUAUGUGCUAAUAUGCAAGUGGAAUUUGAGGCCAAGGUAAGUCCUCCGACUCAUGUUGUGCAUAGGCAGCCCUAAGGUGUAUUAGUUUACUAAUCGGGUCUUAGGGGAUAGAACUUGCUGAGACGUUGUCUCAGUGGUUAUUGAAUAACCAUUUUAGGACCUGGAUGAGGAGCCUAAGGAGCAUGAAUCUGGUGAGGAGAUCUCUGUUGAGGAACCCGAAGAGGAGUACAUGGAGGAGGACCCCGAGGAUAACUUCGAGUACGACCCGGAUGAGGACUGAGAUCCUGUCCUGUCUUGUCAGACCUUGUGUGCAUGUGAAUAGAUGUUAGACCAGAGUUGCAUAUAUAUAGUAUUGUAGAAUACUAUGAGAUGCAUGUAAAAAGGUGUGGUUGUAAAUUUUCAGUAUGAAAAAUAUAUGACCUGCUUUUCUAUCCCAUUGCUUUAUUGUCUGGGGAAUUAUAACUGCUUCCGCAUGUGCAUAUAUAAAUGAAAUGGUUGGCGAUACAUAGUCCUGGGAUAUCGCACAUUGUAAUCAACCAAAAGUAAGGGAUGUGUGCUUGCCUAAGGAUCGGGGCGUGACAUUCAGUCGGUACAACUCCUAGUUAUUUGCACAAGUGGUGGUGCAAAUGGAAGGCCAUUGGCCUGCAAGAUCAUCAUCCAGGCAUCUUCCAAAUUUUCAUGAGCAUCACUGAUCUUACCUAGCAGCAGAACAAUUUGACGUUCUUGUUUCCAGCAUAAUAUAUUAGUCACAUCUGCAAAUAAGGGCUUCAAAAUAAGAUAUGCCAUGAUUUUACCUUAUAUAGAGCCAAAUCCACACCAUAGUAAUUAGGAGGGAUGCACAACAAGAUUGCCUCCAAAGGCCUUCCCCGUUUCACAUUGCUUGAAUCGUUCAUAAAUCACCUCACCACUACUAUAUCAUUUGUAACAUCUAAUAAAGACUAUUUGGAAAGAGAUGUGAUCUGUAAACCCAAUUUCAUGAGUUCAAUUAGAUGAAGCAAAUUCAGAGGCAUCCUAUAAUUGUACUAUGCACAUGUAGAUCCCUGGAGAAAAUUGUAGUUUCAGAUUAAAGGUAUAUACCUAAUUGUACUCUGCACAAAUAUAUGAGGGAAUUGUGAUAAUAAAUUCAUAUCAAGAUUUUUUUUAAAAUAGUAAAAAAAGGCAUCUUGAUAGCUUCCUUGAAAAUUUAAUGAUUAAAUCAUUUCCUAAUAAAAAAAAUGAGGUACUGUUUUUCUAUACACAAUGAUCGUAAGCUAAACAGAAAGCUCAAUCCAACAAGAUCACCCAACUUAAGUUCCAAUUACAUUGUCAAGUAAUCAACUUGAGACCAAAUACGAAACACUAGAAUAUUAAGAAGAGGGUAAGUGAAAAACCAUUGUUGACUACAAAACCCAGAAGACAACACCCCACCCUCGAAGGUUUCCUUAUCUUGUUCUCCUUCUCACAUUAUAGUCUCAUAGUUCUAGCUACUCAGGCAAGGAAAUGAAAAAUAUUCGUACAAUUUUUUGGUAAUAGGAAAAUGGAUAGAAAGAUCUACAAACUCAACUAAUUGAUGAGUUGGAUAAUACCAAAAAGCAAAGGAUUGCAAUGUUUACACAAUCCAAAUUUGAAUCUAGGCACUCAUACUCAAACUCCCAUUAUGCAUACAAAGAGAUCAAAAAUUUCACAUUUGGUACACAUAUCAGCAAUGAGGACUAGACUUGAAAGGGAGAAAAAUCAAUCACUUCAAACAAUAGAUAGCAGUAAUAUUUUGUCCCAUAAUUCAUAUUUCUCCCACAGAGGUGGCAUGUGUAAGAACACUUAUGCAUGGCAAACAAGAUAUAGCAUAAACAAGAAGAAUCUACAAUGAAAGAGCAAUAAACAACACAUUCAGAUAUGAAUAUCUAUGCAAGAACAAGAUUCUAUUACAUUUCACAUUUCUUAUUCUUUUGCUAAUACCUUUGUUCCAUCUACUGAAAUUCCUCCAUAAGUGUCCUUCGCAAAUAUUCACUGUCCCCAAAACCUCCAAAUUGCUAUAAUUCUGACACAAUAAUGCGUGUAAGACAUUUUGCUGACUUGACCUGACAUAAAACAUAAAGGCAGAAAAGUGCAAGAAAUCACACUUUUUUCUUUAAAAAAGCAAGACCUUCCAAUCCAAUGAGAAAUAACAAUCAACAUGUCAAUUUUAACCCUCAUUACCUUGAGGAUAAUUAAAAUAGUGCUGGACCAACAAAAACCAGAGUUGACGACCUGCAAACCCCACUAACUUGAGUCAAUCUUCUCUAGUUGAAGUGCUCAAAGUAUUUAUGAAAACUGUAGCAAGAUGACAUGAAAUGAAGAACCCACAAACCAGGAGUCAUUUACCAUUGCGUAUCAUCAGUUUAGCAACUAAUUUAGAUGCUGCUAGAGCACAUGAAAACAAUACUAGGCUUGACAGCAUAUCAUUCUGACGUAUAAAGCAUGACCAAGUUCCAUUACACCAUGGUAUUAGAAUUCUCUUGCACACAAAUGGAUAGCACAACCCUGUGAAGGCCUACCAAAAUAGCUACUAGAGUACAUGAAGGCAAAUACCAAGCUGACCAUAUUUCACGGUAUCUAAGGAGUACUAAGCUAACCAACUUUUUCACUUUGAAGCAAUUAUAAGGACAGACUGUCCACAGCCUUUGCCAAUUGACACUACCUUCGAGUCUUCCGUGACUAUCGCCAGCCAAUACUUCUCCAGAUUCUACUCCGUCAUCUUCACCUGCCAAUCGGAAAUCAAGCAAACUUCACAAAAUCGAGUCGACCGCCUAUUAGUUCGCAAAAGAACGCUAGGAACUAGACCUAAGAAGCCAGUGAUUUAUCGAACUAAAGUUGAAACAGAAACAUGAUGCACUGCGGUCCUUUGCCAGUCUCUAUAGCUAAACCUUUGUGAGUAGCUGAAAAUGCAACAUUAACACUGGAACAAAUUGCAAGGAUGUGAGCUGAAAGAGGGCUUGUGAAGGAUAGAGCUCAAAGAACCUUAACGAAAGCUUGAGCCAGUUAAAGAGUGAGAGGGUAAGGAAAGUCCACUUGGGUCCUAGAGUAAACAAGUGGGAGAGAAAAUAAGGAAGAUAGAGAAACUUGAUCACAGGAGUGGAGGCGAACAUUUUCAAGUAUGCAAAAAACCUUUUACCAUUCCAAGUAUGCAUUGAGCUUCUGAUCCUUCUAUAUUUCAAUUCCUUUUAGAAGUGCCUGGCGAAAGCUCUCUCGGAUAUUUCAGCAUUUACAUCAACCAAUGAAAUAAUAACCGAAUCUUGCCUGUGAAUCAGAUGAAAUCAAUCCAGCAACUAACAUCAACGAACUAGGAAUAAUACUCUGAAGUUUAUGAAUCACUAUUUCUCAAACUACAUUUUCUUUUUGAACUCUUUGGAUCCAACUAAUGGGCCAUCUAACAUCAUCACCCACAGAAGCUUUGAUCAAAUUAACAUAGUGAAUUCAACUUAGGUUGCUUGCUUUUGCGGGACAUAGUAUGAUUCUUUUCCUUAUCAUUAUGUGAUAUUCAUGAUUAGAAUGAAUGCAAGGCAGUUUUCAAAUGGCAUAUAGGAUAUCGAAAAGUUUCCUCAUGAAACUUAUGCAAAUGCUUCCUGUCUUUUACUUUUCAACAAGUAAAUGAACUAAGAAGAGCUUAUACACAAUAUACGAAUUAUUUUACAGUACAACCGAUUAUGUCAAAAGACACUCCAAUAAUGUCUUGCUUGGCUCAAAAGUUCAAGUAUAUGACAGAUGGCUUUUCCAACUCUACAAAUAUCAAGAUGCAUUCUUUGGGAUAAUCUAUUAUUAGCCUUGGAGUAGUUAUAUCCUGGAUUCAAACCAAAUGAACAAGGAUCCAUAGUUAGAAAAAUUCGAAUUGCAAUUUUCUCGAUUGAUCCAAAUAAUUCACAAUGCUUUUGCUUCUACCUGAUUGUUAGUUCACUCACAGCCACACCAGUAGGAGAAGAGCUUGUUGUUGCAUUUGGCAUUUCUAGAUUGACAUGGUUACUGUAAUUAGCUAAUGCAAACAGUUCUGUGAAAUAAAAUGUAUGGAACUCAAUGGUUGGAUAAACUUUAUCCAAUGUUUGUAGUGUUUGCAUACCGAGGGAUGCCCUGUCAACGUGCUCCAUUUGCACCUUAAAUUCACUCUUAAGCAUAACUUAUAAACAUGCAAUCAUGAGCUCCAUGGUAAGGGCAGAGCAAACUAAAACCUCAAAUUAGGAGGACCGCCACAUAGGGUCCUUCAAUUUGCAUUUCUCAACCUGCACAAUGACCUUUGGCAUCCUAUUAGAGACUUGUAUAUACCAGUUUUUAUGCACUACUUCUAGCAUUCCAGAAUCAAUCGAACAUUGAGAAUCUUUAUUUUUCUGCAUAGGAUGAAGAAAUCUUACUCGAUAACUAAUGAAAAAUGAUUUGCUUGGAAAGCCUUUUCAUCCAAAUAAUUCACCUAGAGAUAUCCAGUCUUUCCAAAACUCCGGCCUAUCGAAGCCUUCAAUUUUGACUAAGUUUUUGCAGCCCUUAGCUUCUAAUUUCUUCAGCCUCUCGGAUUUUGGAAGGGAUAGUAUUUCUAUUGAAGUGCACCAAGAGAUAUCUAAGCUUUCCAAAUACUCCAACCUAUCAAGGCCUUGAAUUUCAGUUAAGUUUUUGCAACUUCUAGCUUCUAAUUCCUUCAGCCUCCCGGAUUUUGGAAGGUAUAGCCUUUCAAUUAAAGUGCACCUGUUGAUAUCUAGCCUUUCCAAAUACUCCGACCUAUCAAGGCCUUGAAUUUCGGCUAAGUUUUCGCAGCUUCCAGCUUUUAAUUCCUUCAGCCUCCCGGAUUUUGGAAGGUCCAAUCGUUUGAUUGAAUCACACGAUAUGACAUUCAAGCUUUCCAAAUAUAUCAAUUUGUCAAUACCUCGAACUUCAAGUAGAUUGUCGCAGCUUUCGAGGCAUAAUCUCCUUAGAUGGAUAAACCAUGAAACGUCCAGUGUUUCGAGAGAAAAGCAGUACUCGACGACCAAGGAUUCCAACUUGAAGGGUAUGUUUAAGGAUUGUGGUGAUUCCACUUCUUCAAUGUCCGUCGGUUGAGAGCAUUCUGAACUCUUUAAUUGCAUUGAUGGAAGCUCCUGGAUGCACUGGAGAAGUUCGCAAUUCUGAAGUUGUAGCGCCUUGAGAUGGGCUGGGUGGGAAAGCGAAGGCAAUUUGCGACUUCGACAGGUGACGCCCAAAUCUAUUAAGCUGGAAGGAAGGUCCGGCAGCGAUUGGAGGUUGUCGCAGCAUUUAAAAUCAAGGAGUCGUAGGGAAGAAAGAUUACACAUGCUUUCUACCAUUAUCCUUUUCAGAUUUCUGCAAUGGAAAGCAUGUAACUCUCGGAGCUUUCUCAGACUCCCAAUACCAUUGGGUAAUUCUUCUAUACCACUUUCAGAAAUAUCUAGAAUCUCUAGAUUCUCCAAAGACCCUAUGCUAUUUGGUAAUGCAGGAAGGGAUGGAGUAUCGGAUAGAUCGAGUUGCUGCAGUGCUUUUAAUUGACCUAUUUCUACUGGAAGCUCCCCGAGGCAGAAAUGAGGAAUGGGGCAUUCGGCGCCUGCGUCGGCGCCUACCGUGAGAUGAAGCGCGCGGGACGAGCCUAGCUCCAAGCGAAGGAGGCCCUCCGUGUCUUCAAUGGAAGCGUCGAUUCGCUUUAGUGCAGUACACCCACCGAGGAUGAGAACCUCUAACUUCUCAAAAGCUGAGAGGAAGUCAAUAUUUUCCAAGUAAUCACACCAUGAAAGGUCUAGAUAUUUAAGCUUCUUUGCCAUCUACGAAAAAAAAAAAAAAACACAAUAAUGAAUGUCGAUGGGUGAGUGUAGAGUCAUUAUGAUUCAAAAGAAAGCAUAAAAGAGAGGAAAAAAAGAAGAGUUUAAUUCUUACCUUGAAAAAAUUCCAUCCCUCCCAUUUCUCAUUUAUCUUGCUUCCUUGCAAUUCGAGUACAGCUAAUUCCUUCACAUCAAAAUUGUUUACUUCAAAAUUUGCAGGACAUUUUCGCCAUUGAAGCCAUUUUAACCUCUUCAUUAAGCCCUUAAAAUCUCCACUAAGAUGCGCAUUUAUCAUGUGAAGAUAUCUUAGAUUCGUCAAAUUCUCAAAUUUUUUUUCUGUGUAAAUGUCACCAUCUCCCUCAUCAUUUUCUAGCGAAAAUAUUUCGUCCAAGCCUUCUGCGCUGGCUUCACUCAGAUUAAUCGCCUCAAUCUUGUAUGUUCCCUAUAAGCAAGAAUCAAUGUUCAUUAGUACCAUAUCCAACUAAAGUCAUCGAAUAUCAUUUGUUCAAUGCUAUUGAUGUGUAUUAAUGUGUUCAAGAGACCAGCAAUGUGAAGACAUGAUUUUCUUUUUAUGCCAAUAAACUAUAAUCAUAAGGGCUCACAAAGUGAAGGAUGUCGACUUCCAUUUCGAAAUUUGGCCAUACGCAUCCGGAUCUUAAAAAUAAUUAUUAUGUAAUGGCUCGUCUAGAGUAAAAACUCUACAACUUGUAAUCUUCUUUCUGGAACUGUGGUUUCAUUAUCAAACUAGUUAAGACAUGCAUGCAAAGCACGGAAUAUAAUCAAAUUGCAAAGUACAAAAUCAAAAUUUUACUUGGUCAAUUUUAUAUUUCUAUUAAGGAGACUUUUUCUAUUAAGCAAUGCAUGGGUGAAAGGAUAGAUAAAAGGGAGAAAAGCCUCAGAAGCAGCAAGUCGGCCAGCAAAACUUACCACAGAUUCGGUGUUAUUAAGGAGACUUCUAGCAAAAAAAAAAAGAAAGAUAUAUAUAUAGUUUAAAAAGUUAGAAAUAAAACUCCUUUGAAGGAAAUAACCGUUCUGAGAACUCCAAAAAUCAAAACGGAAGGGGGAAAAUAAAGAGGCCACGAGAUCCCGGCCUAACCGUUUUUGAUGAAAGAAAUUAAUUUCUCGCCAUCGAUUCGGAUAAUUGAAAUAACUCAAAAAGGCUUGUUUCGAGUAACUUUUAUUAUUCGCCCUUUGCUUCGCCAUCGUUUUUGAUAGGAGAGCAAGAUAUUUACUUCUGAUUUUUAUUAGUUGCGGCGAGCAAUCUAUCUCGCCCUUUGCUUCAGCCUGUAGAUUUUGUCUGAAGGUAUUUUGGGAGUACCUGUUAAGUAACCUGACUGUUAAAAAAAAAAAAAAAACUCUAUGUGAAGUGGUUUUUAUUAGAAGUGUUGAUUUAAUAUAAUACGAGAACAUGAAAAUCGUGAAAGUCAUCUCGAAAGAGAAACACAGAUUUUCAGCGAAGAGGGCCAUUUAUUAAAUGAAAAAGUCAUACGUGAUAUACAAGAUUUUACUAAUUAAUAUAUCAAACAGGAGAUUUAAUAUGUAUAUAAAUUGCAACGUACACUUAAUUUCAUGUGAUAGGGAAUAUUAAUAUAUGACAGAAAAACCAUAAAAGGAAAUUCUUUCUAUAAGAGAGCAACUCCCUACUUUCUAAUCACGUCAAUGAAAAAUUCGGGGGCAAUAGUGAAGGUUCUCAAUCCUCUAGACCAAGCACUAAGUAGUGACCGACAUUACUCUUAAGCAUAGAACAUGGACUAAAUGAGAAAAAGAAAUGAAACGGUUACCUUAUUUUCCUUUAGCACUUUUUGGGCUUCCUUAUAGUCCCAUAACCUACUACGGCACCAAGGUUCUCGUUUGUUUUCCUCACGAACUAUUUCCCUACCUAGAUCUCUCAAUUGGUCAUGCAUUCUGAGCUUAUGAUCAUCUCCAACUUUUAUCAAUGACAUGAAUAUCAAUACUUCAAUUCCCUCCCCGGGGAAAAAGUCACAAGCAUCCCACAUGUAGGAUGCGAUUAUGUUGUUAGUGCCAAUGAAAAGGCAAGCGAUAUCCAAAAAAAUUUGUUUUUGUUCAUAGUCCAAUGCUUCGUAACUUAUUCUUAACUUUUCUUGCACUUUCUUAGGAGGGACUUUUUUUAACUUCUUUAUCGUAUCUCUCCACUGUCUCGACUCUUUUCCACACAAUAAUGAACCAAAAACCUCAAGGGAUAAGGGAAGCCCUCCGGUGAUGGAUACAGCUUCAUGAGUGAGGUCCUCAAAUUCCCUCGAAGGAGAGUCCCUUCGAAAUGCAUGUUUGCUAAACAGAAUCAAAGAUUGAUUGUAAUCCAUUUCCUUAUGUUCAUAGUCGUGGUCCACCCUAGCUUCUUCAAGAACCCUCUUGUUUCUGGUGGUAAUAAUGAUCUUGCUUCCCGAAGAAAACCAAUCACGAUUACCAGCCAAACUCUCCAACUGAACGACAUCAUCCACAUCAUCAAGAAGAACGAGGACCUUUUUACUUUUAAAUUUGGAAGAGAUGAAAUUAGUCCCUGCAUCCGCAUUACAAACUUCAUCUUUCAGCUUCAAUAUAUCGUAGAUUAAUUGAUUUUGUAAAUAAUGCAUGGCAUUACGCUUCCACAAUUCCCUUAUAUCAACAAUGAAGCUAUGAUGCUCAAAUUGAUCGAAGAGCCUGUUGUAGAUGGCUUUAGCAAGCGUAGUCUUACCAAUGCCUCCCAUUCCGUGGAUGCCAACAAAUAGGGUGUCAUGAGAUUUAUUAUCCACAAAUUCCAUAACCUUCUUCACAUGAACAUCAAUUCCGACCAAAUUCUUAGAAAUGUCCAACUUGAACUUUUUCUUCAGUUCAUUCAACACUUUUCGGACGAUCGAUUUCACCAACUCUACUUCAGACCUGUCAAAUGUGACAUGAGUUCAAAUAUGUAGCAACAAUAAUUUUAUAUUGUUUAUCUAUAGAGAACAUAAUAAAUCUGGGGAUAGAUUGAAAAACUUAAAAUAUCAUUGCUGUCAUACCUCUACAUAUAAUGAUAUAUGCUAAGUCUAAAGUGUGGUUGCUUCAAAUGGGGUGCUCCAUUUCAAUGUUACUCCAACAUAAUUUAUCAAGUCAGGAAAAACUUGAGAAAAACUUGAGGGUAUCACUUAUGAAUCUUAAAUAUUGUAUAUAUUUAGGAUUUGAACCAAAUUUUAAACUGGUUUUUUAUUUAAGACAUUAGGGAUGAUGUGGAUGUGACUUUAAAAAUUGUUUAGAGCAUUUGAAUAAGCAAAAAUCCUAUAAGGCAACCCAAUAUGAGAGUUAGCUAUCAAUCAAUAAACAAGUCAUAACUUUUGAUGCAAGAUGAAUUUAGGUCCCGUAACACCAAUCCGAAAAGUAGUUCAGAUUGUGAUAUUGUGAACUACUUGAAUGCAAUUGAAGGGAUUUCUUCUUGUUUGUGCAAUUCUACAGGCUCGCAAGUUUAACUUGUGUUGUGAAUUUAGAAUCAUUCUAGAUAGGUGCUCUUAUCAGUUUUCAUUGCCACUAGGGAUGAUUACAAGUUGUACUUUAUUUUCCUUUUGAGUAUCUAUGUUCUAUGACUUUAAUGAUCCAGUAUUGAGUUUAUAGGGAAGUAGAAGAAUAAUUUUUACCCAAAAAAGAACAUUGCUUCAAUAUAUGCAGAUGCAUGAGAUAGAAAUUACAUGUUGAAGAUAGGAAAUGCUUUGAAAAUUAUUUAAACAGACAUAUAAUAAAAAUAAUCAUUUUUUUUUGUCAUCAUCUUAUAUAACCAAUGAAACAUUUCUUUUGUAAAAUAAUUUUAAUAAUAACUAAUCAACUUUAUCAAUGAUUUAAUAAAUGUAACUUGGGAAGAUAAAGAAUUAUAGCAAAGCUUGGACGCUACCAUCUUAUGAGCUUUAAAUAAAAAUCGACAAUGAGUCGUUCUAUUAAUCUCAAAUAGAUAUGUAAUUAGAAAAGUUUGUGACAAAGAUUAAUGUAAUGCACCCUAUAAUUAGAUUGGUCAAUAUCAUUAAAGCAAUAAAAUUUAUUCAAGUGAAUGAGGUAUAAGAGUAAAAAAAUCUUUUGAUAUAAGAGUAAAUUCAUUAAAGCAAUAAAAAAAAUUCCAUCAUCUUAUACUAUUACAAAAUCUUUUGAUAUAAGAGUAAAAAUUCGUUCAAAAAAUCUUAUUAUUCAAGUGAAUGGGAUCAUAACAAUAAAAUUUAUAAUUAGAUUGGUCAAUAUGGUUAAAGCAGAAAACUAAAAAAGAAAGAAUAACUUAUAGAAUUCAUGCACCGUAGGAUCUUACUGCCAGCAAGAUCUUACAGUUUUUUAUAUAUAAAAAAAGAACGUAAAAUGAAGCAGGUGAGAAUUAGAGAAACCAACGUACCCAACGAAAAAAAAGAAUAAUUAGAACAGCCAGUAAACACCCCCACAUAUUAAAAGAAAUUAGAGAAUGUUUCGGCGAGAAAUUUUACCCUUGGGCUUCGUAUCCUUUCAAGGUGCUGACUUCAAGGAGUGCUUUCUUCCAUUUCUCCAAGGUCACUGCGUCGAAAGUAGACCUCCCAAGCAAACACUUCUCACGCCUAUGAAAUGCCUCUCCAAAACUCCCGAUUUGAUGUCCCACGUCAGCUGGUUUCACUUUGUAGAAUAUAGGCAACACCAUUUGCCCGUUCUUAUUCUUGCACUCCAUUAUUUGAACCAGUUCAUCUAGGCACCAACUACUUGUACCAUAAUUCUCUGAGAAAAUGGGGAUUAGAAUCUUACUGCUCGUGAUGGCUUUCAUAAGCACUGGUCUGAUGUCCUCGCCAUGGCAGAGCUCAUCAUCGUCUCUGAAAGCUUCAAUUCCGGCAUCAAUGAGCCCUUUAUCGAGGUGAUCGGUGAAGCCAUAUCGAGUAUCUGGGCCUCUAAAACUCAAGAAUACCUCAUAGCAGUUUCCAGUUAACGAAUUAGAUGCACUGUUGUUCGCUUUUGUCGGGGACGGACUGGAUCCAUCGGAAUUAGUUUCCGUUGGUGCAGCCAUCGAAUCAGAUGCACCAGUAUCAACAUCUUCUGCCUUUCCACGCACACUAGCUCUCUUCUUAUUGAGAAAAUAGAGCAUGAGGCCGGGGAGAAGGAUCAGUGCCACGAGCUCGGCAAAAGAAUACUCGAAAAUGAGACGAUGCAUUUCGUCUUUGCCCUGACUCUACCCUUGAUUUUCACUUUCAAGUGUGGUAGAGAAAAAAAUCGGAAUGCCUCUCAGGAAACAGAAAAUGCGUUAUUGUUGCCCAUUCUCUUGCGGUUUGAUUUAUAUAAUGAAACCAAUUGGCAACCAGAUUCGCACCAACUUGUCGGGCUACAUAUAAAUUCGUAAUUCAUUUACAGGGAACCGCAACCACGUGCUUGGAGUCGUUGCCUUCACAAUGCUCAAGGGAAUCCGAAUAUUAAUAAUAGACGGGCUGUUCAAAUUUCAAUACUCAUAAAUAAAAUGGUGGAUUUGUUGGGAAGAUGAAAAGUGGAGAGAGAGAGAGAGAGACUUGGGACGAGAGCGGAACAUGGAUCUGCGGGAGAAGAUGAAAAGGAGAAAGACAAGAGUCCAUUUCCAGAGAUGUGCUCAGAAUAGAUAAAUAUAUACAGAGCGUCGAAAAGGUGAUGUUGGGCACACCGAGUCCAGUGCCUAAAUGUUUUUGACCCUUUAACAAAUCAAAUUCAUUUCUUUCGAUAAUCCAAAAUAAGCACAUAUUUGUGUGCCCUUUUUUGCUAGCGAAUUGAAUAAGCGAACUAACUAAUCUAGGUGGAUUGAUUCCUAAUUUUUUGAUCAAACACAAUUUCGUUUUGGAUAUAAUUUUUCAUGUCACUUUGAUGAUGUUGAUCUUUUUUCUGCUUUAGAAAUGCCACAUCAAACAACCAACAAUGUUUUUGAACAUAAGGUUAACAAGGCAAAUUUGAGAUUAGUCAGUGAUUUUUUUAGAUAAAAAGAUGUUUAGGCUGGGAUUAGACAACAAGUUUAGGAUUUUUUUAGACAAAAAAAAAAAUCGAGGACAGAUUUAAGAUUAGAUCCAAGGUCAAGGAUUUAUCUUUUUAGAUAAGAAAGUUUGAGAUAAAAUUAAAACUGGAUUUAAAAUUUGAGGGUUUUUAGGACAUUAGGCCUAUAUAAAAAGAGGGAAGAGAAAAUUGAGGAGUUUUACCUAUUUAAGGGCAGAUUUGCAAUUAGAUAGCAAAUAAUUUUAUUUUUAUCCCUUUGCACUGUGGCUCAGUUCCACCAGUCCUUGAUUAACGUGAGACUAUCGCUCUUCUCUAUCAAAUUUGUCUAUUUCUUAUUUGGAAUGAGUGGCUGGGCCUAUCACACUUCUCUUUACUUAAUUGUCAAGUUACCAAUUAAUUUUUUUUUAAAUAUCAACGUAUUGAUUUUGUUUAGCCAGAUUUAUUAAUUUCACAAUUAAUCAAUCAAUCCAAAGCUAAAUAAGUAAAUCAAAAUUUACAAUUUUUGCGACAAAUGUUUUUGAUCGGUUUAGUUUAGCUAUUGCUCUAAUAUUUGUUCCCUUCUUCUUGACUUGGUCAAAAAGUGGGCUUUUAAAAAGAAUGAAAAAAAAAACCAAAAAAAAACAGAUAUAAGGGUAAAAGCGGGGGGGGAGUAAUGAUUUAUUUAACGAAAUGCGUGCUUCUUGCGCGUUCACUUGUGGUUUGAUUUAUAUAAUGAAACUAAUUGGCAAUCACAAUCAUCCCGAUAAGUCAAGUUUGUCGAGCUACAUAUAAAUCAGUCAUUUAUUCACCGGGAACUGCAACCAUGUGCUUGGAGUCGUUGCCUUCAUGUUCCUCAAAUCUCAAUGCUCAAGGGAAUCCGAAUAUUAAUAAUAGACAAGGGCUCUUCAAAUUUCAAUACAUAUAAAUAAAAUGGUGGAUCUGUGGGAAGAGGAAAAGUGGAGAGAGAGGCUUGGGAUGAGAGCUUGACACGGAUUUGCGGGAAAAGAUGGAAAGCGGGGGGAGAGAGAGAGAGAGAGAAGGCAGAGAUUCGUCCGGUCCAACACUUUCCUUACAAGUGCCCCGGGUAGAUAAAUACAAACAAAGCAUUAAGACAGUGAUAUUGGGCACGCCCAGUCCAAUGCUUGUACCGUUCGACUUUCCUCUUCUUUUGUUUAUUUUCCAUCAGAAAAGUCAUUUUAAAAAAAACAUAUAUUUAAGCUCUCGAUCCUACUUAGGGAUUUAACCCCUCUCACUUUGAGCCUUUUAAAUAUUAUACUAUCAAAUUGAUAAACUCAAUUUCAAGACUUAAGUGUUCAAUGAUUAUUUAUGCUAAAAAAUUAUGUUAUUAACGCAUGUUGAGGAUCAUAAAAAAUUAUCUACACGCUAUAUAUAUUUAUUUAUUUUAUACUCGAGCAUAAUGAGAAGAAUUUCUUUUUUCUCUGUUUAUGCCUUAAUUUCUCCUUCAAUUCUCAUAAAUAAAUCAAAAUGCCUUUUUUGCUUUUGAUUUUACUUUAUUAUAUAAUAUUUCUUUAUCGGUUUGAUUUAUCUAAUCUAAUAAAUUGGCAUGUGCUAAUAAUUCAAACUUACAGAACUAGAUAUAAAUUAGUAAUUCAUUGACCGCACCACUAAACAUAUAUUUAUGACCAUUGCCUUCACAUGGUGGAAGUUUCAAUGCGCAGAAAAAGUGAACUUUUAAGGAAACAUAGAUGCUACAUAAGUAGAUUAAACAAAUUUUAAGUGGAAUUGCAACUUUUCCUCUAUGUUAUUUCCUCAUGCGUGCCCCCACAAUUUCUCUCUCUCUCUCCCUUCAUAUUUUCCUUUCACCUGCUUUGUUCUUCUUUUCUUUCUUUCCUUUCUUUCCUUUCUUUUCUUUUGCAGACCACCUUCUCAUAUUUUCUUUAUAUUUAUCUCUUUUGCCGAUUAUAACCCUCUCUCCGUAUCUCCUUUGAAGAAAAACUCCAUCCUUUCCAUCCUUUCCAUUUUUGAGCUGCCUUUGGCAACUAUUGCCUGCGGAAAAAUCGCCCCCCCCCCCCCUUGCUUAAGAUGGAGAUUGCUCUCUCUUGACCUCUUUGGCCGUGAAUUACGGGCUUUGAAUGCCGAGGUUGCCCCCUUCUCAAGAUGGAGAUUGCUCUCUCUUGACCUCGUCCUGUACUUAUCGUUCAUUUUGGAUUGGACAUAAAAUUUGAAAAUCUUUUUUAGACGAAAAAAUGGAGCUGAGGUAGCAUUCAGUUUAAAGUUGAGGGUCUUUUAAGACAAAAAGAAAGUUAAGGAUAAAAUUAAAAUUGAAUAUUAAAUUUGAGGGUUUUUAGAGAACUAAGACUGUCUCUCAUUUCUGGUCCGCAUUCUGAGGUUGACGACUGGAGGUUCGGUGGUUCCAUCCUUCGGCGAUGCUCCUAGGUGUUCUUCGUGUUUUUCCUAGCGGGUUAAUGCCCUUGUCUUUUUUCAUCGGUUCCCCUUCACUUUUGCUAAUCGGCUAAGAAUGUAGGUUUUGGAUCCGAUCUUUUGUAAUAUUGUCCAUGCUCUAUAAAAUUAUUACCUUUACCAAAAAAAAAUAGAGAAAACAGAGUCGAGGAGCUUCACCUGUUUUAAUCACCCAAGAGUAGAUCCGUAAUUUUUUUUGAGCAAGAAGAGUAGAUCCGUAAUUAGACAGCAUGCAAUAUUCUUUUGGUGCCCUCGCUCGAUGGCUGGGUCCCACCGGUCCUUACUUAACUUGAGGCUACCCCUCCUCUUUGCUAAGUUUUUGUCCACUUCUUAUUUUGAAUGAGUGGCCAAGCCCACCACUCCUCUCUCCUUUAUUGAUUUCACAAUUUCUUAAUCAACCCAAAGUCAAAUUAAUAAAUCAAAAUUUUCAAUUUUUUUUCGGCUAAUGAUUUUUCUUGGUUUAGUUUAGCAAUUGCUGUAAUGUUUUGCCCUGCUUCUUAUCUUGGUCAAAAAGUGGGUUUUUUUUUUCGGAAAAAAAAAGGAGAAAUAUAAAGGGAUAAGGGAGAGAACGCACCAGGAGAGGAAGGAAAAGAAACGGAAAAGAAGAGAAAGAAAGGGACAGAAGAAGAAAAAAGAGAGAGAGAGAGAGCGCAUUGCACAUACAUGGGACCUCGCCAAUUCAGAUUUAUUUCGAUUUGCAAUGCCUGAUGAGGGUUUAAGUUUUUUGUUUGUUUAAUAGAAGUAGGUUUUGAAAUUAGAUUUGAAUUACGAAAACCGAUUUUGAAAUUAAAUUUUGUAGAAGUAAUUGUGAAGAUUUGUGGGAUUUGACGGGAGAUAGUUUGAAGUAACUUUUAGUUAAAGCAAAAUUUCUGAGUUUUGCAUGCAAAAUUUUGAAAAAUCACAAUGGUGAGCAAUUUGUUGAUACGUGAGAGUCAAUUCGCUGGAGAUUGAGUUUUCUCCAAAGAGGGUGGCCCCUGAUGGUGACUUUUGCAGGGUCCCCAAAGCUGGUACCUUUGCACGCCUGCUCUUUAAAGAUAAAAUGGUUUUUCUUACUUUAGUUCCCACUUGGACAAAAUUGCUCAACUUCAAAACAGUGCCGAGCUUUUUGGCUUUGAAAUGGAAAUGAUGGAGAAAUUUAACUGUAGAAGUAAAAUUCUUGGAAAUUAGAGUGCAAAAGGAAAAGUUAACAUUUUAAACGAACUUUUUGCUCUCUGUCCAUUCCUAACGCGUGCCCCAACACUUCUCUCCCUUCAAUUUUUUUUUUUUCUUUUCACCUCCUCUGUUCUUUUUUUAUUAUUAUUAUUUUCUUUUUGCCGACCAGUUUCUCAGUCCUUGUUGCCCAUUCUCUUCUUGUUACCACAUGGACAUUAUUACGUCAUUAUUUGACCAAAAAAAGAAAAAGAAGAAAUUACGUCAUCAUACUAAUUGUAGGUUGAUGGACAUUAUAUCGUAAAUAGUCAUCAUACUAAUUGUAGGUUGAUGGACAUUAUAUCGUAAAUACCCUUUAACGGUACCUUUUUUUUCCCCGACAAGCAACUUCGGUAGUGAAUUUGGGUUUUGCUACCUUUACAAACUGUUUGACAGUCAACUUACAGCUAUAACACUUUCAAAGUUUCGACACUUUCUCGAUGCAACAACGAAUAUCGACUUUCAAGAUAUACAUUAUAACUCAAUAAAACUACAUCAAUCGGACCUAAUCUCACCAUUGCACGUGUAUUUUUCUCCAGUCAAGUCACUUUCCCUAAUAUAUCAUGUGUUCGCGAUGUUCGCAAAACGGAGUCACAUGAAGAUUCCGUCCCCUUGAGCGUCAAAUCAUACAUACACCGUGUUUCGUUAUUAAUCAGUAAUUUUUUUUUGGGGGGAUUUGUUAAUUACUAAAUUGCUAUUUCUCACAAUUUUUUUUUUUGUUGAGACAAUUUCUCACAAAUUACAAACAAAGAAGAGAAAAUAAGCAACUGGCUACUUGCUACCACCAAAGUGAACGAUCGAAACCCAAUGUGCUCAUGCGUCAUUUUGAACUAAUUUCAAAUACUUACUCCCCCAGCCGAAAAUUUCCAUCAACAAUUUUCGGAAAAAGAAUUGGAAAACCAACAAUAACAUAUAUGAUAUAAUAUGACUACAUGCCAUUGUUCUUAAAAUCCAGCUUUACAAUGAUGACUAAUUCAGGAAAUCGCCCUUUCUGCACACUACAAUUAUUUACAGUAACACCAUAAAAUAAAAAAUGUUUUUAUCCUAUGCUUAUUAGAGUCACUUUUCAUGUCUCAACUAUUUUCAAUCAAGCAAACCUAUUGAAAAUAUUCCCACUUUAAAGGUCAUGCUGUCAUUAAUAUGUUAUCUCAAUCUAUAAUUACUAGCGCAUAACAUUAUAAUUCACAAUAAUUAAAAUGAUUGUCAAAUAAUUGCAAAUUCAUACUAGUUAUGACCAACUCAACUUAUUUAUCGAGGAUCUUAAAAUUAAUCUCUUUUCUUUACAGAAAAUGGUAGAAAAACAAGAAGACAAUUUUUCAUAAUCAAUCUCAUCCAAUAAUGAUUUAUCGAAAUAUAGAAUCGAUUGCCCUUCUGUUGAGAAGCUUCAAUGUGAAUUUUAUGGUAUACCUACUUGGCCCAAAAAGACAAAAAAGAAAAGAAAAGAAGAGCGAAUAAAUACCUACUUUUCUAAAUUAUGUUGGAUAAAUAAAUUAAUUCAGAUCUAUUCACUAUGAGCCCAACCGAACCCGCGGUCCAGGUCACACGAAAGCGCGUGGAAUCUUCAUCCUGCCGACGUAAUCGGACAACGGUGCCAGCCGGCAGACCAGCCCAGCUGUACUACCGUGGAAUUACACGUGUCGGCAUCAGGAGCCUCCACCUCGUCGUCUCUGUAAUGCGACGAGCGGAUCGCAUGCAACAAGAGAGAGAGAGAGAGGGGGGAUGGGCGGUGGUGAUGAUGGGACCCACCUGAUACAAAGGCUCGUGAUUAUCGCCCGCUUCUUGUCCACCUUUGAAAAGUCAACUUGCUCUUCUUUCUUUUUUAUUUUUUUUAACGCGCCUUUUUUUGGGUCGGAAUUUCUUAAACACGCAAGAAUACUAAAGAAUCUUGUUGAUUAACAUGUUUUUAAAAUAUAUAAUGACUAAUGGAAAGAGCAACGAUAGAGACUGAAAACUGGGGCUGACCAAUCAUAACGAGCGUAUUCAGCGAAAAGUUAUUAUAUGAAUACAUAUAUAUAUAUAUAUAUAUAUAUAUAUAUAUAUAUAUUAAGUUUGAAUCUGAAUCUAAAAAUCAGGAAUUUUAAGUAGGUCUUACAAGAAAUUUAGCGGUGCAGAAACUAUUCAGUACAUUUAAGAAGUUCAUUGAUUGAUACAUCAUAUAUGAUACUUAUUAGUUGCUUCAAUAAUCCUUUUUCCAAGUAGGAUGGUUCGAUUUCAUAGCCAAUUGCGUAAAAUAUUUGCUAAAACACUCGGUUAAUGAGGUUCCAUAUAUACGAAAGUGAUGAAAAAGAAACGCCAAAGCAAUUGGAGCGUUAUGGGGAGUAAAAAAUCGGCUGUGUUUAUUUCAAUUUGUACCAUUUAAUAUGAAUAACUGAAAAUAUUUUUAGAGGAAAGCUUUUCUAAAAAAAUUGGACAUGCAUGGAGUCUCGAUUUACUAUCCAAUGGACCUUAGCUCUUCGGCUUUUGAAAUUUAUUGGAUCGAUUCCUUAUUUAUAUUUUGACCGAUGGGUUUGCUUCAUGCCAUGGGUUUUCUAAUGCAAAUAGCUAAACAUGCAAAAUAACAGCCUAGAGGAAUUAAGAUAUUUCUUCUAAUUAUGCAGAGGAAUAGCAACAGUAAAAAAAUCACAAUUUUUUGUAUUUUCAAAGGGUUAUAAAGGUAUUAUGACGGCCUACGUAUUCAUGAAAAAAUUAAUUUAAAACUGGCUGAGUAAUGACUCGCUUAUUUAAAUAAUUCUAAUAUUAAAACGACGAUAUUGUUAUUUAUGGGUUCUGGAACCCUUUCCCCCAUUUCCCUAUUAAUUUUCUUCAAUCCAUACACCCUCAGAAUUGGAAAAAUCUUCCAGUUUGAACCUCACCGAAAUUCUUUUUUUAUAAAAAAAAAAGACCAAGUUAGUGACUUGAAUUUAGGAGAAUAUUAUUUAAACAGAAUUGAGAUGAACCUUGUAGGUGUUUAAGGUGUAGAUAUUUUUCUUACAAGGUGGCGCUAAUGCUUUGCGUGCAUCUCCCAAGUCCAGCAUACUAAUACGUCGAAAAAAAGUCAACCAUUGGAAUGAGCAUUGUCCUUAAUUGCGUUAAUUUUAUGCUUUCGCGUCAUUUGCUCUGUCCCCCGCAAAGAAGAAAACAAAUGUCAAUUUUGGAAUUACUUGAAUUGGGUAUGGGAACAAAAAUGCACAUUUCUUGUUAAACUCUGAUUAUUGCAAUUGUGCUUGUAUCUAUUCUAAUUACCUCUUUGGAGAGUUAGUGUUACUUUAUGUAACAUGUUAAUUGAAGAGUGUAUAAGAGUAUUAGCAGUAUAUGGUUAUUGAUGUUGAGAUUUAUUAGCUUCGAAUACAAGCAAUACGUGUUACGUGAUAACUACUUAUAAGAUUAUUAUUGGAUUCCAGCCUUGUUGGUCUAAGAGAGUCGAUGUAAGCUUAAUAUAAACUGAGCCUAAUAUAAACUGAACCACUAUAACAUCUGGGUGGGACAACUUUUGUCUCUUAACUUAAAUUUAUGUUUGGUUUAUAGAAGCAUAAUGUCUACAAUAUCAUCAAAUUGUUGUUGCAUCUCUCAAUCUGCUCCGGCAUCUAUCAAAACGUAACUAGAGUUAUUUAACGAAAGGAUUAUUAAGUUUUGUGAUUCGACCUUUUCACCUUGUUUUAAGUUACGUUAUUAGCCUCAAAAUUAUUUAGUUAUUGCGAUGGGCUAUUUUUUAUUAAUAGGAAAGAGUAUUAUAACAUGAAUUCAGUUUUCUGCUUUUCAUUUUUGGCUUCUAUUUUUUUUUAAUGUCCUUAUUGCUAUGGAAUUUGGAUUCCUAACACGGGACACUUUCUGGUGCGUGCUUUGAACGAAUAUGAGUUCUAAUUAAUAAAUGUCCGCAGGACACUCCGGUGCGUGCUUGAGCUAAUGUCCUUUUGAUUGCGGUAUGUUCGAUGUGUUUCUACAGGAGGAAAGAAGAUGCCGCUUGAAGAUGCCUUGAUGCGAAGCGUACAUACAGACAAAAGUAAGUAAAAAACUGUAUUAUACAGGUUGGCAAAUUGACAUUAGAAUAAUGUAAAUAGGAGUGCCUUUCUUACGGCUCAAUUCGACAGGGAUUAACGUAAACGAAGUUCCUGUCUAAUUUGUCGGUUGCUGAAGGUUUAUAUAUAUUUGUUAGGGCUAGUUGAAAUAGCUGCUAUUGAAUUGUUUUAGCGAUAUCUAGAGACGGUGGCAAUUUUAAGCGGGAAAAUUGCUAACAUAAGUAUCUUACCCACACUUUUUAGCAUCUAGUCAUUUUGUAAAACAUUUAAGCCAAUUUUCUUCUAUUCAAUAAAAUUUCUUCACGGUUAAAUAUAUAUAUUGUAUCACAUCUGAAGAAAUAUUCGACCACUAUUAUGAAGAAACCUUUCUAAUCAGUGAAAUCUUAUUGAUGUUUUUGUAGAGAUUUCAACCCCUUGAUUAAAAUAAUGUUAUGCAACUUUCUAUUAAAAAAGAAAAAGGAAAGAAAACUGACGAGAAAUAUUCACAUGCUCCAGGUGCUAAUGUCCAGGAGUCAAUGACAAAAACAUAUUACCCAAACGCAAGAUGACAAAACCAUAGCAGUCAGAUUGGAUUUCGUUCAUAGAUAUCUAUAGCACGCUUAAUAUUCAAAUAAGGAAAGUUUAUUCUCAAACUUCAAUCUGAUUUUUUUCGAAAAUCAACACUUAUAAACUAAUACAAAAAAAAAAAGGCCAAUAAUUGAUGGCAAGCUUUAGUCAAGGCGUCUUUUGUCUUUCUUAUAAAGAGAAGACUGAUGACAUUUGCUUUACGGGCAUAUAAAUCCCAUCUAGGUCACAUCUUCCACCUAAAACACUAAUAAAAAAUCUCCCCAAAAACAUGAGCAAAACUUCUGCCGACUUUUUACAAUAAAAGUCGCAUAAAACCAAAGUUUACCGGCCAUCUAUCUAACAAGAAUCCAAUAGAAUCAUUUGUGGUUGUUGUCAUCUGAAAUUGGACCUGCUACUGAAAAAUUGGGAUUUUUUUAAUAAAUAUUUGCAGCACGCUUAAUAUUCAAAUACAAAAAGUUUAUUAUUUUCAAUCUUCAAUCUGAUUGUUUUUAAUCAACAGUUAUAAAUUAAUACAAAAAAAAAAAGGCCAAGAUUAGAUGGCAAGCAUUAGUCAAGGCAUCUUCUUUCUUUAUUAUAAAGAGAAGACGUCACUGAUGACGUAUGAUUCACGAGCAUAUUAAUCCCAUCCCUAUCAUAUGUUCCACCAAAAACACCGUUGAAAAAUCUCCCCCCAAAAAUAAGAGCAAUAAUUUCACCAACUUCUGAUAAUAAAAGUCGCAUGAAACCAAAGUAACCGGCCAUCUAUCUAGCAGGAAUCCAAUUAGAAUCAUUUGUGGUUGUUGUCAUCUGAAAUGGACCAUCCACCGAAUGACUUGGAUCUUUUUAAUAAACAUCUAUAGCACACUUAAUAUUCAAAUAAGGUUUAUUAUUUACAAUCUUGAAUCUGAUUUUUUUGAAAAAUCAUCACUUAUAAAUUAAUACAAAAAAAGAAGAAGCCAAGAAUAGAUGGCAAGCAUUAGUUAAGGUGUCAUAUGAUUUACAGGCAUAUGAAUCCCAUCCCCGUCACAUCUUCCACCAAAGACACCCUUAAAAAAUCUCCUGCUAAAAUAAGAGCAAAAAAAUUUCACGGACUUCUCAUAAUAAAAGUCGCAUGAAAUUAAAGUUGACCAGCUAUUAUCUAGUUGGAACCCAAUUAAUAAUAAUAAUAAUAAUAAUAAUAAUAAUAAUAAUACUAAAUGAUAGUUUCAACGACUUAAUAGUUGUUGUCUUCUGAGAUUGGACUGUCCAUCGAAUAAUUUGCACCAUCUUCACCAAAAACUUGGUAGUCAUGUUGCAUGGUUUUGUUGGCUGCAUCAGGUUUGGUGGAUGGUUUGAUUGUCUUAUACUAAAUUCUACGAGUGGGAAUCCAAUUACAAUAUUAUGUACGCACUCUUUGUGUCCUCGCAGUCAAAUGGGUUAUUUGACAAAAGAAAAAUAGUUUGUAGCAAUAUCUCAUGUUUGGAAAUAAUAACAUUAGUCGAACGUGAAGUAUCUUUAUCAUUAGUUACUAGCAAUAUCCAGAUUGGGCUAUAUGUCGGACUUAACCUGUUCUCCGUAUCAUGAGAAAACCUUUGUGAUUUCGAAACAGGCCUCCAAGGGCUCAACUGGGCUGGGCUGGGCCGGGCCGGAUUUUACGACUAUAUUACCUUGUCAAACAACGCCCGUAAGUGGUCCCUUCGGGCACAUGUAGGAGUGGUGGAUUAAUUAUUGAAAUGUAAUUGGGAAAAAAACAAUGCGAUAUCAUCCUCAUUCACUUUAAAUUAGAAAAGUAUGUUAAGGAGCUAUUUGAAUCGGCGUCUUACAAUCAGCUGGUUAAGUGUCGAGAAGAUGGACUAGCUCGAGCUCGAUCGAGCCAUUUGCCAUCACCAUGCAAGCUUCAAACACUCGGCCGGAUUACUCAACCAAGUCAUUGGUCAUUACCACCUGAAAUCCACUCCUUUUUGCGCGGCAUUUCUUUUUUAACUUGGGAUGAUUGAAUAUCAAACUCAAUUGUAUAUGAUCAUUCUCUAGUCAAGCGGCGAACGUCAAUGUUUGAUCCGGCCAUUUCUCGUAUGUGCAAUGCAAACGAAUUCGGCUUGCUGCAGUACUUCAAGUGCUUGGCUCUGAAUCUGAAGAGCGUGGAGAUUGCCUAGUCCCUAGCUCGUUCUUUUGAUGACGGCGGAUGUUAGCUCACCUUGUCAAUCCUGCUUUUAUCAAAUGAUGCACUCUUGCUGGAGAAGAUGGUCAUUAAUGUCAAGAGUAAUGGAAGACGCCAAUUGAAAUCUUUUGAGUCUUUGCCAUAGCUGGCUCUACCCUACCGAGUUGCUUUUGAAAAAGCUAGGUUGUCUUUAACUAUUGUUUAAAGCGAGUUCUUGCUAGCAGCGUCAAAGAGUUAAAACAACUUAAGAAGAACCCCAGUGAGACUGUCCUGGGUGAGGAAUGUACUGAAUCCUAGUUCCUAUUAAGUCUAUUAGUCCUUCACAUGGGGCUCCUCUGCUCAGAUCACAAAGAUAAGAAGUCAAAUGAGCACCAUUUUGAAGUUUCUACCAAAAUAAAAGUUAUAUUGUAUCCUGCAAUGAUCCUCGAAAGCUAGAGAAUAUCAUUACAAAAGAAGCCUGCGCCAAUGACAUUAAACAUUUCAAAAACUGGAAGGAGAGCCUCCGAAUUUAGUGUUAUUGUUGCUGGAGUGAGUCUUGGCUUCCAGUAGUGUGAAUUUUUGGACUUCUAUUGAAAAAAUGACCAGGGCUUGCUCAUGUUGAAAAAUUGAGUAGAGCUGGUCAAUUGACGAAUCAAAUCAAUAAAUUGAGUGUUUUUUCCCCUCAAAUUGAGCAACGCUAAUCAAUUUGGAAUUUUGAAGAGGGCCUAGUCUAUACAUGAACUAUGCUGUCUCUCUCCCUUCUUUGCAAUCAUUAACAAACAUAUAUCGUUUGCCUUGAGAUUGGUUUUUUGCUUGAUAUUAGGAGGCAUAUAAUCCAUCUAACAUUGUUUAUUUUGAUUUUGGUUGAUAUUAGGUUUGAUGCCAUUAAAAAUCCCAAGCUGUUGCCUCAUGUCACAUUUAUUCCAACUAUCCUUAAAUUGAACUUGCAUAUAAAAAUACUGAGAAAUAGCUUUAAAUGAUAUGAACAAACAAGAGGAUUAGGUUAUUGUAAGCCGCUAAUGAAAGCGGUAAUCUAAUAGAUUAUCAGUACAAAGGCAAAGGGCCUAUCAUCAAGUACUUGCAUUUUAUCAAGGUUUAGUUUAUGAGAUACAACUUCAAUUUGGACACAAAAGAUUUAAGAGUUGAUGUAUCAUAAUGACCUAUAAGGAUAUUCAAUGUGCUGAACAUUCAAUAUCCAAUGCUAAUUAUACACGAAAAGAUAUAUUCUAUUAAUUGUGAUUGUGCAAAAUGAGCCUCAUUUAAUAUACUUUAUCCAAUUCGCCAUAUAGUAGCAGAAGUAAAUUUUAUAAGCUCUUUUUUUUUUUUUUUUGGUUAGUCCUACUCUAUUCCUACUCUACACUCACUCUCAUCACUCUCAGACUUUUGCCCUGCCUCUUGCAGGGUGUGGGAGUCAAAACCCACUCCUGAAACUUACGCGUCUCCACCCCAUCCCCCCUGAGAAGGUGGGGAUUUGAACCCCUCACAUUCCCCUUUCAUGUUGAAAUGAUGGCCACUGGAGCGAAUCCCAGUGGUUAAUUUUAUAAGCUCUAAACGGCCAUAAAUAGUGGGUUUACCCGAAGGUGUUUGGUGUGAUAAACAAGUUGUCUUCUAGACAUUUCCUAUCAAUAGUAAAGCUUCUCCCAAUUUUCUCUAGUAAUAUUUGUUUUACUAGCCUUCUCUUGUUUUUUCGAUCCUCAAUAACUUUUAAUUGCAAUUUCUCCAAGACGAGCUUAUGUAGAAUGGCUCAUGGAAUUAAAAAUUUACAUGAGGUUUGCACCGACAGUGGACCUCAUAACAAUCAUUUUUUGUUGGUAAUAUUAUUAUCUCAUCUUAUUAUUAAUGUUUGACAUCAGUGUUUCUGAACUUGCAUCAAGUAAAAAAAUAUAUUAUUUUCUGGGAAGAGAGGGGGGAGAAUACAUUGAAAACGAGAAUAUUUGGAAGGGCAAUAAAUAAAGGAGGAUUUAAUUUUAGAGUAAACUCAGCUAAAGUUCACAAAAAGCUAUCAUUAUGACAGAUAAUAAACAUAAGAAAUAUCUCGUGUGCACAUGUUACAUUCAAACGUUCUCUUUCCUCGAGAUUGGCAAUAAUUCCAAAAGAAAGAACAAUACAAUUAAACAAUUUUAGAUAGGGUACGAAAUCCACUAACGAUAUUGCAAAUAUAAUCUCAUGACCUUAAACCCACCAUUUAUUUGAGGAUUCCAAAUCUCUAAGAUUGGAAUAUAGCCUAUGUUCUUUAUUGCCACCUUAAAACCAUAUAUUUUGCUAGUCAUGUUCCACAUAGGAAUGUAUUUUGUACAUCAGAUCGGAUGCAUCACUUAACAAUGACUUGUGGAGGAAUGAGUCAAUCUCAGGCGAGAGAUUUAAAUAUGCAAAUANNNNNNNNNNNNNNNNNNNNNNNNNNNNNNNNNNNNNNNNNNNNNNNNNNNNNNNNNNNNNNNNNNNNNNNNNNNNNNNNNNNNNNNNNNNNNNNNNNNNAAAUAAUGAACAUAUACAGAUGAAGCAAAGCUUGGCACUAUCAAGCAGGUCUCAAAGCUUACAGCAAUACCAUGAAGGCGGUUACCACCGCAUAGAAGCCAUGACUCGCCAUCUUUCGGUCAAUUCUAUCCAAAUCAAUAGAUAAAUUGUUACCUUUUACUCCACUUUUUCCUUCAACAAAUGCCCGCCUAGCAGAAGAGGCACAUGGCAGGUAUAGGUUAGGACUUCUCGAAGAAGGGUGGAGUCAAAGAGCUUCAGUCAGAAAGCCCACAUGCAUUGCUUCUCACACUGAUGUCUGCAGCUUCAAGUAUUAGAGGCCCACCCACAGCAGCAACUCAAGUAUAACCAUCACAAACUCUUGAACAAACAGUCAUUCUGAAUCAGAGAUUCUUCUUCUUACUCGUCCAGUAUGCAGAUCAGGGCUUUCUUUCUUGCAGCUAAAACAGAAGCCACACCUCUACUUGCUGUUGCCAAAAAAAAGUCAACUUGAUUUCAGUCCAGUGUUCCUUAGAUAUAUGGCCAUAACUAACGUGAUGUUCAGAUACCUUUGUUGGGUAAAUGUAAAAGUACAACACAUGAAUUAUGCUAAAACACAGGCGGGAGGCAAACCUUGUGUGCCUAAAGAGGCUAUGGCAUGCAUAUAACUAUAAAUGCUCUACAGUAUCUUGCUAUACUAGAUACCAUGAUAGUAUCUAUCAUCAUGAACUUGUAGAUAGUGGUUCUCAGUCCGUAACUCAAGACUGUUAUGCACCAAUUAUAAGAGAGAGAUUAUUCUUUCUGUAUUUGUCUGGCAAUUAUAGAUUCGUCCUUUUCACACUUUGUCCUCUCAAUUGAUUUAAGGGGAAACCUAAUACUCCAGCAUUUUACUUCUUCGACAGAAAAAUAUUCUUCUUUGGAACAUGCUUUUGCACUUCUUCAAUCUGCAGGAACAAACAUGAGGUGGUCUAUUAAAGAGGCACAAUGUACCUAUGCCAAUCACAUUUAAACUUAAGAGUAGGUUCUCAGCGGAAAUGUAGUAAGGAGCAUGGACAGGAUUAAUUCAGUUCCACUACCCAGCCAACGAGACAAACUGUUACUGACACUGGCAAGUUUAUCAAACAUUGAUACACAAAGGAAAGAGUAGGGCAACAAUAAGUUUCCAGACAUCCACAACUGCAAAUGGACAUGUUAAGAAGCUCAAAGAAAAAAAUCUUCAGAACUAUACAAUUGAUGGCAUCACAAUGAAUUGAUCCUUAGCCCGAUAGUAUGACAGCAUCAAAAUGUUCUUACCACUAACUGACAAGGGAGGAACUACAGCAUGGGGAAUGCUGCAAAGCUUCUCAUUCUCCGUCUCCACAACUGCACUCACCCCUAUUAAAAAAUGGAUAAUUAUCUUUCCAAUUGGCCAAAAAAAAAAAAAAAAAAGAAGAAGAAGAAGAAGAAGAAGGUAAAUAUAACAAGAGAUGUUUUAGUAGACCAGACAUAAGUUUUCAAAAAACCUUCCACAAACCCAUAUUGAAGCUGUUGAAUAAAAUCCUAAGUUUGAGAAAAGAAAUAUUUUAGUAGACCAGACUAAUAUAACUACUUAACUGCAAACAAAGCAUUAGACAGAACAUGAAAGGUAUGAACAAUAAAAUAUUGUCUGUUCAGAAUCAAGAUUGAGAAGUUAGAUGAACUUUUUUCAGUUGAAAGAUGCAUACUCUAUUCACUUGGGCAUCCUCCUCCCAAUUGAGACACACCCCAGCUGCCGCAUGGGACUUAAGCUUCUUAACAGUUUUCCAUUCUGCUUAAUAUUUAUACCGAGUUAAAAAAAAAUAUACCACAGUACGUAUAACUGCUGCAAGCACUAGCAUGUAACAAGCAGCACGAUGCAUAUCCACGGUUCCAUAAAGACGGCUAGAUUGGUAAGAUAACAUUCAUAUGUAAAAAUAAGAUCUUCAAAGCAAAACAUAAUCCAUGAAGUGGAUAAUGAUUAGUAAAUUGGUAAGACAUCACAAAGAAACUUUAUGGCAGCAGCAUCAGCCAAGUUCUGAGCAAUUGUACCCACAACCAAACAGCUAGCUUAAUGAAUAACUGGUAAUCUACAAACUUUUCCACCCACAAGCAUAUUUAAGGCACAUACAAAUUCUAUCAUUUAGGAGUCUUCCGAACUAUUACCUUCCUAAUAUGACCGAACUGGACAUGUGUCGCUUUAAAUAAUAGAAAGAAACUAAUAAUUUGAUGAAAAUGAGCGUGCCAUGGAUGACUGCUUCUAUAUGCUGUCUCAGUCAUCUUUGGAUAGGAAUGAACGAUUCAAUCUAAUUAGUUAAAUGGGUAUUUAUAAGAUAUCAUGAUAUCAUCUAAACCGAGCACUUUGUAAGUUUACGGCUAUUCUUCUUAAAAAUUAUAUGACAUUGACGAAGAUAUGCAUAUUGCAUGUAUUGUACAAGUAAUAAAUGCUGCGCCGGUCAUGUUUGGAUUGGAAUGAACCAUUCACUUUAAUUAGUUAAAUGGGCUAUUCAUCUCUUGUCGUUUUUAGACCUAUUUAACAAAGGGGGCAUGAUCGAAAAGAGUGUUCUAAUAAGAUCUGUUAAGGCUUUUGUGCUUAGAUUGACCUAACUAGCAGUCCACUGUUCAUUUGACAUUGGCAGACAGGACCUGUAAACAUGGAUUGCCACCUAUAUUAGCAGCUAAAUGUGUGUUGAGCAAGCUUGCUGUUUGCAAUGCAUCAUGCGACUUUUGAGCAAUUCAGAAUCUUUCCCACAAAGAUUAGAGAAGACACAUUCUGAAGAUAAGGGAUUCGUGCAGUGAAACUGUGCCAUCUUCUAGUCCCAAGACAACUACUUUGCCAUCAGGAUGCCAGCAUAAUGAUGUUAUACAUUUACCUGGAGUACAUUUGAAUAGUUAGAUAAUCUAGUAUAAUGACAUACAAUGGAAUGUGCCACGAAAAGUGAUUUCAUAGACUACCACAACAACUUGACAACAAGAACACAGAGAGAGAGAGAGAGAGAGGGGAGAGAGAGAGACAGACAGAGAGGAUGAAUAAUUUGUUCACCAUAAAACUAAUAGACUAAGAGGAAAGACAGAGAACACACAUAAACCGAGAAAAUGAUAAUCAAAAUUUGGGAAGUAAGGCAAACAUCAUAACAGUACACAUUAUAUCUGACAGGGAUAUUGGUAGCUUGACAUGGGAUUUCUUUGGGCUAGUAGAUCAUCUAAAGCUAGGGAAUCUACAUCUUUUUGGCAGCCUUCAAUCCAUUAUCUCAAUCCAGGAACAAAUCUUAUUGUUCAGCUUUGGAACCUUGAGGUGGAGCGUAACCAUGAAAGCAUACGUCAAGCAAGGAUCACAGGUGUACAAGUAUCUACAACUUAUCUAAACAGAAACCACUCAAGGAUUGGUUCAUGAAGCACUCAACAACAUGUUUUUCAUAUCAAGAAGGCAACAUGAUGCAUGCGGCAUUCAGAUGUUUCUGGAGAAAAUAUACCUCCUCUCUAAAUUUUUCCAGUGAGAAUAGAUUACAAAAACUACCAAGGCUAGGCAUCUGUCGCGACCUCUUUUUUUUUUUUCAGGCGCCCGCGAUCGGGUACGGGCGCCUAAGGGAGGCUAAUGGCUCGACUGAAUUUAUUAAAGCCCGGACUCUCCCAAGUCCACCAAUUCACGACUUAAUAGUCCAAGUUUUUAACCUGUAAGUCAAUUUUAAAACGGAGUCGCCACUAAUCAGUUUGGGGUGGGUUGAUUAGAAACCCAAGCGAAAUAUCGGGAGAAAUACUCGCUCCUGCGUAACCAGAGAAAUUAGGAUCGGGGACUUGAUUACACUAGUUAAUCACUAAUGCCCUUUCGGUACCUAAUCUUGUUUAAACCCUAAGGCUUUUUGGAUUUUUGAGGGAUUUUUCAUGCAUUUUUUUUAGAGGAAAAACAUUUUUUUUUAGUCUUUUUUCUAAUUUUUUGACAUAAAAAGCAUUUUUUGGAUUUUUGAUCUUUUUCUGAAAAUAUAAAUCAUUUUUUGGCUUUUUCUGAAUUUUUUGGUUUUUUUGGGAAAAUAUGGACAUUUUCGAUUUUUUUGAUUUUUUAGAAAAUAAAUUAUUUUUUUAUUAAAAUAUUAUAUUAUUUUAUAUUAAAAUAAUAAAAACGAACCGGGUCGGAUCCAGGGUUGGGUCCGACCCGGGCUGUUCGCCCAGAACGCAAACGGGCCUGCAACACAGGCCCGACUCAUUUUUUUUCUUUUUUAAGCGUAAAAGCCCAAAACCUAUUUUUUUUGGCCCACUUCACAAAAAUUCUAGCCCAACACAACCCAGCCCACGCGUGCAGGCCUGACCCGGGGAAACCCUACCCCUACGCCAACCCGGAUCCGCCCGACUUCGACCCGGUUCACAGCCGCGACCCGGAUCAUGGAACCCUACCCGGCCGCGACCCGCUUCUGACCCAACUCGCAGCCGCCCCUCGAAACCCUACCCGGACAGUGGCCCGGAUCCGACCAGGCAUCCCUUUCGUGAGGUAGGUUGCCAGGAGUCAUAGGGCUCGACGAUUUGCGGCGCCGGAGAGGGGUUGUCGAGACAUCGCCGGAGGACUCAACGGCCUCGACAUGACGAUCAGCGACUAGGCUUUCAGGGGAAAAGAGGCGACGACGAUGGCGGCCGCUGGUUGGUAGGAGAAAGCGGCGGCAACAACGAUGGACGAUUGCUGGGUUUUCAGGGGAGGGCAGAGGGACAGCGACCAGAGCAGAGCCAACACGGCGGUUACCUGCUCGCAACAAGGGCACGACACGGCGGCCGCGGUGGUGACAAGGUGAGCAACAGCGACGGCGGCCCCUUAGAUCUCAGACGGCGUCGGGAUGGUGUUUGGGGCGGCGUUGGAGCUGAAUCGACGGCGGAUCUGAGCCUCGACCGUCUCUUGCACUUGAUUUCUCCUCUCUCUGCAAGCUCGCUUGCCUGCGGCCUCCCCCGAUGUCUCUCGGUGGGAGGCCGUUUAAGCUCACGACCUGCCUCCGGCGGGCCUCAGAUCUUCGGCCGCGCGUCCUCGGACCCCCCUGAAGUCUCUCAGUGGGGAACCCGAAGUCUGCGGCCUUAGAUCCGACUCCCUCUCUCUCUCUGUUCGUCUCUCCGGCAGAAGCUCUCUUUCUCCGGCCGCGAGCCUUCGGAUCUAGGCUUGCUCGACCUCGGCUCCCCUUCUGAAGUCUCUCAGCAGGAAGCUCGAAGCUUUGCAGCCUUCGAUCACUCUCGGCCUCUUGGCUUGCUCUUUGAUUUCCCCCUUGAAGUCUCUCAAAGGGAAGAUCUCGGAGCUCGCUGUGUGUCCUUCGACGGAGGUGGUGCCUCGCUAUUUAUAGGCGAGGGGGCGGCCGGUCGACGGGGCUUCGACCGCUGGUCUUCGCAUGCCGAACGGACGCCCGCGGCCGAACCGGUGUCUCGUCUCAGCAUUAAAGGCGCGCAUUGAAGGCGCAUGCGCGUUGUCCUCUCCUCCGGCGGCCUACCUCCAUUCCUCUUUACCGUAGGUUGCCCUUGAGCGCGUCGCCGGCCGCCGCGCGUGAUGCACAGAGGCACACAGAAGAAGAAGGAAGGAGAAGGAAGAAGGAGGGGGAAGGGUUAGGUUGUGCGGGCCGGGCCGAGAAAAAAAGAAAGAAAAUGAGCCUAGGGGCCCACGCGAAAGGGAAAAAGGGGGCUGGGCCUAUUUUUUUGUUUUCUUUUGUUUUAUUGAUUUUUGUGUGUUUUGUUUGUUAUUUAUUAUUUAUUAUCUAGAAAAAGGAAAAAUAAAAGAAAUUAAGGCGUUAAUUAAUAACCUAAUCAAAAUUUAGGUGUCAACAGCUGCCCCUCUUUGAAGGUGAGUUCGCAGAGGUUGCAUUCAAAGAUAAACCUGAUACCUAAAUUUUGUCUAUACAUAUGCAAUAGAUUAUAUGAUAUUUAGGACCUAGUGUCCUAUGCAGAAAAUGAGCAAUAUAACAUUGCAUAUACUAAGACAGAUAAGAAGAUACCUGUAGUUACUUACCGGGAGUGAGUGAGAUAGGGUGUGAACCCCGAGUUUUGGCAAGUAUCAAGGCGUCAUCUUACCUGUUGCAUGAGGAGAUUGCUUCUCUAGGACCCGAACCAUUCUUCGGUCGCCUAUUGGAGCAAUAAGUGGUUUGUCUAGGACCCGAACAUUUCUUCGGUCGCCUUGACGGGGAAUUGCUUUUCCAGGACCCGAACCUUUCUUCGGUCGCCUGUUAGAGCAAUAAGUUGUUUGUCUAGGACCCGAACCUUUCUUCGGUCGCCUUGACGGGGAAUUGCCUUCCCAGGACCCGAACAUUUCUUCGGUCGCCUGUUAGAGCAAUAAGUUGGUUUGUCUAGGACCCGAACCUUUCUUCGGUCGCCUUGACGGGGAAUUGCUUUUCCAGGACCCGAACCUUUCUUCAGUCGCCUGUUAGAGCAAUAAGUUGUUUGUCUAGGACACGAACCUUUCUUCGGUCGCCUUGACGGGGAAUUGCUUUUCCAGGACCCGAACCUUUCUUCGGUCGCUGUAGAGCAAUAANNNNNNNNNNNNNNNNNNNNNNNNNNNNNNNNNNNNNNNNNNNNNNNNNNNNNNNNNNNNNNNNNNNNNNNNNNNNNNNNNNNNNNNNNNNNNNNNNNNNNNNNNNNNNNNNNNNNNNNNNNNNNNNNNNNNNNNNNNNNNNNNNNNNNNNNNNNNNNNNNNNNNNNNNNNNNNNNNNNNNNNNNNNNNNNNNNNNNNNNNNNNNNNNNNNNNNNNNNNNNNNNNNNNNNNNNGGAGAUAGUACUUGGACGAUCACAAGUACAAACUCUUAGGGGAUACUUGGAUGAUCACAAGUAUCGAAGGGGUACCUGGACGAUCACAGGUACAAACUCUUUGGGGAUACCUGGAUGAUCACAAGUAUCGAAGGGGUACUGGACGAUCACAGGUACAAACUCUUGGGGGAUACUUGGAUGAUCACAAGUAUCGAAGGGGUACCUGGACGAUCAUAGGUACAAACUCUUUGGGGAUACCUGGAUGAUCACAAGUAUCGAAGGGGUACCUGGACGAUCACAUGUACAAACUCUUGGGGGAUACUUGGAUGAUCACAAGUAUCGAAGGGGUACCUGGACGAUCACAGGUACAAACUCUUUGGGGAUACCUGGAUGAUCACAAGUAUCGAAGGGGUACCUGGACGAUCACAGGUACAAACUCUUGGGGAUACUUGGAUGAUCACAAGCAUCGAAGGGGUACCUGGACGAUCACAGGUACAAACUCUUUGGGGAUACUUGGAUGAUCACAAGCAUCGAAGGGGUACCUGGACGAUCACAAGUACAAACUCUUGGGGAUACUUGGAUGAUCACAAGCAUCGAAGGGGUACCUGGACGAUCAUAGGUACAAACUCUUGGGGAUACUUGGAUGAUCACAAGCAUUGAAGGGGUACCUGGACGAUCACAGGUACAAACUCUUUGGGGAUACUUGGAUGAUCACAAGCAUCGAAGGGGUACCUGGACGAUCACAGGUACAAACUCUUGGGGAUACUUGGAUGAUCACAAGCAUCGAAGGGGUACCUGGACGAUCACAGGUACAAACUCUUGGGGAUACUUGGAUGAUCACAAGCAUCGAAAGGGUACCUGGACGAUCACAGGUACAAACUCUUUGUACAUGGAAUAUCGAGGACAUACCUUGGAUAUUCAUGUGGAAAUAUCGAUGAUGGGUCUUGCAUAUACGUGAAAGUCUCUCACCUGCUGGUAGUGGGAAUAUCGAGGACGUACCUUGGAUAUUCAUGAAGGUCUCUCAACUCCUGGCAAUUGGGAAUAUCGAGGACGUACCUUGGAUAUUCAUGAAGGUCUCUCACCUCCUGGCAAUUGGGAAUAUCGAGGGCGUACCUGAGAUAUUCAUGAAGUUUUCUCACCUUCUGGUAACAUAAACUUGAAUGUAGCACGAGGCUUACCUGGAUGGCCACAUGCACUUAAAAGGGGUGGAACACCUGGGUAGGCGCAGGCACACAAAGCAGUGGAAUGCUUGAACAGCUGCUAUUAUUUGGAGACAACUUGGGCAAGUUGAGUGUCAUGAAAAGAAAGUACCUGGACAACGGUGGGUACUUGACGAUAUGAGGAUACCUAGACAACAGUAGGUAUUCCAAGAGAUACUUGGUCAGUCGCAAGUAUCAAUACUCUGGAGACAACUCGAAUAGGUCGAGUGUCAGGAAAAGGGAGUAUCCGAACGGUGGCCGGUACUCAAAGACAAAGGAUACCUAGACAGCAGUAGGCAUUCAACGAUAAAAGGAUACUUGGUCAGUCACAAGUAUCAAUACUCUGGGGACAACUCGAAUAGGUCGAGUGUCAGGAAAGAGGAGUAUCCGGACGAUGGCCAGUACUCAAAGACAAUGGGAUGCUAAGACAGUUGCAAGCAUCGAAACUCAAGGGACAAUUCGAAUAGGUCGAGUGUCAAGAAGAGAGUACCUAGACAGUGGUAGGUAUUCAACGAUAAAGGGAUACUUGGUCAGUCACAAGUAUCAAUACUCUGAGGACAACUCGGACAGGUCGAGUGUCAUGAAGAGGGAGUACCCGGCAAGUGGUGAGUACUCAAAGACAAUGGGAUACUGAGACAAUUUGUAAGCACCCAAACUCAAGGGACGACUCGAAUAGGUCGAGUGUCAAGAAGAGAGUACCUGGACAGUGAUAGGUACUUUAAGACAAAUGGGGACAGGGAUAUGCUUACCUGGCAAUAUCUUUGAUCUCUAAGAGUAUAUCUGCUAUUUGUACAAUAUGCACACAUGAUUGUACAUGCUGAAAAUUCAUGAGUUCAAAUGGGAUUAAUGCUUGAUAAUUUUGUCAGCUUUGCAUCAUCUGAUUUCCACUGGGGAAGAUUUUGAAAGACAACCUUCAUUUAGAAUGUAGAUGUCUUGAGCAUGCUCGAUGAGGGACUUUCAGUCUGAAAGGACUUUCCACUCUCUCUCAUGGAAAAGGCUAUCCUGACCAUUGAUGCAGGAUUUAUAAGGACCACACUUCUCACUGUCAUCAUGUCAGCAGGGGUUUGAGUAUUCUCGUAAGUGGUACGACUUUACCAAUGUGAGACGUCUUUGUUGAAAUUGUGAUGAAGACUUAAUCAAUGGCUCAUCAAAUGGGACCGUCGAGGUCAAGGCUCAUGAACGAAGUGCCGCACGAUCAUCUCCGGGUUUGCAAGUCGAGAAUCCUGCGAAAAGAGAUAGAGUAAUCUUGCUCGUACUUCUUCGAGCAAUGCUUAUGCACAUAUGAAAUCCUACAUUAAUUGAAGUGCCCCUAGUCUGAAGAGACUUUUACAAUGGGAUGCAAUGUAGACUUGAUUCAUGUGUAAAAAGGUGACAGCUGGUGAUUGUCUUGGCAUUUGUCACCAGUCUUUCUUCUUACUAUCAAAUGGAGGUUCUAUGGACCACAACAGCAACAUUUUCUUGGUUGCAUUUUUGACUGGGGGACAUUGGCCUUGCUUUUACCAGGCACACUGCUUUUUUCAUGCCCCUAUUUUUAUUCCAGUUUUUCAUUUAUGAGCAUUGACCUUGCUUUUACCAGGUACACUGCUUUUUUUAUGCCCAUGUUUUUUCAUUCUUGUUGCUUGAGAGUUGAUCUUGACAAGUUCAAGCAAACGCCUUUGUUAGACUAUUGAGUCUUCAUUUUUUGCUGGCACUUCUGAUUAUGCUGCUCAAAUGGCAGUAGCUUCUGCUUUGCCUUCAUGUGAGGGUGAAAUUACAGACUCAAUUGGGUUGUACAAUGAAUACAAGUGCAUAGAGAAAGAAUUGCUCUUCGUCAUUCUAGGGCACUUAAAUUAACGUGAGUGUUCAUAUGUAAUAAGAACACCCGAAGAUUGAUGCAAGUGCGAGCAAGAAAAUUUCUAUCUCUCUUCUCACCUUGUGAUGCUGCUUUGCCUCCGAUCUGCCCCAGUGUGGGGUGGUUCUUGAUGGGGGUAUGGGAGAAACUUCACCAGUGUAAGGAGCUCAAAGGGGUGAGCAAUGAAAUGCCUCUCACUGUUUUGGUUAUCGUACCAUUCGCGAGAGAACUCUUUACCCUGUAGUCAUGGAAUCUUCUGCACUCAUCUCACAAGUGUAUAGAUGGGGGGAUUGUGUGUAGGAUAUAGCUUGCCUGUCGUCAUUCUGACGCGCCUCAUCCAGCAUGCUCAAUCAAUCUUGUAUUCUUCACUUAGCUGUCUAUUCUAAUAAUCCUCAGUGAAAUUAGUGACUUAGACAGACAAAAUCAUCAUGCAGAAUUCAUCUGGAAGUGACAUGCAACAUUUUGAAUAUGAUGGAGUUUGAACUCUUCAAAACAAGUGAAUGGUUUUGACUCAAAAAAGACCCUAUUGACAACUUUAGGGGCUAACAUAGUGGUGUUUCCAAGUAUGUUAGAUUUUGAACAUCAAAAGGGUUAUUUACAAAUGGGUGUCGAUGGUUGUCCCUAUUGAUUAGGGAUAUGACACAUAAAUGAUCAGUCGGGGUUGGGGAUCUGAUCGGGCAUCUCUGCUUUUGCCCCUGCAGAAGAGAAGAUGUACAAGUAGAUCAAUUAGUCUGGCCAAAAUCAAAUGUGGGUUGAGGCCUGAAGAUUUUCUGUCUUUUGCUUUGGCGAUUACUCAGGACGCCUUUUCGCUUAGGGGAGUUUGUCAUGCCUCUCAUUGAUUUAUUAUCUUUGUUUUUGACAGUCAGGUAACCUGCAACAAACAAGACAUGCUUCUCAUUGAUUCGUUAUCCUUGCUUUUGACAGUAAGGUGAUCCUGCAACAAACAAGAGGAAAUGUGUUAGUCAUGAACUCUUUCAAGAGUUGAAUAACUGGAAGCGAUACAACUUUACCCUUCACUGGUUUGCAGAUGAUUGGAAGGACCUGAAGUGAGAUGGGGACACGAAGUCCUAUGUCCCUUGCUUUGUUAGGUCACCUGUUCUCUCGUAAUUUGCAAGUGCAAGAGAAGCAAAAUUUUUUUUAUUAUUUUUUUACCAAGCGGCUAACUGCCGCGUCGGGGAUUCAAACCCCCGACUUCGGACCUUUUUGCUUCUUCCCGGAUACCACUCGGCUAGAGGCGCCGACGGUGUCCGUAGGCCGCUGCAUUUUUUAUUUAACCGGACCGGCUCCAGGACGACACGUCCUUUUAUACCAAGUUAGGUAAAUCGAUAUGGGUCACUUGAUUUGUCCAAAUUAACCUUUAAGCUUGUUUCUUGAAUCCUAUACUUCCUGUCAAUAGGAGAAAACAUGUCAAAAGUGAGUUCAGACACUGGGAGUAUUGGAAACGAUACCAAAUUACUCUUCUCCAAAGUUUGUAUUUGCUGACUCCUAGGGAUAUUUGAAUGUCGAUGACAGCCUUUUUGUCUUGGCACAAUUUGACAUUUCUUUCGAUUGGCCUUCCUCACUUAUGGCCAUGUAUGUAUGAUUGAUGGUUGUCGAUUUAUCUUCAACGCCUUCCUUCUGUGGAAUUUUUCUUCUGUCUUUGACUAUAUGACCAUUAACAGCAUUGAGCAAAGUCAUGUACUUCAAGCUUCUAUGGAAUCUGAGAUAAAAAAUCUCAAGCUUUCUGAUGGCAAUUACUCCUUGGAAGAAUAUGCGUCUUGAGUGAAGUUUCUAGAUUCCAAAGUCAUUGUCCAGGGUGUGGGGCUAUAGAUCGCUUUGACUGUCUAGAUUUUCUCCCUGUUGACAGUAGUCACUUUAAAGGAAGAGAAGCAAUUCCUUCUUUGUGCUUCUUGGCUCGUUGAAGCUGGAAGUCCCGCCAAUGAACUUGCGACAUCCUGCCAUGAGCUAUCAUGCUAUGCAUGCUUCAAGUUUGAUAAUAUGUCUGUGCCUAUUACGUCCCAUCCUUCGUCUCCUGUAGAUGGAAGAGAGAGGAUGUCAUUUUCGACAUUAUGUUCAGGGAAUAGGACUUACCAUUUUGAAACGUGAUGCUCCUUUCUGUUUGCCCCUGCUUUCUUAAAAAGGUGUUCUCGAGUUUGGUCUGUUCACACGAUGUGGCAGUUUCAACUGCCUUCUGUCACACUAAAUCAAAAGGGGAUGCUAUGAAGUGAGAAAGUUAAAGAGACAAACAUGCUCAAAUUCAUCAUCUUAUUUUGACAAAAGCUUUUGGUGAUGAAAUAUUUUUCAUUUUCAAAAUAUUUUUUGGGGAGAAAAAGCAUGAGGAAGCCCGGCCCUCAAUAUUUCUCCUUGGAUGAUGUUUUUUUUCAUGGUUGGAUAACAUCACUGGGCUGGUUUGGGGUACCGCCUCAUGCUCUCAAAAUAUUUUCAACUUUAUUUAAUAUGUGGAUUUACAUUUUGGAAGAGUGAUUUCAAAAGUUAGUUCCUCAAGCGGAACUGAUGUUGAAAAUAAAACAAGCCAGACUUAAGAAAAAUGUACAAGUUCCCACGUAGGGGAGUACGCAAAGAAAUUAAAAAGGGUUCUACUUGAGCGAGCCUGCACCCAUUUCCCCUAACGGUCCUUCGUUGAUGGCGCCCAUGAAAAGGUCUCCAAACAUGGUGGUCGUGUCAUCUGGCCCUUCUUUUUUUUGUUGUUGCUAAGGGUGGAACUUUAUUACCUGAAUAAUACUCGGCCUCUACCAGCCCUUGAUAGAUGUCAACGGUAUGUGUUUCAACAUUUAUGCUCUGACUAUCCUCAGAACUGAAUACCGUGUUUACUUUGUCGGUGUGAUUAGGGAGCGGAUUGCUCUGGAAUGAGAAAGCUUUAGUGUCUAACAGGUUUUGGAUUCGACUUUUGAGAGCGAAGCACUCAUCAGUCGAGUGCCCCACUUCUCCCCUGUGAUAGUCGCAUUUUUUGGAUGGAUCAUAGCUGGAGAAGCUUUCUGUGUUUGGUCGCUUUGGCUCAGUUGAGAGGAGGUUCUUAUUCUGGAGGACUACCAAAACCUGUGAUGGAGAUCCGGGAAGUGGAGUAAAUUGUCUCCUGCUGCUGUAACGCUGGGAUGGCUGACGUUUGGUGAUCUGUUGUUGUCCUGCCCUUGUCUGAAUUGUUGAAGGAUGAUUACAGGUCGCAUUGACAUUUACUAGGGGUUCUUUGUCUUUCUUCAUGCUGAGUCUACCCGUGGGUGCAGAUUCAGUGAACCAACCAUCCCUCAACCCUAUCUUGAUUUGCUCUUCUACUGGAAGGAGUUGAUCGAUCGUGGUUACCAUUCGAUUGCGGUACUCAUAAGGGAGGGUUUUGAUAAACAUUUUUCUCAGUUCGAAAUCGGUUGGUUCGGGACUAAUUUGGGUGGCUAGAUUUCUCCGCCCAAUGGCAUACUCUUUGAAUGAUUCAUACUUUUUCUUCUCGGUACGCUCAAGAUCCUCGCGAGAAGAGGUAAUAUCCAUUAUGAACUCAUACUGCUUGAGGAAUGCCUCACUCACUUCGCUCCAUGUUUCGAGGAGGCUUAUGUUCUUUGUGAUGUACCACCUCAGGGCAGGACCUACUAGACUUGAUUGGAACAACUGGAUCAUCAAGGGUGCAGUAUUGGCGUGUUGGGCCAUCCAAACUAAGUACAUUUGCAAAUGAGUCAUUGGGCAAGUUGUGCCGUCAUACUUUUCAAAUUCAGGUAUUUUGAAUUUUUCUAGCAUUGUGACUUUGGAAUAAAUGGAGAGGUCCGUCGAAGUAGGAUCUUUGAGGCAUUGCAGUUGUUUCAGUCUCUCCUCAAGCUUUUCGAGACGUUUGUCAUGCUCAGCUUUAGACAAAUUGUCUGGCUUAGCUUUCUCAAUCGCGGUUUGGUGUGGAUCAUUCUCCAAUUCGGGUAUGUUAUCGUUGGUAUCUCCACCUUGAUCACCCAUGGUAGAUGAUUGUGGCAAGAAUACCUCGAUUGAGGCCGGGGCAGGAGUAAGUUUGCUUUGGAUGGAGUCUAUCUGCUUUGAGAGUUGUUGAAGCAUAUUAAAGACUUGCUUCAUUUUGCUUUCUACAACCGCAAUACGGCUUGGUACAUUUUCUUCGGCCAUUCUUGCUCUUGCUUUUGAACGAGUCUGGAUCGGCGAACGUUGACGUUCCGUGAUUACCUAGUCAUGAGUAAACAAGCGUGUGUGAAUACAAGGCGUAAAUAGGGAGUCAGUCCAUGAUGACAACCUAAUCCUACUAUUUUUGUUUAUUCAUGAAAAAGUAGAGGAUUUCCUAAACAUGGAUUGAAAAAGGGCACGCUACAUGCUAACAUGAGCUAAAAAGAUAUUCAAUUUGAAAGGCGAAGAAAGCAUGAGUUGCAACAAAUUUUGAAAAAGGUUUCUAUCCCUUCUUCUUUUUUUUUUUUUUUUUUUUUUAGGCAAAUGAAAAUUCUUGCUGAAAAGAAUUUUGUAACAUGCUUGAGAAUAAAAACAUCAACUGAAAGUAAUUUUUUGCAAAUUUUUUUAAAAACUUAAAAAAAAAACUUUAUGACAAUUACUUUCAAACUUAGAUGGCCGCGAUAUUAAAUCCUACACUAAUCAUGGACUACUCAAUAUAUACAGGAAGGUAAGUAAAUUGCAAAGUACACGAAAUAAGAACUUACUUCACACGAGAAAAUUGAUGGCAAUCACAUAGACAUGCGCAUGAUAUGUGCGGCUCGAUUUCUAACUGAGAAGGAUUGGUGAGAUUAAAAGGAUAUCCGCUCGUCGCAGUCUCGCGUUAGCAGCAUACCCUCCUAACCUUGGCUAAGAAAUUCGGGGAAAAGAAAGGCAACCUCUACAUCGCAGUCUCGCGUUCGAGGUCGUAUCUUUCUUAACACCAUCCUAGAAAUCUUAUGGCGGCCCAGGUCCGGCGGCCGGGUUGUGUGUGCCAUGUGUAGUGCUAAAACAUUUAAGGAUGCACAAUAGUUUAUAAUCACAAAACAUUUUAUUUUAACAGAAUAAAAAAAAUUUUAAGCUAUUACCCUGCACAAAAGAAAAAACCCAAGUCAGUAAAGUAUUUAAACAAAGAUAAAAUGGCCUAAGUCCUCAAAGUCCCUAGUGGAGUCGCCAAGCUGUCGCGACCUCUUUUUUUUUUUCAGGCGACCGCGAUCGGGUACGGGCGCCUAAGGGAGGCUAAUGGCUCGGCUGAAUUUAUUAAAGCCCGGACUCUCCCAAAUCCACCAAUUCACGACUUAAUAGUCCAAGUUUUUAACCUGUAAGUCAAUUUUAAAACAGAGUCGCCACUAAUCAGUUUGUGGUGGGUUGAUUAGAAACCCAAGCGAAAUAUCGGGAGAAAUACUCGCUCCUGCGUAACCAGAGAAAUUAGGAUCGGGGACUUGAUUACACUAGUUAAUCACUAAUGCCCUUUCAGUACCUUAAUCUUGUUUAAACCCUAAGGCUUUUUGGAUUUUUGAGGGAUUUUUCAUGCAUUUUUUUUAGAGGAAAAACAUUUUUUUUUAGUCUUUUUUCUAAUUUUUUGACAUAAAAAGCAUUUUUUGGAUUUUUGAUCUUUUUCUGAAAAUAUAAAUCAUUUUUUGGCUUUUUCUGAAUUUUUUGGUUUUUUUGGGAAAAUAUGGACAUUUUCGAUUUUUUUGAUUUUUUAGAAAAUAAAUUAUUUUUUUUUAUUAAAAUAUUAUAUUAUUUUAUAUUAAAAUAAUAAAAACGAACCGGGUCGGAUCCAGGGUUGGGUCCGACCCGGGCUGUUCGCCCAGAACGCAAACGGGCCUGCAACGCAGGCCCGACUCAUUUUUUUUCUUUUUUAAGCGUAAAAGCCCAAAACCUAUUUUUUUGGCCCACUUCACAAAAAUUCUAGCCCAACACAACCCAGCCCACGCGUGCAGGCCUGACCCGGGGAAACCCUACCCCUACGCCAACCCGGAUCCGCCCGACUUCGACCCGGUUCACAGCCGCGACCCGGAUCAUGGAACCCUACCCGGCCGCGACCCGCUUCUGACCCAACUCGCAGCCGCCCCUCGAAACCCUACCCGGACAGUGGCCCGGAUCCGACCCGGCAUCCCUUUCGCGAGGUAGGUUGCCCGGAGUCCUAGGGCUCGACGAUUUGCGGCGCCGGAGAGGGGUUGUCGAGACAUCGCCGGAGGACUCAACGGUCGCGACAUGACGAUCAGCGACUAGGCUUUCAGGGGAAAAGAGGCGACGACGAUGGCGGCCGCUGGUUCGUCGGAGAAAGCGGCGGCAACAACGAUGGACGACUGCUGGGUUUUCAGGGGAGGGCAGAGCGACAGCGACCCGAGCAGAGCCAACACGGCGGUUACCUGCUCGCAACAAGGGCACGGCACGGCGGCCGCGGUGGUGACAAGGUGAGCAACAGCGACGGCGGCCCCUUAGAUCUCAGACGGCGUCGGGAUGGUGUUUGGGGCGGCGUUGGAGCUGAAUCGACGGCGGAUCUGAGCCUCGACCGUCUCUUGCACUUGAUUUCUCCUCUCUCUGCAAGCUCGCUUGCCCGCGGCCUCCCCCGAUGUCUCUCGGUGGGAGGCCGUUUAAGCUCACGACCUGCCUCCGGCGGGCCUCAGAUCUUCGGCCGCGCGUCCUCGGACCCCCCUGAAGUCUCUCAGUGGGGAACCCGAAGUCUGCGGCCUUAGAUCCGACUCCCUCUCUCUCUCUGUUCGUCUCUCCGGCAGAAGCUCUCUUUCUCCGGCCGCGAGCCUUCGGAUCUAGGCUUGCUCGACCUCGGCUCCCCUUCUGAAGUCUCUCAGUAGGAAGCUCGAAGCUUUGCAGCCUUCGAUCACUCUCAGCCUCUUGGCUUGCUCUUUGAUUUCCCCCUUGAAGUCUCUCAAAGGGAAGAUCUCGGAGCUCGCUGUGUGUCCUUCGACGGAGGUGGUGCCUCGCUAUUUAUAGGCGAGGGGGCGGCCGGUCGACGGGGCUUCGACCGCCGGUCUUCGCAUGCCGAACGGACGCCCGCGGCCGAACCGGUGUCUCGUCUCAGCAUUAAAGGCGCGCAUUGAAGGCACAUGCGCGUCGUCCUCUCCUCCGGUGGCCUACCUCCAUUCCUCUUUACCGUAGGUUGCCCUUGAGCGCGUCGCCGGCCGCCGCGCGUGAUGCACAGAGGCACAGAGAAGAAGAAGGAAGGAGAAGGAAGAAGGAGGGGGAAGGGUUAGGUUGUGCGGGCCGGGCCGAGAAAAAAAGAAAGAAAAUGAGCCUAGGGGCCCACGCGAAAGGAAAAAAGGGGGCUGGGCCUAUUUUUUUGUUUUCUUUUGUUUUUAUUGAUUUUUUUUGUUGUUUUUGUUAUUUAUUAUUUAUUAUCUAGAAAAAGGAAAAAUAAAAGAAAUUAAGGCUUAAUUAAUAACCUAAUCAAAAUUUAGGUGUCAACAGCAUCUGAUCCCAAGCUCUUACAAAUUUGAAUUGCCAAAGAUAAAGCCGUACAAGAACUUAACAUAAUUGGAUGCAGCUCCGCCUACCCUCCUAGUCUUUUAGCUUUCUCCAACUCCUCCCUCCAUGUAUACAUGUAUGCAGCAUAGCUUGAGAUAUAUCCUAUUCACAAGUAAUUUAAAAUUCCCAACAACAAACUUGAUUAAUCAAUAUGAUGUGACGAAAUGCCCCUUUGUAAUCAGAAGAAGAUACAUUAAUUUCAAGUAAUACAAAUUGUGCGAAAUUUUCCAGACUAGACUCUACAUUUUAACAAUACAGAAUGUGAGAAAUCCUUGUAGGGAAUGCUCAAUCUGUACAAGAAGAGGAAAAAGAGGAGCCAGAAGUAAUAUUACCCUCAAUUAGUAGAAGAAGAGGAAGAGCGGAGCCAAAAGUAAUAUUACAUCGUGAGAGUCACUAACAGAAAUUGAAGGAAAACUAUAUAGAUGCCCAAUGGCAUUGAGAUCAUAUUUUGCAGGGAUUAAACCUGCCAACUCCAAAGUGGGCAUCAAGCAUUUCUACAUUGGACAUAACCAGUCUAUCUAGCAUAAACGACAUCCCCUCCAAUUCUAGUUCUUUAUCUUCGUGAACACUUUGACUGGUGUACCGAAAAGGGCAAAAAGAUGGCAAUACAGGAGCAGGGUACACUUCUAGUUGGUCUAAACGAUUGUCAGUUAUGUUAUGGAAAUCUCCAAAGGCACCAAUCUUGUCUAGAAGUUAAUAGAAAUCUAUCGCGCCUGUAAAUUAAAAUCCCUUCAUUCAACUAGUAUCAGUUUGAGAUUCUUUAUUUGCAACUAUGUCAUCUCCAAAUUUUCCCUCCCAUUACCAUCAUUCACUCUUCAUUUUUGUGUAAAACAACGACUCUUAGUUUGUUCUCAUUUAGAAUUCCAAGCACUUAACCUCUAUAUUCACCAACUCUUCAUCAAAUGCAAUUUGAACUGGAUUGGCAAUUGAAGUGAUUUAUUUGGGGAAAAGGACCGUAGCACAUUUAACGAAAAGCAAAUGGGGAAUAAGGCCAACGUGCAUGCAGAGUCAGAGACUUGCAAUUGGGCAAAGAAAACGGUACACCUUGUACCUCUGCCGCAAGUGAUAAAACCUAAGCACAUUCAACAUUUGAAAGGCAAAAGAAUAAGACAGUUUACUCUUCCUUCCAAAUACAGUUUAAAACCCCAGCAAUUAUAUGCUUUGAGAACACUUUUGGUUCCCACCUAUGAGACAAAUUGAGUGACUAAAGCUUUUGAGUGUUGAAAUAGUAGAACUUAUAUACUAUUUCUAGUCAACAAUUGCUUUUUCGGUCUUUUAAAAAACAGGACACAACUACUUUUCAUUAAUAAUUUACUAUGAUCAUUGGAAUGAUGGUUAUGCACUACUGAGCAGGAAAAAGAAUGACCCUUAACCAGCUGCCUUUUGUUUGGUUCAUCAGUAGUUAUUCUGAAGGCACGAUGUGUAUUUGCACCAGUCAUGAUCAGGCAGAGUGGUGAAACGAUGUAAACCAGAUUCCUCGUGCUGAAGUUUGGAAUGAACUUCCUUAACUCGAGGAAGAGGGAACAAAGCCCUGAGUGCAGGUUCACCAACGAAGAGCAUCCAUAAAAGGAGCAGCGGUACUGCGAAAUGGCCGGCCAUCUCGCACAACCUCUUAGUCGCAUCGACUGAGAGAGGUCCUCGACACGGCGGUCGACAGCAAAGCGAAGCCACGAACUGAGCUCAGGCGCGCAACGGUCGAGAAAAUCGGCGUCGAUGUGGAACUUCCUCACCUUGGGCGACGCCUGGAGGAUCAAGAUGCCGUCCACGGUCGGGGAGGCGUUCCGCCAGGGGAAGGAGAAGACGAGGUCCGGGGGCGGCGGUCCAGACGGAUCGCCACCGCUUCGACAAAAAAGCACGUGCGGACAAUGCGUGCGAGCUCGAGAGGAGGAGGAGGUUGGCGAUCGCUUCUUCUUCGCCAUGUAGGGAUCGACGAUCGAACGGAGGAACCGGAAGGAGAGCCUUCCUCCGAUUUGAGGGUUCAUUUCACUCGCACUUAAGUUUCUGGCUUCCCGUACAGAGACACGUGUCGCUCGACGGAGUGGCAACCACUUUCCCGCGCAUUUUGAUACAUCUACGAGCCCAUGAUGAUGGGCCUCCCACGUCUUGAAUUGCCGAGUACCGAACCUUAAUUUCUUUAAUCCAAGCUUGUCCGACAUCUGAAAAAAUCAUCAUUCAUAUAAUAACUUGUAUAGUCAAUAUCUAACAUUUUGUCUGUUACCCGAGACAAAAAAACUGCUAACCAAAUCCAAUGCAAAACUUGGAGAUUUGAUCUUUUUGAAUAUUGAUUUUUUUUUUAUUUGGGUGGAAUAGGUUGAUUUGUCCUUCAUUAUUGAAAAAAUUAGAGGUAUUCGUUACAUUUCGAAAGUAGAAAACAAAUCAAAUCAAGCUGAAAAUGGCAUCUGCUUGGCUUCGGAAGAUACCAUGAAAAGAGGUCCAUACCAUAAAGGAAGAUUCUACUAGGCAAAAUUCCGAAUAUUGUUUGGUGCAGGUAAAGUACGAAUAGCAUUGGUAAAUAUCAAAACCAGUUGGCAACUAAAUUUUGACCAAUAACUUAUUCGGUUAGUAGCAUUUUGGUAAGUUACCAAAUUUUUUUAAAAAAUAUCAACAGUUAUUAGAUUUAUAUAUAUGAAUUCCCACAUCUAAGCACGUGAACAAAUUGUUGUGAAGAGAGGCUCUCAUAACCAAGGCAAAGCAUCACAGAUGAGAUCAACAUUGGCUCAAUUCACUAUCUUCCGAGCACCCGCCAGUUAUUUUAUCUGCUCAUUUUCUUUUGAUAACUGAGUAUUCAUUCUCAACGUUAGCUUGUUGGCAGUAAUAAUACAAUAGGAAAGCAGAGUUUCACUUACUACAUUGAGUCCAAGGAGUGGAAUUGGUAGUAUAAAUAAGUCUUAACUUCUCCUAGGCUCAAAGUGCUAUUAACAGGUAAAAAGAGUUUGAUAUGAUUCAUUGAUACAAAGAUUGACUCUUACAAUUAUGAGGGAUACAUGCACAAAAUGUGAGAAACUUUCCAGCCUAUAUCAAAUCUCUCCUUGCAAGGAAUGCUCAACCAAUACAAGAAGAGUAGCUGGAAGUAAUAUUACACCGUGAGAGUCACAAACAGAAAUCGAAGGAAAACUAUAUAGAUGCAUGACAACGUUGAGAUGAUAUUGCAAGGGUUAAACCUACUGACUCCAUGUGAGCAUCUAGCAUUUCUGCAUCUGACAUAGCUAAUCUAUCUAACAUAAAUGACAUCCCCUCCAAUUCAAGUUCUUUAUCUUCGUGAACACUUGGACUGGUGAACCAAAAAGGGCAGCAAGAUGGCAAUACAGGAGUAGGGUACACUUCCAGUUGGUCUAGAUGAUUGUCAAUUAUGUUUUGGAAAUCUACUAAGGCACCAAUCUUGUCUAGAAGUUUAUAGGAAUCUAUCAUGCAUGUAAGUAAAAAUCCCGUCAUUAAACUAAUAUCAGCUCAGGCUUCUUUACUUGCAACUAUGUCAUAUCCAAAUUUUCACUCCCAUUACCAUCAUUCACUCUUCAUUUUUGUGUAAAACACCAACUCCUUAGUUCAAAGUCAUGUUCUCAUUUAGACCUUCAAGCACCUUACCCCUAUAUUCACCAACUCUCCAUCAAACGCAAUUUGAACGGGGUUGGCAAUUGAAGUAGUUUAUUUAGGGAAAAGCAUCGUAGCGCAUUUUAAGAAAAAGCAAAGGAGGAAUAAGGCCAAUGACACAAAGGGCGCACACCAAGCCAUCGUUGAAGAAACGAACACACUGAAUAACAAUAACAAAAAAGGAGAACUCUCUCGAGUCGAAGCAAUUACCAAGAGAGAUUGUCCACAGCCUCUGCCAAUUGAAGUGAUGAAGCACCACGUUUGAGUCCUCCGUGACCAUCGCCAGCAAAUCCUUCUCCGGAUUCCACUCCACCAUCAUCACCUGCCAAUCGGAAGGAACCGAGACAAAAACCUCACAAAAUCGAAUGGGAAAACAAUCGAAUCGACCCGCCCAUUAUUAGGUCGCGAAAAAAGGCGGACCGGAGCCGAACCUGAGAAGCCAGAGGUUUGUCGAACUGAAGCUGAAAGGGAGGCACGUGCCGCGACCCUUCGUCGGUCUUCAUAGAUGAAAAAGAUCCGGAAGCAGCCAAAAACGCAGCAACCUGCUGGGGCAAGCCGCGAGGGAGCGUAGGGAAGCGGCAGUGGCAGCAAAUGCGACCAGAGAGGGAGAGCUAAUGGUGUAGGUGGAGGGUGGAGCCCGAAAACCCUAGAAGAAAGCCUGGAGAGGGAGAGAGUAACGAAGUGCGGUGGAAGCCUGAGAAUUUUGCAUAGAAAGAUGGCGGAAGAGGAAGAAACAGGCGGGAGAGAGAGGCAAUGAGGAAGAGAGAGAGGAUUUGAUUACGGGCUGAGCCGGGCAGGAUUAGGCCAUAAGUCGGGCUUAACAAGUGGCCCUUCGAGCCCGGGCCCGGCCCGCUAGACUACUGAUCAUGUCAGGGCGCGGCCAAUUUAUAGAGUUCUACGUGAAAUUUAGUAAGCCACGGAUCCAGUGAGCUUGACAACGAGAGAGAGUGUCUGGCUCCAUUUCUUUCGCCAAAAAAAAAAAAUUAAAAAUAAAAAUUAAAAAUAUUUUCCUAAACUUAAUCAAUAUUCUCUCUUAAAAAUGAUUUAAUGAAAAAAAUAUGUUUCAUUAUUAACAACAAUUCAUGCCAAAACAUUUUUUUUGAUAAUGAGAAUAUUUUCCAUUACCCUCUUUUUUUCUAGGAUAUAUAAUUAGGAAAAAUCAUUUCCAAAUCAUGAAUUUUUUGAGACACGAACAAAGCCUUAGAGAAUGUGUCUUUGUAGGAGCUAGUUUGCUUUGAGUGUUUUAUAGUGGCGUGAGAAAAUCAAUAGUAAUAGUGGGGCGCGGUCUUUUCCUACUAAUAGUGUAUACUAGUUGUGUGACAUGAUCAUUUUUUUUAGUGUUAUGUUUGCACUAGUAUAUGUGUGUUUCAAGUUGCCUAUUACAAUUCUAUCGUAUUACUAACACGUCACUUUCGCACCCCUCAAUUGGCAUUUGAGCCACACUUCCCUGUUUAACAAGUGGUAUUGGAGUUAGACAAUUAGAGAUUGAUUGGAGUUCACUUAAGUCUUUGUCCAUUUGCCAAGUCAAGGUGAAUGAUGACGUGAUCGAGAAGAUUUUGAUGGGUAGCACCAUUCUUGAGUACUGGAAGUUUGGAAGUUGCAAGCAUAGGGGAGGUAUCACAACAACAUUUAUUCAAGAAACUUGAAAGAACUUGUGAUUGAUAGAUGUUGGCUAGUUGGAGGUAAUGAUCCAUCGUUAAAAAUUCUUGGGAAAAUUCCUAAAAGAAACUCGAAGUGCCCUAUUUUUCUCAAAUAAGGACCUGAAGUAGACCUUGUUCCAAAUAAAAACCUGAAGUGCCAUUACUUUCUCAAAUAAGGGCCUGAAGUGGAUGUUGUUUCAAUGGAGAACCAGAAGUAAUUAUGUUUGUUUCAAAUAAGGGCCCGAAGUGGCUAUGUCCGUUGCAAAUAAGGACUUAACUUUCUGACAGUCAAUGGUAUUUUCGUCAUUUGUUAUUUUUUUCCUUUUUUCUUGUUCUUCUUCUUCCUCUUCGCCGGUGGACGGCUGGCUACAGCAAUGCCCACAGAGGGCUGGGCGAGGCGACCUUCACCCAAGGGCCAUUUGUGAGGUCAGCCUGCGCAGAAGAGGGCUAGGUGACCUCACCGGCUGUAGGUGAGGCCGACCCUUGCCAGAUCUAGCGAGGGUGGCCUUGCAGACCCUUAUUAGAGGCUGACGAGGGUCGAUCUCGCGGAUGGCCCUUGGGCGAGGGUCACCAUGCCUAGGCGAGGCUAUCCCUCGCCUAUGGCAGGCGUGGGUCGCCCUCAUCGACGAGGGCGACUUUCGCCCAGCCCUCUGUGGGCAUUGUCGGUGCCCAAUCGACCACUAGCGAAGAAAAAGAAGAAGUACCGAAAAAAUAAAAAAAUAAAAAGGUAAGAAAAGAAGGAAGAAAAAAGGGUAAGAAGUGCCAAAUGAUGAAAAUACCCUUGACCGGUUGGAAAAUUUAGCUUGCUGGCGAUUAACGAGGUCGAGUCCUUAUUUGAAACAACUAAAACCACUUCAGGCUCUUAUUUGAAACAAUUAAAGUUACUUCAGAUCCUUAUUUGAAACAAAAUUCACUUUGGGUCCUUAUUUGAGAAAAAAGUUAGCACUUCGGGUCCCUUUUUGGAAUUUUCCCAAAAUUCUUGCUCUCAAGAUAGAGGCCGUGAUGCAAUGGGUUUUCACCAUCAGGAAAAGAGGUGUUAGAAUUGUGCAAUUAGAUGAACCACCUAAUUGAAGUUCAAGCUCAAUUCGAUUGUUCUCAUUGUUGCGCUAUGAAAGAUAUUCUUGGCUUUAUUGUCGGAUAGAAUUUAUCAUAACUUUUUCUUAGACAAGAGCAUAUUUGUUACUUCUCUAUGUAGGACCCUCUCAUCAUUGAUAAUGUUAUUCAUAUGUAGACAGAACGGCUUUGUUUACUAAUUUUUCAUCGACGGUAUGUCUCUACUCUAAUUCUUUCAACAUCUUUCGUCAAAAUGUCCUUUGAUUUUUCAAAUAAAAGAACUCAAGGUAUAUCAUUCAAAGAGCAUGCUCGGAUUAUGUGCUUGUUUUGCAUCGGCAUUGCAAUCGUGUUGAUCGAGUGCUAUGUAUUGAGUCUUGCUUGUUUGUUGCUAUCCACAAGUAAUACACCUACUUUUCGGAACACAUAUAAUGUUAAAUUAUGAUGCUAAGUGCCCUCAAUAUCCUCCAUUCGUUCAGAUUGUUAGUUUAAUAAUGAUGUUGAGUUACAAACAUAGUUAGUUCUAUAAUUACUAAAACAGUAGCAGAAGCAAAUUUUAUAAGACUACACAACAGCUAUGAUAGAGGGCUUAGCCAAAGGUGUUAUGAGUGACAGACACAAAUCGCCUUCUAUUCGUUUCCUAUCGAUAGUAUAGCUUCUCUCCGUAUUCCAAUAAUAUUCGUGAUCUUGGCUUUCUCUUUUUAUUUUCUCGCUCCUUGAAAAUUUUAACUGAAGUCACUUCAAAAUGAGCUUGUGUAAGACUGCUUGUGCAUAGUAAGAUUUAAGAUGCGGUUUGCACUAGUAGUUGACCAAAUACCAAUUAUUUAUUUUAUUGGUAAUGUUUAUCAUUUCGUCAUAUUAUUAAUUGUUGUUGUCGCUAUUUCUGCACUUAUUAUGCAUUGGGAAAGAGUGCAUUGAUGACAUGAAGAUUUGGAAAUAAAUUAGUAAAGCUGGUUAAUCUCACAGCAUAGUCCACUAAAGUCAACCAAGAAGCUAUCAUAAAGAUAAUUAAUAAACACAAGAACAGAAUUAUUGUAUAUGCACAUUUUGCAUGCAUACAAUCAUAUAUACCGAUACAAUUACUAUCUUGGUGCAUAUGAUCAAACACAAAACUAUCACGUCUAUAAGAGUUUCUCUUCUAGAUUGGCAAUAAAUCCUAGAGAAUGAAUGAUAAUAUUAAACAUUUUUAGAUUCUUGUAUAUCUAUACAUCAUCAAGUUUUUUGGCUACAUGAUACUCCUGUAAAGAAUAUGAAACAUAAUCUCCUAAUCUUAAACCUACCAUUUAAUUGCAGGUUUCAAAUCUCUGAUAUUGGAAGAUAGUAUUUGUUCUUUAAUGUCACCCCGACACUAUAUAUCUAGCCAGUCAUAUCGACUAUAGUAAUCCUAGAGAUUGAUCCUUUCACAAGUGUUUUGUACAUUAGAUUGGAUGCAUCACUUAACAGUGAUACGUGAAGAAGUGAGUCAAUUUUAAGUGAGAGAUUUCAACAUCCAAAUGCAAAGUUCGUCAGUUGAUUACACCAUGUAAUCCAUUCAACCCAAAGUACAAACAUUCCAAGCCAGACAUUUGGUUCUCUUAUAUACGGAAAUAAUAAACAUAUACGCAUGAACCAAAAGCUGGGCACUAUCGAAUAGCUGUCAAAGCUUGCAGAAAUACAAUGAAGAUAGCUACUUCCCCAGAUAGAAGCCAUGGAUCAGUAUCUUUUAGUCGAUUCCAUCUAACUCAAUACAUAAUUAGUUAGUUUUCACUCUGCUUUUUCUCUUCGAUGAGCCCGCCUAGCAUAAAAGGCUCAUGGCAAGCAUAAAUUGAAACUCUCCAAAAAAGGUGGAGUUGAAAAGCUUCAGCCGGAAAGUCCACAUGCAUUUGCUUCUCACACUGAUGCAAGAGCAACAUGAGCAUUACCACCGCAAAUUCACAAAGAGACGUUCAUUCUGAAUCAAAGAUUUCAUCUUCAUCGUCGUCCAAUAUGUAGACCAUGGCCCGCUUUCUUGCAGCCAAAACACAAGCCACGACUCUAUUUGCUGUCGCAAAAAAAAAAAAAAAUCAACUUGAUUUUACUCCGAUGUUCCUACAGUAUGGCCAUAACUAAUGCAAUGUUUUGAUACCUCCGUUGGGUAAAAGUAACAGGUACAAUACUUGCAUCAUGCUAAAACACAGGUAGAAGCAAUACUUGUGUACCUGAAGAGGCUGUGGUAUGCGUGUGAACCAUGAAUGCUCUACAGUAUCUUCCUAUACUAGAUACCCUGAUAGUAUCUAUCAUCAUGAACAUGUAUGUACCAAUUCCCAGUCAAUAAAUCAGACUGCAAUUAACCUACCAUAAGAAUAUAAUUAUUCUUUCUACGUUUGUCUAGCCACUAAAGAUUCAUCUUUUUCGCACUUUGACCUCCCAAUUGAUUUAAAAUUUACGGAAAAGCCUAAUACUUUAGUAUUUUACUUCUUCAAAUGAAAAAAAAAAAUAUUCUUCUUUGGAGUAUAAAUUUACACAUUUCCAAUCCUUGGAACAAACAUGAAAUGGUCCAUUAAAGAGGCACAACGUACCUAUGCUAGUUAUAUUUAAACUUAAGAGUAGGUUGUAAAAGUGGAAAUUUAGUAAGGAGCAUGGACAGGAUUAAUCCAAUUCCACCACGACAAGUUCAUCAAACAACAAUAUGGAAAGGAAAGACUAUGGGCAACAACACUUUACCAAACAUCCAAACUACAAAUGGACAUGGUAAGAAGCUCAAGGAAAACAGUUUUCUGAGUAUAUGAUUGAUGGCAUGGCAAUGAAUUGAUCCUUAGCUUGAUUGUAUGGCGGUGUGAAAAAUUCUUACCACUAACUAACAAGGAGGAACUACAGUAUGGGGAAUGCUGCCAACUUCUCAUUCUCCAUCUCUAGGUGUAAGAUAGGGUCUUAGAUGUGUACUUUCACUGAGUUAGUGUUUUAGAAGAGAGAAUGAGAGUGUUCUCACAAAAUAGAAGCAAAAGUGGCACUACUAACCCACUAGGGUAAUCAAAUGCACAUUUCUUAACAUACAUACAAGUACAACGCUCCAACUAUCAAGAUAUGUUGGAACUUUUAAAGUUAUGGUAAAUCAAAAAGUGAAACAUCCUUUAAAAUUGCAGGCAUAAAAUGGCAUGUAUAUGCACAUAGGAGGAAAAACUAAACUGCUGCUACUCAUGCUGAUGAAGAGAGUAGAUACAUAAUAAUUAGAAAGAACAAAAGACCAGACGUUUGUAAAAUCGCACCAGUGGUUCAACCAGUCAAACUAGUAGAACAUCAAAUUGGUAGAAUUGUGCUCUACCGGCUCCACUAGUUGAACAGAUUGUAUGUGACGUUAUCUAACAAAAUAUGCAUGUUCAGAACAAAAGAAGUAUGGUAGAGCCACUUGAGCACAAAAGAUAGGAUCCCCGUUCUCAAUAGCAUCAUUCAAAUUUCUAAUAGACUAAACUAAUAUAGUCAAUAAAUGAAUUAUCCACCACAAAAUGAAGCAAGAAGACAUCUGAGCAAAUGGUUGGGAUGCUUGUUAGUUACAAGAGGUUGAAGUUCCCAACCCCAGCCCAACUCCAACGCUCUUCCUUUAAGUUUUUGGAAGGCCCAGAACUGGUCUAGACUAGUUGAUAGGUUCACUAGGUUACCAAUUGAUAGUACACCUGGUUACUUGUUCGACGGGGUCGAUACCACCAGUUCUUGACUACCAUUGUUUCUGCUGUGAAACCAAACUCAACAAAAGCACAAUAUCCUAGUUUUUUUUUUUUUUUGCUUUUUGCCAUCAAUGUCUUAAAUAGUGAAUUGACAUAUAUUGGAACAAAUGGAACUCAAGAGCAUCCUAUACUGAUCACAAGUAAGGAAUCAUUAUGCAAGCUCUGGAUCCACAAGUUACCUUCAAUUGGUACAACUCCCAAUUAUUUGCACAAGUGGUUCCUGAAAUAUGCACAAAUGAAAGGUCACUGGCCUACAUGAUCAUCCAAGCAUCUCCCAAGUUUUCACAAGCAUCAUUCAUCUUAUUUAACAGUAUAAAAAUUUGAUGUUCCUAUUUCAAGCAAAAUAUAUUAACCACAUCUGCAAAUAAGAGCUUUAAAAAGAGCCAAAUCCACACAAUAGUAAUAAGAGGGAUGCACAACAAGAUCGUUUCGAAAGGCGUUUCGAAAGGCAUUCCUUGCUGCACAUUGCUUGAAUCAUUCAUAGGUCACCUCACCACUGCUAUACCAUUAAUAACAUCUAAAAAAGACUAUUUGGAAGGAGACCUAAUCUGUAAACCCAAUUUCUUGAGUUCGAGUAGAUGAAGCAAAUUUAGAGGCAUCCUUCAGAGUCAUACAUAAUGAUUAGCAUGAAAAAGCAAUUGUACUCUGCACAUAUAGAUCUCUAGAGAAAAUUGUAGUUUCAGAUUAAAGGUAUAUAUCUCAUAGAAGGACAGUGAAAUGGGAAUGUAUCUGGUGGAUAAUAAAAAAGACGUAGGAGGGAAUUGUGGCAACAAAUUCUUAUCAAGAAUCUUUUUUGAAAUAGUUCCAAAAAAAAACAGCAUCUUGGCAGCUUCCUUGAAAUUGUGAUGAUUAAAUUAUUCCCUAAUCUAGAAAAAAGAGAUACUGUUUUUCCAUACAUAAUGGUCAAAAGCUAAAUAGAAGGCCCAGUCCAACAAGAUCACCCAUCUUAAGUUCCAAUGACAUUGUCAAGUAACCAACUUCAGAUCAAAUAAAAAACACUAGAAUAUUUGGAAGAGGGAGAGUGAAAAACCAAUGUUGACUACAAAACCUAGAAGACAGCACCCUACCCCCAAAUGUUUCCUUUUCAUUUUCUCCUUCUCGCAUUAUAGUCUCAAAGUUCUGGCUACUCAGGCAAAGAAAUGAAAAAUAUUCGUACAAUUUUAUGGUGAUAUAAAAAUGGAUAGGAAGAUCUAUAGACGAACUCAAAUAAUUAAUUAGUAGGGUAACAACAAAAACACAAGCUUUAAAGUAAAGAAUUGCAAUGUUCACACAAACCAAUUUUAAACCUGGGCAAUCAUACUCAAACUCCUAUCAUGCAUACAAAGAGAUCAAGAAUUUCACAUUUGGUAUCAGCCAUGAGGACGAAAAAGCAAUCAUUUCAAACGACAGCCAACAGCAUUUUUUUGUCCCAUAAUUCAUAGUUUCCCCCACUGAGGUGGCAUCUGUAAGAACACCUAUGCAUGGAAAUCUAGAUAUAGCAUUAAUAAGAACAAUCUCCAAUGAAAGAGCAAUAAAUGACACAUUCAAGUAAGAACUUCUAUGCACAAACAAGAUUUUAUUACAUUUCACAUUUCUAUUUCUUUUGCUAAUACCAACAUUCCAUCUGUUCAAAUUUAUCUGCAAGUGUCCUUCGCAAAUAUUCACUGUCCAUAAAUCCUCCAAAUUGCAAUAAUUUUCUGGGACAAUAAUGCGUGUAAGAUGUCUUGUUGACCUGACCUGACAAAAUACAUCAAGGCAAAAAAAAGCAACAAAUUACAAUUGAUCUUUCAAAAAGCGAGACCUUCUUAUCCAAUGAGAAAUGACAUCAACCCGUCUAGCCCUUGUUACCAUGUGGAUAAUUAAAAUAGUGUUAGACCAACAAAAACCACGGUUGACAACUAGCAAAUCACCCUAACUUGAGUCAACCUUAUCUAGUUGAAGUGCUCUAAGUAUGUAUGAAGACUGUAGCAAUAUGACAUGAUAUAAAGAACUAACCCACAAACUAGUAGUCAUUUAAAAUUGCAUAUCAUCAGUUUAGCAACUAAUUUGGUCACGUGGGAUUAAAGCAAUGAUUCAGUUGCUAGAGCGCAUGAAAACAAUACUAAGCUUGAUAGCAUAUCAUUCUAACAUUUAAAGCAUGAACAAGUUCCAUUACACUAUGUAUUAGAAUUCUCUGGCACACAAAUGGAGAGCACAUGCCAGUAAAGACCUACCAAAAUAGUUGCUAGAGUACACAAAGGCAAUACUAAGCUGACCAUACUUCGUAGUAUCCAAGGAAUACUAAGCUUAUAAACUUUCUCGCUUCAAAGCAAUUACAAGGAGACCGCCUACAACCUCUGCCAAUUGAAGUGACAAAGCACCACCUUUGACUCCUCUAUGACCAUCGCCAGCCAACAUUUAUUUGGUUUCCACUCAGUCAUCUUCACCUGCCAUCAGAAAUCAAGCAAACUUCACAAAAUCAAGUUGGAACAAUCGAGUUGACUGCCCAUUAGGUCGCAAAAGAAUGCUGCUAGCCAAACCUGAGAAGCCAGUGGUUUUUCGAACUAAAGCUGAAACAGAAGCAUGACACACUGUGGUCCUUUACCGGUUUCCAUAGCUAAACUCUGUGAACAACUGAAAACACAGCACCGGCGUUGGAACAAAUCACAAGGAUGCGACCUGAAAGAGCGCUUGUGAAGGAUAGAGCUCAAAGAACCCAGAGGAAACGUGCGAUGACAACAUGCGCUUGUCAAGGUUCAGUGAAGUUCAAGAACCAUCAAGCUCCUUAUCCUUCUAUGAUUUCACUUCCUUUUAGAAGUGCCUUGCAAAAGCUAUGUUGGAUAUUUCAGCAUUUACAUCAACUAGUGGAAUAAUAACUGAAUCCUGCUAGUGAGUAAGAUGAAAUCAACCCAACGACUAACAUCAACAGACUCCUAAUAAUACUCUGAAGUUUGUGGAACUCUAUUUGUCAAACUCGAUAUUCUUUUUGAACUCUUUGGAUCUAACUAAUGGGUCUUCUAACAUCAUCUACCACAUAAACUUUGAUCAAAUUAGCAUAGUGUAUUCAACUCAAGAUGCUUGCUUUUAUAGGACAUAGUAUGAUUCUUUUCCUUAUCAUUUUGUGCUAUUCAUGCAUUAGAAUUAAUGCAAGAUAGUUUUCAAAUGGCGUAUAAGAUACCAAAAAAUUUCCCCAGGAAACUCAUGGAAAUGCUUCAUGUGUUUUUCUUUUAGCAAAUAAAUGAACUAACGAGAGCUUAUGCACAAUAUAAGGAAUCAUUUCACAGCAUAGUCAAUUAUGCCAAAAGACAUUCUAGUUAAUGUCUUGCCUAGCUCAUUAGUCCAGUAUAUGACAGAUGGCUUUACCCACUCUACAAACAUCAAGAUGUAUUCUUUGGGAGGCUUGGAGUAGGUAUCUCCUGGACUCAAACCAAAUGAACGUGGAUCCAUAGUCAGAAAAAUUCAAAUUGCAAUUUCUUGAUCGAUCCAAAUAAUUCAUGGUGCUUUUGCUUCUGCCCUGUUUACUAUUCACUCACGGCCACACCACUAGGGGAAGAGCUUGCGCUUGCAUUUAGCAUUUCUAGAUCGAUACAAUUAUCUUAAUCUGCUAAUGCUGACAGUUCUGUGAGAUAAAAUGUGUCAAACAUAAUGGGUGGACAAAUUUUAUCCCAAGUGAAAAGCAUAUGCAUACUAAAGGAUGCCCUAUCAACAUGCUCCUUUUGCACCGUAAAUUCACUCGUAAGUGUAUCUUAGAAAUAUGCAGUCAUGAACUGCAUGGUGAGUGUAGAUCAAAUUAAAACCUUACAUUAGAAGGACCGCCAUGUAGGGUCCAUUUAGCAUUUUCUUUGACCUAUACAAUGACCUUUGGCAUGCUAUCAAAAUAACUGUACACAUAAGUUCUUAUUCAUUACUUCCAGCAUUCCAGAAUCAAUCAAACAUCGAGAAUUUUUAUUUUUCUGCAUAGAAUGGAGGAUCUUAACCAAAGACUAAUAACAAAUGAUGCGCUUAGAAAGUCUUUUCAUCUAUUUCCAUUACUUGCUUGAUAAGCAUAACUAUUUUGGCAAAGCACACACUAACUUCCAAGAACAUCUCCCCUAGAUUGUUUGAAUUCAAGUAAGAAAAUAAUGAUGACACUGUUAACCAAUAAAUAAUAAUGUCAAGAUCAUAAAUCUUGAAAGAUAUUGCAAGCAGGAAAUACAAAUGAAAAUUGGGCAAUAAAUCUCAAAAGAGCAUAGGUCGAUUACCUGCUUUAUGUACCUUCAUUAGAAAAUGUGGAUCAUUCCAAUAUAUUACUCAUCCGAUUCGUACAAAUAGUCUAAAUUAAAUACCGUCGUGUUGCCAUCUGUAAUCUCAUAAUAUUGAUAAAUCUGCGUUCUAGAUAAUUCUGGAAUUGUUUUGAGUGACUUACAUCCAAUGAUAUUUAGUUCUUUCAAAAACUCUAACCUAUCGAGGCCUUGAAUUUCGAUCAAGUUUUCGCAGUCUCUAGCUUUUAAUAUCUUCAAACUCUUGGAUUUUGGAAGGAGCAACUUUUCAAUCGAAGUGCACCUAGAGAUGUCCAGUCUUUCCAAAAACUCCAACCUCUCGAGGCCUUGAAUUUCGGCUAAGUUUUUGCAGCCUCCAACUAUUAAUUCCCUCAACCUCCAGGAUUUUGGAAGAUCUAGCCUUUCAAUUGAAGUGCACCCUCCGAUAUCUAGCCUUUCCAAAUACUCCAACCUAUCAAGGCCUUCAAUUUCGGCUAAGUUUUUGUAGCCUCCAACUUUUAAUUCCUUCAACCUCUUGGAUUUUGGAAAGUCUAGCCUUUCAAUUGAAGUGCACUCAUAGAUAUCCAGUCUUUCCAAAAACUCUGACCUAUCAAGGCCUUGAAUUUUGGCUAAUUUCUUACAGAAACUGGCAUUCAAUCUCUUCAGACCCCCGGACUUUGGAAGGUCCAAUCGUUCAAUUGAAACGCAGCCUUCGACCCUCAAGCUUUCCAAAUAUAUCAAUUUGUCAAGACCUCGAACUUCAAGUAGUUUCUUGCAAUGAUAGGCAUCUAAUGAACUUAGAUGGAUAAACUGUGAAACGUCCAGUGUUUCAAUAGAUUGGCAGUCUCUGACUUUCAAGAUUUCCAACUUGAAGGCCAUGUUUAGAAAUUGUGGUGAUUCCAAUUCUUCAAGGUCCAUUGAUUGGGAGCAUUUUGAACUCUUUAAUAGCAUUGAUGGAAGCACCUGGAUGCACUCGAGAAAUCCGCAAUGCCAAAUUUUUAGUUCCUUGAGAUGGGCUAGGUGGGAAAGCGAAGGCAAUUUGCGGCUUUGACAGGUGACGCCCAAAUCUAUUAGGCUGGAAGGAAGGUCCGGUAGCGAUUGGAGCUUGAAGCAACAAAGAAAAUUAAGGCGACGUAGGGAAGAAAGAUUACACAAGCUUUCUGCCAUUAUCCCUUUUAGAUUGCUGCACCUGUAGGCACGUAACUCUCGAAGCUUUCUCAGCUCCCAAUAACGUUGGGCAAUUCUUCUAUACAACUCCAAGAAAUAUCUAGAAUCUCUAGAUUCUCCAAACACCCAAUGCUAUCUGGUAAUGCAGAAAGGGAUUCAGUAUAGACUAGGAGGAGUUGCUGCAAUGCUUUUAAUUUACCUAAUUCUGUUGGAAGCUUCAUGAGGCUCGAACAAUGGCACAACUCCAAGCGAAGGAGGGCCUCCAUGUCUCCAAUUGCAGUGUCAAUUCGAUUCAACAUAACACACCCAUUGAGAAUGAGAACCUCUAACUCCUUGAAAGCUAAGAGGAAGUCCGUAUCUUCCAAGGAAAAACAAUAUGAAAGGUCGAGAUAUUUGAGCUUCUUUGCCAUCUGGUAAAAAAAUAAUGAUGAUGAUUGUCGAGGGGUGAGUCUAGAGUGGUUAUGAUUUGAAAGAAAGCAUAAAAGGGGACCAGAAAAAAGACUUUAGUCCUUACCUUGAAAAAGCACCAUCCUUCCCAUUUCUCAUUUAUCCUACUUUUUUGCAAUUCAAGUACAGCUAAUUCCUUUACAUCAAAAUUGUUUACUUCAAAACUCAUGGGACAUUUUCGCCAUCGAAGCCAUUUUAACCCCUUCAUCAAGUCCUUAAAAUCUCCACCAAGACGUGCCUUUUUCAUGUGAAGAUAUCUUAGAUUCGUCAAAUUCUUAAAUUGUUUUUCUGUGUAAAUAUCGCCAUCUCCCUCAUCCUUUUCUAGCCCAAAUAUUUCCCCUAAGGCUUUUAAGCUGCUUAAAUUGUUUUUCUGUGUAAAUAUCGCCAUCUCCCUCAUCCUUUUCUAGCCCAUUCAUUAGUACUACAUCCAACUAAAGCAAUUGGAUAUCAUUUGUUUAUAUUGCAAUUGAUGUGCAUUAAUGUAUUCAAGAGACUAGCAACGCGUAGAUUUGAUUUUCUUCUUUACGUCAAUAAACAACAUUUAUAAAGGCUAACAAAGUGAAGGAUGUCAACUUCCAUUUUGAAAGUUGGCCAUACGCAUUCGGAUCAUUAAAAAAUUAUGAUGUAAUGACUCAUAUGGAGUAAAAACUUCACAACUUGUAAUCUUCUUCUUCAUGGUAUUGUAGCUUCAUUAUCAUACUAGUUAAGACAUGCAUGGAAUUCACGGAAUUUAAUCAAAUUGCAAAGUUUAAAAUCAAAAUUUGACUUGCCAAUUUUAAUCGAAUUAUACUUUUUUCUAAUAAGGAGACUUUUUCUAUUAAGCAACGCAUGGGUGAAAGGAUAGAUAAAAGUGAGAAAAACCUCAGAAGCAGCGAGUCAGCGAACAAAACUUACCUCACCACAGAUUCGGUGUUACUAAGGUGACUUCUAGCAAAAAAAAAAUUAGGUUAAAAGGUUAAAAAUAAAACUCCUUUUUUUUUUUUUAAUUUCGACAUAUUCAUAACACUUCAAAAUGGAAAUGACCGUUUCAACUACUCCAAAAGUCAGAACAGAAGAGGGGAAAUGAAGAGGCCACGAUAUCCUGGCCAAACUGUUUUUGACAAAAGAAAUUAAUUUCUUGCCAUCAAUUCGGAUAAUUGAAAUAACUCAAAAAGACUUGUUUCGAGUAACUUUUACUCUUCAGUUUUUGUUUUUUUCUCAAGAUCAUGCACUCUUUUUAGUGGUAUAUCCACUAAAACUUGUUGACACGCCGAAUUAUACACAGAUUUUUUCAUAGUUUUCUAGAAUUUGAGUAUUAUUUGAUCUUUUGACGGGAGAGCAAGACAUUUACUUUCGGUUUUUUAUUAGUUGUGGCGAGCAAUCUAUCUCGCCCUCUAUUUCAGCAUGUCCAUUACUUGCCAGUGACAAGGAAGGAUGAUUAGAUUUUGUCUAAAGAUAUCUUGGGAGUACUUGUUAAGUAACCUGUCUGAAAAAAAAAAAAAAAAAACACUAUAUUAAGUGAUUUUUUUUUUAAAAGUAUUGAUUUAACGUAAUAUGAGAACGUGAAAAUUGCAAAAGUCAUCUUAAAAGGAAAACAAAGAUUCUCAGCAAAGAGGACCAUUUAUCAAGUGGAAAAGUGAUAUGUGAAAUACAAGAUUUUACUAAUUAACAAAUCAAACAAGAAAUUUAAUGUGUGUGUAUAUAUGUUGCAAUGGACACUUAAUUUCAUAUAAUAGGGAAUAUUAAUAUAUGAGAGAUAAACCACAAAAGGAAAUACUUUCUAAAAGAGAGCAACCUCCCUGCUUUCUAAUGACGUCAGUGAAACAUUCGAGGGCAAUAGCAGUGAAGGUUCUUAGUCCAUUCGAGUAAGCAUUAAGUAGUGGACCAACAUAACUGUUAACCGUAGAACAUGGACUAAAUGAGAAAAAGAAAUGAAAUAGUUACCUUGUUAUCCUUUAUUACUUUCUUGACUUCCUCACGGUCCCAUAACCUGCUACGGUACCAAGGCUCCUGUUGGUUUUCCUUACGAACUAUUUCCCUACCAAGAUCUCUUAAUUGGUCAUGCAUUCUGAGCUCAUGAUUAUCUCCAAAUUUUAUUAAUGACAUGAAUCUCAAUACUUCAAUUCCUUCUCCUGGGAAAAAGUCAUAGGCAUCCCACAUAUAAGAUGCGAUUCUCUUGUCGGUGCCAACGAAAAAGCAAGCGAUAUCCAAAAAUAUUUGUUUUUGCUCAUAGUCUAAUGCUUUAUAACUUAUUUUUAACCUUUCUUGGACAUCCAUAUGAGGGACUCUUUUUAACUUCUUUAUCGUAUCUCUCCAUUGUGUUAACUCUUUUCCGCACAAUAACGAACCAAAAACCUCAAGGGAUAAGGGAAGCCCUCCAGUGAUGGAUACAACUUCAUGAGUGAGGUCCUCAAAUUCCCUUGGAGGAGAGUCCAUUCGAAACGCAUGUUUGCUAAACAUAAUCAAAGAUUGAUUGUUAUCCAUUUCCUCAUGGUCAUAGUCAUAGUCCACCCCAACUUCUUCAAGAAUCCUCUUGUUUCUAGUUGUAAUAAUGAUCCUACUUCCCGAAAAAAACCAAUUACGAUUACCAGCCAAACGCUUCAACUGAAUGACAUUAUCCACAUCAUCAAGAAGAACAAGGACCUUUUUACCUUUAAACUUGGAGGAGAUGAACCAAGUCCCUUCAUCCUCAUUACGAACUUCAUUUUUUAUAUUCAAUAUAUCUUUGAUUAAUUGAUUUUGUAAGUGAUGAACGCCAUGCUUCCAUAAUUCUCUUAUAUCAGCAAUGAAGCUACAAUGUUCAAAUUGAUUGGAGAGCUUAUUGUAGAUGGCUUUAGCAAGAGUAGUCUUACCAAUGCCUCCCAUUCCAUGGAUGCCAACAAAUAGAGUGGCAUGAGAUUUAUUAUCCAUAAAUUCCAUAACCUCCUUCACAUGACUAUCAAUUCCAACCAAAUUCUCAGUAAUAACCAACUCGAACUUUUUCUUCAAUUCACUCAAUGCUUUUCGGACAAUCGAUUUCACUAACUCUGCUUCAUACCUAUCAAACAUGACAAGAGUUCAAAUAUGUGGCAACAAUAAUUUUAUAUUGUUAUCUAUUGAGAACACAAUAAAUCUAGUGAUAGAUUGAAAAAUUUUAAAAAUCAUUUUUGUCAUACCUUCAUAUAUUAUCAUAUAUGCUAAGUCUAAAGUGGGAAAUGAUAGUGGUUGCUUCACAUGGCAUGCCCCAUUCCACUGUUACUCUAACAUAAUUCAUCAAGCCAGGAAAAACUUGAGGGCAUCAUUAAUGAAUCUUAAAUGUUGUAUAUAUUAUGGAUUUGAAUGAAGUUUUGAACUGGUUGUUUAUUAAAGAUAUUAGGGAUGACAUGGACGUGACUUUGAAAAUUCUAUAGAGAGUUUGAAUGAGCAAAAAUCCUAUAAGCCAACCGCAUAUGAGAGUUAGCCGUCAAUCAAUAAACAAGCCAUAACUUUUGAUAGAAGAGGAUUUCAGGUCCCAUAAUACCAGUCCGAAAAGUUGUUUAGAUUGUAAUAUUGUGAACUACAUGAAUGCAAUUGAAGUGAUUUCUUUGUUUCCCUUUUGAGUAUCUAUGUUCUAUGAUUUUAAUUGAUCUAAUAUUGAGUUUAUAGGGAAGUAAAAGAAUACUUUUUACACAAAAUAAGAACAUUGUAUAUGCAGGUGCAUGAGAUAGAUAUUACUUGCGGAAGAUAGGAAAUGCUUUGACAGUUAUUUAAACAGACAAAAUAAAGUUAAUCAUUUUUUUACCAUCAUCUUAUAUAACCAAUGAAACAUUUCUUUUGUAAAAUGAUUUUAAAAGCAAGUAAUCAGCGAUAUCAAUGAUUUAAUAAAUGUACCUUGUGAAGAUAAAUAAUUAUGGCAAGGCUUGGACGCUAUGCGUUGUGAGCUUCAAAUAAAAGUCACCAAUAAGUUGUACUAGUAAUUUCAAAUAAAUGUAAUUAGAAAUGUUUGUGCUGAACAUUAAUAUAACGUCCACUAUAAACAUUAAAAAAAAUUGGCACAAUGUUACACAAUCUUUGGAUAUAAGAGUAACAACUCACUCAAAAAUCUUAUUUCCAAGCGGAUGGAAUCAUAACAAUAAAAUUCAUAAUUAGAUUGGUCAAUAUCAUUAAAGCAAAAUACUGGAAAAAAAAAAAGAAUAACUUUCAGAAGUCAUGCAUCGCAGGAUCUUACUUUAUAUAUAUAUAUAGAAGAAAAAGAACGAAAAUGAAGCAAGUGAGAAUCAAAACAAUUAGUAAACACCCACACAUAUUAAAAGAAAGUGCAUAAUGUUUUGGUGAAAAUUUUUACCCAUCGGCUUCAUAUCCUUUCAAGGUGCUAACUCCAUCGAGUGCUUUCUUCCAUUUCCUCAAAAUCGAUGGGUCAAAAGAAGACCUCUCACGCAAACACCUCUCACGCUCACGAAAUGCAUCUCCAAAAUUUCCGGUUUGAUAUCGCACCUCAGCUGGUUUCACUUUGUAAAAUACAGGCAACACUACAUGCCCGUUAAUCUUGCACUCCAUUAUCUGAACCAAUUCGUCCAGGCACCAACUGCUUGUACCAUAAUUCUCAGAGAGAAUGGGGAUGAGGAUCUUACUUUUUGGGAUGGCUGCCAAAAGCUCUGGUCCGAUGUUCUCACCUUGGCGGAGCUCAUCAUUGUCUCUGAAAACAUCAAUUCCGGCAUUAAGGAGUCCGUUGUAGAGGUGAUCGGUGAAACCUUUUCGUGUAUCUGGGCCUCUAAAGCUCAAGAACACCUCGUAGCAGUUUCCAGUUAACGUGGUCAAAGAACUAGAUGCACCAUUUUUUGUCGGAGACGAACUAGAUCCACCAGAAUUAGUUUCUGUCGGCACAGCCACCGAAUCAGAUGCGCCAAUAUCGACAUCUUCUGCAUUUCUAGGCGCACUGGUUUUCCUCUUCUUAAAGGGACGAUGCAUUUCGUCUUUGCUCUGACUCUACCCUUGAUUUUCGCUUUCAAAUCCGACGAAGAAAAUGCCAGAUUGCCUUCUUGUUUUGCCCAUUCUCUUGUGGUUUGAUUUAUAUAAUGGAGCCAGUUGGCAACUAGAAUCACACCAAUAAGUCAAUUUUUGUCAACCAUGUGCUUAGAGUCGAUGCUUUCACGUGGCUGAAAUCUCAAUGCGCAGAGAGAAUCCAAAGAUACUAAUAGACAAGGUCUGUUCAAAUUUCAAUACAAAUAAUAAAACGGUGGAUUUGCUGGGAAGGUGAAAAGUGGAGAGACCGGGGACGUGACUGUGACAUAGAUCUCGUGACUGACACGGAUCUGCGGGAAAAGAUGAGAAGUGGGGAAGAGAGAGAUUCGUCUGUUCCGACAAUUUCCAAACAUGCGACCAAAAAACAAUAAAAUUUCCAGACGAGUGCUUGGUAAUAGACAAAAACAUACAAAGCGUAAGGACAAUGAAGAGGGCACGUUUAGGGUGCGUUUAAUUUAGUAUUUUGAAAUCUCAUUUGAAAAAUUUAAUCCACUACUUGCACCUUCCAACUUUCCUCUUUCAUUUGUUAGUUUAUUUUCCAUCAGAAAAUAUAUUUUUUGUUAAAUAUAUUUAAGCUCUUAAUCCCACUAAAGAAUUUACCCCUCUUACUUUGAGCUUGUUAAAUAUUAUACAGUCAAACCGAUAAACUUCAUUUUAAUACUGAAAUGUUGUAAUGAUAACUAUAACUUAUUCUAAAAAAUUAUAUUAUCAACACGUGUCGAUAAUCAUAAAAAUUAUCAACAUGAUGAGAAGAAUUUCUUUUUUGUUUAGGUUCUAUCUUAAUUUCUCCUUCAAAUCCCGUAAAUAAAUCAAAAUGCUUUUGUGGUUUUGCUUUUACUUUUAUUUUAUUAUACAUAUUUAUUGAUUCAUUUGAUUUAUUUAAUUCAACCAGUUGGCACGCGCUAACAAUUCAAACUAGCCGAACUAGAUAUUAAUUAGUAAUCCAUUGAUUGGGACCACUAAACAUGCAUUUAUGGUCAUUGCCUUAGUGUAGCGGAAGCUUAAAUUUACAAGAAAAGUGAACUUUAAAGAAAUGUAAAUGUUAGAAAUAGAUCAAAAAACCCUUUAGUGAAAUUGCAACUUUUCGCUCUAUGUCGUUUCCUCGUGCGUGUCCCGACAGUUUUCUCUCUCCAUUUUUUUUCUUUUCACCUCCUCUGUUCUUUUCUUUCUUUUCUUUUGCGGACCACUUUCUCAGUUUUUUAUUUAUUUUUAAUUUAUAAAAGCUCUCUCUUUUGCUGACCCCUCUCUAUAUCUCCUUUUCUUCGCUGUGAAGGGAAAGCUCAGUCCUUUUCUUUUUGAGCUCUCUCUAGUAAUGACUGCAUGCGAAAAAAUCGCCCACCCCACUAGGCGAGAAUCCCCUGCUUUUUUUAAGCCUAGAUUUUCUUGUCUUCUUUGGCUAUGAAUUUCGGUCCCUAAAUGUCGAGAUUGCCCCCCUUGUCCUCAAGGUACUUCUCGUUAUUCGAGAUUCAUUUGCAAUUGGACAUUAAAUUUGAAAAUCCUUUUUAGGCGAAAAAAAUUAGGGGCUGAUAUAGCACUGGGUUUAAAGUGGAGGGUUGUUUUAGACAAAAAAAAAAUGCUGUUGACAAUAGAAUUAAGACUGAACCUAAAAUUUGAUGGAUUUUAGAGAAUUAGGACCAUAUAAAGAGAGAGAAGAGAAAGUAGCUUCACUUAUUUUAAUCAUUUAGGGACAGAUUUAUAAUUAGAUAGCGUGUAAUUUUCUUUUUUACCUUCGCUCGGUGGCUGGGUCCCAUCCGUCUUUGCUUAACUUGAUAUAAAUGCUACUCCUAUUCUUUACCGAAUUUUUGUUUAUUUCUUAUUUUGAAUGAGUCCCCCCCCGCUUUUCCCCCUCCCCCCAAAACCACUCUGUUCUCUACUUUAUUGACUUCACAAUUUCUUAAUCAACCCAAAGUCAAAUUAAUAAAUCACAAUUUUCAAUUUUUCCCGGCUCAUGGUUUUUCUUGGUUUAGUUUAGCGAUUGCUGUAUUGUUUUGCCCCUCUUCUUGUCUAGGUCCAAAAGUGGUUUUUUUUUUCAAAAAAAAAGAGAGAGAUAUAUAAAGGACUAAGGGAGAAGACGCACCAGGAGAGAAAGGAAAAGAAGCGGAAAAGAAGAGGAAGAAACGGACAGAACAAGGGGAAAAACUCAAUCCUUUUCUUUUUCGAGCUCUCUUUGGCAAUUAUUACAUGCGGAAAAAUCGCCCACCCCACUUGGGCAAGAAUCCUGUGCGUUUUUUAAGCCCAGAUUUUCUUGACUUCUUUUACCGUGAAUUCCGGCCUUUGAAUGCCGAGAUUACUCCCUUGUGAAGAUGGAAAUUGCUCUUCACGCGACCUUGUCCUCAAAGUUUUCAUCAUUAUUCGGAACACAUUUGGGGCUGAAUAUAAAAUUUGGAAAGUUUUUUAGACGAGGUUGAUAUAACAUUGACUUUAAAGUUAAUGAUUUUUUGAAAUAAAAAAACUCGAGAUAAAAUUAAGAUUGAACUUAAGAAUUUAGGGCCAUAUAAAAAGAGAAGAGAAAGUUGAGGUGCUUCUUAUGUUUUUAUCAUCUGGAGGUAUAUUUGCAAUUAGAUGGCAUAUGAUAAUUUUUUUCUAUCCUCACUCCCUCUUCUCUACUAACUUUUUGUUAAUUUAUUAUUUCGAAUAAGUGGUUGAACCCACCAUUCUUCUCUCUACUUAAUUGUCGAGUUAUCGAUUUUUUUAAAUGUCAACUUAUUGAUUUCAUUUAGUCAAAUUUAUUAAUUUCACAAUUUCUUAAUCAACUAUCUAGUCAAAUUCAUUGAUUUCACAAUUUCUUAAUCAACUCAAAGCCAAAUUAAUCAAUCAAAAUUUUCAAUUUUUUCAAACAAAUAUUUUUUCUUGAUUUUGUUUCGCUACUGCUCUAAUAUUUUCCCCUCCUUCCUGGCUCGGUCAAAAAGUGGGUUUAAAAAAAAGGAAAAAGAGAGAGAGAUAUAAACGGAAAAGGGGGAGCAGGCGCCACGACAGAAACGAAAAGAAAGGGAAAAGACGUGGGCUUCCUCACGCGUGCCCCAAUAAUCCUCUCUCCUUCUCUUUCUCUCUGUCCUUUCAUCUUUUCAUUUCACCUCCUCCACGAGAAUCUGCCUCCUCUGUCCUUCUUAUUCUUUCAUUACUUUUGCCGACCACUUCUCAGUUUUUCUUUAUUUCUAUUUUUUUUAACAGAAGUUUUUCUUUAUUAAAAGUUCUCCCUUUUGCUGAUCAUAACCUGCUCUCUGUAUUUCCCUUUCUUUUUUUUUUUGGGCAUAAGUAUUUCUCUUUCUUGGCCGCGGAGAAAAAUCACCGCACCCCCAACACUUGCCCAAAGUCCUCUGCUUUUUUUCUUGCCCGGAUUUUCUUGUCUUCUUUGGCCGUGAAUUCCGGUCCCUAUAUGCCCAAAUUGCUCCCUUGUCAGGAUGGAAGCUGCUCUCCCUAGACAUUGUCCUCGAGGGUGGAUUUGAAACUAAAUAUAAAGCUUUGAAUUUUUUUAAGACGAAAAAAUUAGGAUCUAAUUUAGCAUUGAGUCUAAAAUUAAAUAUUUUCUGAGAUAAAAAAAAAGGUUGGGAUAAAAUUAAGAUGAAACCUAAAACAUGCACCGGGAGAGAAACAAAAAAAAAGGGAAAAGAAGAAAAAAAGGAAAAGAAAAGAGAGUGGGUUUUGCAUGUAGAUCUUCCAUAAAUUCACUUCCAUUCGCAGCGCCAAGUAAGGUUUUAAGCCCUUUGUUUGUACAAUCAGGACGGUUUUUGAAAUUAGAGUACAAAUUCAAAGAUUAUAUGAAAUUUAUAUUACAAAAUUCGAUUUUGAAAUUGUUAAGCUGUGAAAGUAAGGGCAUUGUGAAGUUGUGACAUUAAACGGGAGUUGAUUAGAAGUAACAUUUUAAUAGACAAUGUCCGAUAAAAUUUCGAUAUCCAUAUAACUGGGGAUUUGUUUGGAAGAUGAAAAGUGGAGAGAGACUUGGGAGAGUGUUCGUUGAACUUAGUCCACGGCUUGCACGAUUGAACUUUCCUUUUCCAUUUUUAAGUUAUUUUCCACCGGAAAUAGUAUUUUUAUUGGACAUAUUUAAGCUCUUGAUUCCCACUUAAAAAAUUAAUCCCUCUCACUUUAAUUUUGUUAAAUAUUAUACUAUUAAACUGAUAAACUUCAUUUCAAUACUUAUAAGUUUAACGAGUUAGCACGUGCCAAGGAUUAUAAAAAAUUAUCAACAUUCUAUAUAUAUUUAUUAUGUAUCUGAACACAAUUAAAAGAAUUUCUUUUUUGCUCUGAUUCUACCUUAAUUUCUUCUUCAAAUCUCAUAAAUUAAUCAAAAUACCUUUUUGCUUUUCCUCUUCGUUAUUAUAUAUUUAUACUGAUUUGAUUUACCCAAUCCAAGCAAUUGGCAAGCACCAAUAAUUCAAACUUGCCGAGUCAGAUAUAAAUUAGUAAUUCGUUGAUCGGGACCACUGAUCACGCAUUUAAAGUCAUUGCCUUCGUGUGUGAGAAGUUUCAAUGGACAGGAGAAUCCAAGGCGAUCCUGCCCAGGAAGAGAAUAUCGUGUGAGCAAAUUUUGAUGCAAAACAAAAAAAAUAGUACAACAAAACAAUAAAGGACAACUACUUUAUUCGUAUCCGUGGAAAGUGGUCACAAUUGAUGAAUACAUACAAAACCUCGGGACAAUUGCUGCACCAUUGAACUUUCUUUUCUUUUCUUUUUUAAUUUAUUUUCCAUCGGAAAAGUUACUAAUAUAUUUAAACUCUUGAUUCCAGUUAAAAAUUUACUUUGAACAUGUUAAGUAUUAACAAAUCAAACUAAUGAAUUUGAAAUGUUGCAUUAUCAACCAUCACUUAAAUCUACAAUAUAUAUAUAUAAAUAUAUAUAUAUAUAUAUAUAUAUAUAAAGACUUCAGAGGAUUAUAAAUUCAAAGAAAGUAAAGAGGAAAAGUCUAGUGACUUGAUAUCCAGACUCCUCUUUGAGGAUAGCAGGCGAAGGUUUUUUGAGGACUUUCCUUGCAUUUCUCCCUUUAUUAUUUCUUGGACAAGCCAAAGGGCCAGCCAAUAGCAUUGAAUUAGACUCAAAAUAAAUAUAGUCUAUGAUGAAGAACGGACGGAAAUGACUUUCAAUGACACAUUACUCUUUAUACACGUCUGCCUUAAUUUUGCUCGUAAUUAAAUAUGAUGGCAAAAAUAGUGAGAAAAUUUUCUAAAUAUAUAGUGGGGGCAUGGACAGCGACUUGCAGUCUAUCUAGACAAGAAACUUGAAGAUGCAUGGAUCACUGAUACAUUUUAUUAUUUCUUGGACUAACCAAAGAGCAGUCAAUAUUGAGUAAGAAUCUAUACAGUUGUAGAUAUUUCUAUAGCCCUUGUUACACGUUUUUUAAGGAAUUUGUACAAUUGUAGAUAUUUCUAUAGCCCUUGCUACACGUCUUUUAAGGUGGAGACCACUUUGAACACAACCCCUCUGUAUGUUUUUUGUCUUUCCUCUUGUCUAACUUAUUUUUCCAAGUAGACUUUUCAAUUACACGGCAACUCUUUCUACUUCCUUUGCACAUUUAUUUCUUCCUCGCUCCAAAUCCUUUCCCUUGUUGUCACUGCUUCCUUCAUGUGCUUGUGACAUGAAUUUGCGAGAGAAAAUGAAAAGUUGAAAGAGAGAGAUUGGUCAGGUCCAACAUUUUCCACACAAGUGUUCAGAAUAGACAAAAACAUACAAAACGUCAGGACAAUGAAGAGGGCACGCUUAGUCCACCGCCUGCACCGUCGAACUUUCCUUUUUCUUUUGUUAAUUUAUUUUGCAUCGGAAAAUGUGCUUUUCGUUAAAUAUAUUUAAGCUCUUAAUCACACUUAGAAAUUUACCCAGCCUGAUAUAUAUUAUCCAGUCAAACCAAUAAACUUCAUUUUAUUUCUGAAAUGUUGUAUUAUUAACGAUAACUAAUUCUAAAAAACUAUGUUAUCAAUGCUAUUGAGGAUCAUAAAAAAUUAUCAACAUGCAUAAAAGUGUCUAUAUAUGUAUAUAUAUGUAUAUAUAUAUAUAUAUAUGUAUAUAGAUGUAUAUACAUAUAUAUAGAUGUAUAUACAUCUAUAUACAUAUAUAUAUAUAUUCAUUCUAACACAAUGAGAAGAAUUUAUUUUUUGCUCAGCUUCCAUCUUAAUUUCACCUUCAAAAUUCAUAAAUAAGUUGAAAUGCCUUUUUGCUUUUGCUUUUGCUUUUACUUUAUUAUAAAUAUGUAUAUUUAUUUUAUUGAUUUGAUUUAUCUAAUCCAAUCAGUUGGCACAUGUCAAUAAUUUAGACUUACCGAACUAGAUAUGAAAUGGUAAUUCACCGCUAGACCAGUAAACAUGCAUUUAUGGUCAUCGCCUUUUUUUUUUGUCGUCGCCUUCAACUGGUGGAAGUUUCAUUGCACAGGCAAAGUUUCAAUGCAUUUUACUCGUGGCCCAGCAAUAUCUCUCUCUUCAUUCUUUUCUUUCUUUUCUAUUGCAGAUCACUUUAUCAGUUUUUCUUUGUAAAAGCUUUCUCUCUUUUGCCGACCAUAACCCUCUCUCUCCAUCUCCUUUUCUUGGCCGGGAAGAAAAGCUCCGUCCUUUUCUUUUUCGAGCUCUCUCCGCAAUUAUUGCAUGCUGAAAAAUCGCCCACCACACUUGAAUGAGAAUCCUUUGCUCUUUUUUAAGCCCGGAUUUUCUGGACAUUUGGCCGUGAAUCCUGGUCUCUGAAUGCGGAGAUUGCCCUCACGUCAAGAUGGAAAUUGCUCUCUCUUGACCUUGUCCUCAAAGUUUUAUUAUUCGGAAUGACAUUUGGGACUGGAUAUAAAAUUUGAAAAGUUAUUUUAGACGAGAACAAUUGAGGGUUUAUAUAGCAUUUGGUUUUAAAGUUGAGGAUUUUUUAAAUAAAAAAAAUUCGGGAUAAAAUUAAGACUAAAACUAAAAUUUGAGAAUUUUAAAGAAUUAAGACCAUAUAAAAAGAGGAAAGAAAAAGUUAAAAGAGCUUGCCGGUUUUUAUCAUCCAGGGGCAUAUUUGUAAUUAGAUUGCAUGUGAUAAGUUUAUUUCUAAACCCACUCCCGGUGGCUCGGCCCAGGAGUCCUUCAUUAACUUGAGGCUUCAUUAACUUGUUAACUUGAGGCCAAGGAGUGCCUAGCCCACCACUCUUCUAUCUACUUAAUUACGAAGUUACCUCAAAUUUAUUGAUGUCACAACUUCUUAAUCAACCCAAAGCCAAAUUAAUAAAUUAAAAUUUUCAAUUUUUUCCAAUUUUUUUUUGUUUGCUUGGUUUAGUUUAGUAGUUGCAAUAUUCCUUCAACACCUAUAAUUUGUAAUGCAUGUUAAUUCAAAUAUUUAUAUUAUUAAAUGGAACGAACAUGUGCAAUAUUAAUUCAUUUAUAUUAAAUUGCAUUUUAAAUAAUACUUUCACGUAAAUGCAUGCGGUUCCUCUUAAAUAAGAAGGGGUAGCUAUGUUAAUGAAAAUGUGAAAUAAACUAACAAAGGGUUGGUCUAAUGGUAGCAUGCUAACUCUUCGCGGACUGCCCCAGCUAAUGGGCAGGGGUUCAAAUCCUGGUUAAAAGCCCUUGUUGGGAGGGGAGAAACCCCUGAUGCUUUAAUACCCAAAGCGAUUGCCCACUUUGGCCACUAUUUUAUUUACCCAAAAAAAUUGCAAAAUAGAUUUUACUUAUCACCCAAAAUACACCUAGGCAUAUUAUUCUCAUCCGACAAUUUUUUUUAUCUAGAUUUAUUCCCAUUAUAUAACAAGGGUAACUAUCUUUAUAAAUAUGUUAAAUAGGCUUCACUAAUCAUUCAAAAUAUACCUAAGCAUAAUAAUAUUAUUAUUCAACUUGGUUGGUGCAAGAUGUGAAGCAAUUUGUAUGUUCAAUAGAAAGAAGCUUUAUUAUGAUAUCCACUUGUGACAAACUAAAAGAAUUAUCAAUGCUAUUUAUAUAUUAACAAUCCAAAUUAAGAAAUUGUGAAGUGUAAAAAACAAAAAAACAAAAAAACAAACACAAGAGUACUCGUGCAUUUCACGAGCACUUCUAUUUAUACUAUUGAUUUACAAUACUUUAUAGGUGCUCAAUUAUCACAUUAAUUCAAGAGCUUAACUGCAUUAUUCUCUAAAGCUAAUCAACUCUAGCUUGUAAGUAAGAGUACUUUGCCUAAAAUGCAUCCAAUUUAAGAGGCAUCAAACAUGAAUGCAAUAUAUCAACCUAUGCAUUACCACUCUAAUAGGAGAGUAUUAGGUGUAUUUAUCAUGUUAACUGUUGCGAUACUAACAUAUUCAACCUAUCAAUAUAUACAAUAGUCAAUCAUCAGUCUGAUGCAAUAAAGUUGACCUCUAAUGACAAUAAACACAAUUUUAUCGAAUUCGACACUAUAUUGUCAACCAAGGCAAUGCUAUGACUUUAAUCAUAUUAGUAAUUCAGUAUAUGCAUGCUUUUUAGUUCCCUAAAUGUUGCUUUAAGUUUGCAUUUGGGAUGUACAUUUUUUCACUCUUUUACGACAUCAUACAGUGUGAAAAGUUUGACAAACAUUAUGGCCCUUCAAGUAAAUUUUCUUAUUAAGUCUAGACUAAGGCUUCCGCAAUGUCCUUGGCCUGGAUUAUACUUGCUAGAAAGGGUAAGAUCUUCAUAGGCCCUCUCAAUCUUCCUAGAACAGAGCAGAAACCCAAUAGUCUGGAGGAGAGCAAAAAGUAUGCAAGGUAGGCCAACCGCAAGCCAAACAACAAAAAGUUUCAGAUAAGUGUUUAGUAUCGAAGUUGGAGGUGUCAUCUCAGAAGUGACCAACAUAAGUGAAAUCUAGCCUAGAAAAUGGCAUAAUCAUCUAGAACUUUUACAAGCAUAGCCUCGCCUAGGAUAGUUGUUUACUUAACCAGCCCAUUACUUUCCAGGCAAUACUGAUUUACUGUCAGUCUACCAUCAAAUCCCUUUAUUAAGAAAAACUGCUGUAUGAGAAGCAAGAACAAGGAAAUGACUCAUUUAUUGAAUAUGAUAGACCAUAUAGCUAAAUAUUUGAUUUGAACAGACAAAACGCUUACAAUAUUUUCGAUUGAAAGACACCAAAUAUACUGAAGCGCAAAACCUCAUCUUUAUCUCCACUGCAAAGGCUAUGCAAACAUUGCUUGAAAAAUUUGAGAGCUCUACAAAUGACUCUUGAACGUCAAUUAAACCAGCAUCUUCAGGUACUGGUCUAGGCAUUUGAGGAACUCUUGGAGCUGGGGGUAAGAAUUGAGUGGUGCGACCUUCAAACGCCAAAGAGUUACCAGAAGCGUUCUAUAAAACAAAUCAAUAAUUACUUUCCAGUUGGAAAAUAAAAAGACGAAAAAAUAUGAGAUUAAAGCGAAGGAGCCAAACAAAUCAACAAGUUACAGAUGACCCCAAACAUACACUUCCAAAAAUUCUUCCAUAAACCCAUACUAAAGCCAUUGGACUGUGCAAUAAGAUUCUAAGUUUGAAAAAGAAGUAUUUAAGAACACCACACUAAAAUAACUACUUAACUGCAAACGAAGCAUUAUGAAAGGUGUGAACCAUAAGAUAUCUGCCAUUGGUAAUAAAGAUCAUGAAGUCAUACUAACUUUUAAGUUGAAAGAUGCCAUACUCAAUUCACUUGGGUUCUCCUAGUUAAGACACACCCCAACUGCCAUACUUCAAGCUUCUCAGCAGUUUUCCAUUCUCCCAAUUAAGACACACCCUAGUUGCCAUACUUCAAGCUUCUCAGCAAUUUUCCAUUAUGCUUAAUAUUUAUACCCUGUUAGAAUGAUUAUACCACAGUGUGCAUAACUGCUAUAAGCACUAGCAUAUCAAAAGCAGCACCUUGCAUAUUUAUAGUUCCAUAAAGACAGCUACUUUGGCAAGUAACAUUCAUUAUGUACAAACAAAUUCUCUUCUCAACAAUUCUUAUGUAACCAUAGGUGCUAUAAUGGAUUUGAAUAAGAUUUCGGAUCCAUCUAUAUUGAUUGACUGCAAUCCAUGAAGUGGAUGAUUAGUGAUGAACUGGUAGAAAUCUCAAAGAAACAGAAUUGCAGCAGCUUCAGCCAUGUACUCAGCCAUUCUACUCAUGAUCAAGCAGUUAUAGCUUGCUAAAAACAUAACCAGUUAUUUACAAACUUUUCCACCCACAAGCAUAAUUGAGGCACACAAAUCCUAUCAUUUAAGAGUCACCUAAAUUAUUGCCUUCCUAAUUUGACUGAACUAAACAAAUUUACUGACAAUUGAAAGAAGCUUUUAAUUUUCAUGAAAAUGAGCAUCUCACAGAUGAAUGCUUCGGUAUGAUACCAUCCACUUAGACCAUAGAUUCUCACCACGACUUGGACCCCAGUAAACACUAUGCUGUAAUUUGUCAUUGACAAUUGAAAUAGUUUCAAUCAUUAAUGACAACAUUAGCAGCAAAGUAAAAAUUUUGUCCUACACGAGAAUGCGAUUGAGUACAUCAAUAAGAUUCAACUCCUAAAGUAUAUUAAUAUACUAAACGAGCAUAUUAAUUCGGUAUGAUAUGUGAUUAAAGUAACUCACUGCUGAUUUCACUGAUUAGCUAUGAGUCAAUCAAUUUUGUUGAUUCAUAAUUUAACUCAUGCAUCAAAUAAUGUAAUAUCAAAAACAUUUCAUGGCUUUGAUAUAGGGCUGAGUCCCACAAUAAAGAACAAUUAGUUAAGCAUCACAAGCAAAAUUGCCUAAGCAACACACCUAGGGUUUCUUAAGCAUCACACCAAAGAUGAAUUGUGUCACACAAUCUGCAAAGCAAACACUUGCCAAGUUCAAUAAAUUAUCAACUCUAUUGAAAUUGGAAACCUCUAAACAGGAAACAUUAUUGGAGUAUACAUAAGAUCCUACUUCUCAAGCUUAAAAAAAGAAAAAAAGGAAACUUUGUAAAAUCCUACUAAUACUCAAAUACUAGUUGAUAAUUUUAGUGAUUAAACUUCAAGAAGAAUCCUGAUCCUCGUUUGAGUUUCAAAGUCAAUCUUCACCAAAAACUUGGUAGUCAUCUUGCAUGAUGCAAUCUAUCCAACUAAACAAUAGAGCCAACUUGAUCAACAACUUGACCUAUCAGGACCUGUUUAUAUUUAGUUCAGUAAAUUCUCUAAUAAAAAAUCAUACAUGAAUUUGGUUUCCAUAGUUGUUAUAGAUUACAAUUUGAACACACCAUAUAAAUAUAACAUUUCAUGUAAACCUAGGAUUUUGUAAGCUUAUGGUUAGUUUCUUUUCAAACUUAUUUGACAUUGAAGAGAAUAUGCAUAUGGUACAUAUGUCACAUUGGUCAUGUUAGAUGGGAAUGACCCAUUCAAUUCAAUCUAAUUAGUUAAACGGAUUAUUCAUCUCUUACCUAUUUAACAAAUGGGUCAUGUUCAAUUAGAAUUUUCUAAUAAAAUUUGUUGUUAAUUUUAUCGUGUUUAGAUUGACCUAUCUAUCAAUCCAUUGUUAACUUGACAUUGAGAAACAUGACCAAUAAAAAUGGAGUUCAGUCAGCAAGUUUACUGUUUGCAUUGCAUCAUGCAGAUUUUGAGCAAUUCAGAAUCUUUCCCAGGAGAGACUAAAGAAGGAACACGUUUUUUGAUGAUAAAGGAAUGUUGCAGGAGGAAUACCUGGUUGAGAAGUAAUGAGGGCAACGUUCAAGUGACAACAGAGAAAACAAACUUCGACUUCAUGCAAUAAAACUGUAUUGUCUUCAAGUCCCAAGACAACAAACUUGCCAUGAGGACACCGGCAUAAUGAUGUCAUACAGAGCAGAAUAGAAUGAUUAAGAGAAGCCAGUAUUGACUACACACAUUGAAAUGUGCAAAGAAAGUGAAUCCAUUAUAAACGAGAGAGAGAGAGAGAGAGAGAGAGAGAGAGAGAGAGAGAGAGAGAGAGAGAGAGAGAGAGAGAGAGAGAGAGAGAGAGAGAACAAUCUGUUCCCAAUAAAAUUAACAGAAGAAGAGGAAAGAUAAAGCACACACAUUAACCAACAAAAGGUUAAUCAAAAUUUGUGAAGUGAGGCAAAACGUCAUAACUGCACAAAAUAACUAAGGGAUAUUAGUCGCUCGAUAUGAGAUUUCUUUGGGCUAGUAGGUCAUCUAAAGCAAGGGAAUCUAUAUCUUCCAAUAUCAUCAAAAAACAAAUCUUCUUGUUCAAUUAUGGAACCUCAAGGUGAAGUGGAUGCACGGAAGCUUACUUCAGGCAAGGAUUACAAGUGUAAUAGUAUUUACAACUUAGGAUCUCAAGAGAAACCAUUCAAGGAUUGGCUCAAGUACUAGAGUGCACUCAAAACAUUCUCCAUAUCCAGAAGACAAUAUGACAAGCGAAGCACUGAGAUGUUUCCAGAGAAAAAUCUCCUCUCUAAAUUUUUCCGGUGAGAAUAGACAUCAAGAACUAACAAGGCAGGGCAUCUAAUUCUAAGUUCUUAUGACUUUGAAUUACCAAAAGAUUAAGUCAUAUAGGAACCCAACAUACUUGGAUGCAGCUCCCCUGACCCUCCCAGUCUUUUUGCUUUCUCCAAUUUCUCUUCCAUACGUCUUGACCAGAUUGUCAUGCAAGUACGCAGCAUAGCUCGAGAUAUAUCCUAUUCAAAAGUUAGAACUCCCACCAUCGAAGUCGAUUAAUCAAAAUGAUGUGACGAAAUGCCCCCCCAGUAAUGACAAGAAGAUAAAUAAAACUUCAAGCAAUACAAAAUGUAAGAAACUUUCCACCUAUAGUCUAUAUUUCAGUAUCCAGUAAAUCUCUCCUUGCAGGGCAUGCUCAGUCAGUAAAAGAAUGCUCAAUCAAUAAAAGAAGAGGAGUCAGCAGUAAAAUUACAUUGUGAGAGUCAUCAUCAGGAAUCUAAGAUCUUUUCAGAUGCCUGAUGACAUUUAGUUAAUAUUCCGCAGUGGCUAACCUGCCAACUCCAAUUGGGCAUCAAGCAUUUCUGCAUCUAACAGAGCUAGUCUAUCUAGCAUACAUGGCAUCCCCUCCAAUUCAUGUUAAUUAUUUUCAUGGACACUUUAACUGGUGUACGAAGAAGGGCCACAAGAAGGCAAUACAAGAGUAUGGUACGCUUAUGGUCGAUGUAGCUGACUGUUCGCUAGGCUAUGGAAAAAAUCUCCCAAGGCAACAACCUGAUCGAGAAGUUGAUAAGAAUCUAUUGUGCCUAUAAAUAAAAUCCCUCCAUUCAACUAAUAUUGGCUUGGAAUUCUUCACUGGCAACUAAGUCAUCUAUAGAUUUCCACUUGCAUCACCAUCACUCGCCCUUCAUCUCUGUGUAAAAGACCAACUCCUUAGUUGGACGGCACCUUCUCAUUUAGACUUUCAAGCACUUUAUCUCUAUAUUCAUCCAAUUCUCCAUCAAACGCAAUUUGAGCUAGAUUGGCAUUACAGUGGUUCCUAUGGCUAAAAAGGAAGCUUAAAACAUUUAGGAAAAGCGAAAGAAGUAAAAUGAGAUAAGGCCGCUAACUCAAAGGGCAAACACAGCAAGCCAUUGUUGAAGAAACGAACAAACUGAAUAAAGAAAAAAAGAGAACUUUCUCGAAUCGAAGCAAUUACCUAAGAGAGAUUGUCCACAGCCUUUGCCAAUUGAAGCAAAGAAGCACCCACCUUUGCGUCCUCCGUGACCAUCGCUAGCAAAUCCUUCUCCGAAUUCCACUCACCCCAUCUUCACCUGCUAAUCGAAAAUCGAGCAAACCCCUCACGAAACCGAAUCGACCUGCCCAUUAGGUCGUGAAAGAACGCCGAGUAGGAGCCGAACCUGAGAAGCCAGGCGAUUCGUCGAACUAGGAACAGGCGAGAGUCAAAAUAAGGAAGGAGGAGAGAGAUGGGAUAAUCCUCAUUUACUUUUGGAUAAAAAAAUGCUAAUGACUUAUUCAAAUCGGCAUCUCACGAUCGAUAACAAAAAUUCACGCAUGCUUAAAUGGAGACACUGGGCCAAGCUUGAACCCAACCAAGCCAUUUGCCAUAACCACCCAAGCUCUUAACGUUCGACCAAAUACAAAUACUCGACCAAGCCCCAGUUGGUGAGCUUUAAUCUAAACUCCUGUUAUAAGGUGCACAUGUGCGUCAAUGAUACAGUAGGAAGAAAAAAUGAGAUCCAAUGUCUUCUUUUUCUUUUUUAACUAGAACUAGGCAAUUCACCCUGUUAAAAGGUACAGCUUUGCUAUAUCAGGAAAAUCCCAUUUCUCUACUCGUGUAUGUAGAGUCAGAGACUUGCAAUUGGGCAAAGAAAAUGGCACACCCUGUACCUCUGCCGCAAGUGAUAAAACCUAAGCACAUUCAACAAUUGAAAGGCAAAAGAAUAAGGGCCUGUUUGGUUCGGCUUUUGGGGAAUGCAUUUGCAGAAAUGCAAAUACCUUUGGGUGAAAGGGGUUUUCCGAAAUGCAAAUGCCGUUUGGUAAAAUUUGCAUUGAGAAACAACUUUGGCCAAAAUACCGUUUAAUAAAAUUUGCAUUUGUAAUUAAAUUUUAUUAAAUUAAAAAAGCAAAAAUAUGUUUAUAUAUAUUUUUUUGAAGUCCGGCCACCGGACCGCUGAAUCCGGUAGCCGAACCGCCUGAAUAAAAAAUAUACAAAUAUAAAGAUAAAAUAUAUUUAUUAAAUAUAAAAUAUAUAAAAAUAGAUAUUUUUAUAUCUAUAUAAAAUAUAUAUAAAAUAGCCUGAAUAAAAAAUAUGUUUAUAUUUUUUAUAUAAAAAUAUAAACAUAAAAUAUAUUUAUUAAACAUAAAAUACAUAUAAAAAAUAGAUAUGUUUAUAUAAAUACAUAUUUAUAUAAAAAAAUAUGAGAAAAAAUAGAUAUGUUUAUAUCUAUAUAAAAUAUAAUAUAUAUAUAUUUUAUAUAAAUAUAUUAUAUAUUUUUUUUAUAAAUAUAUAUUAUAUUUUUUUAUAAAUAUUACUUAUUAAACAUAAAAUAUAAAAAUUAGAUAUGUUUCUAUUUUUUAUACAAAAAAAUAUAUGUUUAUAUUUUUAUAUAAAAAUAUAAACAUAUUUAUUUUUAUAUUUAUUUUUAUUCAGGUGGCCGAUUAGCUUCUUCACCGGAGAAAUGAACAAUACUGGAAGUUGCAUUCCGAAGAUGCAACUUUCCAAAGGACCUCAAGAGCUGCAUUGAGCUAGAGGCUCUUACAGCCACUUGGAGAUGCAAUUGCAUCUCGCCAAAGUCGCGCAAAAAAAUGAACCAAACACCUUUGCUUUUGGCCAAGGGACUUUAGAGCCCAAAUGAGCAUUCCAAAUGUUGAACCAAACAGGGCCUAAGACAGUUUACUCUUCCUUCCAAAUACAGUAUAAAAAACCCGGCUAUAUGCUUUGAGAACACUUAUGGUUCCCACCUAUGUAACAAAUUGAGUGACUAAAGCUUUUGAGUGUUGAAAUAGUAGAACUUAUAUACUAAUUCUAGUCAACAAUUGCUUUUUCGAUCUUUUAAAAAAUAGGACACAAUUACUUUUCAUUAAUAAUUUACUAUGAUCAUUGGAAUGAUGGUUAUGCACUACUGAGCAGGAAAAAAGAAUGAUCCCAAACCAGCUGCCUUUUCUUUGGUCUGUUGGUAGUUAUUCUGAAGGCACAAUGUGUAUUUGCACCAGUUGUGAUUAGGCAGAGUUGUGAAACGAUGUAAACCGGAUUGCUCGUGCUGAAGUUUGGAAUGAACUUCCUUAACUCAAGGAAGAGGGAACAAUGAAUUAUCCAUAAGUAUGAACCAAACGAGUUAAAUUUGAAAUCUGCUCACCCGAAGGCACCAACUACCAAUCAAAAGCUUAGUCGCAUUCUGCAGCUUCUGAAGCAGUCCCUCAACCAGGUUGCAAUACCCUCUGUAAGACUCGAACCAAUUGUGAACAAAACAAUCAGUUGGCCUUCCAAAAUCCUCGCCUCUCAUAAAAAAGUUCGACUCUGCUUCAAUCAAGGAUUGAGACUUCCGUUACCAGCUGCCAGCUGCCUCAUCAUACCAGAAAAUCUUCUCAAACGGCAACAGAGGACUUGAAAUCUCCAAGGAGAAACACUCAUCAGUGCAUACCGAGAGCAGCUAUUGACGCAAUUUCCCUCAAAGUCUCGGACAAACCUUGAUGGUUCGCUUUAAACCGUAGCAUCUUCCAAACUAAGGUCCUCGAGAACAGGGCUGCCAUUCGACAUCUCAUGCAUCACCUCCGAGUCACAGACGGACAGGGACCUAAGAUCAAUCCAAGCGAUACUUCUACUCAACGAGAAGCAACAGAGCCCUGAGUGCAGGUUCACCAAACGAAGAGCAUCCAUAAAAGGAGCCGCGGUACUGCAAAAUGGACAGCCAUCUCGCACAACCUCUUAGUCGCAUCCACUGAGAGGUCCUCGACACAGCGGUCGACGGAAAAGCGAAGCCAUGGACUGAGCUCAGGCGCGCAAUGGUCGAGAAAAUCGGCGUCGAUGUGGAACUUCCUCACCUUGGGCGACGCCUAGAGGAUCAAGACGCCGUCCACGGACGGGGAGGCGUUCCGCCAGGGGAAGGAGAAGACGAGGUCCGGGGGCGGCGGUCCAGAGGGAUCGCCACCGCUUCGACAAAAACGCACGUGCCAUCGGCAUCGUCGCCUAGGGUUUCGCAUCGACGAGAGGAGGAGGAGGAGGAGGUCGGCGAUGGCUUCUUCUUCGCCAUGUGGGGAUCGACGAUCGAAGGGAGGAACCGGACGGAGAGCCUCCUCCGAUUUGAGGGUUCAUUCCACUCGGACUUAAGUUUCUGGCUUCCCGUAUAGAGACACGUGUCGCUCGAUGGAGAGGCAGCCACUUUCCCGCGCCUUUUAAUACGUCUACGAGCCCAUGAUGAUGGGCCUUGCACGUCUUGAAUUGCCGAGUACCGAACCUUAAUUUUUUUUAAUCCAAGCUUGUCCGACAUCUGAAAAAAUCAUCAUUCAUAUAAUAAUCGAGUAUGAACAAGAUCGAGUAGGCAUACAUAAGCGAGAUUGAGCCCGUGAAAGAAAAUGUUUGCUUGAUUCCGCUUGAUUUGUAAUAUCAUGCUCGAGGGUUUCACUUACGUAAUGGUAGACAUAAAUAAUUAUUGAAACUUUGCAAACAUCUAUAAAGAAAAAAUAAAAAUUAAAAAUUAACCAUAAAUAAAAUUUAUGAGAUAAUUAUUUAGCUUAAAUUAUAUUCAUGAUCAAAGUAUGAUAUCUCAUGAGCUCGAAAAAUAGCAGAUGAAUGUUUCAACGUCUUGAAUUACAUUGGCAUGAAUGCAAGGAAUGAUAACCCAAGCAAUUCAUGAAGUUCGCCGGUCUAGGAUGGACAUGUUUCUUAUUUUCAAAUUGGCUGACAAGAAUGCAACCGGAGAAGACUUUUCUCAUCUCACCACCAUGCCAAAUGCAAGACUAUUAGCAUCCACAAUGUGCGUCUCCAUUUAGAUGGCAACUCCAUGAUUCUAGUAAUUAAGGUUGUUGAGCUUAUGGCUCAAGUUCUACCAACUCAGAUUUGGAUCGAAGCCUGGAGAUUAAACUAAGUCACAUACGUGUUAGGAGGCAUUGUGGGCGUGUGGCAAAGUUAUGUGGAGAGGACCGGAUGCUCGAGCUCUGCCGUGCUACCGACCAAAUGAUAGCACUAGGUAUUGUCUGAGCUCCUGAGCAAUCCCUUCAAACACCGAAUAACUAGCAUAUUCAGUAUAUGAUAUUUUGUUUCCUAUGCGAAGCAAAAACUGCUAAUUAAAUAUGUCCUCCAUUGCAAAAGUUGGAAACUCAGUUUUUAUGAAGACGAUGGAUUUUCUUAAUUUGUGUGGAAUAGGUUGAUUCAUCCUCCAUGUAGAAAAAAAAAAUAGGGCUGUCAAUCAAAACUUUUUGAAAGUGAAACCAAAUCCAACCAAACUGAAAAGCGGUAUUAGCUUGGCUUCGGAAGAUACCAAGAAAAGAGUUCAUAACAUAAAUGAAGAUUCUAUUGUGUAAACUUCCGAAGAUUGUCUAUGUACAUAAAAUGCAAAUAACAUUGGUAAAUAACAAAACCAUCUAAUAACAAAAUGCUGACUAUAACUUAUUCAGUUACUAACAUUUUGGUAAGUUACCAAAACUUUUAAGAAAAUACCAAUGCUUAUCGUAAUAUUGUUUAUUAUAUAUUAUUGUUGACCUUUGAAUGUUCCCGAUGGUUAAAAUUAGAAAAAUUGGAGACUCAAGAUCUCGGAUUGCGGCCAGAUUCGUUUCUUGACUUAAAAAAAAUUGAUUAGUAUCAGGGAAAAUAAAACGUAACUUCUUCUUCUUCUUCUUCUUCGAAAUAUUUAUCGAACCCCAAGUGUGCUUGCUAUUUUUUUUACCCUUUUUCCUCUCUUGCUUCUUUUAAGGACACGUUUCGCAGUGAAAUAUGAAUCUUCUGAAUUAAAAGGUUGACCCUUGUUCGGCUCUAUUCCUCUUUCCAUUUCGUUUCAUUUCUCCAUUUUAUUCUGUUUUUAUUUCGUAGCUUCUAUUUUUUUAUCAACUAGGUCAAGAAAUCUUUAGAAUGCACAUAAUCUUCUACCGAUUAGUUUCGAAAAGCACUAGACUUUGUUAUAAUAUUCGUUAUUCCAAUGGAAGAAAGUUCAUAACACUUGGUAUAGCAAAGAUUGGUCGAAUUGGUGGUUGGUAAUCUUCAAAGAGUACAUAAUAAUUCGUUCUUCGAUAUUUGUUAUGAAAACGGUAGGAAUCAAGGAGUUUCCUUUUACCUUGUCUCCUUUUUGCUAAGCAAAUGAAGAUUUGAUGAGAUUGCACCAUAUGCUACAAAUAUGUAUUCGGAUACCUUAUGUUCAUUCAUUUUUUGCACCGCUUAUGCCCGACAUGAACUUUUGAUAAUUGCUCUAAAAAUUAUCCAGAAAUAAAUUAGCAAGAAUUCUUAAAAUGAACAAGAGAACCAACAAAAAGACUCCAGACAGAAUAGCACAAUAACACGAAAAAAAAAAUGAAGAAGAAAAAAACGAAAGAGAAAAGCAGCGCAUUGAAAAAAGUCAUAAAUUUUCUUUUACGAAAUCCUCUUGAUUUUUACAAGCUUUUUUUUUUUUUUUGGCGAACAGAGAAUUUUGAUCAAGUGGGUUCUACUACUAAAGACAAGAUGCGCUUUUUACGCACUAACGUGCGUUGUCGCUGAUUAAAAAGAAAUGAGGAAAAUCUAUAAGUUAAGCGCACAUGUAUGCUUGUGUGUUGAGAUCAUACGAGGUCCGUGACGAAUCAAAUUGUUGCGCUUUUAUCUACUGGCAAGUGUGAUAAAUGCCUAUUGGUCUCAAGUUUUUAUCAAAAGGAUGAAGCCAAGAUUGAUUCUAGAACAGUGAUCCAUAUUGAAUCGCUAGCUAAAAUCCUUCACGGAAAAGCGAAUAAUUUGGAAAAUUAUUUUUCAAAAAAAUCACUCGUACAGUUACAAAAAUGAACAAAUGCGAGACACUCUUGUUGAGUAUGCAAAUAUUUAAAUAUAGAUUAUUGUCAAGAAUGAAACAUAUUUCAUUAAUGGAUUCUUUCAAGCAAUACAAGUAAUAAUUUUUAGAAGAACGUUUUUCAAAUCAUUCAUUUUUUUUCCGUGAAACAAAUGGAGCCUUAAUUCACAUCAAUUUACGAAUAAUAUCAUAUAUGGCAUGAUAUUUAGAUUUGUCUAAGAAACGAUAUCAUUUGAUUCGAGUCCAUACGUUCAAUUGUACAAAUAAUCUCAUUGCACACCACAACAAAAUGAAGUGGCCCAACAGGAGGAGAUUUCGCUCUGUACCAACAGAGCUGGUACGGAAGGGGAGAAUUACCGAAAAAGUCCUAAACCUAUUGCAAUUGUGCUAAUUUAGUCCUAAUUUUUUUUUUUGGCCAAUUUAGUCCUAAACCUUUUAUAAUUGUGCAAAUUCAGUCCAUCCGGCCAAAAUUGGCCUGCCGGCACUAAUGUGGACGCCGGCGGGGGACAGCCGGUCGACGACGCUGUCGUGGCAAUUUUUUUUAAAUUUUUUUUUUUAAAAUUUAAAAUAUUUUUUAAUUCUUUUUUUUUUUUACACCUUCUCUUUCCUUUGGCCAGUCGGCGUCGGCUGGAGGCGAGGGCCGGUGAGGUCAGCCUCGCCGGCCACUGGCGAGGCUCGCUCCCGCCAGCCGGAGGCGAGGGCCGGUGAGGUUGACCUUCGCCGGCUGCUAGCGAGGGUGAGGCCCUGCCAGAUUCGGCGAGGUCAGCCUCGUUGGCUGCUGGCGAGGGCANNNNNNNNNNNNNNNNNNNNNNNNNNNNNNNNNNNNNNNNNNNNNNNNNNNNNNNNNNNNNNNNNNNNNNNNNNNNNNNNNNNNNNNNNNNNNNNNNNNNNNNNNNNNNNNNNNNNNNNNNNNNNNNNNNNNNNNNNNNNNNNNNNNNNNNNNNNNNNNNNNNNNNNNNNNNNNNNNNNNNNNNNNNNNNNNNNNNNNNNNNNNNNNNNNNNNNNNNNNNNNNNNNNNNNNNNNNNNNNNNNNNNNNNNNNNNNNNNNNNNNNNNNNNNNNNNNNNNNNNNNNNNNNNNNNNNNNNNNNNNNNNNNNNNNNNNNNNNNNNNNNNNNNNNNNNNNNNNNNNNNNNNNNNNNNNNNNNNNNNNNNNNNNNNNNNNNNNNNNNNNNNNNNNNNNNNNNNNNNNNNNNNNNNNNNNNNNNNNNNNNNNNNNNNNNNNNNNNNNNNNNNNNNNNNNNNNNNNNNNNNNNNNNNNNNNNNNNNNNNNNNNNNNNNNNNNNNNNNNNNNNNNNNNNNNNNNNNNNNNNNNNNNNNNNNNNNNNNNNNNNNNNNNNNNNNNNNNNNNNNNNNNNNNNNNNNNNNNNNNNNNNNNNNNNNNNNNNNNNNNNNNNNNNNNNNNNNNNNNNNNNNNNNNNNNNNNNNNNNNNNNNNNNNNNNNNNNNNNNNNNNNNNNNNNNNNNNNNNNNNNNNNNNNNNNNNNNNNNNNNNNNNNNNNNNNNNNNNNNNNNNNNNNNNNNNNNNNNNNNNNNNNNNNNNNNNNNNNNNNNNNNNNNNNNNNNNNNNNNNNNNNNNNNNNNNNNNNNNNNNNNNNNNNNNNNNNNNNNNNNNNNNNNNNNNNNNNNNNNNNNNNNNNNNNNNNNNNNNNNNNNNNNNNNNNNNNNNNNNNNNNNNNNNNNNNNNNNNNNNNNNNNNNNNNNNNNNNNNNNNNNNNNNNNNNNNNNNNNNNNNNNNNNNNNNNNNNNNNNNNNNNNNNNNNNNNNNNNNNNNNNNNNNNNNNNNNNNNNNNNNNNNNNNNNNNNNNNNNNNNNNNNNNNNNNNNNNNNNNNNNNNNNNNNNNNNNNNNNNNNNNNNNNNNNNNNNNNNNNNNNNNNNNNNNNNNNNNNNNNNNNNNNNNNNNNNNNNNNNNNNNNNNNNNNNNNNNNNNNNNNNNNNNNNNNNNNNNNNNNNNNNNNNNNNNNNNNNNNNNNNNNNNNNNNNNNNGGGGUACGCCGGUCGCUCUCAAUGGCGGCGUCCGCUUGCAACCGAGCGAUGUAGCGAGCUUCGACGUCCCUCGGACCGGCCCUUAGAUCGGGCGUUUGGCCGUCUCCUCAGCUUGGCUUCGCCUCCCCCCGAUUCCCUCUCCCCGCCCGGUUGACCGCCUCCCCGCCUCUGCCCUAGCCUUGGCGAGGGCCGAGCUUGCCGGAUCUGGCGGGGCCUCGCCCUCUCCAGCGGCCGGCGAGGCUAACCUUGCCAAAUCUGGUAGGGCCUCGACCUCGCUAGCGGUUGACGAGGUUGAACUCGCCGGUCCUCGCCUCCGGCCAGUGGGGGCGAGCCUCACCAGUGGCUAGAGAGGCUGACCUUGCCAGCCCUCGCCUCCGGCCGACGCCAGCCGGCCAGAGGAAAGAGAAGGUGUGAAAAAAAAAAGGAAUUAAAAAAUAUUCAAAAAAUAUUCAAAAAUUUGAAAAAAUAUUAAUUUUGUUUUUAAAUUGCCACUUCAGCGUUCGCCGGCCGGUUGUCCACUGGCGGCGUCCAUGUCAGUGCCAGUCGGCCAAUUUUGGCCGGAUGGACUGAAUUGGUACAAUUAUAAAAGGUUUAGGACUAAAUUGGUCAAAAAAAAAGUUUAGGACUGAAUUGGCACAAUUGCAUAUAGGUUUAGGACUUUUUUGGUAAUUCUCCCAGUACGGAAGCAUUGGAGGACUCAUGGAUCAUCACAUUGAUGUGAAUGUGAUCGUGGAUUAGUUCUUGAAAUUGUAAUUGGGAAAAAAACAAAGUGAUAAUUAAUCCUUAUUUACUUUUGAAUUACAAAAAAAUGCUAAUGAAUUAUUCGAAUCUUCAUGUCAUGAGAGCGAACAUCCACGCAUGCUAAAUGUCAAGACGAUGGGCCAAGCCCGAACUCGACCAAGCCAUUUGGCAUCACCACCCAAGCUCCAAACACUCAAGCUGAAUAGAAAUACUCUAACCUCAUUGUUUGCCAUCACGGCCUCAAACCCACCCCCUUUCCAUGUGCCUUUUUUUUUUGUUUUUGUUUUUUUUCCAAUUUGUGACUACUGCAUAGCGAACUUGGACAUAUAAAAUCCGUACGUUAUUCAUGUCUAUGCUUAUUCUCGUCCACACUCUGGACAGAUCACUAAGGGUGCACAUGAUAAAAUUUCUGGAACAUAAAUUGAUUUAUAACUAGAUUUCUAACUACAUAUAAAAUCCGUACGUUAUUCAUGUCUAUUUCAGAAAUUGAGAAGUUAAAAAUUUUAGCUUCUAAUUUCUUCUUCAAAUCUAUUUCUGAAUAAAAAUAUGUUCCAAAAAUAGAAAAAUCAAAUUGCGUUACUAAACAGAUUUUUGUUCCAAACCUGUUACGGAGAACAAAGAAACAGAGAAAUAAUGAAGUAUAACUUUUAUCACGUGCGCCCUAAGUCUUGUUACCAAUAAAUGUACAGGCCAUGUUUGAUCUGGCCCUUCCUCAUAUUGCGAGGCACAAGAAUUCUUCCCGCUACAGAACUUCACUCGUGCUUGGCUCGGCAUCUGAAGAGCGUGGAGACUGCUAGGUUCGUAGCUCGUUCUUUUGACUAUGACCUAUGUAAGCUUGCCUUGCCAAUGCUGCUUUCACCAAAAGACGCACUCCUGCUGGAGAAGAUGGUCAUUAACGUUGAGAGUAGUGGAAGAUGCCAAUCGAAAUCUCGAGUCUUUGCCACGGCUGGUUCUGCCCUAGAUGCAAUCUUUGCAGUAAAGUCUUGCUACAAGCUGCUCACAAUAGGGAGGUUGUCGGUGGUAGAACGGAUUUUCCAUGGGAAGCGAUUUGGAAAUUGAGGGUUCAUAUUGGAGUUUCUCUUUUUGCUUGGGAAGCAACUUGGGAAUGAAUCCUCCCUUCAAAUAACCUACAACAAAGGGGCAAAAUAUUUGUUAACAGGCGUUUCCUCUACAAGGAGGAGGCAUAAUCCGUGCGGCAUCUCCUCCUUCACCAUUCAUGGACAAGAAUGGUUUGGACAGUUUCCUAUGCUUGCACCGAAUUAUCUCUGGGUUAUUGGAGCUUUUAUGGAGCAAGAAAAGAAGGAUUAACUCAAUUCGUCUCUCUGUUUUUAGGCUUAUUUGGAAAGAGCUAAACAAGAGAGCUUGAAGUCGUACGCUUUUGGUAUGGUGGAGACUGCAUAUUGAUAUAAAUGCCUUGGUCAAUAUAGUCGAUGAUUUAUCUUGUAUUUGAGCUUACUUUUGGUUUUGGGAGUUGUUCUUUUGUACAUGGCUUUAAUUUUUGGGCUCUUUUCUUAUAUGCGUUUGCACUCCCUUGGUGCGCUAUAGUUGAACUUCUUAUGUGUUAAAAGAAACUUACUUUUCUAAGGAUUUUUAAGUUACUCUAAUUACCCUAUAUCCCAACAUUGUAUCUAAUCGUGUAGUUUCAAACUAACAUCUCACAUAUGAUUUUGUGCUAAUUGGCAUAACCAUCAUCCACUUAGCAUGUCAUUAUUGAGCACAAAAACACUCCAUUAACUCAAGGUUGUUAUUCCUUUUAUGAGUAAUUUCGUUGUGACAGAAGGGCGCCUUUACAGCCUAAAGUCAAGAUCUAAAAAGUUGAAGGGAAACUUUGGAUCCAAAGAGAGACCAACACACUUUCAACAUAGAACAAUAAUAUGGAUACAAAGACUAGCUUACAAAACUCGUUUGAAGUAGUAAAAUCCAAGUAUUUAGGCAAGUAUAUCAUAGACACCUAACACAAAAAUAUUUCACAUGUGACUUAGUAAACCAUUUUCAUUUACCAGGACUUAACAUCUUUAGCAUUACUCUGCCAAAAAAUGGUGCUUAGCUUAAAAAAAAUGGCGACCUAAUUGGAAAAAUAGUUGGUAAAAAAUAAAAUAAAAUAUAAUAUAAACUAACAAAUUCUCACAUCUAAGUACGCGAACAAAUUGUUGAGAACAGAGGCUCUCAAAACCAAGGUCAAGCAUCACAGAUGAGAUCAAUGUAGGUUCAAUUCACUAUCAUCCAAGCACUCGCCAGUUAUUAUAUCUACUCAUUUUCUUCUGAUAAUGAGUUUUUAUCCUCAAUUUUAGCUUGUCAACAGUAAUAAUACCAUAAGAAAGUAGAGUUUCAAUUACUACAUUGAGUCCAAAGAGCGGAAUUGAUAGCAUAAAUAAAUCCUAACUUCUCCUAGGCUCAAAUAGUGCUAUUCGUAGGUAAAAAUAGUUGAAUAUCAUUCAUUGAUACAAAGAUUUGAAUCUUGCAAUUAUGAGGGAUGCAUGCUCAAAAUGUGAAACUUUCCAGCCUAAAUUAAAUCCCUCCUUGUAAGAGACGCUCAACCAGUACAAGAAAAGUAGCCAGAAGUAAUAUUACACCAUGUGAGAGUCACCAACAGAAAUCGAAGAAAAACUAUUAUUGACUUGACAAUGUUAUGAUGAUACUUUGCAGGGGUUAAACUUGCCAGCUGCAAGUGGGCAUCAAGCAUUUCUACAUCUGACAUAAGUGUGAUAACAAGGCCAUGUAAUAUUAUUUGCCCGACUUGUAUCGGGUUUACCUUUUCCGCGUUUAUUUUCAAAUCAUUUCAAUUUCUUGGAUGUUUACUUACGCGCCGCUUUUCAUUAUUUUGAGUGUAAAUUUCUCUUCUAAAUUAUGUUAGGAUUAGUCUAGACAUUAAAAAAAAAAACUACAAAAACAUUUGCAUGGACACUUAGUGGUUUCAUAAAGAUUAUAAUUGGUAAUCAAGAUUGUAUGGCCAUUUAGAUAAACAACCUUCCAAGUUAGUGGUACCGCAAGGGCGCUAAUAGAAACAUUGGCGUAAACAAGUCCCCGUUCCUAGAAAUCUCUGGUUGCGUAUGAAUCGAGACAACACUCCCGUGUCUUGAUUGGUUUCUAGCCGACCUCAAUAGGCUAGUGGCGACUCCUAGAAUUACAUAGGUUGUUAAUAACUAAAAAACGAAUCCAACGUCGCGCGGGGUAUGGGCUUGGGAGAGCCCGCGCCUAAUCUAGGGCCAUUGGUCCACCUCUUUACGCAAAUACCCCUAAACCUUCUUCUUUUUCCCCGGACGGAAAAAAAGAGGUGGUGACAACUAUGUCGAUGCUUGACAAUGUUAUGAUGAUACUUUGCAGGGGUUAAACUUGCCAGCUGCAAGUGGGCAUCAAGCAUUUCUACAUCUGACAUAACUAGUCUAUCUAGCAUAAACGACAUUUCCUCAAAUUCGAGUUCUUUAUCUUCAUGAACACUUUGACCGGUGUACCGAAAAAGGCAACAAGAUGGCAAUUCAGGAGUAGGCUACCCUUCCGGUUCAUAGAUGAUUGUCCAUUAUGUUAUGGAAAUCUCCUAAGGUAACAAUCUUGUCUAGAAGUUUAUAGGAAUCUAUUCGUGCGUGUAAAUAAAAAUCCCACCAUUCAACUAAUAUUAGCUCGGGAUUCUUUACUUGCAACUAUGUCAGAUCCAAAUUUUCACUCCCAUCGCCAUCAUUCACUCUUCAUUUUUGUGUAAAACAUCAACUCCUUUGUUUGACAUCACGUUCUCAUUUAGACUUUCAAGCACUUCACCUCCAUAUUGACCGAAUCUCCAUCAAACACAAUUUCAACUAGGUUGGCAAUUGAAGUGACUUAUUUGGGGAAAAGCAUCGUAGCACAUGUAAGGAAAAGCAAAGGGGGAAUAAGGCCAAUGACUCAUAGGGCACACACUAAGCCAUCGUUGAAGAAAUGAACACACUAAAUAAAGCAUAAGCAGCAUGGUUGUUCAGUGAAACCGUACCUAUAAUCACAUCAGGCGCAUCCUCUGCCUGACCUCUAGUGAUAGUAUAAACUGUUCCCUGAGCUAGGGGUCUCAUCGAUCCACCCUGCAGUGCGUUCUCUAGUGCAAACCCUCUAAUAUGACCCAUCGGUGGUGGCGGUAGCUGCGGUUGUCCUCUUCGCCUUCUAGGACAAUCUCUAGCCAUGUGACUCUGUUGGCCACAUUCAAAAUAAGCGCUCGUCCUUCCGAGGCACUGGUUCACACCUGUUGUCUUCCAUAAAGGCAACGCACAUUAUUCAGGCUUGGCCCUACCUUGCCAACUCCACCCUUUUUGUUGGGCGGGACAUGGAGUUUUCCUCCAGUCAUGGGCCUAUUCCCAUGUCGAAUCCCUUCUCUGCUCGAACUAAACCUCGAUCCAAACGAGGCUGCUUGCUCAUUCAGACUUCUCUCCAGCAUCUAAGCUUGAUUAUACACCUCACGAUAUUCCUUCAUAUCCAAAGGUAUCAAUGGUUGCUUCAGCUCAAGAUGAAGGCCACUCUUGAAACUUCGAGCUUUUUCCUCUAAGUCCUCGAUCAAUCUCGGAGCAUACUGAGAUAGCUCCGCAAACUUCACCUCGUAUUGGUCAAUAGUUAUCGUCCCUUGAUGGAGACGUUGAAACUCUUCCAUUUUUUGUUCUCGGGCACUUCCUGAAAAAUACUUCUCGUUGAAAGCUCUGAGGAAGGCAUCCCACACCGGGACCACGCCCUCUGAAAACACUGCAUCUUUAGUGGCUCUCCACCAAGUAUUUGCAUUACCCUGCAGUUGGUAAAUUGCAAGGACAACCUUCUCUACCUUUGUGCACAUCAGAAGUGCAAAGGUCUUCUCCAGGUCUUGAAUCCAAAAAGACGUAGCCUCAGGGUCUCCAGUACCCGUGAACUUCAGCGGGUUUAGCUUCAGAAAUUGCUUGACCAAUUUAUGAAUCGGCCUCUCUCUCUACACCACUACAUGCUUAGGCUAAACUUCGGUGGGUGCAACAACAGGCAUGGCAACGGGUGUGGCAGCGGGUGCGGCCUUAGAGGCGGUGGCAACGGUAGUAGUAGCAGUGGUUGCAACAACGACAGCUUGGUUCUGGGCUUGCUGCCGUAUCAAGUCCCUCAUAGUUUCAAGCGCUUGCAUGAUCCCUUCGAUUCUGGGAUCACCAGGGGCUGCUACCUUAGCACCAACGGGAGGUAGUGCUACUCCACUCACGCUGGCUUCAGCCUGCGCUCUACCUCGGCCUCCUCGGGUACUGACCCUUAUUGGCAUUCUACCUCGAGUCACGGACUCGAUGGUACGCUUCCUAGGAGUCAUUUGCUCCUAAUCGCUCAUCUCGGAGGAUCCUUAGGGAAACCUGCUUUCCAAUCCCAUACCAAAUUAGAAUUCGAGCGAUCCACACAACAAACAAUUUUACCAAUCAACUAUCACAAACAUGCACCAGCAUGAAUUUAAAGACCUUUCCUAGUAACUAUCCUAACGGCCAUCGCACCUUAUCACUCCAAUCACUAACCAUGCUCUGAUAUCACUUAAACGGGAAUGUCACGCCCCGAUCCUCCGAGUACGCCCCGAUCCUCCGAGUGUGUGGCCAUCCCUCUAUAGUCGAUUAAUAACGACGUCCCAUGACGCAUCGCCGACUCAUUCGUUUUAAUAUGCAUGCGAAAGCAGAUAAGUAAUCCUUAGACAAUAACACAAUGGAAUAGAAAAGUAGGGCCACAGAUUUUUCAAACUGAAAACACAACCACACUUAUAUAUAUAUAUAUAUACAUAGCAAACCAUGUCAUAUAUAAUACAAGUUGGUCUAUUUAUAACAUCUACAAAACAGGGGGGUUUCACAAAUCUACUGGUCCUCAUCCUCGAUUUCACCUUCUUCCACACUCCAACUGGAGCCUUUAGUACACUGCACCGGUAUUUCAAGCCCCGGGUCCACCAUGUCUACGAUCGAGCCUUGAGGAGGAUCUGUUGUAUCCUCUCCAAAAGCGACCUCCAGAAUAUACAGAGGUAUCUUAGACUCCAGCUUGGGACCCUCUCUUUGGCCAUCCUGAGCCUGGUGGUACCACGAUUUGUAUCGGUGGGGCACCUUGUGGGUGAGAUCUACAUCGACCUAGACAAUGGACCUUACCAACUCAUAGGUCCAACCCCUAGGGCUCCCAUGCAAUGGAAUGUAAGAUGUUUGCUCCAUAACCUUAUUAAGUCGUCCAAAAAAACUCAUGAGUUGCCAUCUAAGGACUUGAAAUGUUGUCCCACAACGGGGUGAGACGAUGUCUCAGCGAGUUCUACCCCCUAAGACCUGACUAGGAAGAAAAUACGCCCCAAGGGCUGCCUAAGCACAAAUAUAGGUCGGAGGACUUACCUUAGCCUCAGUCUCUUCCUGUAAGUCAGUUUAAUUCAUAAACUAAACCAAUCACUUCAAUUUACCAAAUCAAAUCGAACUAUCGAUCAAUUGACUCAGUCGAUUACAUGUCAUCACGACCUUCCCUUAGUCGGCCCAAUCAAAUACUGUCUAAUAAGUCUGAUCAAAUUAUGACUGCUCCCUCUAAGCUGAUAAUAAAUAGUAUAGUUUGCGCUAAGCUGAUAAAUAGUAUACUGCUCUCUAUCUUAGCUGACAUAUCAAGCCCACAGGCGGAUAUGGUAUAUUAAUAACGUUCACUCCAAGCUGAUCAGGUAUAUUGCUCUCUAUCUAAGUUGACAUAUUAGAGCCCUUAAGUUGAUAUAAUAUACCGACAUUGCUCACUCUAAGUUGAUAAUAAUAUUGCUCGCUCUAAGCUGAUAAGGUAUACCGCUCUCUUAUUAAGUUGACAUAUCAAAGCCUGUAGGUUGAUAUAGUAUACCGGAAGCUAACAUGUCGCCCGUAGGUUGAUAUAGUAUACUACCCCAAACAUAUAACCAAUUCAUCAUUUUUAUCAUACCCGAUAAAAAUACUCGUAUGUGGGUACACGGUUGGCCUUAGCCAAAAUACAAUAUUUUCACUUUUGAAUGUCCCACUAGAUUCAGCGGUCCCAAAAUAGAUUUUUAGGGCUGCAAACUGACGCUCGAUAAUACCAAAAUUAUCAAUUUAUGAGAUAAUUACCCACAAACACCAAUCACACUCAAAGUGCACAAAUUAGCAGUCAAAUAAAUAAAUAGAUCACACCAUUGCAAUUAGCAUGAAAUUCCGGUUAUCGACUAUCUCGAUCUAAUUUCCGAAAAAUAAAUAAAUAAUUAAAUUAUUACGGAAAAUAAUAAAUAAAUGCCAAUAAAUAGAACUUAGGCCCAAAAAGCCUAAUUAAAAGCCGAGACGGAUUGGAAAUUUUUUUAAAUCACUCUAGAUAAAUAUUAGAGCUUGUCUAGGCUCUAACUACACUACUCUAACCACUUAACAUGCAAUGACAAUUAAUUAAAUUGGUAAUCUAAUCUAACUAUCCACCUAAUCCAUACUUAGUAUAAACUAAACAACCUUUAAGCGUCAUUAACCUACUAAGCAGGGAUUAGUGAGUUAAACUCACUUGUUAAGCGAUCUACUCGGAUCGAAACAACGGGGACACGGAGGAGCUCGACAAACUCCAAAGGGGGAUUGCUUGUCGAGAUCGGGAAAGGUUUGAAAUCAGGCUGAAUAGUGUUGCGGAGACCCACUUGGCUUGCUCUUUGUCUAGUGAUGGUUGGCAGCUGAACAAGUUGGUCGGAGGCGCGGCUGAGAUAAAAACGAGCAGCGGGGUCAAACGGGCUGAGGCGAGGCAGCAUGGCGGUCAGAGGUGGCUAGACAGUGGCUUGAAUUGGUUGUAGGACCUCCUAGACGCGCGGACUGGGCGAGAUGGCGUGACUGGGCUAGCGGUGAGGUGCGACGAGCUACGAAGCCCGUGGGGUGCGUGACGGCGAACGGCAAUGGUAGGGGUUUUCGGUGAGCUUCAACGGGCAAGAGGGGUUGUUGGUUCUUCUCUGGAGAUUUUUGAAGCUCACAAGACAGCAAUGGAGGGGGAGGGGUCAACGGUGGAGGAGAAAGAGGGGGCAAAGGGACAAGCUUGGCUUUGGUGGGUCCUCUUACCCUUCCUUCUCAUCUUCUCGGUCCCCCUGUUGGUCCCCACCAAUCCCAGUUGUAAUCCUCAGCCAUUUCCAACCCAUUUGCUUCUUCUGGAAGCCUUGAAGAGGUCCACAAGUUGGGUCCAAGGGGGGCACACGAAUUUCACAUUAUUUCCUUCCAAUUGGACUUCAACCUCACCUGAAUAAAUGCAAUUUAGUCUCUAUAAAUUCAACCAUCAUAGCCUCAAUCAACUUAGUAUUUUUCCUCGCCAAUUGAACUCACUUGCAUCCCAAUUACGGUAAAAAAACGAUCCUCUGAAUUUUCUGAACAAAAACGCCCCUACCUCAACUUUUUUCCAAAAAGUCUCGAUUUGUAGAAAAAUCUUCGAAGACUGAGUUGACAUUCCUAAAAUGACAUGUGAUAUGACAGAACUUUCAACUUCUAAAAUCGGAUUCAAAUUCACAGUUAAUUUUACGAUGACGCAUUUUUAUGGUGACCUAAGUUAUUAGGUAGCUUUCAAAAAAUUUUAGUGCAAAUGACUCGUGGUCAAUUUUUUUCGAGCCACAAUGAACCUCUUCGACACAUUAGCGACUCUCGAUUGUGAAAAUCUCGAGAAUUCAAAUACGGACAUAAGGUACCAAAAUGAUAGAAAAAUCAGUCUAGUGUCGGUUGACGAGAAUUUCUCAAUUUGGUGGAAUCACCCACGUUUAACCACACAUCUCAGUCAAACCGACAUAUUUCUAAUUUCCAAUUGACUUAUAUCCGUGCCGUAAUGAUCUCUGCAGAUGAGCACAAUCGAGUAGCCGAUUCCUGGUAGAAUCCUCAAGUUUAUUGUAUUAAAAUCUCUUAAUAACUUCCUUAGGUAGUCUAGUUAUUUCAGGAGUGAUCAACUCUAAGAAUAGCACUAUAGGCGCAUCAAUGAAAAGCCCAAUUUAAUUUAAUUGAAAAUAGCAUUGAAAAUUCGGGAUGUCACACUUUUUCUCUUCGGUGAAUACUCGCCUAGCAGAAAAUGUUCAUGGUAGGCAUAAAUUAUAACUCUCCAGAAAGGGUGGAGCCUAAGAGCUUUAGUCGAAAAGCACAUAUGCAUUGCUGCUUCUCACACUGAUGCCUCCUGCAGCUUCAAGCAUUAGAGGUUCACCCACAAGAGCAACAUCAACAUUACCGCCGCAAGUUCACAAACAGACGUUCAUUGUGAAUCUGAGAUUUCAUCUUCAUCCUUGUCCAAGUAUGUAGACCAGGGCCCGCUUUCUUGCAGCCAAAACACAAGCCAUGCCCCUACUUGCUAUCGCAAAAAAAAAAAAAAAAAACUUGAUUUCACUCCGGUGUUCCUAUAAUAUGGCCAUAACUAAUGUGACGUUUUGAUACCUCUGUUGGGUAAAAGUAAUAAGUACAUUACUUGCAUCACGCUGAAACACAAACCGAAGCAAUACUUGUGUACCUGAAGAGGCUAUGGUAUGCAUGUGAACCAUAAAUGCUCUACAAUAUCUUGCUAUACUAAAUACCAUGAUCGCAUCUAUCAUCAUGAACAUGUACGUUCUAGUUUUCACUCAGUAACUCUGACCACCAUAAGAAGAUAAUUAUUCUUUUUGUAUUUGUCUGGCCACUAAGAUUCAUCUUUUUCGCACUUUGACCUCCCAAUUGAUGUAAAUUAAUAGGAAAACCUAAUACUUUAGUAUUUUUCUUCUUCAAUUAAAAAAUACCCUACUUUGAAGCAUAAAUUUGCACAUUUCCAACCAUCGGAACAAACAUGAAACAGUCCAUUAGAGGCACAACCACAAUUUACCAACACCAGUCAUAUUUGAACUUAAGAGUAGGUUGUAAAAGUGGAAAUUUAGUAAGGAGCAUUGACAGGAUUAAUUCAGCCUAGUCCAUGAGAUAAAUUUGUUACUGACAUUGGCAAGUUUAUCAAACAAUGAUACAUAAAGGAAAGACUAUGGGCAACAAUAAGUUUCCAAACAUCCAAACUGCAAAUGGACAUGGUAAGAAGCUCCAAGAAAAUAGUUUUCAAAGUAUACAAUUGAUGGCAUGGCAAUGAAUUGAUCCUUAACUCGAUUGUAUGUCAAUAUGAAAAAUUCUUAACAAGGAGGAACUGCAGUAUGGGGAAUGCUGCAAAUCUUCUCAUUCAGUGUAAGGUCGAGUGCUAGAUGUGUGCUUUCACUAGGUUAGUGUUUUAGGAGUGAGAUGAGACAACUGAACAGAAGUGCUCUCACAAAAUAGAAGCAAAAGUGGCAAUACUAAUCCAUUAGGGUCAUCAAAUGCACAUUUCUUAACAUACAUACAAGUAUAGGACUCCUAACUAUCAAGAUUUGUUGGAACUUUUGAAGUUAUGUUAAGUCAAAAAGUAAAACAUCCUAUAAAAUUGCAGCAUGAAAUGGCAUGUACAUGCGCAUGCGCAUAGGAGGAAAAACUGAGCUGCUACUCCUUGUGUUGAUGAGGAGAGCAGAUACUAACAAAUAGGAAGAACAAAAGAACAAACGUCUAUACAAGAGGUUGGGGUAACAAACGUCUAUACAAGAGGUUGGGGUAACAAACGUCUAUACAAGAGGUUGGAGUUCCAAACCCCAACCCAACUCCAAUGCUCUUCCUCUAAGAUUUUGGAAAGCCCAGAACAAGUCCAUACUAGUUGACAAGUUCACUGGGUUACCAAUUGACAGUAUACCUGGUCACUUGUUUAACAAGGUCAAUAACAUUAGUUCUUGAGCACUAUGCUGUGAAACCAGACUCAAACAAAAAGCACAAUAUUUUUUUUUUCAUUUUGCCAGUAAUGUCUUAAAUAGUGAAUUGACAUGUAUUGGAACACAUAGAACUCAGGAGCAUCCUAUACUUAUCACAAGUAUGGAAUCAAUAUGCAAGCUUUGGAUGCACAAGUUACCUUCAGUUGGUACAAUUUCCAGUUAUUUGUACAAGUGGGUGCACAAGUGGAAGGUCACUGGCCUGCGAGAUCAUCAUCCAGGCAUCUCCCAAGUUUUCACGGGCAUCAUUCAUCUUAUUUAGCAGCAUAAAAAUUUGAUGUUAUUGUUUCCAACAGAAUAUAUUAGCCACAUAUGCAAAUAAGGGCUUUAAAAUAUGAUAUGACAGGCUCUUACCUUAUACAGAGCCAAAUCCACACAAUAGUAAUUAGGAGGGAUGCACAACAAGAUCGCUUCCAAAGGCCUUCUUUGCUUCACAUUGCUUGAAUCAUUCAUAAAUCACCACACCACUGCUAUACCGUUUGUAACAUCUAAAAAAGACCAUUUGGAAGGAGGUAUAAUCUGUAAACCCAAUUUCAUGAUUCCAUUAGAUGAAGCCAAUUCAGAGGCAUCCUAUAGUCAUACAAAGAAACGAAGCAGUUGUACUUUGUACAUGAAGAUCUCUAGAGAAAAUUGUAGUUUCAUAUUAAAGGUAUAUAACUCAUAGAAGGACAGUGAAAUGGGAACGUAUUUGGUAGAUGCUAAAAUAGACAUAGGAAGAAAUUGUGGCAAUAAAUUCAGAUUAAUAAUUUUUUUUAAAAUAGUAAAAAACGCAUCUUGGUAGCUUCUUGAAACUGUAAUGACUAAAUUAUUUCCUAAUCUAGAGAAAUGAGAUACUAUUUUUCCAUACACUAUGAUCAUAAGCUAAACAGAAAGCCCAAUUCGACAAAUCACUCAACUUAAGUUCCAAUUCCAUUGUCAAGUAAUCUAUCAUGCCCCGAUCCUCAAGCAUGCACCCAUCCCUCAAUGGUCGAUGAAAUAGCGAUGUCCUUGGACGCAUCGCCAACCCAUUCAUUUUAAAUGCACAUGCGGAAGCAGAUAUAAAAUCCCUAAACAAUAAAACAAUGGGAUAGGAAAGCAGGACCAUAUUUUUCGAACCUGAAAUCACAACCACACUUAUAUACAUUGCAAGCCAUAAUGUAUAUAAUGUCUCACAAAAUAUUAAAGUUAGGUUCUACACAAGCUAGCUCAUAAACAAAGUCUGCAAAUGGGGGUGGGGGUUUCAAAAUCACUAUGGAUCCUCAUCCUCUUCAAACUCCUUUGGCACCACAUCUUCAUCCUCUUCGAUCUCUCCUACCUCCAUACUCCAGCUAGAGCCUUUUGCUGAGUACACUAGAGAAUCUGGAUCAUCAAGCUUGGGAUACUUAGUGUCCACCACUGAUCCGUCCUGAAGGUCUGCUGUACCCUUUCCAAAAGCAACCUCCAAAAUCCACAGAGGCACCUCACACUCCGGUACAGGGCCCGCCCUCUGACCAUUAUGAUAAUGGCAAUACCAUGAUCAGUAAUGGUGGGGCACCUUUUUGGGGUUCACCCACAUCAACCUAGACGAUGAACUUUACAGCACAUACUUAAAACCUUUAAGGUGCCCAUGUAUCGGAAUAUGGUAACUCUGUUCUAUGAACUUCUUAGGUUGUCCAAAAUGUUCUGGUGGGACUGCCAUCUACGGGUCUGAAAUGUUGUCCCACAACGGGGUGAGACUACAUUUCAGCAAGUUCUACCCCCUAAGACUCGAUUAGGAAGCCAAUACGCUUAAAGGGUUGCCUAAGAACAACAUAGGUCAGAGGACUUACCUUGGCCUCCAUUCCUUCCUGCAAGUCAGUUCAAACAAUAAAUACCGACUAUCAUAACACCCAAUCAAAUCGGAUCGAAUCAUCGAUCAAUUGAAUCAGUUGAUUACAUGUCAUCACGACCCUUUCUUGGUCGGUUCAUUCAAUACUAUCUAUGAGUCUGAUCAAAAUCCAAGACUGCUCACCCUAGGUGAUAUAUAGAUAGUAGCUUGCCCCAAAGGCUAAUAAAUAGCAUACUGUUCUUUCUCCAAAUGACAUAUAAGGUCACCGAGCCAGUAUUGCAUACCAUUCAUUCUCUAAGAUGACAUAUAGAGUCAUCGAGCUGGUAUAGUAUAUCGUCCUUUCUUCAAGAUGACAUAUAAAGUCACCGAGUCGAUAUUGUAUAACGUUCUUUCUCCAAUAUGACAUAUAGAGUCACCGAGCCGUUAUUGUAUACCGUCCUUUCUCUAAGAUGACAUAUAGAGUCAUCGAGCUGGUAUAAUAUAUCGUCAUUUCUCCAAGAUGACAUAUAGAGUCACCGAGCCGAUAUUAUACCAUAUUCCAAUCAUACCAUCAAUUUACCAUUUUUAUCAUACCCAAUAAAAUACACAUGUGUGGGUAUACGAUUGACCUUAGCCAAAAUACAAGGUUUUAAAUUUUGAACCUCCCACUAUUUUUAACAGUCCCAAAAUAGAUUUUUGGCGUUGUAGACCGACGCUCGGUAAUUCUCCAAUUAAUUACCAAAAUUAACCAUUUUUGGAAUUAAACACCCACAAACACUAAUCACAAUCACUUUGCACAAUCAGGUACCCAAUUAAAUAAAUAGAGAACAUCACUGCAAUCAGCACGAAAUUCCGGUCACUGACUAUCUCGGUCUAAUUUUCGAAAAAUAAUUAAUUAAUUAAAUAAUUACGGAAAUUAUUAAAUAAAUGUUAAUAAAUCCAACUUAGGCCCAUAAUGAUUAAUUGAAUGCCGAAACGGACCCGGAAAAUUUUCAAGACUCGUUCAAUAAAUACUAAAGUCUAUUUACUUGCUAAUUGCACUAACUAUCCACCUAACAUGCAUAAGCAAUUAAGUAAAUUCUCUAAUCUAAUCUAAUCUAAUCUAACCAUUUAAUCCAUCUUAGUCUAAACUAAUAAACCCCCAAGCAUAAUUAACCUACUAAGCGAGGAUUAGUGAGUUAAACUCACUUCUUUAGCGAUCCAGUGGGUGUAAAUCGACGGAUACGCAACAGGGGACGACUUUCUCUAAAGUGGUCCCAACUUUCCGGGCCCGGAAAGUCCUCAAAAUGGGCCAAACCCUUGCUAGAAAAUCCACUCUUUUAGGUUCUGUUCUUGGCUGAAACAGAUGACAACAAGCUCUGUUUGAGGCAGGGAUGGACCAAGGAAGGUGGAAGGGGCCAAACCGGGUUCAAGCGGGGACUCACGGUGGUCGGAGGUGGGCCAAACAGCUUCGACUGAGCUCCACACGGCACGGGACAGUAGUUGGGACAUCGGAACAGUCGAGAGGGAGGUGGAGUAGCAUCGAGCUGGUGCAGGCGAGGUUGGGGUAGCAGCGGUGUGCGAGAUAACGAACGGUGACGGGGUGCAGUCCGACGGUGGCGUGGCUGCUCCGGCUGGUCUCCUUCGGCUGCUAAGGUGCUCGAAUGGCAACAACAAGGGGGAGGAAGGUUGUGGACGGCAGCUUGAGGGAGAAAUGGAACAAGUCUUGGUUUUGGUGGGCCACCUUAGUCACAUAUUCUCCCCCAUUUGUCCCCUUAACUUAUCCCCCUUGCAUGGCUGGAUUCCACCAGCAAUUUCCAGCUUCAACUUCCUUCUAGAAGGCUUUUUGAAUUGGUCCAUAAGUCAUGGAUGGAGGGGGGGGGGGGCAUACGAAUUUCAAGCAUUUUCCCUCCAAUUGGACUUCAUGUCUUUCUUAAAUCAACACAAACCGGCCUCUAUAAUAUCAAUCGACACCUUACCGAUCUAAUUGGUAUUUUCCCUCACCAAUUGAUCCCAUUUGUAUCCUGAUUGCAUGAUAAAAAACGAUCCUUGACUCUUUCUGGACAAAAACGGCCCUAGGAUGACUUUUUUUCAAAAAGUCUCGGUUUGUAGAAAAAUAUUUUGAGACUGACUCGACAUUCCUAAAAUGAUUUGUGACAUGACAGAACUUUCAAUUUGUGAAAUCAGAUUCAAAUUCACAGUUAAUUUCAAUUCGAUGCGAUUUUAGCUUGAUCUAGGCUACCGGAUAACUUUUAGAAAUUUUUAGUGCAAAUGACCCAUGGUCGAUUUUCUUCGAGCCACAAUGAACCCACUCAACACAUUGGCGACUCUUGGUUGCCGUUAAAAUCUCAAGGAUUCAAAUACAGACACAGGGUAUCAAAACAAUAGAGAAAUCAAUCUAGGGUCGGUCGAUGAGAAUUUUUCAAUUUAGUAGAGUCACCCACAUUUAGCCACACAUUUUAGUCAAACCGACUUAUCUCUAACUUCUAAUCGAUUUUUAACUGUGCCGUAAUUACCUCUAAAGAUGAGCACGGUCAAGUAGCUGAUUCCUGGUCGAAUUCUUAAGUCUAUUGCCUUAAAAUUUCUUAAUGGCUUCCACAGAUAAUUUAGUUAUCUCGAGAGUGAUCAGCUUUGAGAACAGCCCUAUAGGCGUGUCGAUGAAAUGUCUAAUUUAUUCAAUGGAAAACAGGAUUGAAAAUUCUGAGAUGUCACAUAAUCAACUUGAGAUCAAAUACGAAACACUAGAAUGUUAGGAAGAGGGUAGUGAAAAAUCACUAUCGACUACAAAACCCAGAAGACAACACCCCACUCCCAAAGGUUUCCUUUCCUUUUUCUCCUUCUCGCAUUAUAGUCUAAAUGUUCCAGCUACUCAAGCAAGGAAAUGAAAAAUAUUUGUAAAAUUUUAUGGUAAUAGGAAAAUGGAUAGUAAGAUCUACAGACAAACUCAAAUAAUUGAUGAGUUGGGUAACACCAAAAGCACAAGCUUUUAAGUAAAGGAUUGCAAUGUUCUCACAAACCAAUUUUGAACCCGAGCAAUCAUACUCAAACUCCUGUUAUGCAUACAAAGAGAUCAAUAAUUUCGCAUUUGGUGCAGAUAUUAGCAAUGAGGACAAGACUUGAAAGGAGGGAAGAAUCAAUCACUUCAAACAACAGAUAACAAUAAUGUUUUGUCCCAUAAUUCAUAUUUCUCCCACAAAGAAGGCAUGUGUAAGAAUACUUAUGCAUGGAAAACUAGAUAUAGCAUUCAUAUGAAGAAUCUACAAUAAAAGAGCAAUAAACAACACAUUCUGGUAAGACUUCUAUGCAAGAGUGAGAUACUAUUACAUUUUACAUUUCUAAUUCUUUUGCUAAUACCUAUGUUCCAUCUGUUGAAAUUCCUCCGCCAGUGUCCUUUGUAAAUAUUCACUAUCCCCAAAUCCUCCAAAUUGCAGUAAUUCUCCAGCGCAAUAAUACAUGUAAGACGUCUCGCUAACAUGACUGACAGAACACAUCAAGGCAGAAAAGUACAAGAAAUUACAAUUGAUCUUUUGAAAAGUGAGAACCUUCCAAUCCAAUGGGAAAUGACAAUCGACCCGUCAAUUUUAACCCUUGUUGCCAUGUGGAUAGCUGAAAUAGUGCUGGACCAACAAAAACCACGGUUGACACCCAACAAGCCAACCUAACUUGAGUCAACCUUAUCUAGUUGAAGCGUUCUAAGUAUUUAUGGGGAUGGUAACAAGAUGACAUGAAAUGAAGAACUAACCCACAAACUAGGAGUCAUUUACAAUCGCAUAUCAUUAGUCUAGCAACUAAUUUAGUCACAUUGGAUUAAAACAGAUUCAACUGCUAAAAAACAAUACCAAGUUGACAGCAUAUCAUUUUGCAUUUAAAGCAUGACCAAUUCCAUUACACCACAUCAUUAGAAUUCUCUGGCACACAAAUGCAUGGCACAGCGUAGUGAAGACCCACCCAAAUAGCCACUAGAGUAUAUGAAGGCAAUACUAAGCUGAACAUACUUCGCAGUGUCCAAAGAAUACUAAGUUGAUGAACUUUCUCUCUUCGAAGCAAUUACAAGGAGACUGUCCGCAACCUCUGCCAAUUGAAGUGAUGAAGCACCACCUUCAAGUCCUUUGUGACCGUCACUAGCCAACACUUCUUUGGUUCCCACUCCAUCAUCUUCACCUACCAAUCAGAAAUCAAGCAAACUUCACAAAACCGAUUCAGACCAAUCAAGUUGACCGCCCAUUAGGUCACAAAAGAACACUGGGAGCUAAACCUGAGAAGCCAAUGGUUUUUCGAACUAAAGUUGAAAUGGAAGCACAACACACUAUGGUCCUUUGCCAGUUUCCAUAGCUAAAGCUAUGUGAGCAACCGAAAACACAGCACCAACACUAUAACAAAUCAUAGGGAUGCAAGCUGAAAGAGGGCUUGUGAAGGUUAGAGUUCAAAGAACCCAAAGGAAACGUGGCUUGACAACAUGCAAAUAACCUUUUACCAUUAGGAUGCAUUGUCAGGGUUCGGAGAAGUUCAAGAAAUGUGGAGCUCCUCAUCCUUCUAUGAUUUCGAUUCCUUUUAGAAGUGCCUUUUGAAAGCUCUCUGGGAUGCUACCGCAUUUACAUCAACUGGUGGAAUGAUAAUCGAAUCCUGCUAAUGAGUCAGACAAAAUCAAUCCAGUAACUAACAUCAACGGACUAUUAAUAAUACUCCAAAGUUUAUGGAACUCUGUUUGUCAGACUUGAUAUUCUUUUUGAACUCUUUGGAUCCAACUAAUGGGGCUUUUAACAUCAUCAACCACAAAAGCUUUGAUCAAAUUAGCAUAGCGUAUUCAACUCAAGAUGCUUUCUUUUGUGGGACAUACUAUGAUUCUUUUCCUUGUCAUUAUGUGCUAUUCACGCGUUAAAAUUAAAGCAAGACAUUUUUCAAAUGGCAUAUAGGAUACCGAAAAGUUUCCUCAAGAAACUUAUGGAAAUGCUGCCUAUGUUUUUCUUUUCAGCAAGUAGAUGAAUUAACAAGAGCUUAUGCACAAUAUAAGCAAUCAUUUCAUAGUACAACCGAUUAUGUCAAAAGACAUUCUAGUUAAUGUCUUGCUUGACUCAAUAGUUUAGGUAUAUGACAGAUUGCUUUACCCACUCUACAAACAUCAAGGUGCAUUCUUUGGAAGCCUUGGAGAAGGUAUACCCUGGAUUAAAACCAAAUGAACAUGGAUCCAUAGUUAGAAAAAUUCAAAUUGCAAUAUUCUCGAUCGAUCCAAAUAAUUCAUGAUGCUUUUGCGUCUGCCAUGUUUGCUAGUUCACUCACAACUACACUACUCAGAGAAGAGCUUGUGCUUGCAUUUAGCAUUUCUAGAUUGAUACGAUUAUGUAAAUCUACUGACGCAAACAGUUCUAUGAAAUAAAAUGUAUGAAACUUAAUGGUUGUACAAAUUUUAUCCCAAGUCAGUAGCAUGUGCAUACAAAGGGAUGCCCUAUAAACAUACUCCUUUUGCAUUGAUAUUCACUCUUAAGUAUACCUUAGAAAUAUGCAGUCAUGAACUGCAUGAUGAGCGUAGAGCAAACUAAAGCCUCACAUUAGAAGGAUUGCUAUAUAGGGUCCUUCAUUUAGCAUUUUAUUCAACCUAUACAGUGACCUUUGGCAUGCUAUCAAAAACCUAUACACAUUAGUUUUUCAGUACUUCCAGCAUUCCAAAAUCAAUCAAACAUCGAGAAUCUCCAUUUUUCUGCAUAGGAUGAACAAUCUUACUUGAAAAUAAUGUCAAAUGAUGCGCUUUGAAAGCCUUAUCAUCUAUUUCCGCUACUGGCAUGAUAAGCAUAAUCAUUUUGCCAAAGCACACAUUAACUUCCAUGAACAUCUCCCCCUGGAUUCUUUGAAUUCAAGUAAGAAAAUAAUGGUGACACUAUCAACCAGGAAAUAAUAAUGACAAGAUCAUAGAUCUUGAAAUAUAUUGCAAGCAGGGAAUUCAAAUGAAAAUUGGGCAGUAGAUCUCAAAAGAGCAUAGGUCGAUUACUUGCUUUAUGUACCUUCGUCAGAAAAUGUGGAUCCUUCCAGUUAUUCCUCAUCCGAGUCGUCCAAAUAGUCUGAUCAUAUUCUAUCAUUUCAUCAUCUGCAAUCUCAUAGGGUCCAUAAAUCUGCGUUCCAGAUAAUUUUGGAAUUGAUUUGAGUGACUUGCAUCCAAUGAUAUUCAAUAGUUUUAAAAACUCCAACCUAUCAAGGCCCCGAAUUUCAACCAAGUUUUUGCAGUCUUUAGCAUCUAACAUCUUCAGACUCUCGGAUUUUGGAAGGAGUAGCCUUUCAAUUGAAAGGCACCCAGAGACAUACAGUGUUUUCAAGGACUCCAACCUGUCCAAGCCUUGAAUUUCAGCUAAUUUCUCGCAUGAAUCAACAUUUAAUCUCUUCAUACUUCUGGAUUUUGGAAGGUCUAGCCUUCUAAUUAAAGUGCACCUAAAGAUAUCUAGACUUUCCAAAUAUUCCAAACUAUCGAGCCCUUGGAUUUCGGCCAAGUUUACACAUUCUCUAGCAUGUAAUUCCUUUAGCCUCCCAAAUUUUGGAAGGUCUAGCCUUCCAAUAGAAGUGCAACUAGAGAUAUCUAGCCCUUCCAAAUUCUCCAAACUAUUGAGGCCUUGAAUUUCGACUAAGUUUACGCAUCUUCUAGCUUGUAAUUCCUUCAGGCUCCCAAAUUUUGGAAGGUCUAGCCUUUCAAUUAAAGCGCACCAACAGAUAUCUAAACUUUCCAAAUACUCCGACCUAUCAAGGCCUUCAAUUUCCGCUAAGUUUUUACAACUUGUAGCUUUUAAUUCCUUCAGCCUCCCGGAUUUUGGAAGGUCUAGCCUUUCAAUUGAAGCGCAACUGUUGAUAUCUAGCUUUUCCAAGUACUCCAACCUAUCAAGGCCUUGAAUUUCGACUAAUUUGUGGCAUUUGUCAACAUUCAAUUUCUUCAGACCCUCGAGUUUUGGAAGGUCCAACCGUUUGAUUGAAUCGCAAGAUGAGAUAGUCAAGCUUUCCAAAUAUAUCGAUUUGUCAAGAACUUGAACUUCAAGUAGAUUCUUGCAAUUGUAGGCCCCUAAUGUCCUUAGAUGGACAAACUGUGAAACAUCUAGCGUUUCAAUAGAUCCACAGUUCAAGACUUCUAAGAAUUCCAACUGGAAGGGCGUGUUUAGGGAUUGUGGUGAUUCCGAUUCUUCAAUGUCCGUCAGUUGGGAGCAUUUUGAACUCUUUAAUUGCAUUGAUGGAAGCUCCUGGAUGCACUGGAGAAAUCGACAACCCCAAACUCGUAGUUCCUUUAGAUGGGCUAGGUGGGAAAGCGAAGGUAAUUUGUGACUUCGACAGGUGACACCCAAAUCUGUUAAGCCGGAAGGAAGGUCCGGCAGCGAUUGGAGCUUGUCGCAACCUUUAAAAUCAAGGUGUCGUAGGGAAGAAAGAUUACACAUGCUUUCUACCAUUAUCUUUUUCAAAUUGCUGCAAUUGGGAGCAUGUAACUCUCGGAGCUUUCUCAAACUCCCAAUACCAUUGGGUAAUUCUUCUAUACCACUGAAAGAAAUAUCUAGAAUCUCUAGAUUCUCCAAAGACCCUAUGCUAUUUGGUAAUGCAGAAAGGGAGUGAGUACCGAAUAGAUCGAGUUGCUGCAGUGCUUUUAAUUUACCUAUUUCUGCUGGAAGCUCCCUGAGGCUAAAACAAGGAACGGGGUGUUCGGCGCUUGUGUCGACACCUACCGAGAGAUGAAGCGCGCUAGAUGAGCCCAGCUCCAAGCGAAGGAGGCCCUUCAUGUCUUCAAUGGAAGUGUUGAUUCGCUUCAGUCUCCUACAUCCCCUGAGGAUGAGAACCUCUAACUUCUCAAAAGCUGAGAGGAAGUCAAUAUUUUCCAAGGAACCACAAAAUGAAAGGUCUAGAUAUUUAAGCUUCUCUGCCAUCUACUAAAAAAAAACAAUAACGAAUGUCGAUGGGUGAGUGUAGAGUCAUUAUGAUUCAAAAUAAAGCAUAAAAGGAGAGGAAAAAAAAGACUUUAAUUCUUACCUUGAAAAAACUCCAUCCUUCCCAUUUCUCAUUUAUCUUACUUCCUUGCAAUUCGAGUACAACCAAUUCCUUUACAUCAAAAAUGUUUACUUCAAAAUUUGCGGGACAUUUUCGCCAUUGAAUCCAUUUUAACCCCUUCAUUAAGUCCUUAAAAUCUCCACUGAGAUGCGCAUUUAUCAUGUGAAGAUAUCUUAGAUUCGUCAAAUUCUCAAAUUGUUUUCCUGUGUAAAUGUCACCAUCUCCCUCAUCCUUUUCUAGCAAAAAUAUUUCGUCGAAGCCUUCUGCGCUACCUUCACUCAGAUUAAUCACCUCAAUCUUGUUCGUUCCCUAUAAGCAAGAAUCAAUGUUCAUUAGUACUAUAUCCAACUAAAGUCAUCGAAUAUCAUUUGUUCAUAAUGCUAUUGAUGUGUAUCAACGUGUUCAAGAGACUAGCAAUGUGAAGACAUUAUUUUCUUUUUAUGCCAAUAAACUACAAUUAUAAAGGCUCACAAAGUGAAGGUUGUCGACUUCCAUUUUGAAAUUUGGCCAUAUGCAUCCGGAUAUCAAAAAGAAUUAUGAUGUAAUGGCUCGUGUAGAGUAAAAACGCUACAACUUGUAAUCUUCUUCUUUUGGAACUGUAGUUUUAUUAUCACACUAGUUAAGACAUGCAUGCAAAGCAUGGAAUAUAAUCAAAUUGCAAAGUGCAAAAUCAAAAUUUUACUUGGUCAAUUUUAUAUUUCUAUUAAGGAGACUUUUUCUAUUAAGCAAUGCAUGGGUGAAAGGAUAGAUAAAAGGGAGAAAAACCUUAGAAGCAGAGAGUCGGCGAGCAAGACUUACCACAGAUUCGGUGUCAUUAAGGAGACUUCUAGCAAUAUAUAUAGUUUAAAAAGUUAAAAAUAAAACUCUUUUUUAUUUAUUUUUAAUUUCAACGCAUUCAUAACAUUUCAAAAUGGCCUUUACCAAAAGAAAAAAAAACACUUCAAAAUGGAAAUAACCGUUCUGACAACUCCAAAAAUCAAAAUGGAAGGGGGAAGAUAAAGAGGCCACGAGAUCCCGGCUUAACCGUUUUUUAUGAAAGAAAUUAAUUUCUUUCCAUCGAUUCGGAUAAUUGAAAUAACUUAGAAAGGCUUGUUUUGAGUAACUUUUAUUCUUCAUCUUUUGUUUUUUUCUCAAGAGCACGCACUUUGGCCAAUUUUUUUUUUUGGUGAUAUAUCCGUGAAACUUGUCGACAUGCCGAAUUAUACAUGCGUUUAUAUAUAUAUAUAGUUUUCUGGAAUCUGAGUAUUAUUUGAUCUUUUGAUGGGAGAGCAAGAUAUUUACUUUUGAUUUUUUAUUAGUUGCGGCGAGCAAUCUAUCUCGCCCUUUGCUUCAGCCUGUAGAUUUUGACUGAAGGUAUUUUGGGAGUACCUGUUAAGUAACCUGGCACUAAAAAAAAAAUCUAUGUGAAGUGGUUUUUAUUAAAAGUAUUGAUUUAACAUAAUACAAGAGCAUGAAAAUCGUGAAAGUCAUCUCGAAAGAGAAACAAAGAUUUUCAGCGAAGAGGGCCACUUAUCAAGUGAAAAAGUUAUACGCGAAAUACAAGAUUUUACUAAUUAAUAUAUCAAACAAGAGAUUUAAUAUGUAUAUAUAUUGCAAUGUCCACUUAAUUUCAUGUGAUACGGAAAAUUAAUAUAUGACAGAAAAACCAUAAAAGGAAAUUCUUUCUAUGAGAGAACAACUCCCUACUUUCUAAUCACAUCAAUGAAAAAUUCGGGGGCAAUAGUGAAGGUUCUUGGUCCUCUAGACCAAGCACUAAGUAGUGACCAACAUUACUAUUAAGCGUAGAACAUGGACUAAAUGAUAAAAAGAAACGAAACGGUUACCUUAUUUUCCUUUAGCACUUUUUGGGCUUCCUCAUAGUCCCAUAACCUGCUACGGCACCAAGGCUCUCGUUGGUUUUCUUCACGAACUAUUUCCCUACCAAGAUCUCUCAAUUGGUCAUGCAUUCUGAGCUUAUGAUCAUCUCCAAUUUUUAUCAAUGACAUGAAUAUCAAUACUUCAAUUCCCUCCCCUGGGUAAAAAUCACAAGCAUCCCACAUGUAGGAUGCGAUUAUGUUGUUAGUGCCAAUGAAAAGGCAAGCAAUAUCCAAAAAAAUUUGUUUUUGUCCAUAGUCCAAUGCUUCGUAACUUAUUCUUAACUUUUCUUGCACUUUCUUAGGAGGGACUUUUUUCAACUUCUUUAUUGUAUCUCUCCACUUUCUUGACUCUUUUCCACACAAUAAUGAACCAAAAACCUCAAGGGAUAAGGGAAGCCCUCCGGUGAUGGAUAUAGCUUCAUGAGUGAGGUCCUCAAAUUCCCUCGGAGGAGAGUCCCUUCGAAAUGCAUGUUUGCUAAACAGAAUCGAAGAUUGAUUGUAAUCCAUUUCCUUAUGUUCAUAGUCGUGGUCCACCUUGGCUUCUUCAAGAACCCUCUUGUUUCUUGUGGUAAUAAUGAUCUUGCUUCCCGAAGAAAACCAAUCACGAUUACCAGCCAAACUUUCCAACUGAACGACAUCAUCCACAUCAUCAAGAAGAAUGAGGACCUUUUUACUUUUAAAUUUGGAAGAGAUGAACUUAGUCCCUGCAUCCGCAUUACAAACUUCAUCUUUCAGCUUCAAUAUAUCGUAGAUUAACUGAUUCUGUAAAUAAUGUACGCCAUUACGCUUCCACGAUUCCCUUAUAUCAGCAAUGAAGCUACGAUGGUCAAAUUGAUCAAAGAGCCUGUUGUAGAUGGCUUUAGCAAGCGUAGUCUUACCAAUGCCUCCCAUUCCGUGGAUGCCAACAAAUAGGGUGUCAUGAGAUUUAUUAUCCACAAAUUCCAUAACCUUCUUCACAUGAGCAUCAAUUCCGACCAAAUUCUUAGAAAUGUCCAACUCAAACUUUUUCUUCAGUUCGUUCAACACUUUUCGGACGAUCGAUUUCACCAACUCUACUUCAGACCUGUCAAAUGUGACAUGAGUUCAAAUAUGUAGCAACAAUAAUUUUAUCUUGUUUAUCUAUAGAGAACAUAGUAAAUCUGGGGAUAGAUUGAAAAACUUUAAAUAUCAUUAUUGUCAUACCUCUAUAUAUAAUGAUAUAUGCUAAGUCUAAAGUGUGGUUGCUUCAAAUGGGGUGCCCCAUUUCACCGUUACUCCAACAUAAUUUAUCAAGCCAGGAAAAACAUGAGGGUAUCACUUAUAAAUCUUAAAUAUUGUAUAUAUUAUGGAUUUGAACCAAAUUUUAAACUGUUUUUUUUAUUAAGGAUAUUAGGAAUGACAUGGAUGUGACUUUAAAAAUUGUUUAGAGCAUUUGAAUAAGCAAAAAUCCUAUAAGCCAGCCCAAUAUGAGAGUUAGCUAUCAAUCAAUAAACAAGUCAUAACUUUUUAUGCAAGAUGAAUUCAGGUCCUGUAACACUAAUCGGAAAAGUUGUUCAAAUUGUGAUAUUGUGAACUACUUGAAUGCAAUUGAAGGGAUUUCUUCUUGUUUGCGCAAUAUUAUAGGCUCACAAGUUUAACCUGUGUUGUGAAUUUAGAAUCAUUCUAGAUAGGUGCUCUUAUCAGUUUUCAUUGCCUCUAGGGAUGAUUACAAGUUGUACUUUAUUUUCCUUUUAAGUAUCUAUGUUCUAUGACUUUAAUGAUCUAGUAUUGAGUUUAUAGGGAAGUAGAAGAAUAAUUUUUACCCAAAAAAGAACAUUGCUUCAAUAUAUGCAGAUGCAUGAGAUAGAAAUUACUUGUUGAAGAUAGAAAAUGCUUUGAAAUUAUUUAAACAGACAUAUAAUAAAAAUAAUCAUUUUUUUUGUCAUUAUCUUAUAUAACCAAUGAAACAUUUCUUUUCUAAAAUAAUUUUAAUAAUAUCUAAUCAACUUUAUCAAUGAUUUAAUAAAUGUAACUUUGGAAGAUAAAGAAUUAUAGCAAAGCUUGGACGCUACCAUCUUAUGAGCUUUAAAUAAAUAUUGCCAAUGAGUUGUACUAUUAAUCUCAAAUAAUUAUGUAAUUAGAAAAGUUUGUGAUGAAGAUUAAUGUCACGUACCCUAUAAUUAGAUUGGUCAAUAUCAUCAAAGCAAUAAAACUUAUUCAAGUGAAUGGGGUGUAAGAGUAAAAAAUCUUUUGAUAUAAAAGUAAAUUCGUUAAAGCAAAAAAUUUUACUAUUACAAAAAUCUUUUGAUAUAAGAGUAAAAAUUCGUUCAAAAAAUCUUAUUAUUCAAGUGAAUGGGAUCAUAACAAUAAAAUUUAUAAUUAGAUUGGUCAAUAUGGUUAAAGCAGAAAAAUAAAAAAGAAAGAAUAACUUAUAGAAUUCAUGCACCGUAGGAUCUUACUGCCAGCAAGAUCUUACAGUUCUUUUAUAUAUGAAAAAAAAGAACAUAAAAUGAAGCAGGUUGGAAUUAGAACAACCAACAUACCAACAAAAAAAAAGGAUUUAGAACAACCGGUAAACACCCACACAUAUUAAAAGAAAAUAGAGAAUGUUUUGGUGAGAAAUUUUACCCUAGGGCUUCGUAUCCUUUCAAGGUGCUGACUUCAUCGAGUGCUGACUUCCAUUUCUCCAAAGUAGUUGGGUCGAAAGACGACCUCUCACGCAAACGACUCUUGUGCUCAUGAAAUGCCUCUCCAAACCUCCCGGUUUGAUAUCGCACUUCAGUUGGUUUCACUUUGUAAAAUAUAGGCAACACUAUCUGCCUGUUAUUAUUCUUGCGCUCGAUUAUUUGAACAAGUUCAUCUAGGCACCAACUACUUGUAGAAUAAUUCACUGAGAAAAUGGGGAUUAGGAUCUUACUGCUCGUGAUGGCUUCCACAAGCACUGGUCUAAUGUCCUCGCCAUGGCAAAGCUCAUCAUCGUCUUUGAAAGCAUCAAUUCCCGCAUCAAGGAGCCCUUUAUAGAGGUGAUCGGUAAAGCCAUAUCGGGUAUCUGGGCCUCUGAAACUCAAAAAUACCUCAUAAUGGUUUCCAGUCAACGAACUAGAUGCACUGUUGUUAGUCCUUGUCGAAGAUGAACUAGAUCCACCGAAAUUAGUUUCUAUCGGAGACAGAGAUGAACUAGAUGCAUCGUUAUAAGACGAACUAGAUGCAUCGUUAUAAGUUUUUGUCGGAGAUGAAGUAGAUCCACCGAAUUUAGAAUUUGUCAGAGACAAACUAGUUUCACCAUUGUUAGUUUCAGUUGGCAGCAAACUAGAUCCACUAGAAUUAGUUUCUGCCGGAGACAGAGACAAACUAGAUGCACCGCUGUCAGUUUCUAUCGGAGACAAGCUAGAUCCACUGGAUUUAGUUUCUGUCGGCAACGAACUACAUCCACCAGUAGUUUCCGUCAGAGACGAACUCGAUGCACCGUUGUUAGUUUCUGCUGGAGAUGAACUAGAUCUGCCAGAAUUAUUUUCUGUCAGCGCAGUCAACGAACCAAAUGCGCCAGUAUCAGCAUUUUUAGCAUUGCUAUGCACACUCGCUUUCUUCUUAUUGAUAAAAUAGAACGCGAGCCCGGGAAGAAGGAUCAGUGCCACAAGCUCGAUGAAAGAAUGCCCAAAAAUGAGACGAUGCAUCUUGCCUUUACUCUGACUCUGGCCUUUGAUUUUCGCUUUCAAGUUUGACACAGAAAAAAAUUGGAAGCCACUCAGGAAACAGGAAAUGCGUUCUUGUUGCUCAUUCUCUUGUGGUUUGAUUUAUAUAAUCAAACCAAGUGGGCAACCAGAAUUGCGCAAAUAAGUCAAGUUUGUCAAACUACACAUAAAUUAACAAUUCAUUCACCGGGAACCGCAUCCACGUGCUUGGAGUCGUUGCCUUCAUGUGGCUGAAAUGGCAAUGCUCGAGGGAAUCCGAAUAUUAAAAAUAGAUAGGGGGCUCUUCAAGUUUCAAUACACAUAAAUAAAACGGCGAAUUUGUUGGGAAGAUGAAAAGUGGAGAGAGAGGCUUGGGACGAGAGCGUGACAUGGAUUUGUGGGAAAAGAUGGAAAGUGGGGGGAGAGAAAGAGAAAAAAAAAAUGCAGAGAUUCGUCCGGUCCAAUACUUUCCUGCCAGUGCUCCGAAUAGAUAAAUACAUACAAAGCGUUAAGACAGUGGUAUUGGGCAUGCCUAGUCCAGUGCUUGCGCCGUUGGACUUUCCCUCUUCUUUUGUUAAUUUAUUUUCCAUCAGAAAAGUUAUUUUUUAAAAUAAAUUUAAGCUCUAUCCCAUUUAGGAAUUUAACCCCUUUCACCUUGAGCUUGUUAAAAAUAUUCCUGUCAAAUUGAUAAACUUCAUUUCAAGACUGAAAUGUUCAACUAUUACUUAUGCUAAAAAAUUAUAUUAUUACGCGCGUCAAGAAUUAUAAAAAAUUAUCAACGUGUUAUAUAUAUCAUUUUGUGCUCAAGCAUAAUGAGAAGAAUUUCUUUUUUGCUUUGUUUCUGCCUUAAUUUCUCCAUCAAAUCUCAUAGGUAAAUCAAAAUGCCUUCUUGCUUUUGUUUUAAUUUAUUAUAAAUAAAUAAUUAUAUAUAUAUAUAUAUAUAUAUAUAUUUCUUUGUAGGUUUGAUUUAUCUAAUAAAUUAGUUGGCGCGCACCAAUAAUUCAAACUUGCCAAGCUAGAUAAGUAAUUCAUUGACUAGGACCACUAACUAUGUAUUUAUGGUCGUUGCCUUAAUGCGGUGGAAGUUUCAAUGGACGGAAGAAUCCAAGACGAUCCCACCGAGGAGAAAGAAAACAUGUGACCAAGUUUCAAUGCAGAAGCAAUAAAAAGAAAAUGAAAACCAAAAAUAAAAGACAAUUGCUGUUAUGUUAUCCCGAGACAACUGAUCACAAUUGGUAAAUACAUGCAAAACGUCCCGACAGUGAUUGCACGGUUGAAUUUUCCUUUUCUUGUGUUAAUUUAUCUUUCAGUAGAAAAAUUAUUUUUGUUGAAUAUAUUUAAACUCUUGAUCUCACUUAAGAAUUUACCCCUCCCACUUUGAGCCUAUUAAGUAUUAUCGUAUCAAACCGAUAAAUUUCGUUUCUCUGCUGAAAUGUUGCAUUAUUAACAAUCUCUUAUCAUAAAAUCGAUUGUAUAGAUAAAGUCGUCAAAAGAUUACACGCUCAGAGAAAGUGAAGAAGAAAACCCUAAUAGCUUGAUAUCUUGAUUCUUUAGGGGAAGCAGGUGAGGGCCCUAUAGGUCCUGCGAUGCUUUCUGAAACAACUUUCGGUAAUACGUAAUUUUUUACACACAUCUACCUUUAUUUUGCUAGUUAUUCUCUAAAUAUAUAAUGGGACAUCAACAGCCACUUGCCAUACAUUCGAACAACAAACAUACCAAUGCAUCGACCACUUAUAUAUUUUAUUAUUUUUUGGACUAACCAAAGAGCCGCCGAUGUUGAAUAAGAAUCAAUCAGAGGGUAAAUAUUUUUAUAGCCCUUACUACACUUCAUUUAAGAUGGGGACUUUGAACACAUCAAUGCUCAAUAUUUUUGACUUUUCCCUUGUUUAAUUUCUUUUCCUGAUAAGAUUUUUUAACUCCACGACAAUUCUUUCUAGUUCAUUUCUUGACCUUUGCACAUUACUUCCCUUCUCGCUCCAAAUCCUUGAUUUUCUACUUGUUGUCAUCGCUUUCCUUACAUUCACUAUUUCCCCUUACAUGCUUGCAGAACCCUAAACUCAUGCCGUGGUCAUUCUCAGCGACUGACGAGCCACCCUCCUCAAAAUCACCCGUUAGUUGGUGAGAGACGGAUGUGUGAGGCCCCAACUUGUCACUCCCUAUGAUGUCAAAAUUACACUUCGAAUUUAACCUAUAUAUAUAUGCUUUUAUAAUCAACAAAUCACUUUGAUAUUACUACUAUGUUUGGGAUUAGCCAUUGAAAUUACUACAACUCGUAUCCCGUUACAAGAAAAGUGUCGUCAAGUACUUGACUUAAGAUAAUGUCCACUCGAGGCCUCCCCAUGGAUGCGGGGAAAUACUUGGACUGUUGAUUAAUGAUUAGGGCUCCAACUAACCUUUGAAGCGUUCUGGUCAAUGGUCAAAGGGCAAUUAUAUCAUGUAGGGCUAAAAAAAAAAGAAAAAAGAAAUAGAAGAAGAUAUCAUCAUGGAUUACAAAAUCAAAAGGCGAAAAAAGGAAAAAAAAAAAAAGACAAAGAAAGAAAGGAGCGAAUUGUGCCGUUUUAAAACGAAAAGGAAGCUCGUCCACGGCGUAAAAGCCAAACCUCCAUUCAACAUUUGUACCUGUUAUUGCUAGAAAGAUAUUUCAAAGUAAUUACGAUUCGUAUAUAAUUAUAUCGAGUAUAUAUUAGGGAGCAUGCGUAUUAUAUAACAAAUGUGAAUAAAGCUUGCCCACAAAUAUUCAUUUGCUAAUCGAGUAAAAUCCAAACGGAAGGGAGCCAUCGAACAUGCGAGGGGGAGUGAGGUGACUAAAAAAGCUCUUUCUGCUUAAGAGAGCAUCGAUCUCCAAUGAUUUAUCCCCUCUUCUUUUUAAAUUACGUUAAUCAUGUCGCUUGAUGCGUUAGGUCAGGCCCAUUAAGCAUUUAAACAUGGUCUCUAGCUAGCUUAAUGUGAAAUAAGAGCUUUCGACUAGUGCUGUUAUUGCGCACAUAGACGCGGAAAAGUUAUUGCUAUUUAUAAAAUCAACUGCCCGUACAAUUAUUGUGCUAACCUUACACUUACGACGUGGACAUUACAUCAUUGCUCCCCCCCCCCCCCACCCAAAAAAAAAAGAAAAAAGAGAGAAGAAAUUACAUCAUUAUACUAAUUGUUGAUCGAUAGAUAUCAUGUCUAUAAAACACCUAAAUAUCCUUUAAGGAUACUUUUUUCUUUUUUUCCAACAAGCAACUUUGAAGUUAAAAGGGGUUUUGCUGCCUUUACAAGCUGUUCGACAUCAAUUUGCAGCCGCAACACCUUCGGAGUUACGGCACUUUCACGAUGCAACAACUUAUAUCGACUUUGAAAAUAUACUUGAUAACUCUCUCAAACUAUAAAGACCAGACCUAGUCUCACUAUUGCACGUGUACUUUUCUCCGGUGAAGUUAUUUGCCCUAAUAUAUGGUGUGUUCGCGAACAAAACGACGCGGCAUGAAGACUGCGUCCCCUUGCACGUCAAACCGCAGAUAUAUCCUGUUUCGUUAUUAAUCAAUAAAUUUGUGUAAAAAAACUUAUUAAUUACUAAAUUGCCAUUUCUCACAAAUUUAAUUUUUGGUCAGACAAUUUCUCGCAAAUUACAAAAAAUAAAAUAAAAUAAAAUAAAAGCAAUUGGCUACGUGCUGCCACCAAUGUGAACGAUCGAAACCCAACGCGCUUGUGCGUUAUUUUAAACCAAUUUCAAAUAGUUACUGCCCCGACCGAAAAUUUCCAUCAACGAAUUUUGGAGAAAGAAUUGGAAAAUCAACAAUAACAUAUAUGAUAUAAUACGAUUACAUGCCCUCGUUCUUAGAAAUCCAGCUUUACAAUGAUUAGUAAUUCGGAAUAUCGUCCUAUGCUCACACCACAUUUAUUUAUAAUAACACUAUAAAAUAGAAAUGUUUUUAUCCUAUGCUUGUUAGAAUAAAAUUUCGUGUCUCAACUAUUUUCAAUCAAGCAAAACUAUUGAAAAAAUUCUCACUUGGUCACGCUGUCAUUAAUAUAUUAUCUCAAUCUAUAAUUGCAAAUGCAUAAAAUUGUAAUUCGUAGUAAUUGAAAUGAUUGUCAAAUAAUUGCAAAUGCAUACUAGUUAUGACCGACUCAACUUAUUUAUCGAGGAUCUUGAAAUCGGUCUCUUUUCUUUACACCAAAGGGUGGAAAAAACAGGAUAACAAUUUUUCAUAAUCAAUGAUUUAUCGAAAUAUAGAAUUGAUUGCCCUUCUGUUGAGAAGCUUCAAUGUGAAUUUAUGGUAUACCAACUUGGGCCGAAAGACAAAAAAAAAAUGCGAAUAGAUACCUACUUUUCUAAAUUAUGUUGGAUUAGUAAAUUAAUUCAGAUCUAUUCACUACGACCCCAACCUAACCUGCGGUUUAGGUCACAGGAAAGCAUGCGGGAUCUUCGUCUUGCAGACGUAAUCGGACCACAGUCCCAGCGAGAAAAUAUUGGCUUGGUUUUACCCUCCACGUAGGCCAAAUGUAAGACCACUCAGGAGUCGACAUGUGGCUCUACGUAGGUAAUGGCGUCAGAGGUUCGCGGGCAACUAGCGGAGGAGAGAGAGCAGAGGAGGGGGAAGAGAAUUUUGUUUCUCCCCCGCAAUGGAACGGAGAAUGGGGAAAGAGAGAGAGAGAGAGAGAGAGAGAGAGAGAGAGAGAGAGAGAGAGAGAGAGGAGAGUGAGGAUGAGUCGACAAGUCGCAAAGGAGAGCAAAGGAGAGAGAGCGUUAGAGUGGUGGGCCCCAGGAGCACCCGCGCAAAUUUUGAACGUCUGAUGCCAUCGCCUACGUGGAGCCACGCAUCGAUCGCUGAGUGGUCUUACCCUACGCCUACAUGGAGGGUAAGACCCCGCCAAUAUUUUCUCCCCGCCUCUUGUCCACCUUUGAAAAGUCAACUUGCUCUUCUUUUUUAUUUUUUUUAACGCGCCUUUUUUUGGGUCGAAAUUUCUUAAACACGCAAGAAUACUAAAGAAUCUUGUUAAUUAACAUGUUUUUAAAAUAUAUAAUGACUAAUGGAAAAAGCAACGAUAGAGACUGAAAACUAGGGCUGACCAAUCAUAACGAGCGUAUUCAGCGAAAAGUUAUCAUAUGAAUGCAUAUAUAUACACACACGUACAUAUAUAUAUAUAUAUUAAGUUUGAAUCUAAAUUAAAAAAAAAUCAUGGAUUUUAAGUAGGUCUUACAAGAGAUUUAGCGGUGCAGAACCUAUUCAGUACAUUUAAGAAGUUCAUUGAUCAAUACAUUAUAUAUGAUACUUAUCAGUUGCUUCAAUAAUCCUUUUUCCAAGCAGGAUGGUUUGAUUUCGUAGCCAAUUGCUUAAAAUAUUUGCUAAAACACUCGGUUAAUGAGGUUCCACAUAUAUGAAAGUGAUGAGAAAGAAACACGAAGGCAAUUGGAGCAUUAUGGGGAGCAAAAAAUCGGCGGUGUUUAUUUCAAUUUGCACCAUUUAAUAUGAAUAACUGAAAAUAUAUUUAGAGGAAAGCUUUUCUAAAAAAAUUGGACAUGCAUGGAGUCUCGAUUCACUAUCCAAUGGACCUUAGAUCUUCGGCUUUUGAAAUUGCUUGGAUUGAUUCCUUAUUUAUAUUUUGACCAAUGGGUUUGCUUCAUGCCAUGGGUUUUCUAAUGCAGAUAGCUAAACAUGCAAAAUAACAGCCUAAAGGAAUUAAGAUAUUUCUUCUAAUUAUGCAGAGGAAUAGCAACAGUAAAAAAAAAUCACAAUUUUUGUAUUUUCAAAGGGUUAUAAAGGUAUUAUAACAGCCUACGUGUUCAUGAAAAAUUAAAUUUUAAACUGGCUGAGUAAUGACUUGCUUUUUAAAUAAUUCUAAUAUUAAAACGACGAUAUUGUUAUUUAUGGGUUCUGGAACCCUUUCCCCCAUUUCCCUAUUAAUUUUCUUCAAUCCAUACACCCUCAGAAUUGGAAAAAUCUUCCAGUUUGAACCUCACCGAAAUUCUUUUUUUAUAAAAAAAAAUGACCGAGUUAGUGACUUGAAUUUAGGAGAAUAUUGUUUAAACAGAAUUGAGAUGAACCUUGUAGGGGUUUAAGGUGUAGAUAUUUUUCUUACAAGGUGGCGCUAAUGCUUUGCGUGCAUCUCCCAAGUCCAGCAUACUAAUACGUCGAAAAAAAGUCAACCAUUGGAAUGAGCAUUGUCCUUGAUUGCGUUAAUUCUAUGCUUUCGCGUCAGUUGCUCUGUCCCCCGCAAAGAAGAAAACGAAUGUCAAUUUUGGAAUUACUUGAAUUGGAUAUGAGAACAAAAAUGCACAUUUCUUGUUAGACUCUGAUUAUUGCAAUUGUGCUUGUAUCUAUUCUAAUUAUCUCUUUGGAGAGUUAGUGUUACUUUAUGUAACAUGUUAAUUGAAGAGUGUAUAAGAGUAUUAGCAGUACUUGGUUAUUGAUGUUGAGAUUUAUUAGCUUAGAAUACAAGCAAUACGUGUUACGUGAUAACUACUUAUAAGAUUAUUAUUGGAAUCCAGCCUUGUUGGUCUAAAGAGAGUCGAUGUAAGUUUAAUAUAAGCUGAACCACUAUAAAAUCUGGGUGAGACAACUUUUGUCUCUUAACUUAAAUUUAUGUUUGGUUUAUAGAAGCAUAAUGUCUACAAUAUCAUCAAACUGUUGUUGCAUCUCUCAAUCUGCUCCGGUAUCUAUCAAAACUUAACUAGAGUUAUUUAACAAAAGGAUUAUUAAGUUUUGUGAAUCGACCUUUUCAUCUCGCUUUAAGUUACGUUAUUAGCCUCAACAUUAUUUAGUUAUUGCGAUGGGCUAUUUUUUAUUAAUAGGAAAUCGAAUUUUAAAACGAUAGAGUAUUAUGACAUGGAAUUCAGUUUUCUGCUUUUCAUUUUUGGCUUCUAUUUUUUUUUUUUUAAUGUCCUUAUUGCUAUGGAAUUUGGAUUCCUAACACGGGACACUUUCUGGUGCGUACUUUGAGCAAAUAUGAGUUCUAAUUAAUAUAUGUCCGCAGGACACUCUCUGGUGCGUGCUUGAGCAAAUGUCCUUUUGAUUGCGGUAUGUUCGAUGUGUUUCUAUAGGAGGAAAGAAGAUGCCGCUUGAAGAUGCCUUGAUGCGAAGCGUACAUACAGACAAAAGUAAGUAAAAAACUGUAUUAUACAAGCUGGCAAAUUGACUUUAGAAUAAUGUAAAUAGGAGUGCCUUUCUUACAGCUCAAUUCGACGGGGAUUAACGUAAACGAAGUUCCUGUCUAAUUUAUCGGUUGCUGAAGGUUUAUAUAUAUUUUUGUUAGGGCUAGUUGAAAUAGCUGUUAUUGAAUUGUUUUAGCGAUAUCUAGAGACGGUGGCAAUUUUAAGCGGGAAAAUUGCUAACAGAAGUAUCUUACCCACACUUUUUAGCAUCUAGUCAUUUUGUAAAACAUUUAAGCCAAUUUUCUUCUAUUCAAUAAAAUUUCUUCACGGUUAAGUUGUAUGAUAUAUGUGUGGAUAUAUAUAUAUAUAUAUAUAUAUAUAUAUAUAUAUUUGUAUCACAUCUGAAGAUAUAUUCGACCACUAUUAUGAAGAAACCUUUCUAAUUAGUGAAAUCUUUUUGAUGUCUUUGUAGAGAUUUCAACCCCUUGAUUAAAAUAUUCUUAUGCCACUUUCUAUUUAAAAAAAAAAAAGGAAUGAAAACUGACGAGAAAUAUUCACAUGCUCCAGGUGCUAAGUCCAGGAGUCAAUGACAAAAACAUAUUCGACCCAAACGCAAGAUGACAAAACCAUAGCAGGCAGAUUGGAUUUUGUUAAUAGAUAUCUAUAGCACGCUUAAUAUUCAAAUAAGGAAAGUUUAAAAUCAAACUUCAAUCUGAUUUUUUUCGAAAAUCAACACUUAUAAAUUAAUACAAAAAAAGGCCAAUAAUUGAUGGCAAGCAUUAGUCAAUGCUUUACGGGCAUAUAAAUCCCAUCCAGGUCACAUCUUCCACCUAAAACACUUAUAAAAAAUCUCCCCCAAAAAUAUGAGCAAAACUUCUGCCGACUCCUUAUAAUAAAAGUUGCAUAAAACCAAAGUUUACCAGCCAUCUAUCUAACAAGAAUCCAAUUAGAAUCAUUUGUGGUUGUUGUCAUAUGAAAUUAGACUUGCCACCGAAAAAUUUGGAUUUUUUUUAAUAAAUACCUGCAGCACGCUUAAUAUUCAAAUAAAGAAAGUUUAUUAUUUUCAAUCUUCAAUCUGAUUUUUUUUAAUCAAUGGUUAUAAAUUAAUACCAAAAAAAAAAAGACCAAGAUUAGAUGGCAAGCAUUAGUCAAGGCAUCUUCUUUCUUUAUUAUAAAGAGAAACGUCAUUGAUGACAUAUGAUUUACGAGUAUAUUAAUCCCAUCCCCGUCACACGUUCCACCAAAAACACCGUUGAAAAAUCUCCCCCUAAAAUAAGAGCAAUAAUUUCACCGACUCCUAAUAAAAAAAGUCGCAUUAAACCAAACCAGCCAUCUAUCUAGCAGGAAUCCAAUUAGUAUAAUUUGUGGUUGUUGUCAUAUGAAAUUGGACCGUCCACCGAAUAACUUGGAUCUUUUUAAUAAACAUCUGUAGCACGCUUAAUAUUCAAAUAAGGUUUAUUAUUUACAAUCUUCAAUCUGAUUUUGUUGAAAAAUCAACACUUAUAAAUUAAUACAAAAAAAAGAGAGCCAAGAAUAGAUGGCAAGCAUUAGUCAAGUUGUCUUCUUUCUUAUAAAGAGAAGACAUCAUUGAUUAUAUAUAAUUUACAUGAAUCCCAUCCCCGUCACAUCUUCCACCAAAGACGCCCUUAAAAAAUCUCCCCCUAAAAUGACAGUUUCGACGAACUAAUAGUUGUUGUCUUCUAAGAUUGGACUGUCCAUCGAAUAAUUUGCACCAUCUUCACCAAAAACUCGGUAGUCAUGUUGCAUGGUUUUGUUGGCUGCAUCAGGUUUAGUAAAUGGUUUGAUUGUCUUAUACUAAAUUCUAUGAAUGGGAAUCCAAUUACAAUAUUAUGUACGCACUCUUUGUGUCCUCGCAGUCAAAUGGGUUAUUUGACAAAAGAAAAAUAGUUAGUAACAAUAUCUCAUGUCUGGAAAUAAUAACAUUAGUCGAACGUGAAGCAUCUUUAUCAUUAGUUACUAGUAAUAUCCAGAUUGGGCUAUAUGUCGGACUUAACCUGUUCUCCGUAUCAUGAGAAAACCUUUGUGAUUUCGAAACGGGCCUCCAAGGCCUCAACUGGGCCGGGCCGGGCCGGAUUUUAAGACUAUAUUACCUUGUCAAACGACGCCCAUAAGUGCCCCCUUCGGGCACAUGUAGGAGUGGUGGAUUAAUUAUUGAAAUGUAAUUGGGAAAAAAACAAUGCGAUAUCAUCCUCAUUCACUUUAAAUUAGAAAAGUAUGUUAAGGAGCUAUUUGAAUCGGCGUCUUACAAUCAGCUGGUUAAGUGUCGAGAAGAUGGACUAGCUCGAGCUCGAUCGAGCCAUUUGCCAUCACCAUGCAAGCUUCAAACACUCGGCCGGAUUACUCAACCAAGUCAUUGGUCAUUACCACCUGAAAUCCACCCCUUUUUGCGCGCCAUUUCUUUUUUAACUUGGGAUGAUUGAAUAUCAAACUCAAUUGUCUAUGAUCAUUCUCUAGUCAAGCGGUGAAUGUCAAUGUUUGAUCCGGCCAUUUCUCGUAUGUGCAAUGCAAACGAAUUCGGCUUGCUGCAGUACUUCAAGUGCUUGGCUCUGAAUCUGAAGAGCGUGGAGACUGCCUAGUCCCUAGCUCGUUCUUUUGAUGACGGCGGAUGUUAGCUCACCUUGUCAAUCCUGCUUUUAUCAAAUGAUGCACUCCUGCUGGAGAAGAUGGUCAUUAAUGUCAAGAGUAAUGGAAGACGCCAAUUGAAAUCUUUUGAGUCUUUGCCAUAGCUGGCUCUACCCUACCGAGUUGCUUUUGAAAAAGCUAGGUUGUCUUUAACUAUUGUUAAAAGCGAGUUCUUGCUAGCAGAAUCAAAGAGUUAAAACAACUUAAGAAGAACCCCAGUGAGACUGUCCUGGGUGAGGAAUGUACUGAAUCCUAGUUCCUAUUAAGUCUAUUAGUCCUUCACAUGGGGCUUCUCUGCUCAGAUCACAAAGAUAAGAAGUCAAAUGAGCACCAUUUUGAAGUUUUUACCAAAAUAAAAGUUAUAUUGUAUCCUGCAAUGACCUAUGAAGAAAUUUGAAGCUGACUUUAUUUCCCAAGCAUCCUCGGAAGCUAGAGAAUAUCUUUACAAAAGAAGACUGCACCAAUGACAUCAAACCUUUCAAAAACUGGAAGGAGAGCCUUCGAAUUUAGUGUUAUUGUUGCUGGACUGAGUCUUGGCUUCCAGUAGUGUGAAUUUUUGGACUUCUAUUGAAAAUUGAGUAGAGCUGGUCAAUUGACGAAUCAAAUCAAUAAAUUGAGUGUUUUUUCCCCUCAAAUUGAGCAACGCCAAUCAAUUUGGAAUUUUGAAGAGGGCCUAGUCUAUACAUGAACUAUGCUGUCUCUCUCCCUUCUUUGCAAUCAUUAACAAACAUAUAUCGUUUGCCUUGAGAUUGGUUUUUUGCUUGAUAUUAGGAGGCAUAUAAUCCAUCUAACAUUGUUUAUUUUGAUUGUGGUUGAUAUUAGGUUUGAUGCCAUUAAAAAUCCCAAACUGUUGACUCAUGCCUCAUUUAUUCCAACUAUCCUUAAAUUGAACUUGCAUUUGAAAGUACUGAGAAAUAGCUUUAAAUGAUAUGAACAAACAAGAGGAUUAGGUUACUGUAAGCCACUACCGAAAGCGGUAAUCUAAUAGAUUAUCAGUACAAAGGCAAAAGGGCUAUCAUCAAGUACUUGCAUUUUAUCAAGGUUUAGUUUGUGAGAUACAACAUCAAUUUGGACAUGAAAGAUUUAAGAGUUGAUAUAUCAUAAUGACCUAUAAGGAUAUUCAAUGCGCUGAACAUUCAAUAUCCAAUGCUAAUUAUACACAAAAAGAUAUAUUCUAUUAAUUGUGAUUGUGCAAAAUAAGUCUCAUUUAAUAUACUUUGUCCAAUUCGCCAUAUAGUAGCAAAAGUAAAUUUUAUAAGCUCUAAACGGCCAUAAAUAGUGGGUUUACCCAAAGGUGUUUGGUGUGAUAGACAAGUUGUCUUCUAGACAUUUCCUAUCAAUAGUAAAGCUUCUCCCCAUUUUCUCCAGUAAUAUUUGUUUUACUAGCCUUCUCUUGUUUUCUCGAUCCUCAAAAACUUUUAAUUGCAAUUUCUCCAAGACGAGCUUGUGUAAAAUGGCUCAUGGAACUAAAAAUUUACAUGAGGUUUGCACCGACAGUGGACCUCAUAACAAUCAUUUGUUUUGUUGGUAAUAUUAUUAUCUCAUCUUCUUAUUAAUGUUUGACAUCAGUGUUUCUACACUUGCAUCAAGUAAAAAUAUAUAUUAUUUUCUGGGAAGAGAGGGGGAAGAAUACAUUGAAAACGAGAAUAUUUGGAAGGGCAAUAAAUAAAGGAGGAUUUAAUUUUAGAGUAAACUCAGCUAAAGUUCACAAAAAGCUAUCAUUAUGACAGAUAAUAAACAUAAGAAAAGAAAUAUCUCGUGUGCACAUGUUACAUUCAUACGUUCUCUUUCCUCGAGAUUGGCAAUAAUUCCAAAAGAAAGAAUAAUACAAUUAAACAAUUUUAGAUUCCUUAAUGUUGGUACAUCAUUAAGUUAAAAGGCUACACGAUACUCUUUAUUAAGGGUAUGAAAUCCAUUAACGAUAUUGCAGACAUAAUCUCAUGAUCUUGAACCCACCAUUUAUUUGAGGAUUCCAAAUCUCUAACAUUGGAAUAACCUAUGUUCUUUAUUGCCACCUUAAAACCAUAUAUCUGGCUAGUCAUGUUCCACAUAGGAAUAUAUUUUGUACAUCGGAUCGGAUGCAUCACUUAACAAUGACUUGUGGAGGAGUGAGUCAAUCUUGAGCGAGAGAUUUCAAUAUUCAAAUGCAGAGUUCGUUAGCCGAGCACACUGCCCGAACCACUGAACCUGAAGUAUAGAUAAUCCCAACCAAAUAUUUGGUUUUCUUACACAUGAAAAUAAUGAACAUAUACAGAUGAAGCAAAAGCUUGGCACUAUCAAGCAGGUCUCAAAGCUUAUAGCAAUACCAUGAAGGCGGUUACCACCGGAUAGAAGCCAUGACUCGCCAUCUUUCGGUCAAUUCUAUCCAAAUCAAUAGAUAAAUUGUUACCUUUUACUCCACUUUUUCCUUCAACAAAUGCCCGCCUAGCAGAAGAGGCACAUGGCAGGUAUAGGUUAGGACUUCUCGAAGAAGGGUGGAGUCAAAAAGCUUCAGUCAGAAAGCCCACAUGCAUUGUUUCUCACACCGAUGUCUGCAGCUUCAAGUAUUAGAGGCCCACCCACAGCAGCAACUCGAGUAUAAACAUCACAAACUCUUGAACAAACAGUCAUCCUGAAUCAAAGAUUCUUCUUCAUACUCAUUCAGUAUGCAGAUCAGGGCAUGCUUUCUUGCAGUUAAAACACAAGUCACACCUCUACUUGCUAUUGCCAAAAAAAAGUCAACUUGAUUUCAGUCCAGUGUUUCUUAGAUAUAUGGCCAUAACUAACGUGAUGUUUAGAUACCUUUAUUCGGUAAAUGUGAAAGUACAACACAUGAAUUAUGCUAAAACACAGGCGGGAAGCAAACCUUGUGUGCCUAAAGAGGCUAUGGCAUGCAUUUAACUAUGAAUGAUCUACAGUAUCUUGCUAUACUAGAUACCAUGAUAGUAUCUAUCAUCAUGAACUUGUAGAUAGCGGUUCUCAGUCCGUAACUCAAACUGUUAUGCACCAACGAUAAGAGAGAUUAUUCUUUCUGUAUUUGUCUGGCAAUUAUAGAUUCAUCCUUUUCACACUUCGUCCUCUCAAUUGAUUUAAGGGGAAACCUAAUACGUCAACAUUUUACUUCUUCGACAGAAAAAUAUUCUUCUUUGGAGCAUGCUUUUGCACUUCUUCAAUCUGCAGGAACAAACAUGAAGUGGUCUAUUAAAGAGGUACAAUGUACCUAUGCCAGUCACAUUUAAACUUAAGAGUAGGUUCGCAGUGGAAAUGUAGUAAGGAGCAUGGACAGGAUUAAUUCAGUUCCACUACCCAGCGAACAAGACAAACUGUUACUAACACUGGCAAGUUUAUCAAACGUUGAUACACAAAGGAAAGAGUAGGGCAACAAUAAGUUUCCAGACAUCCACAACUGCAAAUGGACAUGGUAAGAAGCUCAAAGAAAAAAAUCUUCAGAAUUAUACAAUUGAUGGCAUCACAAUGAAUUGAUCCUUAGCCCGAUAGUAUGACAGCGUCAAAAUGUUCGAGGAACUACAGCAUGUGGAAUGCUGCGAAGCUUCUCAUUCUCUGUCUCCAAGUUUAAUAUAGGGUCCUAGAUGUGUAGUUUCACUGGGUUGGUGUUUUAAACGUGAGAACACUAUAACCAUGCAAAUGUCCACACAAAAUAGAAGCAAAAAUGGCAGCACUAACCCAUUAGCGCCAUCAAAUGCACAUUUCUUAGCCUACAUACAAGUACAAGACUCUAGCUGUCAAGAUAUGUUGGAACUUUUGCAGUACGGUAAGGCAGAAAGUAAAACAUCGUUCGAAAUCAUAAGCAUGUACUAGCAUGUAUAUGCAUUAUGCACAUAAGAGGAAAAACAAAGCUGCUGCUACUUAUGCUGAUGAGGAGAGUAGAAAAACAAUAAAUAGAAACGACAAAAGAACAAGCGUUUUUAAAGCUGGAAUAUUUAUUCAAUUGGACAAACUGGUUGCAAUAUGCUCUUCCAGUUUGACCGCUUGAACUGAUUGCAUGUGAUGUCAUCCGAUUGAACACGAUGCAUAUAUUAGAUUACACAUGUUCAGAACAAAAGAAGCCCAGUGAGUCGGCAAGCGAACAAAAGAAGCCCAGUGAGUCAGCAAACACUGUAGCAUUUGAAUAGAUUACGCAUGCUUAAUGUCAUCUUAAUAGCAUCCUAUUCAAUUUUCUAAUAGAUUGGGCCAAAACGGUCAAUAAAAAAACUAUCCACCACAAAUUGAAGAAAGAAGACAAAGGAGCAAAUGGUUGGCAUGCUUGUUGAUUACAAGAGGAUGGAGUUUCAAACCUCAACCCACUUCCAAUACUACUCUUUUAAAUUUUUCUUAAGGCCCAGACUUGGUCCAGGUUAGUUGAGAGGUUUGCUGGAUACCAGUUGAUAGGUAGACCCAGUUACCGGUUGAACAGGGUCAAUACCACCAGUUCUUGACCAAUACUAUUUCUUCUGAGAAACCAAACUGGACAGGUCUGGUUCCCUGUCCAACCAAAGCCACUUCUUAAAACUCCGAAAAGAACAGGAGUCGACAGAAAAACACAAUAUGCUAGUUUUUUCCUUUUGCCAUCAAUGUCUUAGGCUGCGUUCGUUUCACGGAAAAAGAAUCAUCUCCGGAAAAUAUUUUCCCGGAAGUCAUUUUCCAGGAAAAUGGCUAUAUUUUCCGGUGUUCGGCGGAAACUUAAAUUUUGAGUGGAAAACAUUUUCCACUGUUCGUUAACUAAUUUCUUUCUUUUUCUUUUUCUUUUCUUUUUAUUUUUUUCCUUUUCUUUUCCUUCUCCUUCUUCCUCCUCCUUCCUCCACCGCCACACGCCUGACGAUGGCGAGCCGACCAAGAUCCGGUCACCAGAUCCGACCAACCAAGAUCCGGUCGCCAGAUCCGGCGAGCUCGCGGCUCGCUAGACCUCUGGCGAGCUCGAGCAAAGCCCAAGCCCCGCCCAGCUCGCCGGAUCUGGCAAGGCCAGAGCUCCGCCCCAAGCCGGCGAGGCUCACCCGUCCACCAGAAGCCUCGCACCGCACGACGAGCGGCCUGGACGGCGAGCUCCCCGCGAGCCUCCCGGCGGCGCCGCGGUGCUCCCUCUUGAGCCGGAUCCUCCCGAGCAGCUUCGAGCCGCCGGGGAAGCGGAGCGAGGCGGCGGCGGCGGCGCCCCGGCCGGAGCAGGCGGGCAGGAGCGGCUGGGGAGGGCGGAGGCUGAACCCGGAGAAGGACGUCGUCGAAGCCGGCUUCGUAGCAGGGAGAGCAAGAGAGAGAGAGAGAGAACGAGAAUCGGAGGAAGAGAGCUCAUGCGAGAGGCGAGAGGCGAGAAGCAUGGAAAAUUUUUUCCUCUUUUCAAAAGAGGAAAACAUUUUCCAAGAUUUCAAGAAGGGAUUUUCCGUUGACCGGAAAAUGUUUUCCUUGACCGUGAUUUUCCGCCCACCCGAACACCGGAAAUUUCGGAAAAUAUUUUCCUUGAAGUUAUUUUCCGCGAAACGAACGGAGCCUUAAAUAGUGAAUUGACAUGAUCAGAAUAAAACUCUAGAUAUCAGGAGUAAGAAAUCAAUAAGCAAUCUCCAGAUCCAUGAGUUACCUUCAAUAGGUGCAAUUCCCAGUUAUUUGCACAAGUGUUUCCUGCAAUAUGCAUAGAUGGAAGGUCACUGGCCUACAAGAUCAUUAUCCCGGCAUCUCCUAGAAAUCGAUUUGGAAAUCGAUGAAAUCUUUUGUGUGGAACAACUGAAGAGAUGGAAUCUUUUAUGUAAAGUCUUACUACAAGCUGCUCAAUUGGGAGAUUCGUGGUAGAACAAAUUUUCCUCACAAAUCGAUUUGGAAAGUGAGAAUUCCAAUUAGAGUUUCUUUUUUUGCUAGGGAAGCAAAACCUGGGAACAAAUCCUUACCUAAGAAAUGCGGCAAGCUACUGCUUUAUCAGGUAUUUCCUCAGCAAAAGGAGACAAAGUCCGUGUGGCAUCUCUCCUUCAUUGUUCCUGGACAAGAAUGGUUUAGAUAGUUUCCUAUGCUUGCACCAUGUUAUCUUCGGUUCUCAGAGGUUUUAUUAAGCAAGAACUUUGGGCAUGGCAGGGCAUUUGUUUACAGCAUAACAAGUAGGAUUUGCUCAAUUCCCAUGUCUUUUGGCUGAUUUGGAAGAGUGGAACAAGAGAGCUUCUGAUGGAGAGAAAUGAACCAUUCUAUUUUAUUGAAAUUUGGCUUAAAGUUGCACACUAUUGGUAUAGUACAAACUUGCAUAUGGAUGUAAAUGCCUUGGUUGAUUAGUCAAUGAUUUAUCUGACAUUCCAAUUACCCUUUAUUCCAACACUUGUUAUCUAAUCAUAUAGUUUCAAGUACCAACAUCAACAUCUCAUAUAUGAUUUUGUACAAAUCAGUAUAACCAUCAUCCACGUGGGAAAAAACACUAUUAACUCACAUUUGUAAUUCCUUCUGCAAAUAACAUCAUUGUGACAAAAAGGUACCACUACUACCAAAAGUCAAGAUCGAAAAAGUUCAAGAGAAACUUUGGUCCGAAGAGCUACGAACACACUGCCAAGAAAGGAGCAAUAUUAAGGACUAAGAGCAGUAUACAAAACUGAUUUGAAGAGGAAAAAUGCGAGUAUAAUGCGUAUGUAGGUCACAAACAUCUAACACGAAUCUAUUUGGCAUGCAACUUGGUAAAACCAAUUUUAGUACUAGGACUUAACAUCCUCAGCAUUAUUCUGCCAAAAAAGAGGUGGUAUAUAAAAAAUCGUGAUCUAAAGAUGUGAUAAAAAAUAAUAAUAUAAAAUAAUCAAUUCUCACAUCUAAGUACCAAACAAAUGAUUGCGAACAAAGGCCCUCAUAACCAUGGUUAAGCAUCACAGAUUAAAUCCAUCUAGGCUCGAUUCACUGUCAUCCGAGCACCCACCAGUUAGUUUUCUGAGCAUUUUCUUCAGAUAACUGAGUUUUCAAUCUUAGCCUUAGCUUGUUGAUAGUAAAUAUAACACAGGAAAGAAGAGUUUCACUACAUUAAGUUCAAUGAGUGGAAUUUGGUAAUAUAAAUAAGUCUAACUUCCCCUAGGCUCUAACAAUAAUAUUGGCAGGUAAAAAGAGUAGAUAUGAUUCUUUGGUACAAAAACUGACUCUUGCAAUUAUGAGGGCAUAUAUGCUAAGAUCGAAGUGGGCAAAAAAAACUCUAACCUUUUAAAUUGAGAACAUAACUCUAUACCUUCUAAUUAUAAUGUGAAUGAACAAACAUUGUACAUCCAAAUCUCCAUGUACAGAACACUUAAAUGUCAAACUUAGAUCAAGUUCAAGUUCAAGUUCAAACCAAUGAUUAAUGACCUACAAUUUCCAUUAUACGCUUAUAGUAGAGAUUGCCAAUUUGUUGAAUCAGAUUCUAAUAAGAUUUUACUUCACCCUUUCCAGCCACUUAAUGUUGGUAAUUCAUAUCAUUGCAUACGAUAUGUUCAUAUGAAGAAUUAACAUCAGGAUGUUCUAAAAAAUAUGGUGUGUCUCAAGAUGUGCAGAAGCAUAACUUCCUAUAACAAAUUCCUAUCUCUAUCUGAUAACCUCCAAGACUAUUCACUGAGAUGCACAAAAAUUAAUUAUUUGGGAAGAAGGCCAAAUGCAAAGAUAAUAAUCCACACCUGCAGAUGAUUGAGGACAACCAGCUGAAGUUCUUUUCCAGCACCACAAACAAUUUUUGGUACACACUUCAUACCCUAUCCUUGAACAAACUAGUAGACUAAGAUUAUAAAAGCCAACCAAAAAAGCCAGAGUCCUAUAGCAUCAUCAUAGCUUCAAAAAUCAGCCAACCCACUUCACCCAAAGAAUUAACAAGAAACUGAUAGACUGUAGGACAGGUCCUAGCACCACCAAGAAGACUCAAAAAUUCCUCCUGAGAAGAAGAGUCAAGACCUAGAUAAGAAGACGAAAACACUUAAGUGAAGAAAUUUGAAACGCCAUCUAUUGCUUUGUGAGGUCUGACAGGAAAUCAAACUUCCCAUGAAAUAUGUUAAUGGCAUCAGCCCACUGCUCAUUCAUGACUGAUAAUGAUGUUUGGAUGACAUGAAGUAAAUCUUCAAUGUUCAAAGCCUGUUGAGCAAACUUGAUGAAGUUUAUUAUUUUUCAGCAGACUUAAAAAGGAGGCAUUAAGAUUCUCAAAAGUUCGUUCUGAUUUCAAUUUGAGAAUUAAAACAGACCAGAAAAUGUGUUUGGAAACAAUCCAAAAGCACUUGAUGAAUAAAAGGAAAACUAUUCUCAAAAUCAAAAUCACAAACUUAAGAUGACUUUUUAGUAUUCUCAUUCCAAAUGCAAACAUGGAGAUUUGGAAUAACUAAGCCUGUUUUUUGAAUGUGAUGUAAGCCGAGCAUAUUCUCACAAUUUCCAUCCCUAAUGACAUAUAUCAUUUUCACUAAACAAAUAUUUCGUUAAAAAAACAUCGAAAACAAUUUCUAUGAAAAUGGAAACUAAAGGUGCACUUAAACAGUCGUGAACAAAAACGACAUGUGAAGCAUGCAACGAUAUUUAAAAUUUUGCAACAAAUUUGACUCACAACUUUCAACAUCUUAACUAAAUAGAUUUCUAGAGGUUUUUACUGAAAGCCAGUAUGAAAAUUACAGGUUGGCUUCGAAGCAGGAGGCAUCGUGUUGUUCAGCUUAUGGCAACUCUCAAACAUCAACUCAAGCAUUAAAAAUUUUCAGCAGGAAAGUUCUUCCAUCAUGUAAAUUUCAAAGUUAUUUCUAAGAAAACUGCCCCGAAAUUGCUCUACCUUAACUAUCCAUUUCUUUUUGAAGGAUGAUGAUAAUAUCCUGAGUUAAUAAGCGUUUUACUUUCCUUAUGACCAAACAAAGCUAGAUACCACCGAAAAAAAUAUUAGUGCACAUGAACAACCAUAAUAUAAUCAUAACAUCAAGUACAAUCACCACCACAUAAACUAGAACAGAAUCUAGAUUUCCACGCUUAUCACCUUCAUUCACUCUUGGUUUUCCCUGUAAAAGACCAACUCCUCAGUUCGACAUCAUCUUCUCAUAUAAGACUUCCAAGCACUUCACACACUGAAUAGAACCAAGAAAGAGCUUUCUCGAUUCGAAGCAAUUACCAAGAGAGACGGCCGAUCGACCGCCUUCGAAGUCAUCCGUGACCAUGGCCAGCAAACCCUUCUCCAGAUUCUACUCCGCCAUCUCCCGAAAGAACGGCCAAACGGGGAGCGGAACUUGAGAAGCCAAAGCGGGCCGUCGGAACUCAAGCUGAAAUGGAAGCGCGCGCCAUUGGAACAGAGCAGGAACAUAGCUGGUACGCUCCGUCUGAUAAUCGGAGGAAGGGGGCGGGAGCGGAUCUUUUUCUUUUUAUUUUUUUUGAAGAAAUUGAAAAUUGAAUCCUUUUCGUUUUCCCUCUCUUGCUUCUUUUAAGGACGUGUUUAACGUUGGAAUAUGAAUCUUUUGAAUUUUUAUUUCUUGACAAAAAAUCUUGUGAAUUAAUAGGUUAAUUUUCACAAUUACAGCCCAAUGCAAAACAGAGGAAACCCUCAUUCGACUCUAUUCCUCUAUCGAUUUCAUUUCAUUUUCCCGUUUCAUUUUUAUAUUCCGUACUUCUCAUUUUCUUGUGUCAAAGAAGUUAUAAGUUCUUUAAAAUGUGCAUGAUUGUCUACUAGUCUAUCGGCCAGUCCCGAAUGGCACAAGACUUUGUUAUAAUCUUCGUUGUUCCAGUGCAAGAAAGUUUACAAUGCUUGAUACUGCAAAAAUUGAUCGAAUCAAUGGUCAGUCAUCUUCGGAGAGUACCCAAUGAUUUGUUCUUUGAAAUUCCUUACAAGAACGGUGGGAAUCAAGGAGUUUCCUUUCACGUUUGUCUCCAUUUUUGCUAAGCAAAUGAAUAUUGAUGAGACUGAAGCAUAUGCUACGAAUACGUCACCGUAUACCUCAUGUUCAUUCAUUUUUUGCAUUGCUUAUACCUGGUAUGAACUUUUGAUAAUUGUUCUACAAAUUAUCCAGAAAUAAAAUCGCAAGAAUUCUUAAAACGAACAAAAGUGCAAAAAAAAGUUCCUGGCAGAACAGCACAGCAACGCGAAAAAAGAAAAGAAAAAGAAGAUGAAAAAAUGAAGGAGAAAAGCAGCUCAUCGAAAAAAAUCGUCAAUUUUAGGCAUUUCUUUUACGAAAUGUUAUUGCUUUUUACAAACUUUUCUCUUUUUGUUGCAAACAAGAAUUUUGAUCAAGUGGGUUCUGCGUAGACAAAAACGAUGUGCUCCUGCAUGCAAACGUGCGUCGUCACUAAUUAAGAAAAAAGAGAGAGGAAAAUCUAUAAGUUAAGCACCAAUCAAGUGGUCUGCCCAUUCGUGCCUUGAUCUUCAGACUACAUGUAGCCCGCAUGCACGCUUAUGCAUUGAGAUCAUAUGAGGUUCCUGAUGGAUCAAAUCGCUGCAUUUUUUAUCUAUUGGUAAGUGUGAUACAUGUCUAUAGCUCUAGAUUUUCGAUGGAACAAAUAAAGCCUAGAUAAAUUCCAGAAUAGUGAUCUAUAUUGAAUUGCCAACUAAAAUCAUUCACGGAAAAAGCGAAUGAUUUGAAAUAAAAUUUUUCAAAAAUAAUUGUUUAUAUGGUUACAAAAAUGAACGAACACGAAAAAUCCUUGUCGAGCACGAAAACAUUUGGAUAAUUGAGACAUAUUUCAUUGGUCGAUUAUUUCAAAUAAUACAAAUGAUCAUUUUAAAAAAGAUAUUUUUUAAAUCAUUUAUCUUUUCAUGGAACAAAAGGAGCCUCAGUUCACGUAAUCUACAAAUAAUGCCAUAUAUGGUAUAAUGUGUUCAAGUUUGUCUAAGAAACAAUAUUGUUUAAUUCAGGCCCACAUGUUCAAUGGUAAUCCCGUUGCAUACCCCAACAAAACAAAGUGCCCUAACGGGAGGACUCAUGGGACAUCGCAUCAAUGUGAAUGUGGUGGUGGAUUCAAUUGAAAUUGUAAUUUAGAAAAAAACAAUGUGAUUAUUCUCAUUUACUUUUGCAUUUUAAAAAAUAUACUAAUAAAUUAUUCAAAUCAACAUCUCACAAAAGCAAAUAUUCACGCAUGCUUAACAUGUUGAAACGAUAGGCCAAGCCCGAAAAUAUGGCCAAGCCAUUUGCCAUCACCACCCAACUUCAGACACUCGACUGGAUAGAAAUACUAUCACUAAGUCAUGUGCCAUAGUUCGCCCAAAAUCCAACCCCUUUCCAUGCACUUUUUUUUUUCCAAUUUGUGAUGAUUGCGUAUCAAACUUAUUCUCUAGUCAAGCGGCCAAUGUCAUUCAUGUCUAUUUUUAUCCUCAUGACACUUUUGGAUGGAUCACUAAGUCUUGUUACCAAAAAAUGUGCAGGCCAUGUUUGAUCUGGCCAUUUCUCAUAUCUGCAAUGUAGAGGAAUUAUGCCCACUGCAAAACUUCACGUGCUUGGCUCGGCAUCUGAAGAGCAUGGAGAUCAUUGGUUCACAGCUCAUUCCUUGGAUGGCGACGGAUGUAAGCUCACCAUGCCAAUGCUACUUUUACCAAGAGAUGCACUCCAGCUAGAGAAGAUGGUCAUUAACGUCAAAGCCAAUGGAAGACGCCAAUUGAAAUUUCUCAAGUCUUUGCCACGACUGGUUCCGCCCUAGUUGCAAUCUUACCAGUAAAGUCUCGUUGCAAACUGCCCAAUGGGAGGAAGUGGGUGGACAAGAAUAAUUUGGACAGUUUCCUAUGCUUGCACCAAAUUAUCUUUGGGUUAUUGGACCUUUUAUGGAGCAAGAAACUUAGUAUUCUUGCCACUGGCAUCCUUUCAAAAAAAAGAUUUAAAAAAAAAAAAAAAACAGCCCAGAAGCUCAACAUUGAACUAAAUGAGCUAUUGAACUAAAUGAGCUACAUCAAUUUUCAUAACAAAUUAUUUCCUAUCGAUCGUGUUCAAUUUUCCAUCUAAAAUAUCUCAUCUUAAAGUGAAAAUUACCUGUUCUAGGUAAAGGACAUAGGAUCUUGAAUUUGACUUUAAGUAGUCAACCGAGUCAAGACAUUGUGAUCAAAUCAUCAUUGACAAUUCAGAAACUUGUACAUAGAUCUGAAAAACCUGCCAAGUAGGAAACCAUAUUCCACACUAAUAGAUCUAAUGAUAGGCAGUGGGCCCAAGGGAGUCCAUUUGGGAGAGUCCCAACAAGGAAUUAUAACUAUUAAGGACUUGCUCCAUGAAACUAAAGAGAACCGAUAGGAACCUUAAUGAUACUGAUUAGAACAAUACUCCAGCACGCGUUUCUAGACCUAAUCAAAUGUCUGUUGAAUAGUUCAUCAUGUUUUCACGUUGAAACGGUAAUAAACCCAAACAUGCAGGAAAGUUCAGAGUACCUAAAAUUCUAAAUCUUCUAAUAGCUACACACCCACGGAGAGAACUAUCUACACACAAGCAUAGACACUCACAGAACACUUUCCCCAACUGACGGUCGUAUAGGCUCUCUUAAUCUGCCAAGAAAAGAGCAGAACGUCUGUACAGCAGGCUAACCCAGACAGACACCAAAUUCUCCUUUAAGUGCUUCAACUGCAGUAUAGGUAGAAGGAGCACUCAGGGCAAACAACAAAAGCUUCGGAUAAUUGUGCUGUAUUGAAGUCAGAGGUGUCAUCUCUGAAGUGACCAGUAGAAGUGAAAUCUAGAACUUUUACAAGAUAACUUUACCUAGUAUAGUUGUUUAAUUGACCAGUCCAUUAAUUUAAGGCAAUACUGAUUUCUGCCAUCAGAUCCAUUUAUUAAGAAAGACUGCUCUAUGGAAGCGAGAAAGGAAAGUAGUCAUUGAUUGAAUCUGAUAGACAAUACUGCUAAAUAUAUGAUCUGAAACAGACAGGAAGCUUACAACAUUUCCAAUUGGAAAGACACCAAACAUACUAAAGCACAAAACUCCAUCUUCAUCUCCACUGCAAAGGAUAUUGAAACAUUGCUUUGAAGAAUUUGAGAGCACUACGAAUGAAUCUUGACCAUUGUCAGUUAAACCAGUUUCUCCAUGUACUAGUCCAGGCAUGCAAGGAGCUCUUGGAGCUGGAGGGAAAAAAAGAGUAGUGCAAUCUUCAAAAGCCAAAGCGUUGCCAGAAGUGUCCUAUUAAAAAAUGGAUAAUUAUCUUUCCAAUUGGCCAAAAAAAAAAAAGAAAAAGAAGAAGAAGAAGAAGGUAAAUAUGACAAGAGAUUAAGGUUAAGGAGUCAACAAUCAACAAACCAACAACUCACAGUUGACACCAAACAUAAGUUUUCAAAAAACCUUCCACAAACCCACAUUGAAGGUGUUGAAUAAAAUCCUAAGUUUGGGAAAAGAAAUAUUUUAGUAGACCAGACUAAAAUAACUACUUAACUGCAAACAAAGCAUUAGAUAGAACAUGAAAGAUAUGAAAAAUAAAAUAUUGUCUGUUAAGAAUCAAGAUCGAGAAGUUAGAUGAACUUUUUUCAGUUGAAAGAUGCAUACUCUAUUCACUUGGGCAUCCUCCUCCCAAUUGAGACACACCCCAGCUGCCACAUGGGACUUAAGCUUCUUAACAGUUUUCCAUUCUGCUUAUUUAUACCAGUUAGAAAAAAAAAUACCACAGUACGUAUAACUGCUGCAAGCACUAGCAUAUAACAAGCAGCAUGAUGCAUAUCCAUGGUUCCAUAAAGACAGCUAGAUUGGUAAGAUAACAUUCAUAUGUAAAAAUAAGAUCUUCAAAGCAAAACAUAAUCCAUGAAGUGGAUAAUGAUUAGUAAAUUGGUAGACAUCGCAAAGAAACUUCAUGGCAGCAGCAUCAGCCAAGUUCUGAGCAAUUGUACCCAUGACCAAACAGCUAGCUUAACGAGUAACUGGUAAUCUAUGAACUAUUCCACCCACAAUCAUAAUGAAGGCACAUACAAAUUCUAUCAUUCAGGAGUCACCCGAACUAUUACCUGGACCUAUGACACUUUAAAUGGACAUAUGUCACUUUAAAUAAUAGAAAGAAACUAAUAAUUUGAUGAAAAUGAGCGUCCCAUGGAUAACUCAGUCAUCUUUGGAUAGGAAUGAACGAUUCAAUCUAAUUAUAUAUAUAUAAUUAGUUAAAUGGGUAUAUAUAAGAUACAAGAUAUCAUGAUAUCAUCUAAACCAAGGACUUUGUAAGUUUACGGCUAUUCUUCUUAUAAAUUAUAUGACAUUGAUGAAGAUAUGCAUAUUGCAUGUAUUGUACAAGUUAUAAAUGUUGCGCCGGUCAAUUUUUUAUUGGAAUGAACCAUUCACUUUAAUUAGUUAAAUGGGCUAUUCAUCUCUUGUUGUCUGUAGACCUAUUUAACAAAGGGGGCAUGUUCGAAAGGAGUGUUCUAAUAAGAUCUGUUAAGGCUUUCGUGCUCAGAUUGACCUAACUAGCAGUCCACUGUUCAUUUGACAUUGGCAGACAGGACCCAUAAACAUGGAUUGCCAUCUCUAUUAGCAGCUAAAUGUUUGUUGAGCAAGCUUGAUGUUUGCAAUGCAUCAUGCGGCUUUUGAGCAAUUCAGAAUCUUUCCCAAGAGAUUAGAGAAGAGCACAUUCUGAAGAUAAGGGAUGCUUGCAGUGAAACUUUACCAUCUUCUAGUCUCAAGACAACUACUUUGCCAUCAGGAUGCCAGCAUAAUGAUGUUAUACAUUUACCUAGAGUACAUUAGAAUAGUUAGAUAAUCCAGUAUAACGACAUACAACGGAAUGUGCAAAGAAAAGUGAUCUCAUAAACAACAACAACAACAAAAACAGAGAGAGAGAGAGAGACAGAGGGGGGGAGAGAGAGGAUGAAUAAUUUGUUCACCAUAAAAUUAAUAGACUAAGAGGAAAGAUAUAGACCACACAUAAACUGAGAAAAUGAUAAUCAAUAUUUGGGAAGUAAGGCAAACAUCAUAACAGUACACAUUAUAUCUGACAGGGAUAUUGGUAGCUUGACAUGGGAUUUCUUUGGGCUAGUAGAUCAUCUAAAGCUAGGGAAUCUAUAUUUUUUUGGCAACCUUCAAUCCAUUAUCUCAAUCCAGGAUCGAAUCUUAUUGUCAGCUNNNNNNNNNNNNNNNNNNNNNNNNNNNNNNNNNNNNNNNNNNNNNNNNNNNNNNNNNNNNNNNNNNNNNNNNNNNNNNNNNNNNNNNNNNNNNNNNNNNNNNNNNNNNNNNNNNNNNNNNNNNNNNNNNNNNNNNNNNNNNNNNNNNNNNNNNNNNNNNNNNNNNNNNNNNNNNNNNNNNNNNNNNNNNNNNNNNNNNNNNNNNNNNNNNNNNNNNNNNNNNNNNNNNNNNNNNNNNNNNNNNNNNNNNNNNNNNNNNNNNNNNNNNNNNNNNNNNNNNNNNNNNNNNNNNNNNNNNNGAACUUAACAUACUUGGAUGCAGCUCCGCCUACCCUCCUAGUCUUUUUGCUUUCUCCAACUCGUCCCUUCAUGUAUACAUGUAUGCAGCAUAGCUUGACAUAUAUCCUAUUCACAAGUAAGUUAAAUUCCCAACAACAAACUUGAUUAAUCAAAAUGAUGUGACGAAAUGCCCCUUUGUAAUCAGAAGAAGAUAAAUUAACUUCAAGUAAUACAAAUUGUGCGAAACUUUCCAGACUAGACUCUACAUUUUAACAAUACAGAAUGUGAGAAAUCCUUGUAGGGGAAUGCUCAAUCUGUACAAGAAGAGGAGAAGAGGAGCCAGAAGUAAUAUUACGCUCAAUCAGUACAAGAAGAGGAAGAGCGGAGCCAAAGUAAUAUUACAUCAUGAGAGUCACUAACAGAAAUUGAAGAAAACUAUAUAGAUGCCCAAUGGCAUUGAGAUCAUAUUUUGCAGGGGUUAAAACCUGCCAACUCCAAGUGGGCAUCAAGCAUUUCUACAUUGGACAUAACUAGUCUAUCUAGCAUAAACGACAUCCCCUCCAAUUCAAGUUCUUUAUCUUCAUGAACACUUUGACUGGUGUACCGAAAAGGGCAAAAAGAUGGCAAUACGGGAGUAGGGUACACUUCCAGUUGGUCUAGAUGAUUGUCAGUUAUGUUAUGGAAAUCUCUGAAGGCACCAAUCUUGUCUAGAAGUUGAUAGAAAUCUAUCACGCCUGUAAAUUAAAAUCCCUUCAUUCAACUAGUAUCGGCUUGAGAUUCUUUAAUUCCAACUAUGUCAUCUCCAAAUUUUCCCUCCCAUUACCAUCAUUCACUCUUCAUUUUUGUGUAAAACACCAACUCCUUAGUUUGUUCUCAUUUAGAAUUCCAAGCAUUUAACCUCUAUAUUCACCAACUCUUCAUCAAAUGCAAUUUGAACUGGAUUGGCAAUUGAAGUGAUUUAUUUGGGGAAAAGGACCGUAGCACAUUUAACGAAAAGCAAAUGGGGAAUAAGGCCAACGUGCAUGCAGAGUCAGAGACUUGCAAUUGGGCAAAGAAAAUGGCACACCUUGUACCUCUGACACAAGUGAUAAAACCUAAGCACAUUCAACAAUUGAAAGGCAAAAGAAUAAGACAGUUUACUCUUCCUUCCAAAUACAGUUUAAAAACCCAGCAAUUAUAUGCUUUGAGAACACUUUUGGUUCCCACCUAUGAGACAAAUUGAGUGACUAAAGCUUUUGAGUGUUGAAAUAGUAGAACUUAUAUACUAUUUCUAGUCAACAAUUGCUUUUUCGGUCUUUUAAAAAACAGGACACAACUACUUUUCAUUAAUAAUUUACUAUGAUCAUUGGAAUGAUGGUUAUGCACUACUGAGCAGGAAAAAGAAUGACCCUUAACCAGCUGCCUUUUCUUUGGUUUUUCAGUAGUUAUUCUGAAGGUACGAUGUGUAUUUGCACCAGUCGUGAUCAGGCAGAGUGGUGAAACGAUGUAAACCAGAUUCCUUGUGCUGAAGUUUGGAAUGAACUUCCUUAACUCGAGGAAGAGGGAACAAUGAAGUAUCCAUAAGUAUGAACCAAACGAGUUAAAUUUGAAAUAAAAAACAAUCUGCUCACCUGAAGGCACCAACUACCAAUCAAAAGCUUAGUCGCAUUCUGCAGCUUCUGAAGCAAUCCCUCAACCAGGUUGCAAUACCAUCUGUAAGGCUCGAACUGAUUUUGAACAAAACAAUUGGUUGGCCUUCCAAAAUCCUCGCCUCUCAUAAAAAAGUUCGACUCUGCUUCAAUCAAGGAUUGAGACUUCCGUUACCAGCAGCCUCAUCAUACCAGAAAAUCCUCUCAAACAGCAACGGAGGACUUGAAAUCUCCAAGGGGAAAGCCUCAUCAAGUGCAUACCGAAAGCAGCCAUUGCCCGCAAUUUCCCUCAAAGUUCUCGAACAAACCUCGAUGGUUCGCUUUAAACCGUAGCAUCCUUCCAAACUAAGGUCCUCGAGAACAGGGCUGUCAUUCGACAUCUCAGGCAUCACCUCCGAGUCACAGAUGGACAGGGACCUAAGAUUAAUCCAAGCGAUACUUCUACUCAACGAGAAGCAACAGAGUCCUGAGUGCAGGUUCACCAAACGAAGAGCAUCCAUAAAAGGAGCCGUGGUACUGCGAAAUGGCCGGCCAUCUCGCACGUCCUCUUAGUCGCAUCGACUGGAGAGGUCCUCGACACGGCGGUCGACAGCAAAGCGAAGCCACGGACUGAGCUCAAGCGCGCAACGGUCGAGAAAAUCGGGGUCGAUGUGGAACUUCCUCACCUUGGGCGACGCCUAGAGGAUCAAGACGCCGUCCACGGACGGGGAGGCGUUCCGUCAGGGGAAGGAGAAGACGAGGUCCGGGGGCGACGGUCCAGACGGAUCGCCACCGCUUCGACAAAAACGCACGUGCGGACAAUUUGGGGGAUCGACGAUCGAACGGAGGAACUCGGACUUUUCUGGCUUCCGGUAUAGAGACACGUGUCGCUCGAUGGAGAGGCAACCACUUUCCCGCGCCUUUUAAUACAUCUAUGAGCCCAUGAUGAUGGGCCUCGCAUGUCUUGAAUUGCCGAGUACCGAACCUUAAUUUUUUAAAUCCAAGCUUGUCCGACAUCUGCAAAAAUCAUCAUUCAUAUAAUAAUCGAGUGUGAACAAAAUUGAGUAGGCGUACUGCGUACAUAAGCGAGCUUGAGCCCGUGAAAGAAUAUGUUUGCUUGAUUCCGCUUGAUUUGUGAUAUCACGCCCGAGGGCUCAAUUUACAUAGUGAUAACCAUAAAUAGCAUUGGUGAAUAUCAAAACUAGUUGACAACGAAAUUUUGAUCAAUAACUUAUUCGGUCAAUAACAUUUUGGUAAGUUACCAAAAUUUUUAAAAAAAUACCAACAGUUAUUAUAAUUUUAUUAUAUAUAUUACUAUUGACAUCCAAAUAAUCCUAAUGGUUAAAGUUAGAAAAAAUCAAGAUUCAAGAUCCCAAUCGUGGCGACACUCAUUUCUUAACUUAAAAAAAAAUUAGAUUUGUAUCAGUAGUACUUUAAUUGCAUAUAGGUGUUAAUUCAACAUAAGCAUGUAGGAAUAGGCAUUUAGAUUUCAAGUUUUCAUAGAAAUGGCUUAAAAUCCUUUUUUUUUGGGUCAAAUCAAAGAAUCUACCUUUGACUGAAAAGAAAAACUAUUUCAAUAGUCUUUAAUUCUUUUUAGACAUUUGAUUUAGAAAUAGUGAAAUUUAAGUACCUACAAUCAAAUCAAAGAAAUAUCAAUUUCAAGAAUCGAUUAACCAGUUAGAACACCAUAUUUGUUAUCAUGGAAUUUAAGCUCACACCUUUCAAGAUCGUGUCACAUGGCACAAUUACACAAAAAUCUAUUGGAGAAUAAAAUCUGUUCUUUUCUCAUCUUGGAAGGGGUCCUUUUUUUUCUUCUUUUGGCUUCUUUUUAUGUUCAAGAGGGAGGCGCCACAAGUUAAAGAAAAGGGAGAAAAGAGAGAAAAAUAAGGAGGAUUGACUCUCCAUGAGCGCUGCGUAUACAUCUUCACCGUCGCCCCAUCACAUCCGACCUCAUCCUCGUCACCGCAAGCUGCAUCCAUUGUUCUUGGACUUCAUUCUCUUGAGGAGUUGGAGCAAUAGUGGCCGCUGCCCAUUCCGACGACUGAAACCCACGCCAUCACUUCGAUGAACCUCUCCAUCACUUCUCUCGACUCCAUUAGUUGCCAAGCCAGUUGCCCUCGCUAUUCUUGAGCCGCCCUUUCCCGCUUCACUAUUGCUCCCUGCCUUCCCAUCGUGAAAACUGAAGAGCCCAGAUCUUGUCCGAAGACUCCCUCAUUGGUCGUUGUUCUGUUCGUAAAUAGUUGUAAAGGUUCUAAUCGCCGGUUGCGAGUGCCCAUCGUAGCCUACUUACACCACUGAUAAACUAGGCUUUCCUGCUGCCUUCAACGAUGGUCAUCGAUGAGGAGCCACUCAAAACCUGAUGGUCCGAGGGUUAACUUUUGAGCUUGAAUAUUCCGGUUGAUUUAUCCGAUUCUAUCUCCACUUUUGUUCCUUACUUUUUGUGGAUGCAUUGGCCAACGCAAUGGUUAGCCGAUGGUAGGAGACGGUGGUUCGGCAAAGAGCAUGAGUAACAGUGGUAUAGGAGUACUUUUGAGCGUGAGAUUUUGAAUGUUUCCUCCUGGUUCGGGGAAGCUUUAGAUAGCAUGAAGAUGCACCGUGAAAAGUCAUUGAAGGUGGGAGUUCUGGGAAUAGGGAGCCAAGCCUCGAAGAUGAGAUGAGGGGGUGAAAAUGCGAGAAAAGGCUAAAAUGAUGAUGACGUGUCCGGUGGAGUGAGGCCCCACACGGGGACGGGGUGGCGUUGCGGAGGGCCGGUCUUUUCCUCCGUUCCCGUCAUCCAACCCUCUCAUUUGCUAAAUUAGUAAUUGCUAAUUGCAAUGGGGAUUUAAAAAUUAGUUCCCUGGAAUGUUCUAAAUUCUCGAGGAGAGGAUGGUAUCCCUACUACUGGAUUGCCAAUGCUGUUUCAUGGUAACGAUUUCCAGAAUGCCAUGUGGAGCGAUACGAUCCAUUCUUUGAGCCAAACGGACUAUACGGGGGGCGGGAGUGUCCUCGACUCUGAACCUCCCUAUGCCUCGACAUCAAGCUUCCGGUCUUGGAGUCCACUUCCUCAUCCUAAAGGCAAUCCCAUGAUGGGAGAUUCCCCAGCAAUUUAUUUAGAUGACAUUUUGGAAUGUGAUGACUUGUCAGAUCCCACGAUAUGAUGAUGAUGGUUCUGUUAGAGGUACCAGGAACGAUGGUGUUAAGUCCGAAAUUUAGCCCAAUUCUCUUUCUUCCUCAUAUCUGCAACUUUUCUCCGCGAAUUCUCAGACUCUGCUGGACCUCACAAACCUCCCUCCAUUGAAGCUCCAUCCUUCACAAGCUCACCAUGGGUUUGCAUUUCCCAUUGAUGCUUCUGUACCCUCCACGCGUUUUGUCACAGCAGAGCUGGUGGCUGCAUUUUCGGCUGCUAGUGGCGUGUGCUUCUGUUUCAGCUUCAGUUCGACAAACUGCUUUGGCUUCUCAGGUUCCGCUUCCGUUCGGCGUUCUUUCGUGAUCUAAUGGGUGGGUCAACUCGAUUGUUCCGACUCGGUUUUGUGAGGUUUUGGCUCGAUUUCUUCCAAUUGGCAGGUGAAGAAGAUGGAGUGGAAUCCAGAGAAGGAUUUGCUAGCGAUAGUCACGGAGGACUCGAAUGUGGUCGCUUCUUCGCUUCAUUUGGCGGAGGCUGUAAACAAUCUCUCCUGAGUAUAGCUAAGACUAGAGAACUUCUUUUAUUUAUUUAUUUAUUUAUCUAUUCAUUCAUUCAUUCAUUCAGUGUGUUGGUUUCUUCAACAAUGGGCAUUUGUGCUUCAGUAUAUUUGGUGUCUUUUCAAUCGGACAUAUCAUAAGCGUCCUGUGUGUUGAAAUCAAAUAUUUAGCAGUAUGGUAUAUUGGAUACAGCGAACGAUUCAUUCUUUCCUUGUUCUGGCUUCUCAUUCAACACUUUUUCUUAAUAAAUCAGGAUUGCCUAGAAAGUAAUGGACUGAUUAAGUAAAUAAUUAUACCAGGAAUGCUUGUGAAAGUUUCAGAUGUUUAUGCCAUUUCCCAGGCUAGAUUUCACAUCCGUUGGUCACUUCAGAGAUGACACCCUUCCAACUUGGAUAUAGAACAAUUAUCUUCUUUUUGUUUGGCCUGAGGUUAGCCUGCCUUACCUACUUGCUCCACUCUAGGCUAUGGGGUUUUUGCUCUAUUCUAUGGAGAUUUCCAAUCAAUUCUCUAGGCUUGAUUUGAUUCGUCCUUAAUGUUGUACUAGGUAAGAUGAUUAUCCGUUUACUGAUAGAAUUCUUGGUAUUCUUUUCUUAGAUGAGGGCAUAUAAGUUACUCAUCUGUGUUCAGUUAUUCAUUCGUGUAUAGAACAUAUUUGUUUAAAGGCCUUCUUAAACGAAUAAACUUUUUCAUCAGCUCUUUGAAAUUUAGUUACUUUCUCUCCUUUCUUAAAUCAAGCUAUACUACAUGAACAACACAUUAGGAGCUAAAUAAAAACAGCGAAUCGUUUGCAUUUAUGGUAGUGAGAACUUCGGUUCCUUUCAUUUGAUGACCCUCUUUGAUCAAAGAUGUUAUGUACGCAUUUGGAAUUUGAUAUUAUUGCCAAGAGAUAAUGAUAUUAGGCUAGUAUUGAUCGAUAUAUGUGGAUGUGGAUGCUCAUGGGCAGUUGAUCUUCUAGUUUGGACCAUUUGUGGGGCACUAGCAGCUACCAUCAGCACAUCGUGAGAGUAACUUCCAUCGAGGCCCUCAAAGCAACUGCCAUCAAGGCCCUCAGCGGCAACCCCGACAACUAAAAUUUUCCCUUUUUUCUUUUUUGCAUUUUUAUGCCCAUUUUCUAUUUUUGUGAACGAGAGACAACUAUGACGAUAGAUGGUGAUGGUGGUCAUGACGGAAGCCCUCUUGAUUUAUAGAUAUAUUGAUCCCAUUUAUCAUUAUUAUAGCUGUCGUUACUGUUCAAUGAUUAGUGGUGGAAGUAUUUCUUUUUCUUUUGUAUUCUACCCUCCAGUGAUCACGUGCGCUCCUGUCGAAACCAACCUGACAACCCCAAUCAAGUCGAGUGUAGAGACUGUGGGAGACAUAAACCCUUCAUCCAAGACUCCUAACGAUGAACAGAUAUUCAGUAUAAAACUAGAAUUGGACCAAGAACAUGCGUGAUCAGCAUGAGGAUGAACAUUCCGUGCGUCUCUAAGGAAACACACCUGGUACAAACAGGAUGAGCAAAAAGAUGCUCGAACUAUGUGAUAAUACUGAUGAGAUUCUGAGUCGGCGUCCUUCUAUCGUCGGAUGAAACAUUAUAGUGUCUUGACUGAGGGUUGAAUCGCGACUAAUCCUGGCAAAAAGCCAGGGUGACAAGAGGGGGUGGGGGAAAGAGGUGAGGCGACAAGUGCUGCGUUGAUCUGCUUUGGGACUCAAAAUUGCAUCUAGCCAAUAGGAUGUCCAAGUAGACAGAGAAAAUAUGAGAAACUAUUGGGUAGGGCUAUCGUUUGGACAAAAUGUGAAAAGAAAUAUGAAAAGAUUUAGGACUUAAUUUACACAAUUGAAAUAUUCGGGAUUAAAUUAGCAUAAAUGCAAUAGGUCUAGAAUUAUUAUUAUUAUUAUUAUUAUUUUUUGAUAAAUUUCCUGUCAAUGCCGUGGUUCAUACAAUUUGACAUUCUGACCACUAAAUGUAAAACAGGUCAAUCAAAUGAUGAAAUUUGACUUAAAGAUUAAUAAUAUCACACUAAUUCAACUCUUUUUCCCUCCUUACUCAGAUCUUACUAUUGCUUAAAAAAAAAAUAUUCAACGAUGGUUAUAGCGUAUAAUAUAUGGUCAUAAAAUCCCAUAGAGUUGCCUCCAGAAAAUUUUGCAAGCUAGGCAUUCAGAAUACUAUCAGGACAAUUCAGGAUUACUACACAUAAAUUUACGAUGUCGUGAUGCUUCAGUUGUAAUCAAAUUAUAUUAUAUUAUCUAACAGUACGGUGAGUGAAGGUGCCACAAAUUUGGCUUAUGGGGAGCGAGAUUUCGAGUACAUUUGACUUUCACAUUUAAUUCCAAGUUUUGGUAACGAUGUAUUUAGUAAUAACAACUUAAUUGAUUAAUCAAUAAUAAUAAAAAAAUAGAAAGACCGUGUAUAUAUGAAAAAUAAAAAAGUAUUAACUUAGAAUUUAAUAAAAGGAAGCAUCGAUUGCUAAAAUAAAUGUAGAAGAAUGACUUCAGGAUUAGGCAUGGGACGACUCAAAUAAGUGCUUAACGGCUGGAUUAUCGCACUUCCAAAUAAUAUUGAAAAUUCUAGGUAUGUAGGUUUAUUGCUCUAGAUCCCUCCGUGACUUUAUCUUCUUUUAUCAAGCUCAUGAAAUAUAUAUAUGUAUAUAUAUAUAUAUGUAAAUUCUUCAUGAUUUUCGGAAAUAUUGGAUAUUUCUGUUACUUUUUGGUUACUAAACAAUGAAUAUAUAGACAUCCAAAAUUUAUCUAGUUGAUCCGAUAAUAUUGGUCGUAUGAAAUUAUAAGCAGCGGCCUUUUAAAGGAUAGUGAGAUUAUUGAAGAAAAUACACUAGUAUGAUCGAAGUUUGGAAAAAAGAAUCUAAUUUCUAUAUGUUUUAUGGAAAAUGGAUGUAUUUUCUGCAAAAAUUGAGCAUUUUUUUUUGGAUGUUUCAAGGCUUUAUGUAAUUGUUGGACCAUCGGGGGUACUUUUUGGGCCAUGGACCCAAAAUGGAGUAUCGAAGGGCAAUUUCGUAAAUUUAAUACUAAACGGGCUUCUUGGCCCAAGUGAGUUUAGCCGCUAUUUGUGAGGGUGCAAAUUCCUGAAAAGGGGAUGAAACUUGCAUCGCAUUGUUACUGAAAGGUAAAAUUAUUUUGAGGCAUGUUAUAUUUAUAAUAUUGGAUCCGGUAUUGGCCAGACAUUUCAAGGUGGUGUUAUUUUGGAUAUACAUCGAGAAUGAUCAUAUGAGUGAAUCAUUUCAAAUCAUGUUGGAUAUUAUUUAUUGAUAUUUAAUUAUGCACAUGAUCGACUUAUCUAUUGAAAGAUGAUAUAUAGUUGCUUAUCAGCUCUAUUUUGGGGCUUAACUAUGAUAGAUAUGAUUUCUAGGGUUUAACUAGAUGGCGUCACCUACUGAAGUGUGGCCGUAGUGUUCCAUGCAAUUUAAAUGUGAUACUUUUGCUAACUUGGUGUGCCACAUAUUUGAUACAAAAUUUGCUUCAUUCACUACUCAAUUCCAUAGAAGUGACGAUUGUCACUUCCCUGGUCAAGGCUUUACCCGCCCCUUUCAAUAUUAUUUCGAGUCAAGAAUAAGGAAACUUAAUUGAACCACAUAAAGAGCAAUCUAGAAUAGCGUGGGACCCUAAUUUAGAUUACUUUUUUUUUAUGGGUAGAAAUAAUUUAGAUUACUUGAGUAAGGGCUAUUAUAUGUGUCAUAAAACUCUCAUUUUCAUUAAUUCACGGCACUCCGAACUUUGUUAUUGUUGACACCUAAAUUUUGGCGAUUUAGUUUAUUUAUUUAUUGCAUAGGGAAUUAGGGGUUAAUUUUAUUUAUUGCAUAGCAUAUAGAUUUAAAUUGCAUUUAUUUUGUUAUUUGCAUCUUUUGCAUUUUAUUGGACCGGUGGCGGAUGAGUUCGAAUUAGAUGGAUCAGGCCCAUGAAGCGAGCAGGUUGGCCAAAGCCCAUGUUUUUUAAUAAUUAAAAAUUAUCUCGUGGGAAUAUAAUAUUUUAAAAAUUUUCCGAGAUAUGAAUCUUUUUUUGGGAUAGGGCAUAUGUGACAGGAAGAUAUUGCGAUUUAUCUUUACAAGAUUUGGAUUUAGAGAAAAAUUCUAUCACAAUCUUGAAUAAAAUUGGUGAAGGAAUAUUGCGUUCGAAAAAAUCUUCGUGGAUAUCGAUUAAAACCCUAAUCCAUGGCCUAUAAAUAGAUUAAAACGCAUAGGGUUUUGAGAGGUCACACACAUUGGAUACACGGGGCUUUUCUCGAGUUUUAGGUCAAAAUCAAAAGAAAAGUUUUCCCAGGGGUUCUUCUCUGUUUUUUUUUUUAGGUCAGAAAUUUGAACAUAAGAAGAGGAGAUUUUUCCUUUUGGUUUGGGGUUCAUUCGUCGGGGGUCUUCGGAGGAGCAGCCAAAAAAAGUCAAAAGGGGAUUGUUUGAAAUUCUGAAGAGGUGCAGAGAGGGGACGUGAGUGGGAAACACGUGAGAGAUAAAAACUGGAGAAUCCUUCUUCUGCAGGUUAGACGUCUAUACAUUGAAGAAGCCUUGAAAGAGAAUCAGCGAGAAUCAAUGACACGCACUAGAGAGAGAACGAAAUAUUCUCUCUCCACGACGCUGCCCGUAAAACCUUGACUCCAUCUUCGUUGCAUCGUCUUCAUGUGACCGCCGCAACAGCGCGUCCAAGACCCCCACGAAUCCCGCAAGUCGGAUGCCACCCUUGCCGACAUAGUUCCAUUGCCUCACUUGAGUCCUUCGUGACGCCAUUGCUGCUUUGAACCGUGCCACGCCCAACGACGAAUUGCUGUCCAUUCAAGCCGCAACACCACCAAAAUCCAGUCCCGACAUCCAACACCGAGCUGUGAGCCUCACCGAGCAUUACCAUAUCACGUUGCGAGUAGCCGUAGUCGUUCAAGGAUCGGAAUUUGGGAGCCAAUAUUCGGAAUAGGUAAAAAUUUUGUCUAUUUUGAUUUCCGAAAAUUCCAUUUCCUUAUUUGAUAUAUUUGUUGAUGCACAUGAUUGAAACCCGAUAUUUGCAACUCGAGGAGCUCUCGAAUUAGGGAUUGACAGUCUGAUUUUCGCGCCCGAAAUCCGACUCGCAAUCCCUUACAAAAUCGACAAUCCAAUCUCAAGCCCGAGAUUCGAUUCGCGAUUUAAUUUAAAAUUGGCCAACCCGAUCUCAUGCGGGAGAUAUGGUUCGCUAAUUUUUGGAUAUCAAUCUUAUCUUGUUUGAUUUGCCAUCGUCAAGUUAGUUGAGUCAAUCUUAUUUUCGUAAAAGAAAAAUCCAAAAAAUACUUGAGUUAGGAAUAGAUUUGCUUUAGAAUAUUCCUAGUCUUAGGUUUAAAAUUGCAAUCUUAUUAUGAAUUUUUAAAUAAAAAAAUCCAAAAAAGAAAGUGCAAUCAUUUAGGUUGUUAGUUUUUUAUUUGAAUUGCAUGUUUAAUUAUGUGUUAGUUUUAAUUUCGAAUUUCUUAUAGAAAAACACACAAAAAAUCAUUGUGCAUAUUAGAUUAGAAUUGCAUGUUUCAUUUUAAAUUUAGAUCAUCUUUUUCAGAUAAAUUGCACUUUAGAUUUAGAUAAUGUCUUAGUUUAAAUUAGGAUUUAAUAUGACUUAAUCCCUAGUUUAAAUUAGAUAGAAUCUUAAUCUAGCUAGAUCAUUUCAAAUUUCAUAAAAUUUGUCUUAGGAUAAAUUAGUUGCAAUUUUUAGGAUAGAUUGCAUUUUUAAAAUAAAAAAUGUCAUUUGCAUGUCAUAUAGAUUUAGGUUCAUGAAAUGCACGUCAUUUAGUGAUUAUUGUUAGGUUCAUUUCUAAUUAGAAAUUGUCCGUCAUUAGAUUAGGUCAUUUGAUAAAUGUCGCGUGACAUAUAGCUCGCAUAUUAAAUUGCAAUGUUGCAUGUCAUUUUAGUUAAAAUAAUUUUGUACGUCAUUGCAUUGCAUUACACGUCAUUAGAAUUAAGUCAUUUUGGUUAAUUUAGGUUGCAAUUGCAUGUUCAUUAAGAGAUCAUAAAAUUUUUAUUCAUAUGUUUAGGACAUGUUGCCUUGCCAUAUCAUUUCAUAUUAGAUUAAAAGCAUUACAUUGCAUAUGGAUUAUAGUCUCGUUUAAUAAGUGAAAACAAAAAGAAAAGAAAUUGCGUGUUAAUUAGAAACCAUAUCUAGGAUUGUUGAUGUGGAUUUUAAUUUAACACUGCAGAUGCUUUCGUUUCUUUAAGGUAAGUUCUGCAUCAUUUAAUUGCUUUCUUGGGUGUUAAAUUGGUGGUUUACGUACCUGCAUGAACACCUCACAUAUUAGAGAAAUAUAUUUAAAGUCAAUCUAAAUUGCUUGCCAAACAUUUUUCAAAAUAAAAAGAAAGGUACCGAAAGGGCGUUAGAGAAAUCUAAUGUAACCAAGUCCCCGUACCCCUAGUCUCUGGUAGGAGUAAAGUGAAUCUCCCAUUACUUUACUUGGGUUUCUAAUCGACCCACCAAAAAUAGAUUAGUAGCGACUCCUAAUUAAAAAAUUUGCAUGUUAACAAUUCAAACCUAAGUCGCGAAUUGGUAUGGGCUUGGGAGAGCCCGAGUUAAGUCUAGGCUUAACAAUCCAUUAGCCAAACCCUAGGUGGUUCACACCCGAAAAACUGGUCGCGACAGUUAUUAUAUUCAUUCGGUGAAAGGUUUAUCAUUUUCGUAUGAUAGCUAUUAUCGGUUGGAGGUUUUGUGCUUUAUUUUAUAGGGAAUAUUCGGUCAUUCCCUAGACUUUAAGGUUGGAUUCGGAGUGCGGCAGUAGGUGUCAUUCGCGCGCGCACAUUUUUCACGAGAUGGAAGAAUAGUCAACCUUGAAAAGCCGACCAAAGAGAAAAUAUUACUUAUAAAAUAUUAAAGCAAUAGCAUCCAUAGCAGCCUAACUUUGUCCAGUUUUAACUUUAGCCUCCCUCGACUUAAAAAUAAAAUAAAAAAGUCGAAUGGCCUCCCUUGUAUAACUGCUUGAAAUUGCCCUUGUUUGUUUACGUGGGUCGAGAGUGCAUUAAUAAAUUUAUAUUAUUGAAAAAGAAACUUUUAUAAUUUUCUCUUUUUGAAAAGGAGACAAAAUAAAUAAAAUAUUAGAGUACCAUUAUAGAAGGAAUUCCUCCGGGCAAAAUUGCUAGUAAUAGUCCUCGUAAGCACAUCUUCUAUUUGAUGAUGGGCUCAAUUUCAAUUUUGAAUACAUUUUGGGACUUUGUUGAAAUAUUUUCGCGUCACCUGCGACGUCACCGUGUUACGUAAACGCGUCAAGAGGAUGAAGCUUGAACUACAAGAUUGGCCACGUACACCGUAAAGCCAAGCAGCCUUUGGCGUCGACAAAAUCGCCACUUCCCUUGGUUAGGUUUGCAAAUCAUUAAUUUAUAACUCCACCUCCUUAUACUAAUCCACACGCGUUCUUUGUCUUAUUAUUAUUAGAGUUAAUAUUAGGAAAACCCCAAACUAAUAGAUAUGAUAAAUUAAUUUUAAAUUAAUUUUUUAUUGCAAAAAUUUUUAACUGCUAUAUCUAGAAUAAAUUUACCAAAAAUUAAUUUUUUCAUUAAAAAACUCAAAACUAGUAUAUUUAUAAUAAAUUUACCAUAUAUUAAUUUCUAUUAAAUUUGAUAAUACGACAAAAAAAAAUCAAACUGAUAUAUACAUGACAAAUGGAUAGUAAAACCUUAAAUUGGUAUACCCGUCAAUUAUCAUGUAUUAUCCACCUCAGUAAUUUGAUGGUAAAAUUUAACGGAAAGUAUGAAGGGUAAAUAUAUAAUGUAUGUAUUAGUUUGAAAUUUUUUGUGAUAUUAACUCUUAUUAUUAUUAUUUUCAUAUUUUUCAUUAUUAUAAUAAAAUUGGCCACAUACAAGAGAAAGCACGUGAUUGGAAGUGAUCGAUGGAAUUUUUUUUAAUCGAUAUUAGAUUAAGUGCAUUGCAACUUCUAAAACUUCCUUUACCAAAAAAAAAAAAAAUUCUAAAACUUAUUAUAAAAAUGCAAAUGAGUCAUAAGACUUUCAAAAAAUACAAUCAAAUCUUAAAGCCUGUUAAAUUAAUGCAAUCAAGUGCUAUUAACUCCGUCACGAAAAAUGCUGACGUGACAUUCAUUAUUAUUUCCUUCCUCAAAUCUUACUUACAUUAGAUUUUAAAUUAAAAGGGGUAAAAGAAAAGCACCUUCGUAGGGCCGGAGUUCGCUGAGGCUGGGUGAGUUUGUUUUAUAGGCUGGUGCAGCAAUUUAUUUCAUCCAGAAGGAAAGAAAUGGGGCACUUCAUGGAGGAGGAACAUCUUCACUUGACAGAAUUAUAAGCAAUGUUCAUUUCUCCAUUAGAGUGCAGAUGUCCUCCUUCAUUUAUGUUGAGGAAGAAGGCAUUGCUGCAAGAUGAUGAGGAGCUUUUGGAGGUUAUGCAUGAUCACUCCAGUGCAGAUUUUUCACAACGAUCGCGGCGACCACAACCCAUCGGCGAGGACCCUAUGGCCCUUUUCUUGAUUUUUUUUUUUUUUGAGCUCCGGCUCUUUUUUUAAAUAAAACCUUAGCAUUUAUUUAUUUUUUAAUCUAAUUUAAGUAAGAUAUGUUUAAAAAAUAAUUAUAAAAAUGUCACGUAGGAGAAAGAAAAUAAAGAAGAAAAUGACAUGUCGGCAUUUUUAAUUUUCAUAGAUAACUGAAUGUCCCGAUUGCAUCAAUUUGAUAAAUUUUAAAACUUGAUUAUGUUUUCUGGAAAUUUUAUGACUGAAUUAUAUAUUCGUAAUAAGUUUUAAAAUUUCUAGUACACCUAUCUUUAACAUAAUUUCAAGCAUGUCCGUCAUUGAUAAAAGAUUGGGCAAAAUAAAUUUACCUCAAACUCACGCUGAAGGCAAAAAUAGCUUGAUUAUUUAAUUGGCUAUAGCUGGAAAAAGAAGAUGAUAAGAAAAAAAAAAAGUCGACGUAAUUUCAUAUGGAUAUAAGGAAGCAAAUUGCUAAAAUCGGAGAAAAUUUAAAUAAAUAAAUAAAAUCUAAAUCGGCAACGUUUCGGGGAAAUGCAUGAUGGAGUCACAUUUCGCGGAAAAUGAUGUGCUGCAGACAUAUAAAAAAAAGAGACGCACUCGUUACAGGAGCUUGAGUUCGUUGAUGAACUGCUGAUUCUCUCUCUCUCUCUCUCUGCUCUCUGCUGCGCUUUUUCAGUAACCAGACGUUCUCCUACAUCUUGUUGAGCUCCAGAAAGGAGAAGGGAAAAGCCAUGUGGAAGCCAAAGAGAGCUUUGCCUCCCUCUUCUUCUUCUUCUUCUUCAGGUCAACCAAGUCAACCCAAGAGGCUAUGCGUCCCUCCGAUCGAGUAAGCUCGCCCUACCCUCCAAACGUUUCGAUGCUUGGUUCACUGUUUGAUGAUCUUGCGUUAGUUUUAGCUUUACUUGAGGGAGAUUCAAUGAAGGGUUCUUGAGUUGACGAUUCUUGAAAUGAGAGAUAUGGUGAAAGCCCGCCAUCGAUAAGCUUUUGCCUCAUGACCAUCCUAAAUCGCUUUCGUUCAGUUCUUUGUUGGUGGGUUUGUGCUGUUGCUCAGAUGCGAAGUACUAAAGACCUCGAAUGUCGUGGUCUCGCAUCUGUUUGGGCCACUCGCUGUACUUCCUCCUUAUUUGAGCUGAAUUCUGUUAGAAUCAUUUAUCUAGCAAGUGAGCUGUUAUCGUUACCAGGUUAAUUUGCUAUCCUGUCGUCUAAAAUAUCCUAUCUGGCUUGUACUUUUGUGCUGCUUGUAAUUUUGUGCUGAUGUUCAUGCAGUCGAGCAUGGAAUGGGUCCGAAAUGAAUCCCGUGCCGAGUUGCUGUUUGACUUGCUGUUUGACAAAGGAGGAUCUGCGGAGUAUGGUAAGAUGAGUAAACUAGCUAAGUUGGACAUGCGAAAUACAGUCCUUAUUAUAUUUCAAUUCCUUAUCUCUUUGAUUAGAAGUGGUUAGACGCGUGAGAAAUUGCCGUUGAGAUGUAUAGAGAAUUAUUGGUUGAGUGGUGAAAAUGACCCGCUGAAUGUUCUAGGAUUUUCCCGGGAAGCAAUUGCACUAAGAACAUGCUUUAGGCUUUUCAUGUUGUAUUGGGCAGUAUGGAUCACAAAAAAGAUACAAAUUUUCGAUGAAGUGCCCUAGACAUAACUGUCGCCUUGAAUCCUGGAAAAUGUGGUCAAUGACCUUUUGAAUGUAGGAGGAGGAAAAUGAAGAUACCUGUGAUGUGAAACUUGAAUGUGAUGAUUAUGUGACAGAUGGCUCUUGCUUAUGUAAUUAUUUGCUAUUGCGUUCUUUGCUGGACAGUUCAAAGAAGAGCUGGAGCGUGCUAAAUCUGACUGGGCCGAAUAUUUUCAAAGGUGAUUAUAUUUCAUUUGGUUUGUUGGCAGUAUCAUAUCUGCAUGAACUGAUUUCUGCACAAAAAUUUCCAUGUCUAUUGUCUCACCAUAGUAUUAAUGCCAUAAAUCCAAAUUUCUGUUCCCAAAGUGUAAUACCUGCGCAUACCUUUUUCUGUAAAUCACUGAAAGGACGGUGCUUUGGAGAUAGCAACUAAUCAACAUUUCUUGCUUCUGUUAUCAAAGCACUGGAUAAAUUUGUAUUCCAGCUUUAUGUUGACUUUUUAUGUCGAGUUAGAUUAAGGAAUGCAUUUGAUGAGGCUGGUAUUUAUGGUAUAUACAGUAAUUAGAUCUGACAUUCAUUUGUACAAGUAACUAAAUGUCAAGGGUUUUUGUCUUUUUGUUAUGAAUAAGUCCACAAGACAGCAGUUGUUCAUGGUAUCAAUUUUUAUGGUGUAGUUGCAUCUGGAAUGCUCUCAAAGAUUUAGUGCCACAGAUGCGCUCAGAGAAUGAUUCUCAGAGAUUGGUAAGAUAAACAAGUUUAUAAAAUUUCUACUUUUUCAGACAUAUCUUCAUCAACACUUCAGGUAUGAGUUGUUUAUCUGCAUGUCAUGAAGUGAUAGAAUGAACUUACUAAUUGCUUUAUUCUGACAGUUUUAACAGCAUUCAUCGAGCACAAACUUCGCACGAUCUCCUUUGUCUAUAAGUAAAUAUUCAUUUCGUUGCGCAACCUGUGGAAAGAAAAAUAUGGGAAGGCCUAAUUUCCAUACAAGUCUGUUACAGCAUAAUGUCCCACAUAGGCAGCCGAAAUUGAGGUGCCAAACCUUCUUGUCAAUGUGAACUCUUGGGGAAGAUCAACCUGUUAUCCAUAGAGUAACUUAUAUCCGUUGAGUGAGGGCCUUCCACUCCAUACUGUCCACUUACUAGGGCCGACUUGCAUCCCUGCUCAGUCUGACGGUGUAGAUNNNNNNNNNNNNNNNNNNNNNNNNNNNNNNNNNNNNNNNNNNNNNNNNNNNNNNNNNNNNNNNNNNNNNNNNNNNNNNNNNNNNNNNNNNNNNNNNNNNNNNNNNNNNNNNNNNNNNNNNNNNNNNNNNNNNNNNNNNNNNNNNNNNNNNNNNNNNNNNNNNNNNNNNNNNNNNNNNNNNNNNNNNNNNNNNNNNNNNNNNNNNNNNNNNNNNNNNNNNNNNNNNNNNNNNNNNNNNNNNNNNNNNNNNNNNNNNNNNNNNNNNNNNNNNNNNNNNNNNNNNNNNNNNNNNNNNNNNNNNNNNNNNNNNNNNNNNNNNNNNNNNNNNNNNNNNNNNNNNNNNNNGCUUUAUCACCUAAAGCUAAAUCAUAACCAUUCUAAAGCACAUGAAAAAAAUUUCAUGGACAUGGAAUGGAAGGGGAAAAUGAAAAUGCUUAGGAUUGAUCAUAUGAGUUUUAUAGACAACUGCUGUUUGGUAAAAGACAGUGAAUUCAAAUAUGCAUAAAGAACUAAGCUCAAUAAGGUGUUUGAUAAGUUGUUUUUAGGAAAGAGCCACAGCAUAGGUUUUCCAACUCCUUUUGAUGGAAUGGAUUGGUUUUGUAUCCCUCCUGCUUCAUUUUUUGGAUGUCUCCAACUUUGGCAAUUCUGCUGUUGGUGGUUUUGAACAGAUGGAAGCAGCGGAGCUUGUAAACAUUCAUUCUCCCCAACGUGCAAGGUAUGGAUGCACUUCCCUCGUGAUGCUGUUGAGAAAGGCUUUCUGUGUAGUGUUGACAGGUUAUGCAUUUUUGAUGUUUUGGGGAAUAAUGGUCCGACCUACCACUACCACCCCAAGCAGGCAGUCUGAGCUCUCAGUGAGUGUCAUGCCACAAUGACUCGGUUGUGCACCAAAGUGUCAAUGCUCAAUUUAGAACAUAAUCCUUGUAGCUUGCCAGUGGAACAUUUUAUUUUAUUUUACUUCAUUUUUUAAAAUUGUGCAUUAUUAAACAAAUAAAACGAAAACGACGGGUCUAUUUAUCCUUGUAGUUUCCUCGGCAGUAAGACCUGUCCAAGUGGGAUGUUGGGUAUUUUGUCUCUCUUUGUCGUUACUUUUCCAAUUUUCCCUUUUUAUACACAUUCCUAUUUCUGAUGGUUGGUUUCUGGAGAGAAUGCAGGGCUAAUGCUAAUUCUACGGGAGAGAAUGAUGUGAGAGACUUACGGCUUCAAAUUCAAACCAAACUGUCAGAUUCCCUAUUUACUGGACAGAAACUAGAAGGAGUGGGGGGUGCUCACAUUUCCGUUGCCUUGAUCAAUUCAAAUACAGGGGAUGUAGUUAGAUCAGGCCUGGAAUCCUCCAUUAAGUUGGACGUCGUCGCGCUCGAAGGUGACUUCAACAAAGACGAUGAGGAUAACUGGACCCAAGAAGAGUUUGAGAGCCACGUGGUUAAGCAACGUGAAGGAAAGAGGCCGCUUUUGGCUGGAGAUCUCGUAGUGAAGCUCAAGGAAGGUGUUGGGGAGAUGGGAGAACUGAUAUUUACUGACAAUUCCAGUUGGAAUAGGAGUAAAAGAUUCAGGAUAGGGCUUAAAGUGGCAACGGGUUGUUGUGGGAACACACGAAUCCGAGAAGCAAAAACAGACGCCUUCCAAGUCAAGGAACAUAGAGGGCAAUGUAGGUCCUUCAUAGUCUUUCUACAGUAUAUAAACCUUACCCUUUAUGACUAAACAUAAACAUGAUUUUGGACAUCCUGAGUCUUCAAUUUUUUAAUUUAGAGCUUCAUUUCGUGUGGACCUUUACAACUUGAAAGAAAAUUCUGAUAAACAAGAAGCAAUCGGUUUGAUUGUUAUUAGUAAAUGUCGACACUUUAAAUCAGUUUCAGGGAGAGAUUGCAAGACUGUUAGAAGUUUUCUUCUACAAAUUAAUCUAAUAGUGCCUGGGACCUUAUUGUAUAUGUGCUCUUCAUUUUACAGCAUACAUGAAACAUCAUCCACCCGCAUCUGACGAUGAGGUUUGGAGGUUGGAGAACGUUGCCAAAGGUGGGAUAUCUCACCAAAAUCUGAGUGAUGCUGGAAUAUAUAAAGUGGAAGACUUUCUACUGCAACUGUUCACGGACCCCAAGAAACUGAGAGAGGUAAGCACUUAGUCAAUGAUUCCCAAUUAGGGCUUGAUUGACUGCCAAGAAUGUAAGCCCUGUGUGUUCACUCAUUAUAGAUUCUUGGAAAGAGCAUAGCAGAGAAGAAGUGGGAUAGCCUGAUACGCCAUGCAAAGACUUGCAAAACAAAGUGGAAACUUUACUUGGACUAUCCUGAUGGCGUGACGAAGCAUGGUGUUGUAUUCAACACUGAUGGUCAACCAAUCGGCCUAGUCAAAGACAGGGAAUAUUUUGCUACUCCUGGACUUUCUGCCCAAGAGAAGGUAAGUAACCAAGGUGUUCCCACUCAGUUUUGUCAAGCCAGUUCACUCGCUUCACACCAUCACGGGGAAUUUGAAUAAUUUGGCCCAUAUUUUCUAUGUAAUCACUAUUUUGAUGUUUACUUGUAGCUGUGGCUUAGUAUGUGUUAGAAUUGAUUAGAGAUAUGGAAACUUGAAACAAGGAGUUGGUCAUCUAGAGGCUUUGCUUUUCUUUUCUUUUCUUUUCUUUUCUGAUCAUAAAAGUAAAAUGAAGUUCCUGUGGAGAGAAUAAAAAGAAAAUAUAGAUACUACGUUUAGAUCAUAAUAGAGACCUUCUAUUAAUAGAGUGAUUUUGGGGUUGCGCUCUUUGUGAAACAAAGUUGAGGUUAGUGACCUUGUAAAUUUAAGUGGCCUUCUGCAUUGAGUAAGUUGAAGACCACUUUCAGCAGUUAAUUCGGUUUCGUCCAUGAGAAUCUGAGGCACUCAUCAACAAAUUGUAGUUUGAAUGAUUAACACAUUCCCGUCACAACCAUUACUUUCCAAGUUUAUAACUAUCGAGAUCUUAAUUACUUGCACAAUACAUAUUGAUGCGUGCUUUAUUUCUUCACUGGUCCUUUCUCGAUCAACUUUGCAUCUUUACAUUGAGAACCCUUGCCUUGAUUGUACUCUGCAUUACAUGUUUUAAACACCUGACUUUAGGUGGUAGAGAAAUGGGCAGAUAUUGGCAUAAAGUGAAUUGUGGUUCUUUCAAUAUUGUUCUUCUUCCUCUGUGCUGCACUCACGUACUAAUCUGAAUACAAGUUCAUUCAUUGGAAUGCAACUUUACUUGCCGAAAAAAGUAGUUGCUUGAAGCCAGAAUGUUUACCUGUCAAUAGUGGAGAUAAAUACUUCCAUUAGUCCUGCUUGAGCAAUGUACAAGUGUGUUUCUCCCAGGAACUUGGAGAUGCAAUCGUGAAAAAGGCCUUGGCUAACUGGAACGAUGUGAGAGAGUUCAGUGGCGAGACAUUUUCUGAUUCAAUGCGGAACAAUAGCUCAAGCUCAUUUUCAUCUCAAGUCUCUGGUGGACAAACUGAAAAUCUCGACCAUGUUCAACGUUAUUUGGCUCCACCAGACUUUGCUGCUCCAGUUGGUCCGGUUGCUUCUCAGGCAAAUGUGAGCUCCACUGCUGAAGGUACGUGCUCUAUAAAACAAAACUGUCUCUCCCUUUAAGCACAUACAAAGAUGUGGCCUGUGAAAUUACAAUGAAAAUAGGACUUUCCACUUGAUUGUUGAGCUUUAAUAUAUAAAAGCAUUGUGUACCCGAUCCUUAUGAUUUUGGGUUCCAAAUCAUAUAGAGACGUUUGUUUGUCCAGCUGUGAUUGUUGCAACAUGAGCCUCAUUCAAUGCAAUCUAUCCAUUUGGCCAAAAUAUGUAUCCAUGUAUGUAUGCAUGUAUGUGUUCUGUCGGAGCAAUUGAAAAGCAACUAAAAAUUUAGUUGGUAACAUGUGUCUUUUUUGAGAGGGGGAUUGGGGGAGGGGGAGGGUGGAUACUCGCGAACACCUUCAAUUAGGUGAUACUAANNNNNNNNNNNNNNNNNNNNNNNNNNNNNNNNNNNNNNNNNNNNNNNNNNNNNNNNNNNNNNNNNNNNNNNNNNNNNNNNNNNNNNNNNNNNNNNNNNNNNNNNNNNNNNNNNNNNNNNNNUCAAUUGAAGCACGUAAAGAUUACAAAGAUCAGGGGCAAGAAAAAUUAAGAGAUGUGCAGCGUAAGAGAAAAAAAAAAUAGCAGCACUUUCCAUGAUAUCAGAAUAGUAAAAGCUCAUAACCAAUCAUUGCAAGAAUUUUUGUAAGCUCGUAGACCAGUGCUUACGUCGGCCUCUGUUUAUGAACCACAUUAAUGUCUAAGUUCUUUCUCCAGGACUUAAUGCAAUGGCUUUGGCGUUGCCAGUUCAGCCAUUAAAUACCAAUUCUGGAAACUCCAUGAAGAUUUCAGUUGAUGAAAAUUUUCGUCCUGCUGCAUAUCAGAUCAUGUCUGCAGACCGCUUGAAUGUUCAGAUUCCUCCAGGAUAUCAUGGUAGUACUACUGCUGGAUUGCCAACACGGCCCCAUGGUAUCGAUUUACCAAAUGCCGUGAAUAGCCAAGUGAUCAAUUCUUUGAGCCAAAUGGUCUAUACAGGAUAUGAUCAUGUUCUUCCCUCUGAACCAUCCUAUGCCUUAACUUCAAGCUUCCAAUCUAGUAGGACACUUGCUCUUCCUGAAGGCAAUCACAAGACGGAAAAUAUCCAAUCAAUUGAUUCAGAUGAUAAUUGGUUGCAAUGGUUGGCUGAUGACCCAUUAUUUGAUAAUGGUUAUGUUAGAGGUACCGGCAGAGGUGUUAUUGGCUGGCUCAAGAUAAAGGCAGUGUUCAAGUGGGGGUACUUCAUCAGGAAGAGAGGUGGCAGAAUUGUGGAGUUAGACCAACCACUGAUCGAAGUCCAGGCUUGUUCAUAGUUCUUAUGCCGCUUUAGGGAAAGAUGAUUCUCUGUUUACUUCUGAGAGAAUUGAUGGUAUUUUUUUCUUAAACGGUGGUUAUAUUUCAUUGAUUCUAUAGAUUCACCUGUAUAUAGAACAUCUAUGCUGAACGCCUUCUUAAGCGACUGAUUGUUUCAUCAUAAAGUGUCUUAACUCAAUUCUUUCAACAUCUUUCUUUAGAAAAGUUCUCUGGUAUAUCACAUGUAACGAACGCAAGGUUAUAUCAUUCGAAGGGUGUACUUGGAUUCUACACUUAUUAUGCAUUAGAUUUGCGACCAAAUCCAAGGAGUCCCAUGUAAUAAGUCCUGCCUACUGCUGCUAUCCAGUGCCAAUGCAGCUCUUUUCCGGAACGCAUACACAGUCAAGCUUUGAUGCUAAGUUCCCUCGUGCUCAUUUUCCCGGCCUCCUCUUCUUGUUUUCUCGGUCCUCAAAUUUUUUUACUAUAACGAGCUUUUAGGCAAAGCAGCUCAGGGUUAGUUUAAUUUAAUGUUGGUUCUGCACUGGAAUUGUAACCUUAUAAAAUAGGAUUAAGUAUCGAGAUCUUUCAUCUUUAGUGUGUCAUUCCACAAUUCCUCCACUUCCUGAACUAUUUAAACUUUAUAUUCCUGCAUGUUUAUACAUCAUUAAAUUUAUUGGCCAAGUGAUAUUCUUGGUUAAGAAAACGCAAGUCCAUUGAAAAUAUUGUAGACAUAAUCUCAUAAUCCUAAACCUACCAUUUAUUUGCAGAUUCCAAAGCUCUAGGACUUGAAUAUGAUCAAUGUCCUUUAAAACCACCUUGAAACUAUAUAUCUAGCAGCUUGUCAUGUUGAUUAUAUUGAUCCCAAAGGGCAGCCCUUCCACGCAAGAAGGUUUUUUGUGCAUCAGAUUGGAUGCAUCACUUAAUGGUGACGUGUAGAAGCAAGUUAAAUUUAGGUGAGAGAUUUCAACACUCCAUUGCAAAGUUCGAUGGUCGAUUACACUGAGUGAACCACUCAACCCAAAAUAUAAAUAAUCUACACCAAGCAAUUUGUUCUCUUAUACAUGAAAGUUAUUGUUUAUAACAGAUGAAGCAUAAGCUUGGUACUGUCAAAUGGGUCUCAAAUCUUGCAGCAAUACCACGGAGACGAUUGCCACCACAUUGAAGCCAUGGCUCUAAUUAAUAGACAAAUAGUUACAUUUUACUCCAAUUUUCUCUUCAACAAAUGCCCACCUAGCAGAAAAGGCACAUGGGAGGUAUAAAUUAAGACUCCAAGGACGGAGCCGAAAAGCUUCAGUCACAAAAGCCAAAAUCCAUUGCUUCUCACACCGAUGUCUGCAGCUUCGGAGAGCAGAGGUCCACCCACAGGAGCAACACGAGCAUAACCACCACAAAAUCUUGAACAGACAGUCAUUCUGAAUCAGAGAUUUCAUCUUCAUCCUCAUCCAGUAUGUAGACCAGGGCCCGUUUUCUUGCAGCUAAAACACAAGCCACACCUCUACUUGCUGUCGCCAUAAAAACAUUAACUUGAUUUCAGUCCAGCAUUUCUUGAAUAUAUGGCCAUGACUAACGUGAUGUUUAGAUACCUUUGUUGGGUAAAAGCAAAAGUACAACACAUGCAUUAUGCUAAAACACAGGCGGGGAAGCAAACCUUGCUGCCCAGGGAGGCUAUGGUAUGCAUGUAAACUAUGAAUGCUUUACAGUAUCUUGCUACACUAGAUAUCAUGAUAGUAUCUAUCAUCAUGAACAUGUACAGGUUCUCAGUCAGUAACUAGACCGCAGUGAACCUACCAUAAGAAGAAUAUUCUCUGUACUUGUGUGGCCUCUAAAGAUUCACCUUUUUUGCACUUUGACCUCUCAAUAGAUUUAAAUUUAGGGGAAAACCUGAUACAUUAGUAUAUUACUUCUUCAACUGAAAAAAUAUUCUUCUUUGGAGCAUAAGUUUGCACUUCUUCAAACUGUGGGAACAAACAUGAAGUGGUCCAUUAAAGAGACAUAUUGUACUUAAGCCAGUCAUAACCAGUCAUAUUUAAACUUAUGAGUAGGCUGUUAAGUGAAAAUGUAGUAAGGAGCAUGGACAGGAUUUAUUCAGUCCACUACCUAGUCAACAAGAUGGAAUUGUUGCAAACACUCGCAAGUUUAUCAAGCAUUGAUACACAAGGGAAAUAGUAUGGGCAACAACAAGUUUCCAAACAUCCAAAAAUGCAGAUGGACAUGGUAAGAAGCUCAAGGAAAAAAAAUUCAGGACUAUAAAAUUGAUGGCAUGACAAUGGUUUAAUCCUUAGCUCAGUUGUAUGGUGGUGUCAAAAAUUCUUACCACUAACUGAGAAGGGAGGAACAACAGUAUGGGGAAUGCUGCGAAUCUUCUCAUUCUCCACAUCUAGGUGUAAUAUAGAGUCCUACAUGCAUAGUUUCACUGUGUUAAUGUUUCAGGAGUGAGAAUAAGAUAACCAAGCAAAAAAUGUUCUCACAAAAUAGAAGCGAAAAUGGCACUUCUUACCUAUUAGUGACAUUCUGACCAAAAAAAUAAAAAAUCAAUUAGGGACACCACAUUCUUAACAUACAUACAGGUAGAAGGCUUUAACUGCCAAGAUAAGUUGGAACUUUUGCAGUUAUGGUAAGGCAGAAAGUAAAACAUCCUUCAGAAUUCCCAAGCGUGAAAUAGCAUGUCCAUGCACAUAGGAGGAAAGACUAAGCUGCUGCUCCUCAUGCUGAUGAGGAAAGCAUAUAAAUAAAAGAUAGGAAGAAUAAAAUUCCAGUGUUUUUGAAACCGGACAAGUGGUUCAACUGGUCAAACUGGUAGGACUGUGCUCCACCAGUUUAACGGGUUUAACAUAUUGCAUGUGAUGUCAUCUGAUAGGAUACUCCACAUAUAUUAGAUUACACGUGUUCAGAUUAAUAGAUGCCUGGCUGAGUCGGCAGAGCCUCGUUGAGCACAAAUGACAGCAUUCAAGUUCUCAAGAACAUCAUUUAAUUUUCUAAAAGAUUAAGCCAAUAAGGUCAAUGAAUAAUAAUACACCACCAAAUUGAAGCAAGAAGACGCUGGAGUGAAUGGUUGGUAUGCUUGUUAGUUACAAGAGGUCACAGUUCCAAACCCCAACCCAACUCCAACACUCUCCCUUUAAGCUUUUUGAAUGCCCAGAACUGGUCCAAACUAGUUGACAGGAUUGUGGGUCAACAGUAGACAGCUACGCCUGAUAACAAUAGGGUCAAUACCACCAGUUCUUGACCACUACUGUUUCUGCUGUGAAACCAGACUGGACAAGUCUGGUUCCCGAUCCAACUGGAGCCAGUUCUUAAAACACUUAAAAGAACAGGAGUUGACUAAAAAACAAUUUCCUUUUUGCCAUCAAUGUUUUGAAUAGUGAACUGAUGCGUAUCAGAACAAACAGAACUCAGCAGCAUCCUAUACUUAUCACGAGUACGAAAUCAAUAUGCUAGCUCAGGAUCCAAGAGUUACCUUUAAUUGGUACAACUCCCAGUUAUUUGCCUGAGUGAUUCCUGAAAUAUGCACAAAUGGAAGGUCACCGGCCUGCAAGAUCAUCAUCCAGGCAUCUCCCAAGUUUUCACCAGUAUCAUUUAUCUUAUUUAGCAGCAUAACAAUUUGAAGUUCCUGUUUCAAAAUAAAAUAUAUUAGCCACAUCCACAAAUUCUUAAAGUAUGAUAUACAGAGCUCUUACCUUAUAUAGAGCCAAAUCCACACAAUGGUAACCAGAAGGGAUGCACAACAAGAUUGCUUCCAAAGGUCUUCCCUGCUUCACAUUGCUUGAGUCAUUCAUAAAUCCCCUCACUACAGCUAUACAGUUUGUAACAUCUAAAAAGGACUCGUCGGGUAUUUGGAAGGAAAUAUAAUCUGUAAACCCAACUUCCUGAGUCAGAUUACAUGAAGCAAAUUCAGAGGCAUCCUGCAGAGCCAUACGAAGAAAUGAUUAGCAUGACAAAGUAGUUGUACUCUGCACAUGCAGAUCUCCAAAUAAAAUUGUUCAGAGGGUAAAUACCUCAUAGAAGGACAGUGAAAUUGGAAUGUAUCGGGUGGAUGCUGAAACUGAUGUAAGAGGGAAUAGAGGCAAUAAAUUCUUACAACGCAUCUUUUUUGAAAUAGUAGAAAAAGGCAUUUGGGCAGCUUCCUUGAAACUGUAAAAAUUCAAAAUUAUUCCUAAUCAGUAAACAUGAGAUAUGGCAUUAUCACACACAAUAAUUAUAUGCUAAUCAGAAAGCCCAAUCCAAAAGAUCACCCAGCUUAAGUCUCCAUGUACAUUGUCAAGUAAUCAACAUGAGAUCGAAUAAGAAACACUAGAUUGUUAGGUAGAGGGUAAGUCAAAAACUAUUGUUGAGUACAGCCUCCAGAAGACAACCCCCCACCCCCAAAGGUUUCUUUCCUUUUCUUCCUUCUCUUGGUAUAGUCUCAAGGCUCUGGCCACUCAGAGAAGGAAAUAUAAAAUAUGGGUUUUAUUGUAACAGGAAUUGUCAAGAUACCUGAAUUAGCCAAAUGAGAAAUGAAUAUUUUGGCUCAACUAAAUGAUGAGUUGGGUGAAACCAAAGCACAAGGUUUUAAUUGAAGGAUUGCAAUGUUUACUAAAACCAUUUUGGACCUGGACCAUCAUACCCAAACUUCUGUUAUGCAUACAAAGAGAUCAAGGAUUUCACAUUUGGUACAAUUACAGCAAUGAGGACCAGACUUGGAGGAGGGAAAAAAUCAAUCACUUCAAAUGACAGAUGACAGCAAUGAUUUAUCCCAGAGUUCAUAUAUUUUCCACUGAGGUAGCAUGCAUAAAACACUUGGGAAUGGAAAAUCUAGAUAUAGCAUAAUUACAAAGAAUUGACAAUGAAAGAGCAACAAGACACAUUCAAAAAAGAACUUCCAUGCACGAACAAGAUUCUAUUAAAUUUCAAAUUUCCAAUUCUUUUGUCGAUACCUGUGUUCCAUCAGUUGAAACUCCUUUGCAAGUGUCCUUCGCAAACAUUUGCUGUCCCCAAAUCCUCCAAAUUGUACUAAUUCUUUGACUCUCUCCAUUGUUUCUCUGAAACAAUAAUGUGUGUAAAACAUCUUACUGACCUGACAACAUACAUCAACGCAGAAAAGCGCAUGAAAUUACAUUUGAUUUUCAAAAGACUUUCCAGUCCAAUGAGAAACAACAAUCAACCCGUCAAUUUCAAUCCCCGUUACUCUGUGGUUAACAACACAGUACUGGACCAAAAAUAACCACAGUUGAAGCCCAGCAAAGCACCCUAACUUGAGUCAACCUCAUCUCGUUGUGCUCUUAAAAGUAAUUAUGAAGACAGUAGCAAGAUGACUUAAAAUGAAGAGCCAACCCUCAAACAGGAGUCAUUUACAAUUUCAUAUCCUGAGUUUAGCAACUAAUUUGGUCACAUCGCAAUAAAGCAGGAGUGAGCCACUAGAGUGCAUGAAAAAAAUACUAGGCUUGACAGGAUACCACUCUGACAUUUAAAGCGUGACCAAGGUCCAUUACACCAUGGAAUUCGAAUCCUCUGGCUCAAAAAUGGAUAGCACAACCUAGUGAAGGGCUACAAAAAUUUGCUGNNNNNNNNNNNNNNNNNNNNNNNNNNNNNNNNNNNNNNNNNNNNNNNNNNNNNNNNNNNNNNNNNNNNNNNNNNNNNNNNNNNNNNNNNNNNNNNNNNNNGCUUCACCAAAUUUCAGCUACAAAGAAUGAAGAGAUGGCCCUCCCUUGGAAUUAGAAGGUUAGCCCACCCUUGGCAUUAGAAGGUUAUGUCAAAUUAUGAAUCCAGUCAUCAUGUCUGAAUGAUACAUAUGAUUCCAUAACUAGGGCUAGGCAAUAACAUUUUCUUAUUAGAUGAAUGAAAUUCAUUAAGAACACCAAGUAGGAGCAAAACUUCAGAUAAUUCACAAGAGAAGAAAUUUAUUAAUUCAAUGGGUAGCCAUUCUGUCAACAAUAAUGACAUGUCACAUCUCAGCCCAAGUAAAGUUAAUGUUGACUGAAAUGACAGGAAAAAAAUUAACUUUCAAGGAGUAUACAAGCCAUUUCUACUGGAAGCUUUCCACACAUGGCAAUGCCAAACGGUCCACUUGGUGACUCCAUCAGGUAUGAACAAGUACUAACUAAAGAUUCAGGGGCUCUGGGUGCCGUAUUGUAAAUUAGGAACUGGACAAGUUAGAGGAAAUCACUUACAAAUCAAUGUCAAUUUCUUCAUCAGCCUCGGAUAAAUCCAGAAGCUGCAUAACAGGAUCUUGAUCAUACAGAAACUUCAAGACACGACAACAAGUUCACUGUUGAAAUUCAUAAGAGUAAAUAGGGAUUCACCAUAAGGACUGAACCUGAUGGACAAAAGUUAGACAAACCUAUUGUAUGUUAAAAGUUGAUCACUUGGCUCUGACAUAAGUUGCUUUAUACAUUUCAGAAGCCAGCUGAAGAAAUUUGCAAACUGAAAGAGAAACAAAACCAAAACCAAAACCAAAAGUAUCAGCAACAUGCACAUUAUCAACCAAUACAAAAUGCUUAUACAACUGGCUCAAGAAUCUAGGAUCCUACCAAUAUUCUGAGCUUCUCUAGAUUUCAGUGGUCACACUGGCAAUAUUUUCAUUUUGAAACAAGAAAGAAUGCAUGUCUUCAGGGUAGUAUGUGCGAAAUUGAAAAGGCAUCAACAAACCCUAAGUUGUCCAGGUGCAAGAAGCAAAGAUUAAAAAAAGUCAUGCAAUUUCUCUUUGGCCCUUCAAAUACAUGAUGAUAUCAGCAAACAACAAUGUGAUAUUGUCAGCAUUUCAUCAUGGUCUUAAAAGGUGCAAAAUGGAACUUUGUUAAACAGGUUCAAGUCAUGUGCAAAUGCCUGGUCAACAGUAUCUUCUUCAAAAUCCCAACAAAAAAGCUCAUAUUUCAAAUAUAUAAUGCUAUUCGACUUAGAAUGAUAUGUCAUUCUGAGCACACAAGAUCUUGUGUCUUCUAUCCACAAGUAGUUCAACUCCAUGUUUAAAAUUUAUGAAUAUAGUGUGACUAAAGACAUGCACGAUGAGAGACGGGCAGGAUUUUAGAAAAUAGUAGCAAACAGGAGGUAUCAAGAAAUGUAGAGAAAUCAUAACAAAGAUUGUAACAGGCUACCUGCUGCACAACAGAGGAAAGCACCCUUAUGAAUCGCUCAACCUGUACAAGCAGCAUUCCAGCCUUUUCUACUGCAUUGUCCACAAGUGUCUCAUCCAAACCAAUACCCAGGUAACGAGAGCGCCAUCUCGAAAGACCCCUGAGCUCACCCAUUCUGAAGCCAAUAAUUUCUACAGCAGGCUGCUAGGUAAAUUAACAAUGUAANNNNNNNNNNNNNNNNNNNNNNNNNNNNNNNNNNNNNNNNNNNNNNNNNNNNNNNNNNNNNNNNNNNNNNNNNNNNNNNNNNNNNNNNNNNNNNNNNNNNACACUCAUGAGGGAUAAAGAUAACAUCGAACAUAUAAGUUAAAUGCUAAACAGCAAUAGGAACCAUCGAUGUUUAAAUUUUUUGAAUGAAAAUGUUUCACACAGCAAAUGGCCAUUACGAGCCAUCCUUAUCUUUCAACUGCAAACUGUGUUUGAAUUACACAGCAUACGCUAGAUUCUCUGACAAAUAAAAGUUAUCUUGGAAAAAUCAUUAAGAAAAUGGAGCCUAGUCUGCCAUGCAAUUCAUGCAAGCAGGCUGGAAGUUUGGAAUGUUUGUGUGAAAUGAUCAAAUCCUGGAAAAUGGAGCCUAGUCUACCAGCCUAGUCUACCAUCCAAUUCAUGCAAGUAGGCUGGAAGUUUGGAAUGUUCGUGUGAAAUGAUCAAGUCCUGCCCAAAGGGGGAAGGAGAGAGAGAGAGAGAGAGAGAGAGAGAGAGAGAGAUCUUAUUUAUGUGAUAGUUGUGGACUAUAAACACAAAGCUGACAGGAAUUCUUGAUGUUUUUAAGGAGACAAAGCCCCAGCCCUUGUGCUGUUAGCUUGGAAAAGGGUCCCUUCUUUAAAACAUUCAAAUAUCAAACUACAUCUCUAUCCCAUAGCUUACGCUUUUUGAUUAGUUAGAUUUGGUCCCACAAAAUUUUAUGUGGAAUUAGAGGAGGAGGUUUCAGGCUUAAAACUCACCUUGCUACCUAUUUACCUCCCCAAUUAUCAAAUUUCUAUCCUUCAAUCUAAGGCCAAGUCUUAGCCUACGUGAGAGGGGGAGCAUUAUAGCAAUUAAGUACCACAUCUUUAUUUGAUAGAUAAUCUUUUAGAUGACUUGGCAAUUGUUCCACAAAAUUCUACUCUGUCGUGAAUGCACAUUUUUAGUAAACAACAGGAGAAAGGAGCCCCAAAGCAUUGAUACAGACCAUGGAGUUAAAGAAAGUUCAUAAACUUUCAAAAGAAAAAAAUAGGCAGGUUCCUACAAAAGAGGAAAAUUGUAUAGGAGCUGUAAAGGAUAGAUAUUUGGAUAACCACCAUAUUUUUUUGGCAUUGUGGUGGCAGUUCUUUAGACAGUAAGUCCUUUUUUGAAUUAUCUUAGAUAAAAACGAGCUUAUGGGUGGUAAUUUGUAUAUAAGAGGAACCCCAUGAUGCUCUUCAAUAGAAUUACAUAUCAAAAAAGUAAAAAGAAGAGAGUCUAUAACCUUAAAGAAACUAACAGGAAACAUGAUUUCUCACCAUAGUGAUAAUCAACAAGAAUGUGCAUUGUACAAGAGAGUCCUGAACCCAGGAGAAGGAACCGAUCUAAUUAGCAACAGCCCUACAGUGUGCAUGUGCAAGUGCAGACACCUGUGCAAGCACAUGAUCGCAUGCAUGUGCUUGGGCAAUGCACAUGUUUACAACACACACAAAAUUGCCCAUAUGUAUGGAGAGAGAUCUGGCAGAGAAGAUAUUGGAUAUAUAUUUUCUUAUAGAUGAUAAAGGAUUUUAAUUAAAGAAAAAUUUUUAACGCAUCAGUUUACAAGGAUAAAACAAAAGAAAAACAAACAAAAAUAAAACAUCAGAAGACCAUAUGAAAUCAGAACAUGAUGCCCAAAGCCAUUUAAAAGGUACACCACCAAAACUAUCCAAGAUUUCAAACCCUACUUUUUUGUUGCUUUCCUUCCAAAGGCACCACAAGCAAUAAGGGUGUGGCGCUACAAGACUUCUUAGAAAUUGAUCCUCCUAAAUAGGCAUUCCAACAACUAAAAAGCGGAUGGCAUGUCUAGGCAAGGAAAUGAUCAUUUGGGAUAUUGAGUUUGUGAGACAAGCCCAAGAUUGGGAGUUUUUGCCAUCUCUUUUUAUGUAUUAUAUUAUUCCAAGAAUUCCGUUGCCUCUGAGGAUGCUUUUGUGUGGAACGAUGAAAAAGAUGGAAUCUUUCCAGUAAAGUCUCACUACAAGCUGCUCAAUAGGGAGAAAGUUGGUGGUAGAACGGAUUUUCCUCAAAAAGUGACUUGGAAAGUGAGGGAUCUGAUUAGAGUUUGGAAAGUGAGGGUACUUAUUAUAGUUUAUCUAUUUGCCUGGAAAGCAACUUGGGAAUAAAUCCUCACUUUAGAUAACCUGCAACAAAGAGGCAAGUACUGGUUAAUAGGUGUUUCCUCCGCAAGGAGGAGGCAGAAUCCGUGCAACAUCUCCUCCUUCACUGUUCAUAGACAAGAAUGGUUUGGACAGUUUCCUAUGCUUGCACCAAAUUAUCUUUGGGUUAUUGGAGCUUUUAUGGAGCAAGAACUCUGGGCUUGGCAGCACGUUUGUUUAUAGUACCACAAGAAAAGAAGGAUUAACUCAAUUCCUCUAUCCGUUUUUAGGCUCAUUCGGAAGGAGCUAAACAAGAGAGCUUUUGAUGGAGAGAGAUCUUCCGUUUGUUGAAAUUUGGCUUAAAGUCGUACACUUUUGGUAUAGUGGAGACUGCAUAUGAAUCUAAAUGACUUGAUUAAUAUGGUUGAUGAUUUAUCUUGUAUUUGAGCUCACUUUUGGUUUUGAGAGCUGUUCUGCACAAGGCUUUAAUUUUGGGCACUUUUCUUAUAUGGGUUUGCAACCCCUUGGUGUCCUAUAGUUGAACUUUUGAUCUAUUGAAAGAAACUUAACUUUCCUGAGGAUUUUUAAGUUAUUCCAACUAUCCUAUAUCACAACAUUGUAUGUAAUCAUGUAGUUUCAAGUACAAACACUAACAUCUCACAUAUGAUUUUGUGCUAAUCAGCAUAACCAUCAUCCAUGUAGCAUGUUUUUAUUGAGCACAAAAACGCUCCAUUAAGUCAUAGUUGCAGUUCCUUUUAUGAGUAAGAUUAUCGUGACAAAAGGGUGCCUCUACAACCUAAAGUCAAGAUCUAAAAAGUUCAAGAGAAACUCUGGAUCCAAAGAGAUACUAACACAUUCCCAAAACAUUUAGGCAAGUGUAUUACAGACAUCUAAUAUAAAGACCCGCAUACAAAACUCGUUUGAAGUGGUAAAAUCCAAGCAUUUAGGCAAGCGUAUUACAGACAUCUAAUACAAAUCUAUUUUGCAUGUGAGUAAGUAAACCAUUCUCAUUUACUAGGACAUAACAUCUUUAGCAUUACUCUGCCAAAAGAUGGUGCUUAGUCAAAAAAAAAAAAAAUAGCAACCUAAUUGGAAAAGUUGGUAAAAAAUAUAAACUAAUGAAUUCUCACAUCUAAGUACAUGAACAAAUUGUUGUGGACAGAGGCUCUCAUAACCAAGGUUAAGCAUCACAGAUGAGCUCAAUGUUGGCUCAAUUCACUAUCAUCUGAGCACCCGCCAGUUAUUUUAUCUGCUCAUUUUCUUCUGAUAACUGAGUUUUCAUUCUCAAUUUUAGCCUGUUGACAGUAAUAAUAAAAUUAAGAAAGCAGAGUUUCACUUACUACAUCAAGUCCAAGGAGUGGAAUUGGUAGUAUAAAUAAGUCUUCAACUUCUCCUAGGCUCAAAUAGUGCUAUUAGUAAGUAAACAGAGUUCAAUAUGAUUUAUUGAUACAAAGAUUGACUCCUGCAAAGAUCGAAGCAGGCAAUAAAGUUUUUCCUUUUGAAACAGAGAACAUAUCUCUAUACCUGUUAAUUAUAACGUAAAUGCAUAAAAAUUUCCAUACCCAUACCUCCAUUCACAGUAUUCUGAAAGCCCAAACUUAGAUCAAGUUCAUAUUCAAACCAAUGAUUAUGACCUAUAAUUUCUAUUAUACGCUUACAGUAGAGAUUGCCAACUGGUUAAAUCAUAAUUAAAUCAGAUUUUACCUCACCCUUUCCAGCCACUCAAUGUUAGUAAUCCAUAUCAUUGCAUAUGAUAGGUUCAUAUAAGAAUUCAACAUCAGGAUGCUUUGAAAGAUAUGGUGUGUCUCAAAAUGUGUGAAGCAUAACUUACUAUAACAAAUUCCUACAUCUAUCUGAUCACCAUCCAAGACUGUUCUGUGCGAUGCUUAAAACUCAAUAAUUUAUCAGAGAGAAAGGCCAAAUGCAAAGGUAAUAACGUGCACCUGCAGAUGAUUGAGGACAACCAGCUGGAGUUCUUUUCCAGCACCACAGACAACUUUUGAUACACGCUUCAUACCCUACCAUUGAACAAACUAGCAGACUAAGAUUAUAAAUACCAACCAAAAAGAACAGAAGUCCUAUACCGACACCAGAACUUAAAAAAAACCAGCCGCACCACUUCACCCAGAGAAUUAACAAGAAACUGAUGGACUGCAGGACUGGUCCUAGCACCACCUAGAAGACUCAAAAAUUCCUCCUGAGGAGAAGAGUCAAGACCUAGAUAAGCAAACAAGAACAGUUAAAUGAAGAACAAUGAAAAGCCAUCUACCGCUUUGUAUUAACAGGACCACUAACCAUGAUCAUUAAUAAGGCUUGUUAACAAAUCAAACUUCUCAUGAAAUAUGUUCAUGGCAUCAGCCCACUGCUUGUGCAUGACUGAUAAUGAUGUACGGACAACAUGAAGUAAAUCUUCAAUGUUAGAAGCCUGUUGAGCAACUUGAUAAAGUUCAUUUUUACUGCAGACAGGAAGAGAUUGAGAAUCUAAGGAGGCAUUCGGCAGAUAAAGAUUCUCAGAUAUCUGUUCUCAUUUUAUUUGAGAAUGCAAACGGUCCAGAAAAUGUGUUUGGUAACACUUCGAAAACAGUUGAAAGGAAAACUAUUAUUAAAAUCAAAAUUGGGAACUGAAGACAACUUUUCAGCGUUCACAUUCUAUGUGCAAACGUGGAGAAUAACUAAGCCUCUUUUCUUAUUGUGAUGAAAAACAAGCAAAUUCUCACAAUUGUCAUCCUUAGAACGUACAUCAUUUUCACCCAAACAAGUUUUCUGUGAUAAAACAUUGAAACCAGUUUCCACAAAAACGAAAACAAAAAUGUUAUCAAAAACUUGGCAGGCCUCUAAUUGUAGAGAACAAAAAUGUUCUCUGAAUCAUGCAACAAUGUUCAAAAUUUUGCAAAAGUAACUCCUGCAAUUUUGUCCCAUCACUUUCAACAUCUGAACUACAUUGAUUUCUAGAUGUUUCUAUGGAAAGAUGGUAUGAUACUUGAAGGUCGGGUGACAACCUUAACAAGCAUGAAUAAAAUCAUUCAGGCUACGAAGUAUGAGGCAUCAUGUAGUUCAGCUUACAGUGACUCUUGAAAGUCAACUUGGGCAUUUAAAAUUAUCAGAAGGAAAGUUCUUUUAUCAUGCAAAGUGUAGAGUAAAUUCCAAGAAAAAUGCCUCAAAAUUGCUCCAUGUUAACCAUCAGUUUCAUUUUAAGGUUGAUGAUAAUAUCCUGAAUUAAUAUGAGUUUUACUUUCCGUAAAAUCAAACAAAAUUGAUACCUCUGAAACAUAUAUCAGUGCACAUGAACAAUUUUAAUAUAAUUGUAAUACGGAGUCCAAUUACUACUGCACAAACUUAAAAAAAAAAAAACAGUUUCGCCUAAAAUUUGAAUAACACUAAAUGCAAGUGCAAUUUUACCUCUUUUGGAAUAUUGAAGUAUCAAGCACUAAGCAAUGAAAGCCAUGCAUACUAUCUCCAACUGUUUGACACCCUCUUGAUUCAACAAUGUCUUCAACAAGUUCUCCUGAGCAUGCAACCAUCAAAUGACAAAGAUCCUUGGAUAAAACCACCUAAUGAUAACAAUUACAUGGCAGUUAGCUUGCUCUGGUGAAACAUCUGACAUGAUAUCUGGAAUAAUCCAAUGACAGGAAUAAACUUACAGUAGGUACAUUUGAAGUUUAGCAAAAAGUCAGCAUCUUACGUCUAUAAAAUAUUAUCCAAGCUGUUUGACAUUUUUAUAGAAACAUGUUUAGUUACCACUGAGCUUUUACUCGAUAGUUUCUCUAUCAAAUUCCAAUAAGGUGUUCAUGAGAAGACAAUGUAUCUGAUCACUAUAACUUAAAUAUCACAAAGUGAAUGAAAUUCUUUGCUGGUUACCAAAGCAUUUUGAGCAAGAAACUAUGCACAAUUCACAGUAAUUUUUUGUUUCAUUUAGUCUAGGUUCCUUUGUUUAACUUUAAGUUUAGCUUGAUCACCAAUUGUUCAAAAAGUGUCUCUCAAGGUUUAUUUUGUAUUUUCUUUUCCUAAUGCAUGGGAAAAACCAGAGAAAAGACAAUCUAACAUCUGGUGAAGUUGAAAUAUAUUGGAAGACUAAUUAGGAAGGAAAAUAAAAUUAGUCCCAGCAGAGCAAAAAGACCUCCUAUCAUUAACCCAUUAGUUGAAGAAACAUGAAGGCUCUUGAGAGGCAACUAUGUUAGUGUACCUUCCUCACAGCCGCAUUCAGAAGUCGGCAAACGGUGUCUCUGUCCUUGGUUGUCGUAGGAAUAUCACAUUCAUGUAUAUUCUGGUGCACAUUCCCAUGCAUUACGGCAAUCACACAGCAGAAGCAAUAAGUGACUGAUUAUCAAACGAAAAUAGCAACUCAAUAUAACAAAGCAACUAUACAAAUAAAGUCGAAACAGAGAGUUAAAAAGCUUCCAAACUAAAAUGACUCGUGGAGAGUGGAACUGUGCUANNNNNNNNNNNNNNNNNNNNNNNNNNNNNNNNNNNNNNNNNNNNNNNNNNNNNNNNNNNNNNNNNNNNNNNNNNNNNNNNNNNNNNNNNNNNNNNNNNNNNNNNNNNNNNNNNNNNNNNNNGGCAACAGCACAAGUGCAGUAUAGGCACUGAUUCAACUUUUCUGAAGGCUGUUAAAUGCACUUACCUCAACACCAGACUACAGAAUAUCUACAUCACAUUGCAACUUGGAAGGCUUUAAAUUAGCAGUUCUAAAUUGUGGUUCCAACAAAACUUAGUAUUCCUGCCACUGGCAUCUUUUCAAAUUUAUAUAUAUAUAUAGACAACCCAGAAGCUCAACAUUGAGCUAAAUGAGCUACAUCAAUUUUCAUAACAAGUGAUUUCCUAUAAAAAAAAUUUAAUUUUCCAUCUAAAAUAUCUCAUCUUAAAGUGAAAAUUACCUGUUCUAGGUAAAUGAUUUUGGACUUGACUUUAGGUAGUCAACCGAGUCAAGAAAUUGUGAUCAAAUCGUCAUUGACAAUUCACAAACUUGUAUAUAGAUCUGAAAAACCUCCCACUAGGAAACCAUACUCCACACUUAUGGAUCUGGUGAUAGGCAGUGGACCCUAGGAAGUACAUUUGGGAAAGUCCCAACAAGGAAUUGUAACUAUAAGGACUGGCUCCAUGUAACUAAAGAGAUAACUGAUAGGAACCUAAAUGAUACUGAUUUGGACAAUUCUUCAGCAUGCAUUUCUAGAUUAAUCAAAUGUUUGUUGAGAAGUUCAUCAUGUUUUCACGUUGAAACAGUACUAAACCCAAACAUGCAGGAAAGUUCAGAGUACCCAAAAUUCUAAAUCUUCUAAUAGCUGCACACCCACAGAGAGAACUAUCUACACACAAGCAUACACACUCAUAGAACACUUUCGCCAACCGACGGUUGUAUAGGCUCUCUCAAUCUCCCUAAAAAAGAGCAGAAACUCAAGAGUCUAAAACAACAGCAGAAAGUCUGCACAACAGGCUAACCCAGACAGACACCAAAUUCUCCUUUAGGUGCUUCAACUGCAGUAUAGACAGAAGGAGCACUCAGGGCAAACAACAAAAGCUUUGGAUAAUUGUGUCGUAUCAAAGUCAGAGGUGUCAUCUCUGAAGUGACCAAUGGAAGUGAAAUCUAGAACUUUUACAAGAAUAACUUCACCUAGAAUAGUUGUUUAAUUAACCAGCCCAUUACUUUCAGGCAAUACUGAUUUCUGCCAUCAGAUCCAUUUAUUAAGAAAGACUGCUCUAUGAAAGCAAGAAAGGGAAGUAGUCAUCGACUGAAUCCGAUAGACUAUACUACUAUUAUUUGAUCUGAACAGACAGGAGGCUUACAACAUUUCCGAUUGGAAAGACACCAAAUAUACUGAAGCACAAAACCCCAUCUUUAUCUCCGCUGCAAAGGAUAUUGAAACAUUGCUUUGAAGAAUUUGAGAGCUCUACGAAUGAAUCUUGACCAUCGUCAGUUAAACCAGUUUCUCCAAAUACUAGUCCAGGCAUGCGAGGAACUCUUGGAGCUGGAGGGAAGAAACGAGUAGUGCAAUCUUCAAAUGCCAAAGAGUUGCCAGAAGUGUCCUAUUAAAAAAUGGAUAAAUAUCAUUCCAAUGGGGAAAAAAACAAGAACAAGAAGAUAAAUAUAACAAGAGAUUAAAGUUAAAGAGUCAACAAUUAGCAAAUCGACAACUCACAGCUGACACCAAACAUAAGUAUUCAAAAAACCUUCCAUAAAUACAUAUUGUAGCUGUUAAAUAAGAUUCUAAGUUUUAAAAAAGAAACAUUUUAGUAAACCAGAAUAAAAUAACUACUUAACUGCAAACAAAGUAUUAGAUAGAACAUGAAAGGUAUGAACAAUAAAAUAUUGUCCGUUAAGAGUCAAGAUCAAGAAGUAAGAUGAACUUUCUUAAGUUGAAAGAUGCAUACUCUAUUCACUUGGGCAUCCUCCUCCCAAUUGAGACACACCACAGCUGCUGCAUGGGACUUCAAGCUUCUUAACAGUUUUCCAUUCUGCUUAAUAUUUAUACCAAGUUAGAAAUAAGUAUACCACAGUACAUAUAACUGCUGCAAGCACUAGCAUAUAAAAAGGAGCACAAUGCAUAUCCACAGUUCCAUAAAUGGCUAGAUUGGUAAGAUAACAUUCAUAUGUAGAAAUAAGUUCUUCAAGAGCAAAACAUAAUCCAUGAAGUGGAUAAUGAUUAGUAAAUCAGUAGACGUCUUAAAGAGACCUUUUGCAGCAGCAUCAGCCAAGUUCUGAGCAAUUGUACCCAUGACCAAACAGCUAGCUUAAUGACAUAACCGGUAAUCUAUGAACUUUUCCACAGACAAGCAUAAUUGAGGCACAUACAAAUUCUGUCAUUUAGGAAUCACCCAAACUAUUACCUUCCUAAUAUGACUGAACUGGACAUAUGUCACUUUAAAUAAUAGAAAGAAACUAUUAAUUUGAUGAAAAUGAGCGUGUCAUGGAUGACUGCUUCUAUAUGCUGUCUCGGUCAUGUUUGGAUUUAGCACUUCUAAAUUAAUAUGAUUAUCUUAAUCCCCUAAUGAAGACAGUUCUGCGAGAUAAAACGGGUGGAACACAAUGGUUGGACAAAUUUUAUCCCAAGUGAGAAGCAUAUGCAUACUAAGGGAUGCCAUAUCAACAUGCUUCUUUUGCAUUGUAAAUUCACUCUUAAGUGUACUUAGAAAUAUGCAGUCAUGAACUGCAUGCUGAGCAUAGAGCAAACUAAAACCUCACAUUAGAAGGAUUGCCAUAUAUGGUCCUUCAUUUAGCAUUUUCUUCGACCUAUAGAAUGACUUUUGGCAUGCUAUCAAAAACAUGUACACAUCAGUUUUUCAGCACUUCCAGCGUUCCAAAAUCAAUCAGAUGUCGAGAAUCUCUAUUUUUCUGCAUAGGAUGAAGGAUCAUACUUGAAAACUUAUGUCAAAUGAUGCGCUUUGAAAGCCAUAUAAUCUAUUUCCGCUACUGACAUGAUAAGCAGAACCAUUUUGCCAAAGCACACAUUAACUUCCAUGAACAUCUCCCCCCGGAUUCCUUGAAUUCAAGUAAGAAAACAAUGGUGACACUAUCAACCAGGAAAUAAUAAUGACAAGAUCAUAAAUCUUGAAAGAUAUUGCAAGCGGGAAAUUUAAAUUGAAAUUGGGCAUUAGAUCUCAAAAGAGCAUAGGUCGAUUACCUGCUUUAUGUACCUUCAUUAGAAAAUGUGGAUCCCUCAUCCAAGUCGUCCGAUCCUUCAUCCCGAUCCCUCAUCCGAGUCGUACAUAUAGUAUGGAUUUGGUUCGCUACAUCUGCCAUCUGUAAUCUGAUAAUGUCGAUAAAUCCGCGUUCUAAAUAAUUCUGGAAUUGUUUUGAGUGACUUGCAUCCAAUGAUAUUCAGUUCUUCCAAAAACUCCAACCUAUCAAGGCCUUGAAUUUCGACCAAGUUUUCACAAUCUCUAGCUUCUAAUAUCUUCAAACUCUCGGAUUUUGGAAGGAGAAGCCUUUCAAUUGAAGUGCAUCGAGAGAUAUCUAGACUUUCCAAAUACUCCAAAUUAUCGAGCCCUUGAAUUUUGGCUAAGUUUUUGCAACACCAAGCCUUUAAUUUCUUCAGCAUCCCGAAUUUUGGAAGGUCUAGCCAUCUAAUUGAAGUGCACCGAGAGAUAUCUAGACUUUCCAAAUACUUAGACCCAUCGAGCCCUUGAAUUGCGGCUAAGUUUAUGCAUUCUCCAGCUUGUAAUUCCUUCAACCUCCUGGAUUUUGGAAGAUCUAGCCUUUCAAUUGAAGUGCACCAAGAGAUAUCUAGACUUUCCAAAUACUUAGACCCAUCAAGCCCUUGAAUUUCGGCUAAGUUUACGCAUCUUUUAGCUUGUAAUUCCUUCAACCUCCCGGAUUUUGGAAGAUCUAGCCUUUUAAUUGAAGUGCACUGAGCGAUAUCUAGACUUUCCAAAUACUCCAAACUAUCGAGCCCUUGAAUUUCGGCUAAGUUUUCACAACAAGGAGCCUCUAAUCUCUUCAGCAUCCCGGAUUUUGGAAGGUCUAGCCGUCCAAUUGAAGUGCACAAAUAGAUAUUUAGACUUUCCAAACUAUCGAGCCCUUGAAUUUCGGCUAAGUUUUUGCAGUUUAUAGCCUCUAAUUUCUUCAGCCUCCCGGAUUUUGGAAGGUCUAACCUUUUCAUUGACCCUUCGAUAUGUAGCCAUUCCAAAUACUCCAACCUAUCAAGGCCUUGAAUUUCGGCUAAUUUGCAGCAAUCGUCAAUAGUCAAUUUCUUCAGACCCUCGAGUUUUGGAAGGUCCAGCUGUUCGAUUGAAAGGCAGGAUUCAAUAGUCAAGCUUUCCAAAUAUAUCAAUUUGUCAAGACCUCGAAUUUCAAGUAGAUUCUUGCAAGGGCCGACACAUAAUGUCCUUAGAUGGACAAACUGUGAAACGUCUAGCAUUUCGAUAGAUCCACAAAAAGAGACUUGCAAGUAUUCGAACUUGAAGGGCGUGUUUAGGGAUUGUGGUGAUUCCAUUUCUUCAAUGUCUGUCGGUUGGGAGCAUUCUGAACUCUUUAAUUGCGUUGAUGGAAGCUCCUGAAUGCACUGGAUAAAUCCGCAACGCUCAACUCGUAGUUCCUUGAGAUGGGCUAGGUGGGAAAGCAAAGGCAAUUUGCGACUUUGACAAGUGACACCCAAAUAUGUUAAGCCGGAAGGAAGCUCCGGCAGCGAUUGGAGCUUGAAGCAGUAAAGAAAAUCAAGGCGUCGUAGGGAAGAAAGAUUAGCUAUGCUUUCUACUAGUAUCCCUUUCAGAUUUCUGCAAUAGAAAGCACGUAACUCUCGGAGCUUUCUCAGACUCCCAAUACCAUUGGGUAAUUCUUCUAUACCACUGUGAGAAAUAUCUAGAAUCUCUAGAUUCUCCAAAGACCCUAUGUCAUCUGGUAAUGCAGAAAGGGAUGGAGUAUGGAAUAGAUCGAGUUGUCGCAGUGAUUUUAAUUUACCUAUUUCUGCUGGAAGCUCCCCAAGGCAGAAACGAGGAACGGGGCGUUCGGCGCCUGCGUCGGCGCCUACCGCGAGAUGAAGCGCGUAGGACGAGCACAGCUCCAAGCGAAGGAGGCCCUCCGUGUCUUCAAUGGAAGCGUCGAUUCGCUUCAAUCCAUAACACCCCCUGAGGAUGAGAACCUCUAACUUCUCAAAAGCUGAGAGGAAGUCAGUAUUUUCCAAGGAACCACAAUACGAAAGGUCUAGAUAUUUAAGCUUCUCUGCCAUCUACGGAAAAAAGAACGAAAAAAACAAUAAUGAAUGUCGAUGGGUGAGUGUAGAGUCAUUAUGAUUCAAAAGAAAGCAUAAAAGGAGAGGAAAAAAAAAGACUUUAAUUCUUACCUUGAAAAUACUCCAUCCUCCCCAUUUCUCAUUUAUUUUACCAAAUUGCAAUUCGAGUACAGCUAAUUCCUUUACGCAAAAAUUGUUUACUUCAAAAUUAGCGCGACAAAAUGGCCAUCGAAGCCAUCUUAACUCCUCCAUUGAAUCCUUAAAAUCUCCACUUAAAUGUUCCCCAUAUAGGUGAAGGAAUCUUAGACUCGUCAAAUUCUUGAAUUGUUUUUCUGCAUAAAUUCUGCCAGUGCCUUCACGAAGAUUAAUCCCCUCAAUCUUGCCCGUUCCCUAUAAGCAAGAAUCAAGAGUCAUUAGUACUAUAUCCAACUAAAGUAAUCAAAUAUCAUUUAUUCAUAUUGUGAUUGAUGUGCAUUAAUGCAUUCAAGAGACUAGCAAUAUGUAGGUAUGAUUUCUCUUUUUAUGCCAAUAAACAGUAUUUAUAAAGACUAACAAAGUGAAGGAUGUCAACUUCCAUUUUGAAAUUUGGCCAUACAUAGUCAUAUCUAAAAGGAAUUAUGAUGUAAUGGCUUGUAUAGAGUAAAAACUUUACAACUUGUAAUCUUCUUCUUUAUGGUAUUGUAGCUUCAUUAUCAUAAUAGUUAAGACAUGCGUGCAUUUAAUCAAAUUGCAAAGUGCAAAAUCAAAAUUUUACUUGUCAAUUUUAAUAGAAUUAUACUUUUUCUCUUGAACUUUCACAAAUGCAAUUACAAUCACAUACUAAAUUAUACAAAAUAGAAUUUGAGUAAUUAUCUCUCGGACUUUUUAUGAAGAAAAAGUAGAACAUUUCUCUUUUUAAUAGUCAUUGCAUGAAGUACGCUUGAUGAUAUACAUAUACAUGUAUACACAUGCAUAUAUAUUAUAUUUAAGGAAUUUAUGUUCUUGUCUUAUUUGGUGAGUUUUAAAUCAGUCAUUGUCCUAUGAAUAUUGGUAAAUGGAAUUCCUAACGUAAUAUUACAUAAAAUUAGUGUCCCUUUCAUUCUCCACUAUGGAAUAAUGACUAAAAUUUCAUGAGAAAUGCGGGCACCAUUAGUCCUAUUAUCUCAAUUUUAACAUCUAGAGAAUAUAAUUCUAUGAUUUAUAUAUCCUAAGUAGUUAUGAUAUAUAUAUAUAUAUAUAUAUAUAUAUAUAUAUAUAUAUAUAUCAUAACAUCAGAAUUGCACAAUGCACCACCGGAUAAAAGGGGGGAAAAAACAGAUGUUCCGACGACAAAUUCACCAUCGCCACAGCCCAAAACGCAUUUUACACACCUAGAAAAAAGUAUCUUCGUUGAAGAACAAGCGAAAUUGGCAUGGAUGAAAGGAUAAAUAAAAGCGAGAAAAACCUCGGAAGCGGCGAGUCGGCAAGCAAAACUUACCCCACCACAGAUUAGGUGUUAUUACGAAGACUUCUAGGAAAAAAGAAAAAAAAAGGGUUAAAAAGUUAGAAAUAAAACUCCUUUUUAUUUCGACGCAUUCAUGACGCUUCAAAAUGGAAAUAACCAUUCUGACUACUCCAAAAGUCAGAACGGAAGGGCGAAAAUGAAGAUGCCAUGAGAUCCUGGCCAAACUGUUUUUGAUGAAAAAAUUAAUUUCUUGCCAUCGACUCUAAUAAUUAAAAUAACCAUCAAAAAGACUCGUUUGGUGUAACUUUUACUCUUCAUCUUUUGUUUUUUUCUCAAGAGCAUGCACUUUGGCUUCUUCUUUUUUUCAGUGGUAUAUCCCUGAAACUUGUUGACACGCCCAAUCGUACAUGAGUUUUUUCAUAGUUUUCUGGAAUUUGAGCAAUGUUUUGUCUUUUGACGGAAGAGCGAGAUAUUUAUUUUUGGUUUUUUUAUUAGUUGCGGCGAGCAAUCUAUCUCGUCCUCUGCUUCAGCUUGUCUAUUACUUGCCAAUAUCUUGGGAGUACCUGUUAAGUAACCAGGCUGAAAAAAUAAAUCAUAAGAAGUGGUUUUUAUUAAAAGUAUUAAUUUUACAUAAUAUGAGAGCGUGAAAAUUGCACGUUAAGUAACCUGGCUGAAAAAAAAAAAAAAAAACUCUAUAUGAAGUGGUUUUUAUUAAAAGUAUUGACUUAACAUAAUAUGAGAACAUAAAAAUUGCAGUAGUCAUCUUAAAAGAAAAACAAAGAUUCCGUGAAGAGGGCCAUUUAUCAAAUGAAAAAGUCAUAACUAGAAUUCAAGAUUUUACUAAUUAAUAUAUCAAACAAGAGAUUGAAUAUGUACAUAUAUUGCAACGGACACAUAAUUUUAUAUGAUAUAUUCAUAAUCAUAAAUAAGUUAUUAGCUAUAUUAAUAAUCUCUAAACUUACGAUUUUAUCGUAAUUUUUAGUUUAAAUAUAAAUUACAAUUUGAUAUAAUCAUAAUCAUAAAUAACUGAGUUACUCAAAUAUAAUAAAAAUAUUUAAAAAAUUAAUUGUGGAAAGUGCAAAGCAUUUUUAGAAAUGAGAAAAUUGAAGCUAUUUUUGGCUACAAGCCUACAUGGAAUAGCUAUUCCUUGGCCCCGACAGGAAUAACUAUUCCUGAUUUUAAGAGUAUAGUAAUUUCUACUCUGUUUUUUAAUCAAAUGAAGGAAUAAUUGCUUCAUCAAAAUAGAAUGGAAAUAGAAUAGUUAUUCUUGAGAACCAAAUUGUAGCAAGCUUUCACAAAUAAAAUAAAAUAAUAAUUAUGCAUAAGAAGUCAAGAAGCAAUACAGAAAGUUCACGGACUUCCACAUGUCAUUUUCUUGGAACCAGAAAUUUUGCUAUUGUACUUCACAAUGUUGUACAAGAUUUCGUUGAUACUCAUAUGUGAACAACAUAAUAAUUUGGGAAGGAUUUAGAUCUCAACACUCAAAAGGAAUCCAUGAAAAAGAAAGAAAUCUUCAACAUAAGUAAUCUACUCAGAUUAGUCAUUGCUCCCAAAGAAAUGCUCAAGUGACUAUUAUUAAUCAACUGUAAGAUUAACAGUUGGUUGUGGGUCACAAAAAAACAAAUAACAGAUAAUUAAAAAUUAUUUGGAGAUUCACUCCUUUAAGAAUAUGUGGCUAACCUUUUCUAUUUUUGGGGCCCCCCAAAGCUUUUUUUGUUAACGGGGUCCCUCCCCCCCCCCCCCCCCCCCUCCCCCUAAACUUCCCUCUCAAAAUAUUAGAAUGCCCAAUCUAUCUUCAAGACUUCUUUGUGUGGUGUGUAACUCUUCUCAACUUAAAAAAAUCGAUGGCUAGGGUGUGGCCGAAUCCUGAAAAUAAGCCAACCUUUUGUACUUGGACAAAAGUCGCAAAACCUUUCAAACAUCUAUCAAGCCUAACCUUCAGCAUCUACGACAAAGAUAACAUAACCUUUCAAACGCAAUAAAGAUAGCCCAACUAUUUAACCGUAGAACAAAAUUGACACCCAGUACAAAUUUCAUCUAUUAUAACUGUUAAAUCGCCACCGAUGCCCUACAUUGUUCAUUGUGCUAAUGUACACAGUGACUGAUGUCAACCCACACCAAAAAGGAUGUUGUGUUUUACUUUAUAAUCAUGUUAACAAUUUGUUACAAAAUUCCUGGCUUUUUGUAAAGAAAAAAAGUUUUAGUCAUGAUUAACAUGGUUCAUUGUGCAUAUCCGCACAAUGAGCUAUGUAGAAUGACUCGAGAUGAUUUAAAGUGAAAAUAGGCAGAAUUGAUGGCAGGCGUCAUUUUUGUCCCAUUAGUAAAAGGAUGAGUUUGAAAGCUAAUGUCAUCUUCAUUCCACAUUCAAAAUGCUGGAUCCUUUUAGGAUUUUUUUCGACUUGUGUAAUAUUUAUCCCAAUUGCAAAAAGUCGUACUUCUUUUAUUUGGCUGUGUACUCAUUAAUAUCCAACGAGUGAGUUAUGAGUGUGUUUCAAUUAUGCUUUAAAUGUCUUUUAUUUUUUCGUUUAUUUAGUAAGUCGUGCUAGUGCUUUGUCCUUGCUUCGCACUUGGCAUGCAUUUUUUUCAUAAACACUUCAACAAAGGAGAGUAUUGGGUGACCUCUCACGUCGCUUUGCCAUGUUAUAGGACGUAUUGUACAAGCAAUCUUUCUACAAUGUACUAUAGGUGCAACACUUGAGAAGGAUGUGGAGGAAAUUCAUCUCCUUGAUAGAUCCAAGUGGCAUUUCGAUCGAGCCUACGCUGGAGGGCCCUUCUAAAGGUUCGGCAUAAUUGUAAAAGGAAGAGGCUGAGAGUUGUGAGUGGCUAACCCAGCCUCCUUCGUCCCUUGGGACCAACAAGGGUAGCAGUACUUUUUCAAAAAUAAAGAAGGAUAUUUGGCAUUUGUUUUUCAAUUGGAAGUGGUACAUAUUGUGGUUCUUUCAGCCGCUUGUAUUUUAGAUAAUAUAUAUGAAAAUAACUUCGGAUAUUUUCAUUCAAUGUUGGAAUAAACUGAAAAGAACUUAUAUCAUUUUUAGAAGAACUUAUAUCAUUUUUAGCAAAACCACUCUGAUUUCAACUUAAGAUAAUGCCAUGGAUGGAAAACGAAAUGGAAUCAUGGAAGAAUACUGACAUAAUUAUAUCAAACUGUACAUUUGUAGUUGUAAAAUUUAGUUAUACUAUUAUAUUUGUAUAUAAAAUAUACAGCAUAUUCAUUUUUCUUUUGCUUAGUUUAGUUUGUUUUAUCAUGUAGUACGAAAGACAUAAUAAAUGGACACCGGCUUCGAACUUGUUAAUAUAUGAAUUGGCACUUGUGAUUACACGUACGGCGCACGUUGAGACAGUAAAUAAGUGUGAGUCUUUUGAUCAACAACUAGAGUCAAACCAAAUGAUGGAUUAAAAAGGGUAGAGUCGCAAUCAUGAUUAAUUCACAAAUGCAAAUACAAUCUCAUGCUUAAUUAUACAGAAUAAAAUUUUAGAGUAUUUAUCUCCUUGACCUUUAAUGUAGAAAAUAAGUAUUCCUUCCAUUCCUAUUAUGGAAUAGUGACUAAAAUUUCAUGAGAAAUGUGGGCAUCGUUAGUCCUAUUAUAUUAAUUCUAACAUAUGAUUUAUAUAUCCCGAGAAGCUAUGGUUUACAAUAGUAUAGUCAAGUUAUUUAUUGCAUGUUUCAAGGACGCAACUAAAUCAAUAUAGAAAUUCAAGAUUUAUGUCAAUAUAGAAUACCCCUAUCAAUAUCUAAAAAAUUUGAAAGUACCUCAUUCUUGGAGAUGACUUUGUAAUAUACACUUGCUUAAGAAAUAUCUUAGAUAAGCAGCGGUACUUCCUAAGAGAGAAGCGACCUCCUACUUUCUAAUCAUGUCAAUGAAACGAUACAAGGAUGCUAAUAUCAUAAGGUUCUCUGUUCACUAGAGCAAGAACUGAGUUGACGACCAACACUACUCUAACAAGAGAACAUGGACAAAGGGAACAAAAGAAGAGAAAUAGUUACCUUAUUUCUCUUUAGCACUUUCAAGGCCUCCUCGGAGUCCCAUAACCUGCUACGGUGCCAAGGUUGUUGCUGGUUUUCCUCACAUACAAUUGCUCUACCAAGAUCUCUUAAUUGGUCAUGCAUUCGGAGCUUAAGAUCAUCUCCAAUUUUUAUUAAUGACAUAAGUAUCAACUCUUCAAUAUUCACAACUGGAAAAAAGUCACAAGCGUCCCACAUGUAGAAUGCAAUUCUGCUAUCAGUGCCAAUGAGAAAGCAAGCGAUAUCCAAAAAUAUUUGUUUUUGUCGAUAUUCUAAUGCAUCGUAACUUAUCCUUAACUUUUCUUGCACUUCUUUAUUCUGGACCUUUCCUAACAUUUUUAUCAUAUCUCCCCAUUUUUCUCUUCCUUUUCCGCAAAAUAAUGAACCUAAAACCUCAAGGGAUAAGGGAAGUCCUCCAGCGGUGGAUACAACUUCACGAGUGAGGCCCUCAAAUUCACUCGGAGGAAAGUCCUUUCGAAAUGCAUGUCUGCUAAACAAAAUCGAAGAUUGAUAGGGAUCCAAUUCCGUAAGGUCAUAGGUGUGGUCUACCCCAACUAAUUUAAGAAUUCUCUUGUUUCUGGCAGUAAUAAUGAUUCUACUUCCCAAAGAAAAGCAAUCAUUAUUACCGGCCAAAUACUUCACUUGAUUGACAUUAUCCACAUCAUCAAGAAGAAUAAGGACCUUUUUAUCUUUAAACCUGGAGCGGAUGAAAUUAAUCCCUUCAUCCUUACUAUGAACUUCAUUUUUUUGAUUCAAUAUAUCAGAGAUUAACUUAUUUUGUAAGUUAUUAGCAUCACGAUUCCGUGAUUCCCUUAUNNNNNNNNNNNNNNNNNNNNNNNNNNNNNNNNNNNNNNNNNNNNNNNNNNNNNNNNNNNNNNNNNNNNNNNNNNNNNNNNNNNNNNNNNNNNNNNNNNNNAAAGCUACGAUGCUCAUAUUGAUUGGAUAGCUUGUGUAAGUGGCUUUAGCAAGAGUAGUUUUACCAAUGCCUCCCAUUCCAUGGAUGCCAACAAAUAGGAGGGCAUGAGAUUUAUCAUCCAGAAGUUUCAUAACAUUCUUCACAUGACUAUCAAUUCCAACCAAAUUUUCAGAAAUAAUCAACUCAAACUUUUUCUUCAGUUCACUCAACACUUUUCGAACAACUGAUUUCACCAACUCUGCUUCAAACCUGUCAAAUAUGACAAGAGUUCAAAUAUAUGGCAACAAUAAUUUUAUAUUGUUUAUCUAUUGAGAAUGUCGUAAUAAAUGAAUUCGUGACAAAAUUUAAAAAUCGCUUUUGUCACACCUCCAUAUAUUAUCUUAUAUGCUAAGAAUAAAGUUUGAGAAAUGCUUUUGGUCGUUUCACAUGGCAUGCCCCCUUCUACUAUUACUCCGACAAUUUAUUAAAUUAGAAGAAACUUGAGGGCAUCACUUAUGAACCUUGAAUAUUGUAUAUGUUAUGAAUUUGAAACAAAUUUUAGACUUGUUGUUUGUUAAAGAUAUUAGGUAUGACGUGGACAUAACUUUGAAAACAUUCUGGAGCCUUUGAAUAAUCAAAAAUCCAAUAAGCCAACAUAGUAUGAGAGUCAGUAAUCAAUCGAUAAACAAGUCAUAACUUUUGGUGUGAGACAAUUUCAACUCGUGUAAUACCAAUCCAAAAAGCCGUUCAGAUUGUGAUAUUGAGAACCAACUUGAAUGCAAUCGAGAGGAUUUCUCCUUGUUUGCGCAAUUCUACAUGAUUGCAAGUUCCUACUUGUGUUAUCAUUAUAGAUUGGUGCUCGUAUCAGUUUUGAUUGCUCUAGGGAUGAUAAGUUCUUGUACUUUGUUUUCCUUUUGAGUAACUAUGUUCUUUGAUUUUAAUUCAUCUAAGUAGAAGAAUAAUUUUUUUCCCGAAAUAAGAACAUUGAUUCAAUAUAUUUAGGUGUAUGAGACAGAAAUUACUUGCUGAAGAUAGGAAAUGCAUUGAAAAUUAUUCAAACAAAUAUAUAAUAUAAAUAAUCCCUUUUUCCUUUUUCUUUUUUUUUAAAUAUUUUCCAUCAUCUUAUAUAACUAAUGAAACAUUUCUUUUGUAAAAUAAUUUUAAUAGCAACUAGUCAACUAUAUUAAUGAUUUAAAAAAUGUAAUUUGGGAAGAUAAAGAAUUAUGCGUUGGACGAUCACUAUGCACGGUAUAUGAUGCUAAGAGCUCUAAAUAAAAAUCACCAAUAAGUUGUACUAUUAAUCUCAAAUAAAUACGUAAUUAGAAAAUUUUGUGACGAUGACUAGUGUGANNNNNNNNNNNNNNNNNNNNNNNNNNNNNNNNNNNNNNNNNNNNNNNNNNNNNNNNNNNNNNNNNNNNNNNNNNNNNNNNNNNNNNNNNNNNNNNNNNNNNNNNNNNNNNNNNNNNNNNNNNNNNNNNNNNNNNNNNNNNNNNNNNNNNNNNNNNNNNNNNNNNNNNNNNNNNNNNNNNNNNNNNNNNNNNNNNNNNNNNNNNNNNNNNNNNNNNNNNNNNNNNNNNNNNNNNNNNNNNNNNNNNNNNNNNNNNNNNNNNNNNNNNNNNNNNNNNNNNNNNNNNNNNNNNNNNNNNNNNNNNNNNNNNNNNNNNNNNNNNNNNNNNNNNNNNNNNNNNNNNNNNNNNNNNNNNNNNNNNNNNNNNNNNNNNNNNNNNNNNNNNNNNNNNNNNNNNNNNNNNNNNNNNNNNNNNNNNNNNNNNNNNNNNNNNNNNNNNNNNNNNNNNNNNNNNNNNNNNNNNNNNNNNNNNNNNNNNNNNNNNNNNNNNNNNNNNNNNNNNNNNNNNNNNNNNNNNNNNNNNNNNNNNNNNNNNNNNNNNNNNNNNNNNNNNNNNNNNNNNNNNNNNNNNNNNNNNNNNNNNNNNNNNNNNNNNNNNNNNNNNNNNNNNNNNNNNNNNNNNNNNNNNNNNNNNNNNNNNNNNNNNNNNNNNNNNNNNNNNNNNNNNNNNNNNNNNNNNNNNNNNNNNNNNNNNNNNNNNNNNNNNNNNNNNNNNNNNNNNNNNNNNNNNNNNNNNNNNNNNNNNNNNNNNNNNNNNNNNNNNNNNNNNNNNNNNNNNNNNNNNNNNNNNNNNNNNNNNNNNNNNNNNNNNNNNNNNNNNNNNNNNNNNNNNNNNNNNNNNNNNNNNNNNNNNNNNNNNNNNNNNNNNNNNNNNNNNNNNNNNNNNNNNNNNNNNNNNNNNNNNNNNNNNNNNNNNNNNNNNNNNNNNNNNNNNNNNNNNNNNNNNNNNNNNNNNNNNNNNNNNNNNNNNNNNNNNNNNNNNNNNNNNNNNNNNNNNNNNNNNNNNNNNNNNNNNNNNNNNNNNNNNNNNNNNNNNNNNNNNNNNNNNNNNNNNNNNNNNNNNNNNNNNNNNNNNNNNNNNNNNNNNNNNNNNNNNNNNNNNNNNNNNNNNNNNNNNNNNNNNNNNNNNNNNNNNNNNNNNNNNNNNNNNNNNNNNNNNNNNNNNNNNNNNNNNNNNNNNNNNNNNNNNNNNNNNNNNNNNNNNNNNNNNNNNNNNNNNNNNNNNNNNNNNNNNNNNNNNNNNNNNNNNNNNNNNNNNNNNNNNNNNNNNNNNNNNNNNNNNNNNNNNNNNNNNNNNNNNNNNNNNNNNNNNNNNNNNNNNNNNNNNNNNNNNNNNNNNNNNNNNNNNNNNNNNNNNNNNNNNNNNNNNNNNNNNNNNNNNNNNNNNNNNNNNNNNNNNNNNNNNNNNNNNNNNNNNNNNNNNNNNNNNNNNNNNNNNNNNNNNNNNNNNNNNNNNNNNNNNNNNNNNNNNNNNNNNNNNNNNNNNNNNNNNNNNNNNNNNNNNNNNNNNNNNNNNNNNNNNNNNNNNNNNNNNNNNNNNNNNNNNNNNNNNNNNNNNNNNNNNNNNNNNNNNNNNNNNNNNNNNNNNNNNNNNNNNNNNNNNNNNNNNNNNNNNNNNNNNNNNNNNNNNNNNNNNNNNNNNNNNNNNNNNNNNNNNNNNNNNNNNNNNNNNNNNCUUUCGCAAGAGAGAUUAGAGGAGAACACAUUCUGAUGAUAUGGGAUUGUUGCAGGAAGAUUCCUAGUUGAGAAGUUGUGAGGGUAACAUUAAAGUAAUAACAUAGAAAACUUACUUCAACAUCAUGCAGUGAAACUGUACCAUCUUCUAGUCCCAAGACAACAACUUUGCCAUCAGGACGCCAGCAUAAUGAUGUUAUACAUUUACCUGGAGUACAUUAGAGUAAUUAAGAUACGAUGGAAUGUGCAAAGAAAAGUGAUUUCAUAAACAACAACAACAACCAAAAAAAGGAAAAAAAAAAUAGAAAGAGAGAGGAUGAAUAAUUUGUUCACCAUAAAUUAAUAUGUUCACCAUAAAUUAAUAGACAAAAAGGAAAGACAGAGAAAAUGAUAAUCAAAAUCUGGGAAGUGAUGCAAACAUCAUAACAGUAAUAGUAUAUCCGAAAGGGAUAUUGGUAGCUUGACAUGGAUUUCUUUCGGCUAGUAGAUCAUCUAAAGCUAGGGAAUCUAUGUCUUUUUGGCAGCCUUCAAUCCAUUAUCUCAGUCCAAAAACAAAUCUUAUUCCUCAACUUUGGAACCUCAAGGUGGAGUGGAUCAAUGAAAGCAUACUUCAAGGAAGGAUCACGAGUGUACAAGCAUCUACAACUUAACAUCUCAACAGAAACCUCUCAAGGAUUAGGUCAAGAAGCACUCAACAACAUGUUUUUCAUAUCCAGAAGGCAAUAUGAUGCAUGAAGCAUUCAAAUGUUACCUCCUAUCUAAAUUUUUCAAGUGAGAAUAGAUUAAAAAAACCACCAAGGCUAGGCAUCUAAUCCUAAGCUCUUAUGAAUUCGAAUUACCAAAAGAUAAAGUCAUAUAAGAACUUAACAUACUUGGAUGCAGCUCCCCCUACCCUCCUAGUCUCUUUGCUUUCUCCAACUCCUCCCUCCAUGUAUACAUGUAUGCAGCAUAGCUUGAGAUAUAUCCUAUUCACAAGUAAGUUAAAUUCCCAACAACAAACUUGAUUAAUUAAAAUGAUGUCACGAAAUGCCCCUUGUAAUCAGUAGAAGAUAAAUUAACUUCAAGUAAUGCAAAAUGUGCGAAACUUUCUAUACUAGACUCUAAAUUUUAGCAUUACAAAAUGUGAAAAACUUUCCAGCCCAUACUAAAUCUCUCCUUGUAAGGAACGUUCAAUCAGUAUAAGAAGAGGAAGAGGAGGAGCCAGAGAUAAUAUUAUGCUCAAUCAGCAGAAGAAAUAGGAAGAAGCAGAGCUGGAAGUGAUAUUACAUCGUGAGAGUCACCAACAGAAAUUGAAGGAAAACUAUAUAGCUGCCUGACGACGUUGUGAUGCUACUUUGCAGGGGUUAAACCUGCCAACUCCAAGUGGGCAUCUAGCAUUUCUACAUCUGACAUAGCUAGUCUAUCUAGCAUAAACAACAUCCCCUCCAAUUUGACUUCUUUAUCUUCAUGAACACUUUGACUGGUGUAGCAUGAAAAUGGCAACAAGAUGGCAGUACAGGAGUCGGGUACCCUUCUGGUUGGUCUAGAUGAUUGUCACUUAUGCUAUGGAAAUCUCCUAAGGCACCAAUAUUAUCUAGAAGUUUAUAGGAAUCUGUCACGCCUGUAAAUAAAAAUCCCUUCAUUAAACUAGUAUCAGCUUGGGAUUCUUUAUUUGCAACUUUGUCAUAUCCACAUUUUCCCUCCUAUUACCAUCAUUCACUCUUCAUUUUCGUGUAAAACACCAACUCCUUUGUUCGACAUCACAUCCUCAUUCGGACUUUCAAGCACUUCACCUCUAUAUUGACCAAAUCUCCAUCAAACCCAAUUUGAACUGGAUUGGCAAUUUAAGUGACUUAUUUGGGGAAAAGGCUCGUAGCAAAAUUAAGGAAAAGCAAAGGGAAGAAUAAGGCCAACGACUCAAAGGGCACACACCAUGCCAUCGUUGAAGAAACGAACAUGCUGAAUAAAAAAUAAAAAGAGGAGAACUUUCUCGAGUCAAAGCAAUUACCAGGAGAGAUUGUCCACAGCCUCUGCCAAUUGAAGCGAUGAAGCACCACCUUCGAGUCCUCCGUGACCAUCGCCAACAAAUCCUUCUCCGGAUUCCACUCCGCCAUCUUCACCUGCCAAUCGGAAGAAAUCGAGCCAAAACCUCACACAAAACCGAAUGGGAAAACAAUCGAAUCGACCCGCCCAUUAUCAGGUCGCAAAAGAGGGAUGAAACGGGAGCCGAACCUGAGAAGCCAGCGGCUUGUCGAACUGAAGCUGAAAGGGAAGCAUGUGCCGCGACCCUUGGUCGGUCUCCAUAGCUGGAAAAAGCUCCGGGAGCAGCCAAAAACGCAGCCAAAACGUCCGGUGGCAAAUGCGAACUUAGAGGGAGAGCUAGUGGUGGAGGGUUAGAGCCCGAAAGCCCUAGAAGAAAGCCUGAUGGAAGAGAAGAGCGAGUAACCAAGUGCAAUGGAGCCUGAUAAUUUUGCAGAGAAGAUUAGGGAAGAGGAAGAACAGGCGGGAGAGAAUUUGACUACUGAGGAAGCAGAGUGAAUUUGAUUACGGGCCGAGCCUUGGGGCCCGGUCCCAAUAUGGGCUGCGAUAUUGGCUUAAACCCAAGCCCAAUAAACUCUAAUUCAGCCCAAAAUCCAAACCCAAAUUUAACCGACAUCCUAACCAAGCCCACUUCCCCGCCAUUCUCUCUCUCUACUGCCGUCCCCCGAUCUGCCGUCGCCUCUCAAUUCCUCCUUCCAAACGAACAGAACACGAGAACCCACCACGGUUGAAGUUCACCGAAAAUGUACUUGCUGAUCAUAGGACACAGAUUUACACCGCACCGCACGUAUUCAUGUUGCCCACUUUGGAUAACUCGACAGUUGAGAUUAAACCGAGCGGGGCUUUGGUUCAGGCAUUUCGUCGAACGUUUGAAGCGCACUGGCUAAAAGGAGGCAAACCCGACCACCAACUCGCGCCAGGACUCGCAAUGAUUGACAGACAGCGACCCCAAACGGCGGCGCACGGACGAAGGGGGCCAGUGCUCGCGUGAACCAGACAAGGACGAAGCCUGGUCUGGCGAGCCCAGAACGGGGCAAGACUGGGGCACGAACAGAGGAGGCAUCGGCUGAGAGUCCCUACCCGGCUCGGCGACGGUGAAUGGAGGGCGAGUUCGAUAGACCGGACCACGUCGGGUCGCCUCGCACGCCUCCGAGCCAGGAUGCUCGGAAAAACGGCUCGUCCCACGAAAAAUGGAAAGAAAAAGAAAAAGAAAGGAACUUGACCUACCGGAGACUUAGCGCGGGGAACGGGAGAUGCGAGCUUAAGAGCGCGGUCGGGAGUCGUCGGACGGGUUUCAGGCGUGACCGAACUGCCGGAGGGCUCCUCGCUCUCAAACUCUCUCUCUCUCUCUCUCUCUCUCUCUCUCUCUCUCUCUCUCGGUUGCUCUCAGUCUCUCCACCCUUCUCUCUCUCUCCCUCUCUCACUCUAUUUCUCUCCGAAAAUCCCACCUUCGGCUCGCUCUCCUUCUCUCCGUUUUUGCUCUGCUGCGACUAAUUUUACUUUCCUUCCUAAUUAGUCUAAAAUAUAUUUCGACUUUAUGAUAUGAUAAAUUGUCUUUUCUUUAAUUUUCCCCAUGCAUUAGGAAAAUAAAAAUAAAAAUAAACCGUAUUUGUGAUCACAUUAAAGUUAUACAAAAGAACUUAGACUGCACGAAGCAAAAAAUUACUUGACCCCUUUGAUGUUUCUGGCCUAUUUCGGUAUUUAGUUCCUCAUGCCUAAGUUAUUUUAGAUUGCUCGCUCUAUGGCCUUCACGCAUUGGUGUGCCACCUUUAUGGGAUUGGAAAGUGGAAGGAAUGGCUAGGACUUUAUUGGAAUGCUUUUAAAGGGGAUGAUUGAAAUUAGGGUUAGUUGUCAGUGCAGUCUUCCGGUUAGAAGGAUAAGGGCUUUUAUUAAUCAACUAUCUUUCAUAUUCUAUUUAGAUUAUUUAAUUAGAAAAAAUAGAGUAUAUAUAUUUAUUAAAGGCUUGUUUGAUAAUAAUCCCGGGAAUAAAUUUUUGCUCUAUUUUUUUGUUCCCGAGAACAAAACAAGUUUUUUGUUUCAUUUAUUUAUUUUUGUUUACGGGAAUAGAUUUGAAAUAGAAUCAAGAAGCAGAAAAAAAUUGCUUAUUGUUCUCAGGAACAAUUCCUAGAAUCAACCUAAUUUUUUCUUUUUUAUUCUUCUCUUUCCUUUUUUUCUUCUUCCUUUUGGCCAUUCGCUGGCUUUGGCCAUGGCCAACAAUGGCCGAUGAUCGGCCAACAAGGACUGGCGACCUCGCUGAAGCGUUACUAAACAACAAGGCUCAGCCUUGCAAAGCUAGGGCAAGCCCAACCUCACACCAUUAGGGGGAGGACGAGCCUCACAGUGGCCAGGCAAGCCUCCAGCGAGCUCGCUGACCCUUACCCUGGCUUGGCUCGCCCAACCAAUUGCUGGCCACAACGCUAGCCAUCGUCGUGGCUAGCGACUGGCCACAAAAAAAGGAGGAAGAAAAAGAGAAAAGGAAAAAGAAAAAAGAAAAAAUAUAACAAAAGUAUUAAAAAAAUUUAAGAAUCCUACCAAAUACAUUUUUAUCCCAAGAAUAAAAAUUUUGUACAGUUCCCAAAUGCGUUCUUUUGUUCGAAAAUUGUUCCCAAAAAUAGAAUCAGAAAAUAUCAUUUCUGAUCAAAAAUUACUUUCGAGAAUAUAAUUGUUAUCAAAUGUGUCCUAAAAAUGUUUUCCAAAAAUAACUAUGUAACUUGUUCUCCUUAAACUAAAGCACCAGUUAAAACAACAAUUUGUAUGCCCUUGUGGGACUCAUAUAAAUGACAGUUUUCCACUACUCAUGUAUCACACUGAUCUUAGACAAUAAUGUGAUGAAAGACAAUAAUGUGAUGAAAGUUGUCUUUCCUAGAAAAUCAAGCUAUAGAUAGAUGUUUAUUUAUUUGUAUAAGUUGGGCAUGCUUAUCGUCAUUUUCUAAAAUUUAUUGCAUGCUAUAAAUGAGUUUGUAAUUGUCCAUAGUUUCUUACUCAAAAUGCUUCAAUCGGUCUCGCCAGAUUUGGUGAGGGCUGACACUCGCCCUCAUUGGCCAUGGCUAUGAUCGGUGGCUAGCAAUGGCCAUCAACGAACAAAAAAGGGAAAGGAAAAAAAAGAAAAAGAAAUCAAUAAAUUCAAAAAAAUUAUUAAAAUCAUACACCUUAGCAUCAAUCAGCCGGCUGAUGUCCAUCUUCACAAUUUCUAGUUUAAAUUGGCCUGAUGAAUUGAAUUGAUACUAAUGUGAGAAGGUUUAUAACUAAAUUGGUCCAAUUGAAAGAAUUAAAAUUGAAUUAGUACCAAUAUAAUAUGUUUAGGACUUUGUUUGGCACUUUUCCUCUUGACAAGUGGUAGCAAAGAUAGACGGUCAAGGAUUGACUAAACUUUGCUCAAAUCUUUGUCCAUAUGCCAGGUUGAGGUGAGUGAUGACGUGAUCGAGAAGAUUUUGAUGGGAGGCCUUGUUCUUGAGUACUUACAUUUAAUUGAGAAAUUUGAAAGAGCAUGAGAUUGAUAGAUGUUGGCUAGUUGAAGCUAACGAUCCACUCUUAAAGAUUCUCACUCCUCAUAACACGAUGUUUUCCACAAUAAGAAGGUUAGAAUAGUUCAAGCCUUGCAAUGAUUCUUCUUGUCAGUCGAAAUAGCAGCACUCUCAUAAAAACUGAAAAGUGAAGAGGAUUACAAUGAAGGUCGGGAGAAUUAGUGCUGCAACUGUCAUCACCAAGAGAGGCCAGUCAAAACAAGCACCAUUUGAUCUUUUUUUUACCAAAAUGAAAGUUAUAUUCUUUCUUUGCAAUGAACUUUGAAGAAACUUUAACCUAAUUUUACCCGAGCAUCUCCGGAAGCUAGAGUAUAUCUUUCAAAAAGAGGAUUGCUGCCGACAUCAAACCUUUCAAAUUUAGCAAAUUGAGCAAACUUCGCAAAAUUGAGUCAAAACAACUGAGUCGAUUGCCCAUUAGCUUGCAAAAGAAUGGCAACCGGGGGUUGAACCUGAGAAACCAUCGGUUUAUUGAACUAAAGCCGAAAUGGAAGCACAGCUGUAGUCCUUCAUCAACUUCCAUAACUAAAAAGCUCUGCAAGCACCCAAAAAACGCAAUGCUAGGGCUGGAACAAAUCGCGAGGAGUGUACAAAAGCAUCGAUGGAAAAUGCAAGCAAAAAGAGAGCUUGUGAAGGAUAGAGCUCGAAAGAUUGAGAGGAAGGCUCUAGGCUAGUGAGCGAGGAUAGAGCUGAAGAGCGAGAUAAAGAAAGGAAAAGUGAGAGAGAGUAAGAAAGUCCACUGGAGUUUGAAAUCAUGCGGAGAAAAUUGCAGAAAAGGAAUGGGCAGGAGAGAAUAAGAGAUCGAAACAAGAUUACAGGAGUGAAGGCGAACUCAUUUGAUUGAUGGGUUGGCCAAGCUAGGUCGAAUCGUGCCAUAUCUUGACGAGAACUUCUUGUCUGGGCUCAUUCAUCAUAAAUAUGUGAUUUUGGAACGAGUUGGAUUAUCAUAGCGUUUGGUUUAGUUAUAACCAUGGUAGCCACCUUUUUCAUACAUUUAUUAUCAAAUUGAGCUCUCAUUAUCAAAUUGAUCAAAAUCAUAACAUAUUGGAAACCACAUCAACAAAUUUCAUUAAAUUUGAAUUAAUGAAAGACAAUAUUGAACUUUUUUAUAUAUCUUAGGGAUUAGAUUGAACAUUAAAUUAAUGAAAAGUUUAUGGAUGACAUUACACGUUUGGCUAAAGUUCAUAGGCUGUGUCUUUUUUUCCUUUUGUUAGAGCACAAUCUUUGUUACAAAGCUAAACCGACAUCAAUCAAACUUCAAUAUCCCAAUAGAAGCACAAUCUCAAAUGCACAUCAAUUGGGCUCUAGUGACCUUGUUUUUCAACACUAGAAACUUUUCUACUUCGGUGCCAACAACGAUGUUAUUGGGGAGAAUUGGGUAAUGAUUCAAUAAGGACUAACUCAAUCCAUGAUCAAUUUCUUCCCAAAACUAAAUUGACCAAAAUGGAAUUAACCUUAGCAAUAAACAGCAGUGUUUUCCAACAAUAAAUAUCAAAAUAAGUAAAUAUAAUGCUGAAAUGUUAAAGAAACAAGACAACAAUAAUACCAAGAUUUUUGCAUUGAAAACUCAAUGCGGGAAAAAAAAUCAUGAAUUGCUCAAAAACUUUCACUAAUCAUACUAAUCACCAGUAACAUCAACAUUGCAAUAGUAUUUCAUCAUUAUGGAGAUGGAUAAAUAAAGAUAGAGCAAGAAACCUUAAUCGCAAUUAGAAAAAACAAGAGAGAAUCUAGGGAAGAUUUUCAAUGAGCAAAACUGAUCAACUAGGGGGUGCAUGAUAAAAAUCAUUUCUGUUCCAGAAAUGAUUUUUCUAUUCCAGAUCAAUUUCUAGAACAGAAACUUGUUUGAUAACGCUUAUCAAAUUUUCUAUUUCUGGAAUAGAUUUCUAUUCCAGAAAUAGAAAUGGAGGAGAAAUCAGAAGUAGAAAUUUUCUACCUCUAAUUUCUCCCAAACCCUAAUUUCACUCUUUUCUCCCUCGUACGCCUCUUCUCUGCCCAAAAUAAAAAUAAAUAUAUUUAUUUAAAAAUAAAAUUGAAUUUAUUAAAAUAAAUAAAUUAUUUUUAUUUAUCAUUUUAUUUUUAGUUUACUAAAAAUAAAUUUAUUAAAUUUAUUUAUGAUAAAUAAAUAAAUAUUUUUAUUAAAAGUAAAAUUAUUUUUUAUUUGCCUUGAGUGUUUUGCCAAAUAAAAUUAUUUUUAUUUUUUAUUUUUAUUCAUUUAAAAUAAAUUUAUUCGUAAAAUAAAAUAAAUUUAUUUAAUUUAUUUAAAAUAAUUUAUUUAUGAUAAAAAUAAUAAAUUUUUAUUUGCCUCGAGUGUUUUGCCAAAUAUUUUUUUUUAUUCAUUUUAAAAUAAAUUUAUUCGUAAAAUAAAAUAAAAUAGAAUAAAUAAAAUAAAUUUAUUAUAUUUAUUUAAAAUAAUUUAUUUAUGAUAAAUAAAAAUAAAUUAUUUUUAUUUGCCUUGAGUGUUUUGCCAAAUAAAAUUAUUUUUAUUUUUAUUUUUAUUCAAUUUAAAAUAAAUUUAUUCGGAAAAUAAAAUAAAAUAGAAUAAAUAAAAUAAAUUUAUUUUUAUAUUUUAAUUUUAAAAUAAAAUGAUAUUUUUAUUUUAUUUUUUUAUGAUUUAUUUUAUUUUAUUUUAUUCAUUAUUUUUUUUGUUACUAAAUCAUUUUUAUUUUUAUUUUUUAUAUUAAAGGUCGUCGGACGGCGCCGUCCAGAAGGAAGAAAUUUUGUAUCGUUAUCAAACGAAUUUCUAUUUUUAGAGUAGAAAUUUUAUGUCGUUAUCAAACGGUUAUUUUCGCUUAGAAACUCUUCUAGAAAUAGAAAUAGAAAAAUCUAUUUCUGUUCCAGAAACUAUUUCUGGAACAGAAUGGUUGUCAUGCGCGCCCCUAGUAGUCUUGAUUUAACGACCAACAAAUCGAAAAUUGAGCUAAUUUUGACAACGUUGGCCUUCGAUCCAGGACUUGGAACUUGCUUUCCCUUUUUCCUUCUCGUGUGUUCUUUCUGGGGCCGCUCUCUCUCUGUCUUUCCCUUUUCCUUUUUUUCGUGUUCUUCUUGGGAAACUCUCUCUCUCUCUCUCUCUCUCUCUCUCUCUCUUCCUCCCUCCUCUCUACACUCUUCACUCCACGAACGGCUCCUCUCUUUGUUUUUUGUUUUGACUUUUUGGCCUUUUUCUUUAUCUUUCAUGUUAUGUUAGCUGAGCCACACUGACGCCGACCCAGCCAACAAUCCUCCACCAAUAGGAAUAAGAUCUCAAUCUUGCAAAACUUUGAUUCCAAGACCUUUGACCCGACAGGCUUCACAUAGAUAGAAUCUCUAAGUACUUUAUCAACCCAACAAACUUUGGAAGGCAAGCAUCGAAUUGCUUCCACUUUAACAUGAAGAUUUUAACAUGAAGAUCAAAACCCGAAUUACAAAGAACUCUCUUUGAAUAAUGACCCCAAUAGACUUGCAAACAGCUGUCAAGUAUGAUACCAACUUAAAAUACAACCGUCUAAUUCGAAGGCCAUUAUAUCAAACAAGUUGGCUAGACUUUCAGUAUUUUGGAAACCUGUUAAGUUAAUGGACAGUUUCAGCUCUGCAAAGCUUCGAUAUAAAAUAAUUAGGGAAAUGUGGAAUGAUACUAUGCAAGCAUCCUUUGCCAUUCCAAGGAUGCAUUGUCAGAGUUUGGAGAAUUUCAAGAAACAUGGAGCCCCCAAUCCUUCGAUGAUCUCGGAAGUCUUCCAUAAACCCAUAUUAAAGCCGUUGGACUUUGAAAUAAGAUUUCAACUUUGAAACUUAACUGCAAACAAAAAAUUAGAAAUAACAUGUAAGAUAUGAAGAAUAAAAUAUUGUUCAUUAAGAAUCGAGAUCAAGAAGUCAUAUAUAAGCAAAUCCAGAGUCAUCCUAUAGAGCCACACAAAGAAAUGAAUAGCACGAAAAAGUAGUUCUGCUCUGCACAUGUGGAUAUAUGGAUCAUAUAUGUAGUUUCAGAUCAAAGGUAUAUACCCCAUACAAGGACAGUGAAUUGCGAAUGUAUCCGAUGAAUGUUGAAACUGACAUAAGAGGGAAUAGUGAUAAUAAAUUCUUACAAAGUUUCCAUUUCAAAAUAGAAGAGAAAGGCAUCUGGGCAGCUUCCUUCAAAGUGUGAUGAUCAAAUUAGGUUUUAAUCAAGAAAGGUGAGAUCCGUAUUUCUAUACACAAGGGUAACAAGCUAAACAGAGAGCCCAGUCCGAUAAGAUCACUCAACUAAAGCUUCCAUGUACAUUGUCAAGUGAUCAAACUUGAGAUCAAAUACCAAAAAAUAGACUAUUAGAUGGAGGGUAAUCGAAAAAUCAUUGUUGAGGAUAACCUCCAGAAGACAACCCCAAACCCCCAAUGGUGUCCUUCUUUUUCUCUCAUUAUAGUCUCAAGGUUCUGAUCACUCGGGCAAAGAAAUGAAAAAUAUAGGUACAAAUUUAUGGUAAUAGGCAUUUGGAUAGAAAUAUCUACAUACGAACCCUAUUAACAAUAAAUUCUAAACUAACCAUUCAAGAAAUGGCUAUUUCAGCUCAAAUAAUUGCAGAGUUGGCUAAACCUAAAAGCAAAAGCUUUUUAUUAAAUGAUUGCACUGCUUAUAGAAACCAAUUUUGAGCCCAGAUAAUCAUACUUAAACUCCUGUUAUGCAUAUGAAGAGAUCCAGAAUUUCACUUUUGGUACAAAUAUCAGCAAUGAGGACAAGACUUGAAGGGGGGAAGAAGCAAUCACUGCAAACAACAGAAACCAGUAGUGAUUUAUCCCAUAGUUCAUAUUUUUCCCACUGAGGCAGCAUUUGUAAGAACAUUUAUGAAUGGAAAAAGUAGAUAUAGCAUUAAUAUGAAGAAUCUACAAUGAAAGAGCAAUAAACAACACAUUCAACUAAGAACUUUUAUGAGCAAACAGGAUUCUAUCACAUUUCAGUUUUCUAACUCAUUUGCUGAUACCUAUGUUCCAUCUGUUGAAAUUCCUUUGCAAGUGUCCUUCGCAAUUAUUCGAUGUCCCCAAAUCGUCCAAACUGCAGUAGUUCUCUAACUCUCUGCAUUGUUUCUCUGAUGCAAUACUGAGGUUAAGACAUCUUACUAACUGAACAAGAUAUAUCAAGGUAGAAAAUAUUAAAGCUAUUGGAUGGUGAAAUAAGAUUCUUAGUUUGAAACUUAAGUGCAAAUAAAGCAUUAGAAAAAACAUGUAAGAUAUGAAGAAUGAAAUAUUGUCUAUUAAGAAUCAAGAUCAAGAAGUCAUAUCAACCUUUAAAUUGAAAGAUGCAUAAUUGUUCACUUGGGCAUCUUCUUCCCGGUUGAGACACAGCACAACUGCUGCAUGGGACUUCAAGCCUAGUAAUAGUUUUUCAUUCUGCUCAAUAUUUAUAUCAUGUUAGAAACUAUUGUACCACAGCAUGUAUAAGUGCUGCAAGCACUAGCAUAUAAAAAGCAGCACACCACAUAUCCAUAGUUAAGUAAAGAAAGCUAGAUUGGUAAGAUAACAUUCAUUAUGUAUUAUGUAAAAACAAACCCUCUUCCAAGCAAAACAUAGUCCAUGAAUCAGAUGAUGGUUAAUAAAUUUGUGGAAGUCUCAAAGAAAGAAAUGUAGUAGUAUCAACCAAUUCGUAGCCAUCGUACUCAUGACUAAACAGCUAUAGCUUAAUGACAUAACCAGUUAUUUAUGAACUUUUCCACCCACAACCAUGAUUAAAGCACAUACAAAUUCCAUCAUUCAAGAGUCACCUAAACCAUAACCUUUUUAAUUUGACUGAACGUAUUUGAGUUUCAACAUUCAAAAUAAACUAUUAAUUUGAUGAAAAUGACCAUGUCACAUAUGACUGUUUCUAUUAACACCAUUGACUGAGAGUGUAGAUCCUCACAAUGAGCUCCACCUCUGCAAAUGCUAUGCUGAAAGUUGUCAUCGACAUUUGAAGCAUUUUCAAUCAUCAAUGACAACAUCAGCAGCAAGGUGGCCAUUUCCAAUCCUACGGGAGAAUGCGAUUAACCACAUCAAUUAGAUUCAAGUCCUAAAAUGUACAUAUAUAUUGAAUCUAUUAUUAAUGUAUAACAUGUGAAAAAAACAAUUCAUUUAGGCUAUAUAUCUCUUCUAGUUUGCUCAUCUGUUUAACAAAUGGCCAUGUUCAAUGAUUUAAUAGGAUUUGUUAAGCUUAUCCUGCUCAGAUUUUCCUAUCUAACAGUCCAUAUUUACUUGACAUUGGCAAACAUGACCAGUAAACAUGGAUUGCCAUCUCUCUUAGCAGCUAAAUGUUCAUUCAGCAAGCUUGCUAUUUGCAUUGAAUCAUUCAGCUUCUGAGCAAUUCAAAAUAUUCCUCAUGAGAGAUCAAAGAAGGAACACAUUUUGAUGAUAAAGGAUUCUUGCAGAAGGAAGUUCUUGUUGAGAAGUAAUGAGGGUAACAUUAAGCAAUAGCACAGAAAACUUACUUCUACAUCAUGCAGUGAAACUGUACCAUCUUCAAGUCCCAAGACAACAACCUUGAUAGCAGGACCUCAGCAUGAUGAUGUUAUAUGUUUACCUGGAGUAGAUUAGAAUAAUGAAGAAGCCAAUAUUGACGAUACACAAUGAAUGUGCAAAGAAAAGUGGGUUCAUUAAAAAAAAAACAGAAAAACAACACACACAGAGAGAGAGAGAGAGAGAGCAAUGAAUAAUCUCUUCACAAUAAAAUUAUAGAAGAAAAUGGAAGAUAGAGAACGCACAGUAAACAGGAAAUGUUGGUCAAAAUUUGUUAAGUAAAUUAAAGUGUCAUAACAGUACAAGAUAACUGAGAGGGAUAUCGGUCACUUGAUAUGGGGAUUUCUUUGGGCUAGUAGGUCAUCUACAGGAAUCUAUAAUUUUUUGGCAGCCUCCUAUCCAUUAUCUCAAUCCAAAAAUGAAUCGUGUUGUCCGCUUUGAAACCUCGAGGUAGAGUGGAUCCAUGAAAGCUUACUUCAGGUGAGGAUCACAAGGGUACAAGUAUCUACAAUUGAGGACCUCAACAAAAAGCAUUCUAGGGUUGGCUCGAGUAGGAUAGUGCACUCAACACCAUGUUCAUCAAAUCCAGAAGACAUAUGAAGCGUUAGAUGUUUCAGAGGAGAAAAAAAAGCCUCCUCUCAAAAAAUUUCCAUUGAGAAUAGAUGGCAAGAAUUGCCAAGGAUAGGCAUCUAAUCCUAAGCUCUUACGAAUUUGAAUUACCCAGAGCUAAAGUCAUAUAAGAACUGAAGAUACUUGGAUGCAGCAACCUCUACACUCCUAGUCUCUACACCUUCUUCGAUUCCUUACUCCAUCCCUCUCGACCAAAUUGUCAUACAAGUAUGUAGCAUAGCCUGAGGUAUCCGCUUAACAAGUUAAACUCCCACCAGUGAAUUAAAUUAAUCUAAAUGAUGCGACAAAAUGCCCCUCUCUAAUCAGAAGAAGAUAAAUUUACUUCAAGUAGUACAAAAUGUAAGAAACUUUACAGCCUAUACUCUACAAUCUAGUAUACAUUGAAUAUCUCCUUGUAAGGAACGCUCAAUCAUUAAAAAAGAGGAAGAAGAGGAGCUAGAAGAAGCGUUACAUUUUGAGAAACAAAAUUAGAAAUCUACAGAAAACUAUAUAGAUGCUUGACAGCAUUGGGAUGGUAUUCUACAGGGCCUAAACCUACCAACUCCAUGUGGGCAUUAAGCAUUUCUGCAUCCGACAUACCUAGUCUAUCUAGCAUAAAUGACAUCCCCAUCUCCCCCUCCCAAAUUCAAGUUAUUUAUUUUAAUGGACACUUUAACUGGUGUACCCAGAAGGAUGACAACAUGCAAACACCAUAUACCAUUCCAAGGAUGCAUUGCUAGAGUUUAAAGAAGUCCAGCAAACAUCAAGCUCCUCAUCCUUUGAUGAUUUUGUUUCCUUUUAUAAGUGCCUUGCGAAAGCUCUCUUGAAUAUUACAGCACUUACUUCAACUAGUGGCAUGAUAACCGAAUCCUGCCAGUGAGUUAGAUGAAAUCAAUCCAGCAAUGAACAUCAAAUGAACUACUAACAGUACGGAGAAAUUUACAAGUCUCUAUUUGUCAAACUCGAUAUUCUUUUUGAACUCUUUGGAUCCAACUAAUGGGGUAGCUAACAUCAUUGACCAUAGAAGCUUUGACCAGAUUAGCAAAGUGAAUUCAACUCAAGUUGCUUGCUUUUGUGGGACAUAGUACAAUUUGCCAUCAUUGACCAUAGAAGCUUUGACAUGAACAGGAGUCGACAGAAAAGCAUGAUAUGCUACUUUUUCCCUUUUGCCAUCAAUGUCUUAAAUAGUGAAUUGACAUGAUUGGAAUAGAACUCUAGAUAUCAUGAGUAAUAAAUCAAUAUGCAAGCUCGGAUCGAUGAGUUACCUUCAACUAGUACAAAUCCCAGUUAUUUGCACACGUGGUUCCUGCAAUAUGCACAAAUGGAAGGUCACUAGCCUGCAGGAUUGUCAUCUCGGCAUCUCCCAAGUUUUCACCUGUGUCAUUCAUCUUAUUUAACAACAUUAUAAUUUGAUGUUCUUGCUUCCAACAGAACAUAUUAGCCAUACUUGCAAAUUUAGGCCACAAAAUAUGAUAUACAAAGCUUUUACCUCAGAUAGAGUCUAAUCCACACAACAAUGACCAAGAGGGAUGCACAACAAGAUCCUUCCAAAGAUCUUCCCUUCUUCACAUUGCUUGAAUCAUUCAUAAGUCCACUCACUACCGCUAUGUGAUUUGUUACAUCUAAAAAAGACUCCUCAUGUAUUUGGAAGGAAAUAUAAUCUGAAGCAAAUUCAAAGUCAUCCUGCAAUACCAUAUAGAGUAAUGACUAGCAUGAAAAAGCAGUUGGACUCCGCACAUGUGGAUCUCUGGAUAAUAUUUGUAGUUUUAGAUUAAAGGUAUAUACUCCAUAAAAGGACAGUGAAUUGGGAAUAUAUUUGGUGGAUGCUAAAACUAACAUAAUAGGGAAUUGUAGCAAUAAAUUCUUACAAAGAAUAUUUUUCAAAAUAGAAGAGAAAGGCAUAUGGGCAGCUUCCUUGAAAAUGUGAUUAUCAAAUUAGUUUCAAAUCAGGAAACAUGAGAUACAGUAUUUCCAUACACAAGGAUCAUAAGUUAAACACAGAGCCCAAUCCGAUAAAAUCGCCCAACUAAAGCUUCCAUGUACAUUGUUAAGUAAUCAAACAUCAAAUACGAAAAACUAGAUUAUUAGACAAAGGGUAAGUGAAAAACCAUUGUUGAGGACAACCUCCAGAAGACAACCCCCAACCCCCAAGGGUUUCCUUUUCUUUCUCUCCUUCUCCAUUAUAGUCUCAAGGUUCUGGCCACUAAGACAAGGAAAUGAAAAAUAUAGGACAACUUUAUGGUAAUAGGCAUAUGGAUAGAAAUAUCGACAAACCCAUUAACAGAAGUCCUGAAUUAGCCAAACGAGAAAUGAAUAUUUCAGUUCAAAAAAUUGAUGAGUCGGGUAAAACCAAAAGCACAAACUUUUAAUUAAAGGAUUGCAAUAUUUACAUAAAACCAAACUCAAACUCCUGUUACACACACAGAGAUCUAGAAUUUCACAUUUGGUGCACAUAUCAGCAAUGAGGACCAGAUUUGAAGGGGGGAAAAGCUGCUCAAUAGGGAGUUCGUGGCAAAACAAGUUUUCCUCAGAAAUCGACUUGGAAAGUGAGAAUUCCAAUUAGAGUUUCUCUUUUUGCUUGGGAAGCAACCUGGGAACAACUCCUUACUUUAUAAAUGAGACAAAAUACUGGUUAAUAGGUGUUUCCUCAUCAAAAGGAGGCAGAGUCCGCAUGGCAUCCCCUCCUUCAUUGUUCUUGGAAAGAAUGGUUUGGACAGUUUCCUAUGCUUGUGCCAUGUUAUCUUGGGUUAUCAGAGGUUUUAUUGAGCAAGAACUGUGGGCAUGACAGGGCAUUCGUUUACAGCACAACAAGUGGGAUUAACUCAAUUCCCCUGUUUCUUUUGGCUGAUUUGGAAGGCGUGGAGCAAGAGAGCUUCUGAUGGAGAGAAAUCAUCCGUUUUCUUUUAUUGAAAUUUGGCUUAAAGUCACACGCUUUUGGUAUAGAGCAGACUUGCGUAUGGAUGUAAAUGCCCUGGUUGAUUAGUCAAUGAUUGACCUGGUAUUUGAGCUCCCUUUUGGCUUUGGGAGUUGUUUUGUAUAUGGCUUUAAUUUUUUUGGGCUCCUUUGGUAUAUGGGUUGCACCCCAUAGGUGCCCUACAGGUGAACUAUAUAAUCUAUAAAAAGAAACUUCACACUUUUUUGAGGAUUUUAACUUAUUCCAAUUGCCCUUUAUUCCAACACAUGUUAUCUCAUCCUAUAAUUUCAAGUACCGACAUCAACAUCUCACUUUUUUGCGAGUAACGUCACCAUGACAAAAGGGUGCCGCUAAGUCAAGAUCGAAAAAGUUCAAAAGAAAUGUUGGAUCCAAAGAGCUACCACCACACUACCAGAAAAGGAGCAAUACUAGGGACUAAGAGUAGUAUACAAAACUGAUUUGAAGAGGAAAAAUGUGAGUAUAAUGCGUCAGUAGGUCUCAAACACCUAAUAUGAAUCUAUCUGGCAUGCAACUUAGUAAAACCAAUUNNNNNNNNNNNNNNNNNNNNNNNNNNNNNNNNNNNNNNNNNNNNNNNNNNNNNNNNNNNNNNNNNNNNNNNNNNNNNNNNNNNNNNNNNNNNNNNNNNNNNNNNNNNNNNNNNNNNNNNNNNNNNNNNNNNNNNNNNNNNNNNNNNNNNNNNNNNNNNNNNNNNNNNNNNNNNNNNNNNNNNNNNNNNNNNNNNNNNNNNNNNNNNNNNNNNNNNNNNNNNNNNNNNNNNNNNNNNNNNNNNNNNNNNNNNNNNNNNNNNNNNNNNNNNNNNNNNNNNNNNNNNNNNNNNNNNNNNNNNNNNNNNNNNNNNNNNNNNNNNNNNNNNNNNNNNNNNNNNNNNNNNNNNNNNNNNNNNNNNNNNNNNNNNNNNNNNNNNNNNNNNNNNNNNNNNNNNNNNNNNNNNNNNNNNNNNNNNNNNNNNNNNNNNNNNNNNNNNNNNNNNNNNNNNNNNNNNNNNNNNNNNNNNNNNNNNNNNNNNNNNNNNNNNNNNNNNNNNNNNNNNNNNNNNNNNNNNNNNNNNNNNNNNNNNNNNNNNNNNNNNNNNNNNNNNNNNNNNNNNNNNNNNNNNNNNNNNNNNNNNNNNNNNNNNNNNNNNNNNNNNNNNNNNNNNNNNNNNNNNNNNNNNNNNNNNNNNNNNNNNNNNNNNNNNNNNNNNNNNNNNNNNNNNNNNNNNNNNNNNNNNNNNNNNNNNNNNNNNNNNNNNNNNNNNNNNNNNNNNNNNNNNNNNNNNNNNNNNNNNNNNNNNNNNNNNNNNNNNNNNNNNNNNNNNNNNNNNNNNNNNNNNNNNNNNNNNNNNNNNNNNNNNNNNNNNNNNNNNNNNNNNNNNNNNNNNNNNNNNNNNNNNNNNNNNNNNNNNNNNNNNNNNNNNNNNNNNNNNNNNNNNNNNNNNNNNNNNNNNNNNNNNNNNNNNNNNNNNNNNNNNNNNNNNNNNNNNNNNNNNNNNNNNNNNNNNNNNNNNNNNNNNNNNNNNNNNNNNNNNNNNNNNNNNNNNNNNNNNNNNNNNNNNNNNNNNNNNNNNNNNNNNNNNNNNNNNNNNNNNNNNNNNNNNNNNNNNNNNNNNNNNNNNNNNNNNNNNNNNNNNNNNNNNNNNNNNNNNNNNNNNNNNNNNNNNNNNNNNNNNNNNNNNNNNNNNNNNNNNNNNNNNNNNNNNNNNNNNNNNNNNNNNNNNNNNNNNNNNNNNNNNNNNNNNNNNNNNNNNNNNNNNNNNNNNNNNNNNNNNNNNNNNNNNNNNNNNNNNNNNNNNNNNNNNNNNNNNNNNNNNNNNNNNNNNNNNNNNNNNNNNNNNNNNNNNNNNNNNNNNNNNNNNNNNNNNNNNNNNNNNNNNNNNNNNNNNNNNNNNNNNNNNNNNNNNNNNNNNNNNNNNNNNNNNNNNNNNNNNNNNNNNNNNNNNNNNNNNNNNNNNNNNNNNNNNNNNNNNNNNNNNNNNNNNNNNNNNNNNNNNNNNNNNNNNNNNNNNNNNNNNNNNNNNNNNNNNNNNNNNNNNNNNNNNNNNNNNNNNNNNNNNNNNNNNNNNNNNNNNNNNNNNNNNNNNNNNNNNNNNNNNNNNNNNNNNNNNNNNNNNNNNNNNNNNNNNNNNNNNNNNNNNNNNNNNNNNNNNNNNNNNNNNNNNNNNNNNNNNNNNNNNNNNNNNNNNNNNNNNNNNNNNNNNNNNNNNNNNNNNNNNNNNNNNNNNNNNNNNNNNNNNNNNNNNNNNNNNNNNNNNNNNNNNNNNNNNNNNNNNNNNNNNNNNNNNNNNNNNNNNNNNNNNNNNNNNNNNNNNNNNNNNNNNNNNNNNNNNNNNNNNNNNNNNNNNNNNNNNNNNNNNNNNNNNNNNNNNNNNNNNNNNNNNNNNNNNNNNNNNNNNNNNNNNNNNNNNNNNNNNNNNNNNNNNNNNNNNNNNNNNNNNNNNNNNNNNNNNNNNNNNNNNNNNNNNNNNNNNNNNNNNNNNNNNNNNNNNNNNNNNNNNNNNNNNNNNNNNNNNNNNNNNNNNNNNNNNNNNNNNNNNNNNNNNNNNNNNNNNNNNNNNNNNNNNNNNNNNNNNNNNNNNNNNNNNNNNNNNNNNNNNNNNNNNNNNNNNNNNNNNNNNNNNNNNNNNNNNNNNNNNNNNNNNNNNNNNNNNNNNNNNNNNNNNNNNNNNNNNNNNNNNNNNNNNNNNNNNNNNNNNNNNNNNNNNNNNNNNNNNNNNNNNNNNNNNNNNNNNNNNNNNNNNNNNNNNNNNNNNNNNNNNNNNNNNNNNNNNNNNNNNNNNNNNNNNNNNNNNNNNNNNNNNNNNNNNNNNNNNNNNNNNNNNNNNNNNNNNNNNNNNNNNNNNNNNNNNNNNNNNNNNNNNNNNNNNNNNNNNNNNNNNNNNNNNNNNNNNNNNNNNNNNNNNNNNNNNNNNNNNNNNNNNNNNNNNNNNNNNNNNNNNNNNNNNNNNNNNNNNNNNNNNNNNNNNNNNNNNNNNNNNNNNNNNNNNNNNNNNNNNNNNNNNNNNNNNNNNNNNNNNNNNNNNNNNNNNNNNNNNNNNNNNNNNNNNNNNNNNNNNNNNNNNNNNNNNNNNNNNNNNNNNNNNNNNNNNNNNNNNNNNNNNNNNNNNNNNNNNNNNNNNNNNNNNNNNNNNNNNNNNNNNNNNNNNNNNNNNNNNNNNNNNNNNNNNNNNNNNNNNNNNNNNNNNNNNNNNNNNNNNNNNNNNNNNNNNNNNNNNNNNNNNNNNNNNNNNNNNNNNNNNNNNNNNNNNNNNNNNNNNNNNNNNNNNNNNNNNNNNNNNNNNNNNNNNNNNNNNNNNNNNNNNNNNNNNNNNNNNNNNNNNNNNNNNNNNNNNNNNNNNNNNNNNNNNNNNNNNNNNNNNNNNNNNNNNNNNNNNNNNNNNNNNNNNNNNNNNNNNNNNNNNNNNNNNNNNNNNNNNNNNNNNNNNNNNNNNNNNNNNNNNNNNNNNNNNNNNNNNNNNNNNNNNNNNNNNNNNNNNNNNNNNNNNNNNNNNNNNNNNNNNNNNNNNNNNNNNNNNNNNNNNNNNNNNNNNNNNNNNNNNNNNNNNNNNNNNNNNNNNNNNNNNNNNNNNNNNNNNNNNNNNNNNNNNNNNNNNNNNNNNNNNNNNNNNNNNNNNNNNNNNNNNNNNNNNNNNNNNNNNNNNNNNNNNNNNNNNNNNNNNNNNNNNNNNNNNNNNNNNNNNNNNNNNNNNNNNNNNNNNNNNNNNNNNNNNNNNNNNNNNNNNNNNNNNNNNNNNNNNNNNNNNNNNNNNNNNNNNNNNNNNNNNNNNNNNNNNNNNNNNNNNNNNNNNNNNNNNNNNNNNNNNNNNNNNNNNNNNNNNNNNNNNNNNNNNNNNNNNNNNNNNNNNNNNNNNNNNNNNNNNNNNNNNNNNNNNNNNNNNNNNNNNNNNNNNNNNNNNNNNNNNNNNNNNNNNNNNNNNNNNNNNNNNNNNNNNNNNNNNNNNNNNNNNNNNNNNNNNNNNNNNNNNNNNNNNNNNNNNNNNNNNNNNNNNNNNNNNNNNNNNNNNNNNNNNNNNNNNNNNNNNNNNNNNNNNNNNNNNNNNNNNNNNNNNNNNNNNNNNNNNNNNNNNNNNNNNNNNNNNNNNNNNNNNNNNNNNNNNNNNNNNNNNNNNNNNNNNNNNNNNNNNNNNNNNNNNNNNNNNNNNNNNNNNNNNNNNNNNNNNNNNNNNNNNNNNNNNNNNNNNNNNNNNNNNNNNNNNNUUCAAAUUUCGGCUAAUUUGUCCGCAUCCCCAUGACUUGUAUUUCUUCCAGCCUCCCGGAUUUUGGAGGGUCUAGCAUUUCCAUUGAAAUGCACCCUUUGAUAUCUAGCCUUUCCAAAUACUCCAACCUAUCAAGGCCUUGAAUUUUGGCUAAUUCGUAGCAUACCCUAAUAGUCAAUUUCUUCAGACCCUCGAGUUUUGUAAGGUCCACCUGUUUGAUUGAAUGGCAGCCUGUGAUAUCCAAGCUUUCCAAAUAUAUCAAUUUGUCAAGAACUAGAAUUUCAAGUAGAGCACAAACGCAGACAACUAAUGUCCUUAGAUAGACAAACUGUGAAACAUCCAACAUUUUGAUAGAUCCACAGCUACGGACUUCCAAGAAUUCGAACUUGAAGGGCGUGUUUAGGGAUUGUGGUGAUUCCAUUUCUUCAAUGUCCGUCGGUUGGGAGCAUUCUGAACUCUUUAAUUGCGUUGAUGGAAGCUCCUGGAUGCACUGGAUAAAUCCGCAAACCUCAACUUGUAGUUGCUUGAGAUGGGCUAGGUGGGAAAGCGAAGGCAAUUUGCGACUUUGACAAGUGACACCCAAAUAUGUUAAGCCGGAAGGAAGCUCCGGCAGCGAUUGGAGCUUGUUGCAGUAUCUAAAAUCAAGGCGUCGUAGGGAAGAAAGAUUAGCCAUGCUUUCUACUAGUAUCCCUUUCAGAUUCAUGCACCGGGAAGCACGUAACUCUCGGAGCUUUCUCAGACUCCCAAUACCAUUGGGUAAUUCUUCUAUACCACUUUCAGAAAUAUCUAGAAUCUCUAGAUUCUCCAAAGACCCUAUGCUAUUUGGUAAUGCAGAAAGGGAUCUAGUACCGGAUAGAUCGAGUUGUCGCAGUGAUUUUAAUUUACCUAUUUCUGCUGGAAGCUCCCCAAGGCAGAAACGAGGAACGGGGCGUUCGGCGCUUGCGUCGGCGCCUCCCACGAGAUGAAGCGCGUAGGACGAGCACAGCUCCAAGCGAAGGAGGCCCUCCGUGUCUUCAAUGGAAGCGUCGAUUCGCUUCAGUGCAGUACACCCCCCGAGGAUGAGAACCUCUAACUUCUCAAAAGCUGAGACGAAGUCAAUAUUUUCCAAGGAACGACAAAUGAAAGGUCUAGAUAUUUAAGCUUCUUUGCCAUCUACGAAAAAAAAAAAAAAAACAUAAUGAAUGUUGAUGGGUGAGUGUAGAGUCAUUAUGAUUCAAAGAAAUCAUAAAGAGAGGAAAAAAAAAGAGUUUAUUCUUACCUUGAAAAACUCCNNNNNNNNNNNNNNNNNNNNNNNNNNNNNNNNNNNNNNNNNNNNNNNNNNNNNNNNNNNNNNNNNNNNNNNNNNNNNNNNNNNNNNNNNNNNNNNNNNNNAUUCUCCUUGCAAUCAAGUAUAGCUAAUUCCGGCAUGUGAAAAUUGUUUACUUCAAAACUCGCGGGACAUUUUCGCCAUCGAAGCCAUUUUAACUCCUCCAUUGAGUCCUUAAAAUCUCCACUGAGAUGUGCCCCUUUCAUGAAAAGGAAUCUUAGACUCGUCAAUUUUUUGAAUUGUUCUGCUGUGUAAUUGUCGCCAUCUCGCUCGACUAUUUUGCCGAGGCCUUCUGAGUUGCCUUUACUUAGAUCGAUGGCCUCAAUGUUGUCCGUUCCCUGCAAGCAAGAAUCAACGUUUAUUAAUACUAAAUCCAACUAAAGUAAUCUAAUAUUAUUUGUUCAUAUUGUGAUUGACGUGCAUUAAUGUGUUCAAGAGACCAGCAAUGCGAAGAUAUGAUUUUUCUUUUUAUGCCAAUAAACUACAAUUAUAAAGGCUCACAAAGUGAAGGAUGUGGACUUCCAUUUUGAAAUUUGGCCAUACGCAUCUGGAUCUUAAAAAGAAUUAUGAUGUAAUGGCUCGUGUAGAGUAAAAACUUUACAACUUGUAAUCUUCUUCUUUCUGGAACUGUAGUUUCAUUAUCCCACCUAGUUAAGACAUCCAUGCAAUGCACGGAAUAUAAUCAAAUUGCUAAGUGCAAAAUCAAAUUUUACUUGGUCAAUUUUGUAUUUCUAUUAAGGAGACUUUUUCUAUUAAGCAAUGCAUGGGUGAAAGGAUAGAUAAAGGGAGAAAAACCUCAGAAGCAGCGAUUUCGCGAGCAAAACUUACCACAGAUUCGGUGUUAUUAAGGAGACUUCUAGCAAAAAAAAAAAAACAUAUAGUUUAAAAAGUCAAAAAUAAAACUCCUUUUCUUUUUUUUCUUUUUUUAUUUCAACGCAUUCAUGACGCUUCAAAAUGGAAAUAAUUGUUCCGACUACUCCAAAUGUCAGAAGCGAAGGGGGAAAAUGAAGAGGCCACGAGAUUCCGGGCUAACUGUUUUUGAUGAAAGAAAUUAAUUUCUGGCCAUAGAUUUGGAUAAUUGAAAUAACUCAAAAAGAGUUGUUUCGAGUAACUGUUAUUCUUUAUCUUUUGUUUUUCUCAAGAGCAUGCGCUUUGGCCAAUUUUUUGUGUGGUAUAUCCCUGAAACUUGUUGACACGACGAAUUAUACAUGGUGUUUUUCUGGAAUUUGAGUAUUAUUUGAUCUUUUGACGGGAGAGUAAGAUAUUUACUUUUGGUUUUUUGUUAGUUGUGGCGACCAACCCAUCUCGCCCUCUAUUUCAGCGUGUCCAUUAAAUGCCAAUGACAAAGAAGGAUGAUUAGAUUUUGUCAAAGGUAUGUUGGGAGUACUUGUUAAGUAGCCGGGCUGAAAAAAAAUCUCUUUAUUAAGUGGUUUUUUUAAAAGUAUUGAUUUAACGUAAUACAAGAAAGUAAAAAUUGUGAAAGUCAUCUUAAAAGGAAAACAAAGAUUCUCAGCGAAGAGGGCCAUUUAUCAAGUGGAAAGGUAAUACGCGAAACACAAGAUUUCACUAAUUACUAAAUCAAACAAGAGAUUUAAUACGUGUAUAUAUGUGUGUGUGUAUACUUAUAUUGCAAGGGACGCUUAAUUUCAUAUGAUAGGGAAUGUUAAUAUAUGACAGAAAAACCAUAAAAGGAAAUUCUUUCGAUGAGAGAGCAGCCUCCCUACUUUCUAAUCACGUCAAUGAAACAUUCGAGGGCAAUGGUGAAGGUUCUCAAUACACUAAAGCAAGCACUAAGUAGUGACUAACAAUGCUCUUAACCAUAGAACAUGGACUAAAUGAGAAAAAGAAAUGAAACUGUUACCUUAUUUCCCUUUAGCACUUUUUGGGCUUCCUUAUAGUCCCACAACCUACUACGGCACCAAGGCUUGCGUUGAUUUUCCUCACGAACUAUCUCCCUACCAAGAUCUCUCAACUGGUCAUGCAUUCUGAGCAUAUGAUCAUCUCCAACUUUUAUCAAUGACAUGAAUAUCAAUACUUCAAUUCCUUCCUCUGGGAAAAAGCCACAAGCGUCCCACAUGUAGGAUGUGAUAUUCUUGUCAGUGCCGAUGAAAAAACAAGCAAUAUCCAGAAAUAUUUGUUUUUGCUUAUAGUCUAAUGCUUCAAUACUUAUCCUUAGCUUCUCUUGCACUUUCUGAGGAGGCACUUCUUUUAACUUGCCUAUUGUACCUCUCCAAAAUGGUAGCUCUUUUCCGCACAAUAAUGAACCUAAAACCUCAAGCGAUAAGGGAAGCCCUUUGGUGAUGUAUACAACUUCAUGAGCAAGGACCUCAAAUUCCUUUAGAGGAGAGUCCUUUCGAAAUGCAUGUUUGCUAAACAAAAUCAAAGAUUGAUUGCCAUCCAGUACCUCAUGUUCAUAGUUGUAGUCUACCUUAGCUUCUUCGAGAACCCCCUUGUUUCUGCUGGUAAUAAUGAUCCUACUUCCCGAAGAAAACCAAUCAUGAUUACCAGCCAAACACUUCACCUGAUUGACAUCAUCCACAUCAUCAAGAAGAACGAGGACCUUUUUACGCUUAAACUGGAGGAGAUGAGCUCAAUCCCUUCAUCCUUAGUAACAACUUCAAUUUUAUGCUUCAAUAUAUCAAAGAUUAACCGAUUCUGUAAAUAAUGUACACCAUUACGCUUACACGAUUCCCUUAUAUCAUCAAUGAAGCUAUGAUGCUCAAAUUGAUCGAAGAGUUCAUUGUAGAUGGCUUUAGCAAGCGUAGUCUUACCAAUGCCUCCCAUUCCGUGGAUGCCAACGAAUAGGGUGUCAUGAGAUUUAUUAUGCACAAAUUCCAUAACCUUCUUCACAUGAACAUCAAUUCCGAUCAAAUUCUCAGGAUUGACCAACCCAAACUUUUUCUUCAGUUCGUUCAACACUUUUUGGACAAUCGAUUUCACCAACUCUGCUUCAGAACUGUCAAAUGUGACAAGCGUUCAAAUAUGUAGCAACAAUAAGUUUAUAUUAUUUAUCUAUAGAGAACAUAAUAAAUCUGGGGAUAGAUUGAAAAACUUUAAAUAUCAUUGUUGUCAUACCUCUAUAUGUUAUGAUAUAUGCUAAGUCUAAAGUGUGGUUGCUUCAAAUGGGGUGCCCAUUUCACUGCUACUCUAGCAGGAUUUAUCAAGCCAGGAAAAACUGGAGGGUAUCACUUAUGAAUCUUAAAUAUUGUAUAUAUUAUGGAUUUGAACCAAAUUUAUUAAAGAUAUUAUGGAUGACGUGGAUGUGACUUUAAAAAUUGUUUAGAGCAUUUGAAUAAGCAAAAUCCUAUAAGCCAGCCCAAUAUGAGAGUUAGCUAUCAAUCAAUAAAUAAGUCAUAACAUUUUAUGCAAGUUGAAUUCAGGUCUUGUGACACCAAUCCGAAAAGUUGUUCAAAUUGUGAUAUUGUGAACUACUUGAAAGCAAUUGAAGGGAUUUCUUCUUGUUUGCGCAAUUCUACAGGCUUGCAAGUUUAAAUUGUGUUGUGAAUUUAGUAUCAUUCUAGAUUGGUGCUCUUAUUAGUUUUCAUUGCCUCUAGGGAUGACAACAAGUUGUACUUUAUUUUCCUUUUGAGUAUCUAUGUUCUAUGAUUUUAAUGAUCUAGUAUUGAGUUUAUAGGGAAGUAGAAGAAUAAUUUUUACCCAAAAAAGAACAUUGCUUCAAUAUAUGCAGAUGCAUGAGAUAGAAAUUACUUGUUGAAGAUAGGAAAUGCUUUGAAAAUUAUUUAAACGGACAUAUAAUAAAAAUAAUCAUUUUUUUACCAUCAUCUUAUAUAACCAAUGAAACAUUUCUUUUGUAAAAUAAUUUUAAUAAUAACUAAUCAACGAUAUCAAUGAUUUAAUAAAUGUAACUUGGGAAGAUAAAGAAUUAUGGCAAAGCUUGGACGCUACCAUCUUAUGAGCUUUAAAUAAAAAUUGCCAAUGAGUUGUACUAUUAAUCUCAAAUAAAUAUGUAAUUAGAAAAGUUUCUGACAAGGAUUAAUGUAACGCACCCUAUAAUUAGAUUGGUCAAUAUCAUCAAAGCAAUAAAAUUUAUUCAAGUGAAUGGGGUGCAAGAGUAAAAAAUAUUUUGAUAUAAGAGUAAAAAUUCGUUCAAAAAAUCUUAUUAUUCAAGUGAAUAGGAUCAUAACAAUAAAAUUUAUAAUUAGAUUGGUCAAUAUGGUUAAAGCAGAAAACUAAAGAAGAAAGAAUAACUUAUAGAAUUCAUGCACCGUAGGAUCUUACUGCCAGCAAGAUCUUGCAGUUUUUUUAUAUAUAGAAAAAGAAAGUAAAAUGAAGCAGGUGAGAAUUAGAGAAACCAACAUACCCAACGAAAAAAAAAAGAAUAAUUAGAACAACCAGUAAACACCCCCACAUAUUAAAAGAAAUUAGAGAAUGUUUCGCGAGAAAUUUUACCCUUGGGCUUCGUAUCCUUUCAAGGUGCUGACUUCAAGGAGUGCUUUCUUCCAUUUCUCCAAGGUCACUGCGUCGAAAGAAGACCUCCCCAGCAAACGCUUCUCACGCUUAUGAAAUGCCUCUCCAAAACUCCCGAUUUGAUGUCCCACGUCAGCUGGUUUCACUUUGUAGAAUAUAGGCAACACUAUUUGCCCAUUCUUAUUCUUGCGCUCCAUUAUUUGAACCAGUUCAUCUAGGCACCAACUACUUGUACCAUAAUUCUCUGAGAAAAUGGGGAUUAGAAUCUUACUGCUCGUGAUGGCUUUCAUAAGCACUGGUCUGAUGUCCUCACCAUGGCAAAGCUCAUCAUCGUCUCUGAAAGUGUGAAUUCCGGCUCUAAGGAGCCCAUCGUAGAGGUGAUCGGUGAAGCCAUCUCGAGUAUCCGGGCCUCUAAAACUCAAGAAUACCUCAUAGCAGUUUCCAGUCAACGAACUAGAUGCACCGUUGUUCGCUUUUGUCAGGGACGGACUGGAUCCAUCAGAAUUAGUUUCCGUUGGUGCAGCCAUCGAACUAGAUGCACCGUUGUUAGCUUUUGUCGGAGACGGACUGGAUCCAUCGGAAUUAGUUUCCGUUGGUGCAGCCAUCGAACCAGAUGCACCAGUAUCAACAUCUUCUGCCUUUCCACGCACACUAGCUCUCUUCUUAUUGAGAAAAUAGAGCGUGAGGCCGGGGAGAAGGAUCAGUGCCACGAUCUCGGCAAAAGAACACUCGAAAAUGGGACGAUGCAUUUCGUCUUUGCUCUGACUCUACCCUUGAUUUUCACUUUCAAGUGUGGUAGAGAAAAAAAUCGGAAUGCCUCUCAGGAAACAGGAAAUGCGUUCUCGUUGCCCAUUCUCUUUGCGGUUUGAUUUAUAUAAUGGAGCCACCGACCAAAAUCGCGCCAAAAAGUCAAGCUUUGUCAACCGCGUGCUUAGAGUCGUUGCCUUCACGUGGCUGAAAUCUCAAUGCAGAAGAGAAUCCAAAGAUAACACGCAUAGAACGGUGGGUCUGUUGGGAAGAUGAAAAGUGGAGAGAGAAUUGGGACGAGACUCCGACAUGGAUUUUCGGGAGAAAAUGAAAAGUGGGGGGGAGAGAUGGAGAGCGAGAUUCGUCCAUUCCACUAAUUUUCCAAACAAGUGCUCGGUAACAGACAAAAUAUGCAAAGCGUCAGGACAAAGGACAAUGAAGAGGGCACGCUUGGUCCACUGCUUGCACAUUUAACUUUCCUCUUUCUUCUGUUAAUUUAUUUUCCAACAGCAAAGGUAUUUUUUUGUUAAAUAUAUGUAAGCUCUUAAUCCCACUUAGGAAUUUACCCCUCGUACUUUCAGCCUAUUAAAAAUUGUGCAAUCAAACUGACAAACUUUAAUUUAAUAAUGAAAUGUUGCAUUAUUAACAAUAAUUUAUUCUAAAAAAUUAUGUUAUUAACACAAUAGAGCAUCGGAAAAGUUAUUAACAUGCAUAUAUAUAUAGUACCUAAGCACAAUGAAAAGAAUUUCUUUAUUGCUCUAGUUUUGUCUUGCCUUUUUGCUUUUGCUUUUGUUUUAUUUUAUUAUAUAUCUUUAUUGAUUUGAUUUAUCUAACCAACCAAUUGGGCAUGCAUUCAUAAUUUAAACUUACCGGACUAGACAUAAAUUAGUAAUUCAUUGACCGGGAUCACUAAACAUGCAUUUAUGGUCGUUGCCUUAGUGUAGUGGAAGUUUCAAUGCACAGGAAAGAUGAACUUUAAGGAAAUUUAGAUGCUACAAGUAGAUUAAUCUUUCGGUGAAAUUGCGACUUUUUGCUCUCCAUCAUUUCCUCAUGCGUGUUCCGAUAAUUCUCUCUCUCUUCAUUUUUUUUCUUUUCACCUCCUCUGUUCUUCUUUUCUGACCAAUUUCUCAAUUUUCUUUAUAAUUAAAAAAAAAAAGCUUUCUCUCUUUUGCUGACCAUAACCGUCUCUCUAUAUCUCCUUUUCUUCAUCGUGAAGAAAAGCUCAAUCCUUUCCUUUUUUGAGCUCUCUCGGGUAAUGAUUGCAUGCGGAAAAAUCACCCACCCAAUGGGGCGAGAAUCCUCUGCUUUUUUCAAGCCUAGAUUUUCUUCUCUUCUUUGGCCAUGAAUUUCAGUCCCUCGAUGCCAAGAUUGUCUUCUUUGGUCUUUUUAGACAAAAAAAAAAAAAGUUGUUAAGGCUAGAAUUAAACCGAAUGCAAAAUUUGAGGGUUUUUAGAAAAUUAGGAAGAGGGAAGAGAAAUUCGAGAAGCUUUACUUGUUUUAAUCAUCUAGGGGCAGAUUUGUAAUUAGAUAGCAUAUAAUUUUCUUUUUGCACCCUCACCUAGUGGCUGAGUUCCAUCCGUUCUUGCUUAACCUGAGGCUACCCCCCUCUUCUUUACCGAUUUUUUGUCUACUUUUUAUUUUGAAUGAGUGGCUUGCUCCCAACUCUUUUCUCUUACUUUUUGAUUUCACAAUUUCUUAAUCAACCCAAAGUGAAAUUAAUAAAUCUCAAUUUUCAAUUUUGCCGGCUAUGGUUUUCCUUGGUUUAGUUUAGGGAUUGCUGUACUGUUUUGCCCCUGUUCUUGUCUUGGUCAAAAAGUGGGUCUUUCUUUUUUCUUUAAAAAGAGAUAUAAAGAGAUAACGGAGGGGACGCAACGGGGAGAGAAAGGAAAAGAAACGGAAAAUAAGAGGAAGAAACGGACAGAAGAGGGGAAAAAAACAAGAGAAAGAGGGCUUUGCACAAACAUGAGACCUCAACAAGUCAGAUUUUUUUUUAUUUGCAAUGCCAAAUCUUUUGUUCAUCUAAUCAGAGUUUUUUUUUAGAAUUAUAUUUGACUUACAAAAUCCAAUUUUGAAGUUUUUAAACUGUGAAAGUAAAUGCAUUUUGAAGUUAUGAGAUUUGACGAAAGAUGAUUAGAAGUAACAUUUCGUUAGAGCGAAAUUUUCGAGUUUUGCAUGCAAAAUUUUGAAAAAUCACAUCUGUGAGCAAUUUGUUGAUGUGUGAGAAUCAUUUGUUGGAGAGCAAGUUUUCUCCGAAGGGGUGGUCUGUGAGAAUAAUCUAUCACCAUCGACAAUGACUUUUGCAAGGUCUCCAACGCUUAUCACCCUUGCGUCCUCCAAUCUUCAAAGAUAAAAUGAUUUAUCUUACUUUGGUUCUAACUUGAACAAAAGUUGCACAACUUCAAAGCAGUGCUGAACUUGGAUUUCGUUUUUGGCUUUGAAAUUAAAAUGAUGACGAAAUUUAAUCGUGAGGAGUAAAAUUCUUUGAAAUUAAAGUGUAAAAGGAAAAGCGAACUUGGAGAAAACGUGGGUAUCACGAAAGUAGAUUAAACGAACUUUUGCUCUGUCCUUCCGUGACGCGCGCCUUGACAACUCUCUCUCUCUCUCUCCAUUUUUUCUUUGCACCUCCACUGCUCUUCCUUUUCCUUCUUUUCUUUUGCCGACCACUUUCUCAAAUUUCUUUAUAAAAGCUUUAUGUCUUUUUACGACCACAAGGUCCACAACCCUCUCUCUCUAUCUGCUUUUCUUGGCCAUGCAGAAAAACUCGUUCCUUUUCUUUUUCAAUCUCCCCUUGGCAAUCAUUACGUGCUGAAAUAUCGGCCACCCCACUUGGGCGAGAAUGCUUUGCCUUUUUUUAAGCUAAGAUUUUCUCGACUUCUUUGACCGGGAAUUCCGGUCUCUGAAUGCCAAAAUUACCCCCCUUGUCAAGAUGCAAAUUGCUCUUUAGCGACCUUGUCCUUAAGGUUCUUCUCAUUAUUCGGAGCACAUUUGGGGCUGAAUAUAAAAUUUGGAAAGUUUUUUAGACGAAAAAAUUGAUGAUUGAUAUAACAUUGAGUUUAAAGUUGAGAAUUUUUUGAAAAAAAAUUUGAGAUAAAAUUAAGAUUGAACUUAAAAUUUGAGGGUUUUCAAGGAAUUAGGACCGUAUAAAAUGAGGAAAGAGAAAGUCAAGGACUUCACCAUCGUCCGGAGGGGCAUAUUUAUAAUUAGAUAGCAUAUGAAAAUUUUAUUUUUACCCCAGCUCACGAUGGCUGGGUCCAACAAGUCCUUCCUUAACUUGAGGCUAUAGCUCUUUUCUACCAAGUUUUUAUCCAUUUCUUAUUGCAAAUGAGUGGCCAAGCCCACUACUCUCCCCUCUAUUUAAUUAUGAAGUUACCAAUUAAUCAUUUAAUCAAAUUUAUUGAUGUCACAAUUUCUUAAUCAACCCAAAGCCAAAUUCAUAAAUUUUUUCCAAAUUUUUUUCUUGGUUUAGUUUAGUGGUUGCAAUCUACCUCGACACCUAUAAUUUGUAAACCAUGUUAAUUCAAAUAUCUAUAUUAUUGAAUGGAACUAAUAUGUGCAGUGUUAGUUCAAUAUUUUAAAUAAUGCUUUAACAUAAUGCAUGCGGUUCCCCUUAAAUAAUGAGGGAUAGCUAUGUUAAUGAAAAUGUAAAUAGGUUUUACUUACCACCAAUAAUACACCUAGGCAUAUUACUCUCAUCCAACAUUUUAUAUAGAUCUAUUUGUAGGUGACUAUCUUUAUAAAUAUGUUAAAUAUAUUUUACUGAUCGCUCAAAAUAUAUCUAAGCAUAUUAACAUUGUUAUUCAACUUGGUUGGUGCAAGAUGUGAAGCAAUUUGUAUGUUCAAUAGAAGAAGCUGUAUUUUGAUAUCCACUUGUGACAAUGCAAGUUAAAGGAAUUAUCAGUGCUAUUUAUAUACCAACAAUCCAAACUAAAUUGUCGGUAAUUGAAAUUGUGAAGUGUUAAGAAAAAAACAAAAGAGUGCUCAUGGCACGAGCACUCCUUUUAUGGUAUCGAUUUACAACACUUUACCAGUGCUAAAUUAUCACAUCAGUUUCCUUCUUAUUGAGAAAAUUGAACGCAAGCAUGGAGAGAAGGAUUGAUGCCAUGAACACGGCAAAAGAAUGCCCAAAAAUGGGACAACGCAUUUCGGCUUUGCUCUGGCUCUGUCCUUGAUUUUCCCCUUCAAGUCCGAUGGUAAAAAAUACAGAUUGCAUCUCAAGAAAUAGAAAAUGCCUUCUUGUUGCCCUCUCUUGUGGUUUGAUUUAUGCAAUGGAACCAGUUUGCAAUCAGAACUCGCACCAAUAAGUCAAGCUUCGUGGACCAUGUGCUUAGAGAUGUUGCCUUUACGCGGCUGAAAUCUCAGUCCACAAGAGAAUCCAAAGAGACUUGGGAUGAGACUUGACAUGGAUUUGCGAGGGAAAAUGAAAAGUGGAUGAGAGAGAGAUAGAGAGAUUCGUCCUUUUCAAUAAUUUUCAGACAAGUGCUCAGUAAAUGAUAAAAACACACAAGGCGUUAAUACAUUGAAGAGGGCACGCUUGGUCAGUCAGCUGCUUGCACCGUUGAACUUUCCUCUUUCUUUAUUGAUUUAUUUUCCAUCGGAAAAAGUAUUUUUGUUAAAUAUAUUUAAGCUCGUAAUCUCACUUAGGAAUUUACCCCUCUUGCUUUAAGUCCGUUAAAUAUUAUACAGUUAAAUCGAUAAACUUCAGUUUAAUACUGAAAUGAUGGAUUAGCGAUAAUUUAUUCUGAAAAUUUAUGUUAUCAACACGUGUCGCGGAUCAUAAAAGAUUAUCAGCCUAAUGAGAAUAAUUUCUUUUUUGCUUAGGUCCUAUCUUAAUUUUUCCUUCAAGUUUCGUAAAUAAAUCAAAAUAUAUUUUUGCUUUUGCUUUUGCUUUUACUCAUUGGUUUGAUUCAUCUAAUCCAACCAGUUGAUAUGCUCUUAUAAUCCAAAUUUGCUGAACUAGAUGUAAAUUAGUAAUUCAUUAGCCUAGACCAUUAAAUAUGCAUUUAUGGUCGUUGCCGUGGAGUGGAAGUUUCACUGCACGGGAAAAGUAAAUUUCAAGGAAACGUAGAUGCUAUAAAAGUAGAUUAACAAUUUUUUCUGUAAAAUUGCAACUUUUUACUCUGUCCUUUCUCCACGCGUGCCCUGACAAUUCUGUCUCUCUUUCUUCAUUUUUCUUAUUUUCACAUCCUACGUUCUUUUUUCUUUCCUUUCUUUUGCGGACCACUUUCUCAGUUUUUCUUCGUAAAAGCUUUUCUCUCUUUUGCCGACCACAAGCCUCUCUCUGUAUCUCCAUUUCUUGACCGUGACGAAAAGCUCCGUCGUACUUUUUCGUCCUCUUUUGACAAUGAUCGCACGCUGAAAAAUUGCCCACCCCAUUUGGCCGAGAACCCUUUGCUUUUUCCAUGCCCAUAUUUUCUUGUCUUCUUUGGCCGUGAAUUCCGGUCCCUGAAUGCGGAGAUUACCCCCUUGUCAAGAUGGAAAUUGCUCUCUUGACCGUGUCCUCAAGGUACUUGUGGUUAUUUGAGGUUCAUUUGAAACUGAACAUAAAUUUCGAAAAUUCUUUUUAGAUGAAAAACCGGGGGUCGAUGUAGCCUUGGGAUUAAAGUCGAGGGGAGACAAAAAAAAAAAAAGUUAGGGAUAAAAUUAAAAUUGACCUAAAAUUUGUGGGUCUUUAGGUAACUAGGACUGUAUAGACAGAGGGAAGCAAAGCUUCACCGGUUUUGAAAAUCCAUGGGCAGAUUUGUAAUUAGAUAGCAUGUAAUAAUUUUCUUUCUCCUCUGUUGAUAGAUGGGUCCCACCAGUUCUUGCUUUUUGUCAUUUCUUAUGUCGAAUGAGUGGCUGGCCCACCAGGUCUUCUCCUAGUUAAUUAUGAAAUUACCUAUUUAAUCAUUUAAUCAAAUUUAUUGAUUUCAAUUUUUUGAUCAACCCAAAGCCAAAUUGACUCAAUUUUUUUUCUAGCCAAUGUUUUUCUUGGUUUUAAUAAAUAAGCUCCGAUAAAAUAUUGAUACCCGUAUAAACAGUGGAUUUGUUGGGAAGAUAAAAAGUGGAAAGAGACUUUGGACGAGUCUUCGUUGAACUUAGUCCAUCGCAUGCACUGUUGAACUUUCCGUUUCCUUUCCUUUUGUUAAGUUAUUUUCCACUGAAAAUGGUAUUUUUAUUGAAUAUAUUUAAGCUCUCGAUCCCACUUAUAAAUUUAAUCCCUCUCACUUUACGCCCGUUAAAUAUUAUACUAUUAAAAUGAUAAACUUCAUUUCAAUAUUUAUAAAUUUAAUGAGAUAACAUGUGUCAAAGAUCACAAAAAAUUGUCAACAUGCUAUAUAUAUUUAAUCCCUCUCACUUUACGCCCGUUAAAUAUUAUACUAUUAAAAUGAUAAACUUCAUUUCAAUAUUUAUAAAUUUAAUGAGAUAACAUGUGUCAAAGAUCACAAAAAAUUGUCAACAUGCUAUAUAUAUUUAUUCUGUACCUAGCACAGUGAGAAGAAUUUCUUUUUGCUUUGGCUAUGCCUUAAUUUCUCCUUCGAAUCUCAUAAAUUAAUCAAAAUGCCUUUUUGCUUUUGCUCUUGCUUUAUUUUAUAUAUAUUUCUCUAUCAAUUUGAUUUAUCUAAAUCGAUCAGUUGACAUAUAUUGAUAAUUCAAAUUUGCCAAGCUAGAUAUAAAUACGUAAUUCGUUGACUGGGAACCUCGACUAUGCAUUUAUAGUCGUUGCCUUAAUGUUGGGGAAGUUUCAAAGGAUAGGAGAAUCCAAGGCGAUCCUUCCCGGAAGAAAAUAACAUGUGAGCAAGUCUCGAUGCAAAAGCAAUGAAACAAAUAAAACCAAAAAUAAAAGAGGACUGCUUUAUUUAUUUGUAUCCAUAGAAAGUGGUCAUAAAGCGUCAGGAUAAUUGGUGCACCAUUGCACUUUCCUUUGCUUUUAUUUAUUUAUUUAUUUAUUUUCCAUCGGAAAAGUUACUUUUGUUGAAUAUAUUUAAACUCUCGAUCCCAGAUACAAAUUUAACUCGAAUCAGUUAGGUAUUACCAUAUCAAACUGAUGAAUGUCAUUUCCCUAUCGAGAUGCUACAUUAUCAACGAUCACUUAAUAUAAAGACUUCAGAUGUGUAUAAAUCCAAAAAGGGUAAGGAGGAAAACUCUAGUGACUUGAUAUCCUAAAUACUUGUAGGAUUCCUUGCGUUUCUCCCUUUGUUGUUUCUUGGACAAACAAAAGGGCAGCCAAUAGCAUUGAAUUAGACCCAACGAAGAACAGACUGAAACGACUUUCAAUGACACACAAUUUUUUACACACAUUUUUUACACCCAAGAGCCAGAUUGGGAGGAUGAGCUCCUAAUUUCUGGAAUCAGGACCAAACCAGUUUGUCAUGGGCACUAAAAGAGAUACCUAACAACCAGCCCUAUCAAGGAAGAAGAGAAAAUAGGUGGGGUCCACCACCUAAAUCUUAUUUCUUUUAGUGAAAAUAAUACUUUUGGCAUGAAUUCAAACCCCAUUAUAAGAACCUUUUUCCCUUCAUCCUAGAAAAUUAAGGAACUAGAAAUAGGUAUUUUUAUCAUAUUAAAUAACAGUUUUACCUCAUCUCAUUCAUUGGGAUCAUAAUAUUAGGUAAGAGAUCAUAAUAUUAGGUAAGGGUACAGUGAAUAUUUUAAGAGAGGGCAAGAAGUUCUCAAGUUUUCUGUUUUAUAUUUGUAUAAAUAGAUAAUGUUUAAAACUUAAAUAAAGCUUUUCAACCAUAGACACUUCACUAAUUAUAAUUCCACAAAGUUUAUAGAGCUAUUUCCUUACCUACAUAGUACCAAUAAUCGCCUCAUCUUUUGGAUUACGAUAAUUUUAAAAGCAAAGUACUUAAUUUCAAAUAUGUUGAGUAUAUAAUUGAAAUGAAUAAAUUUGAAUUUACUUUUUUUUUAUAAAUAUUAUGGAACGAUCAUGCCCAUGCUUCUUCUAAAAUGAAUUUAUUGUUUUGUUUGGACAAAAGGAUAAUCUAGAAGAGUACAAGCUCUCAUGUACAAGCUUUUAUGGUGCCUACAUGCACAAGCCUUCUAAGAAAGUAAACUUUUGAUCAUCGUAUUCCUGUGAAUGUUCGAUUUUAAUCCUUAUAAAUUAUUUUAAUGACAAAACAAGUCAAAAAUAUAUUUGUUGGAUUGAUUAAAUGUUUUUGACCCUUUAACAAAUUAAAUUCAUUUCCUUAGAUAAUCCAAAUCAAGCACAUUUGUGUGCCCUUUUUUGCUAGUGAGUUGAAUAAGCAAACUAAUCUAGGUGGACUGAUUCCUCAUUUUGGACAUAACUUUUCAUAUCACUUUGUUAAUGUGGAUUUUUUAUUGACAUAGAAAUGUCAUGUCAAACAACUAACAAUGUUUUUGAAUGUAAGGUUAAUGAUGUAGAUUUGAGACUAGUCAUUAUUUUUUUAAAUAAAAAAUGUUCAGGUUUAGGAUUAGAUUUAAAAUUUGGGAUUUUUUUUAUACAAAACAAUUGGUGGCAGACUUAGGACUCGAUCCAAAGUUGAGGUUUUUUAUCAAAUAAAAAAGUUCGAAGUAGAAUUAAAAUUGGCCUUUGAUAUUUGAGAGUUUUUAGGACAUUAGGCCUAUAUAAAAAAUAGGAAAUAGAAAAUUGAGGAGUUUCACCUGGUUUAAUCAUCCAGUGGCAGAUUUGUAAUUAGAUAGCGUAUAAUUUUCUUUCUGCCCCUUUGCCUAGUGGCUGUAUCUCACAAUCCUUGCUACUGCUCUUCUUUACCAAGUUUUUUUUGUUCACUUCUUAUUUCGAAUGAGAGGCUCACCAGUUUUCUAUCUACUUAAUUGUCAAGUUACUAAUUAUUAUAUCUGCUUUUUUUUUCUGCCCAGAUUUUCUCUUCUUCUUUGGCCGUAAAUUCUGGUCCUAAAUGUCGAGAUUACUCCCUUGUCAAGAUAAAACUGCUCUCGCUUCACCUCGUCCUCGAGGUUCUUGCCCUUGUUCGGGCCGAAUUUUUGAAACUAAAUAUAAAAUUCGAAAUUUUUUAAGACGAAAAAAUUAGGGGAUGAUUUAACAUUGAGUCUAAAAUUAAGAAUUUUCUGAGAUAAAAAAAAAAGUUUGGGUAAAAUUAAAACAGAACCUACAAUUUGAGGGUUUUUAAGAGAUGCAAAGGGAAAAGGUAGAGCACGCACCAGGAGAGAAACAAAAAGAGAGUGGGUUUUGCGUGUAGAUCUCCCCUAGAUUUACUACCAUUCGCGGUGUGCUUUUCGGAAUUAGAGUGCAAAUUAAAAAAAAUAUAUGAAAUUUAUAUUGCGAAAUUCAAUUUUGAAGUUGUUAAGCUGUGAAAGUAAGGGCAUUGUAAGGCGUAAACGGGAGUUGAUUUGAAAUAACAUUUUAGUAGACAAGGUCUGAUAAAAUUUCAAUACUCAUAUAACGGUGGAUUUGUUGGGAAGAAGAAAAGUGGAGAGAGACUUGGGACGAGUCUUCGUUGAACUUAGUCCAUUGCUUGCACCACUGGACUUUCCUUUUCCUUUUGUUAAGUUAUUUUUCUUUGGAAAUGGUAUUUUUAUUGAAUAUUUUUAAUCUCUUGAUCCCACUAAAAAAUUUAAUCCCUCUCACUUUAAGCCUGUUAAAUAUUAUAAUGUUAAAUCGAUAAACUUCAUUUCAAUACUUAUAAGUUCGAUGAGUUAACACAUACAAUUAUCAACAUACUAUAUAUAUUUAUUUGUACCCAAGCAUAAUAAGAAGAAUUUCUUCUGCUAUGGUUCUGCCUUAAUUUUCCCUUCAAAUUUCUAAAUUAAUCAAAAUGCCUUUUCGCUUAUGCUCUUACUUUAUUAUAUAUAUACAUAUUUUUAUUGAUUUGAUUUAUCUAAUUCAAUCAAUUGGCACGUAGCAAUAAUUCAAACUUGCGGAGGUAGAUAUCAAUUACUAAUUUGUUGACUGAGACCACCAACCGUGCAUUUAUAGUCUUUGCCUUCAUGGCGGGAAAGUUUUGAUGGGGUGCAUUUAUAGUCGUUGCCUUCACGGUGGGGAAGUUUUGAUUGAUAGGAGAAUCCAAGGCGAUCCUGCCCCGGAAGAAAAUAAUAUGUGAGCAAGUUUCGACGCAAAAGCAAUUAAAAAAAGUAAAAUAAAAAAAUAAAAGAGAACUACUUUAUUGAUAUCCGUGGAAAACGGUCAUAAUUGAUUAAUACGUGCAAAGCAUCAAGACAAUUGCUGCACCAUUGAACUUGUUUUUUAGGACCCAAAUAAAAACUUUCCUUUUUUUUUAAAAAAUUUAUUUUUCAUCAGAAAAGUUACGUUUGUUGAAUAUAUUUAAACUCUUGAUCCCAAUUAAAAAUUUACCUUGAUCUCAGCCAAUGGCAUUGAAUUAGACCCAUAAUAAAUAUAGUCUAUAAUGAAGAAUAGACCAAAACGACUUCCAAUGAUACAUAACUUUUUUACACACAUCUACCUUAAUUUUGCUAGUAAUUGAAUAUGAUGGCAAAUAGAGUGGGAAGUUUUUCUAAAUAUAAAAUAGGACAUGGACAACCACUUGAAUCCAUCUAGACAAGAAACAUGCAGAUGCAUGGGCCAUUGUUAAAUUUUAUUAUUUCUUGGACUAUCCGAAGAGCUGUCAAUGUUGAAUAAGAACCCGUACGAAGAUAGAUAUUUUCAGAGCCCUUAUUACACGUCUUUGAAGCUGGAGAUCACUUUGAAAACAACUACUCCGUACUUUUUGUCUUUCGUCUUAUCUAACUUCUUUUCCAAGUAGAUUGCGACUUUGAAUUGCUNNNNNNNNNNNNNNNNNNNNNNNNNNNNNNNNNNNNNNNNNNNNNNNNNNNNNNNNNNNNNNNNNNNNNNNNNNNNNNNNNNNNNNNNNNNNNNNNNNNNNNNNNNNNNNNNNNNNNNNNNNNNNNNNNNNNNNNNNNNNNNNNNNACAAAGUGUCAGGACAAUGACGAGGGCACGCUGCACCGUCCAACUUUCUCUUUCUUUUGUUAAUUUAUUUUCCAUCAGAAAAGGUGUUUUGGUUAAAUAUAUUUCAGCUUUUUAUUACACUUGGGAAGUUGUCCCUCUUACUUUUGAGCCUGAUAUAUGUUACCUAUAAUCUUCACUUUUAUACUGAAAUGUUGUAUUAUUAAUGAUAGGUUAUUCUAAAAAAUUAUGUUAUCAACACGUGUUGAGGAUCAUAAAAAAAUAUUAACAUGCAUAAAUAUACGUGUGUAUAUAUAAAUAUAUAUUCAUUUAGUACUGUAACACAAUGAAAAUAAUUUAUUUUUUAUUCAGGUUCCGUCUUAAUUUCUCCUUCAAAUCUCAUAAAUAAAUCAAAAUAUGUUUUUACUUUUACUUUACUUCAUAUAUAUAUAUAUAUAUUGAUUUGAUUUAUCUAAUCUAAUUAGUUGAUAUGCAUCAAUAAUUUAAAUUUGCCGAACUGAAUAUAAAUUAGUAAUUCAUUGACCAAACCAUUAGACAUGCAUUUAUGAUCGUCGCCUACAACCGGUGGAAGUUUCAAUGCACAGGAAAAGUGAACUUUCAAGGAAAUGCAGACGCUGCAUAAGUAGAUUUUCAAUGUGAAUGCAACUUUUUGCUCCUUGUUGUUUUUACACGCGUGUCCUGAUAACUCUCUCUCUCUCUCUCUUCAUUUUUUCUUUUCACCUCCUCUGUCCUUCCUUGUCUUUCUUUUCCAUUGCAGGCCACUUUAUCAGUUUUUCUUUGUAAAAGCUUUCUCUCUUUUGCUGACCAUAACCUCUCUCUCUCUCUCUAUCUCCUUUUCUUGGCCCAAAAGAAAAGCUUCAUCUUUGUUUCUUUUUCGAGCUCCCCUUGGCAAUUAUGGUAUAUGGAAAAAUGCCCCACCCACUCGGUCGAGAAUCCUCUGCUUUUUCAUGCCUAGAUUUUCUUGUCUUCUUUGGCCGUGAAUUUCGAUCUCUGAAUGUCGAGAUUUCGCCCUUGUCAAAAUGGAAAUUACUCUCUUGAUCUUGUCCUCAAGGUUUUUGCUACCAUUCAAAACAAAUUUGGGACUGGAUAUAAAAUUUGAAAAACUUUUUUAGACGAAAAAAAUUGAGGGUUGAUAUAGGAUUUGGUUUUAAGUUGAGGGUUUUUGAAACAAAAAAAAAAAAUUCGGGAUAAAAUUAAAAUUGAACCUAAAAUUUGAGAAUUUUUAAAGAAUUAGGACCGUAUAAAAAGAGGAAAGAAAGGUGGAGGAGCUUCACCUCUUUUUAUCAUCCAGGGCAUAUUGUAAUUAGAUUGCAUGUGAUGAGUUUAUUUUCUACCCCACUCCCGGUGGCUCGGCCCAAGAAUCCUUUUCCUUCUUGAGGCUACCGCUCUUCCCUACCAAGUUUUUGUCCACUUCUUAUUGCAAAGGAGUGGCUAGCCCACCAAUUCUUUCUCUACUUAAUUACGAAGUUACUCAAAUUUAUUGAUGUCACAAUUUCUUAAUCAACCCAAAGCCAAAUUAAUAAAUUAAAAAUUUUCAAAAUUUUCCAAUUUUUUUUUGCUUGGUUUUAGUUUAGCACUUGCAAUAUUCCUUCAACUCCUAAAUUGUAAUGUGUGUUAAUUCAAAGAUUUAUAUUAUUGAAUGGAACUAAUAUGUGAAAUGUUAAUUCAUUUAUAUUAAACUACAUUUUAAAUAACACUUUAACAUAAAUACAUGCGAUUCCUCUUAAAUAAUGAGGGUAGCUAUUUUAAUGAAAAUGUAAAAUAAACCAACAAAGGGUUGGUCUAGUGGUAGCAUGCUAAUCCCGCAUGGGCUUCACCUGCCAAUGGGCAAGGGUUCAAAUCCUGGCAAAAAAACCCUUGUAGAAGGGAAGAAAUCCUUGAUGCUCAAUCCCCAAAGUAGUUGCGUACUUUAGCCACCAUUUUAUUUACCAAAUAUAUAUAUAUAUAUAUAUAUAUAUAUAUAUAUAUAAUAGGUUUUAUUUACCAUCCAAAAUACACCUAGCCAUAUUAUUCUCAUCCAACAAUUUAUUUUAUAUAGAUCUAUUCCCAUUAAAUAAUGAGGGUAACUAUAUUUGAAAAUAUGUUAAAUAGAUUUUACUAGUCACUCGAAAUAUAUCUAAGCAUAUUAAUAUUGUUAUUCAAGUUGAUUGAUACAAGAAGUGAAGCAUUUUGUAUGCUCAAUAGAAAGAAACUUUAUUCCAAUAUCCACUUGAAUAAUUAAUGCUAUUUAAAUACCACCAAUCCAAACUAAACCAUUGAUACUUGAAAUUGUGAAGUGAAAAAAAAAAAAAGAGUGCUUCUGCAUUUCACGAGCACUCUUGUUCAUACUAUUGAUUUACAAUACUUUAUAAUUGCUAAAUUAUCACAUCAAUUCAAGAGCUUAAUUGCAUUAUUCUCUAAAGCUAAUCAACUCUAACUCGUAAGUUGAGAGUACUUUGCCUAAAAUGCAUCCAAUAUAAGAGGCACCAAACAUGAAUGUAAUAUAUCAGCCUAUGCAUUUUUACCACUCUAAUAGAAGAGUAUUAGGUGUAUUUACCAUGUCAACUAUUGCAAUACUAACAUAUUCAACCUAUUAAUAUAUACAAUAGUCCAUCAUCAAUUUGAUGUAUUAAAGUUGACCUUUGAUAACAACUAACACAAUUUUAUCGAAUUCAACACAGUAUUGUUAUUAUUAAUUCAUUAUAUGCAUGCUAUUUAGUGCCGUAAAUAUUGCUUUAAGUUUAUAUUUGUGAUGUUCAUUUUUUCACUUGUUUUUCCGACAUCAUAUUGUGCAAAAGUUUGACAAACAUCAUGGCCCUUCAAGUAAAUUUUCUCAUGAAGUCUAUACUAAGGCUUCUGCAAUGUCUUUGGCCUGAAUUAUACUUGCUGGGUAGGGGAAGAUCUUCAUAGGCUCUCUCAAUCUUCCUAGUAUAGAGCAUAAUCCCAAUAGUCAGGAGAGGAGCGAUAAGUAUGCAAGGUAGGCCAACCUCAGGCCAAACAACAAAAAGCAUAAGAUAAGUGUUCAGUAUCAAAGUUAGAGGUGUCAUCUCUGAAGUGACCAAUAGAAGUGAAAUCUAGCCUAAGAAAUGACAUAAACAUCUAGACCUUUUACAAGCAUAACCUUGCCUAGGAAUAAUUGUUUACUUAACCAGCCCAUUACUUCCCAAGCAAUAAUGAUUUGCUAUCAGUCUACCAUCAAAUCCCUUUAAUAAAAAAAACUGCUGUAUGAGAAGCAAGAACAAGGAAAGGACUCAUUUACUGAAUAUGACAGACCUUAUAGCUAAAUAUUUGAUUUGAACAGACAAGACACUGGCAAUAUUUUCGAUUGGGAAGACACCAAAUAUACUAAAGUGCAAAACCCCAUCUAUAUCUCCACUGCAAAGGCUAUGCAAACAUUGCUUUGAAGAAUUUGAGAGCUCUACAAAUGAAUCUUGAACCUUGUUAGUUAAACCAGCAUCUCUGGGUACUAGUCCAGGCAUUUGAGGAACUCCUGGAGCUGGAGGGAAGAAUUGAGUAGUGCAAUCUUCAAAUGCCAAAGAGUUACCAGAAGCAUUCUAUAAAACAAAUGAAUAAUUACUUUCCAGUUGGAAAAUAAUAAGGUGAAAAAAUAUGAGAUCAGAGCUAAAGAGUCAGACAAAUCAACAAGUUACAGAUGACGCCAAACAUACGCAUCCAAAAAUCUUCCAUAAACCCAUACUAAAGCUGUUGGACUGUGAAAUAAGAUUCUAAGUUUGAAAAAGAAGUAUUUAAGAACACCACACUAAAAUAACUACUUAACUGCAAACGAAGCAUUAUGAAAGGUGUGAGCCAUAAGAUAUCUGCUAUUGGUAAUAAAGAUCACAAAAUUGUACCAACUUUUAAGUUGAAAGAUGCCAUACUCCAUUCACUUGGGCAUCCUCCUCCCAGUUGAGACACACCCCAACUGCCAUACUUCAAGAUUCUCAAGAGUUUUCCAUUCUGCUUCAUAUUUAUACCCUGUUAGAAUGAUUAUACCACAGUUUGCAUAACUGCUGCAAGCACUAGCAUGUCAAAAGCAGCACCCUGCACAUUUAUAGUUCCAUAAAGACAGCUACUUUGGUAAGUAACAUUCAUUAUGUAUAAACUUCUCUUCUCAGUAAUUCUUGUGGAUCCAUAAGUGCUAUAUUAGAUUUGAAUCAGAUUUCGGAUCCAUCUAUAUUGAUUGCCUGCAAUCCAAGAAGUGGAUGAUUAGUCAUAAACUGGUAGAAAUCUCAAAGAAACAGAAUUGCAGCAUCCUCAGCCAUGUACUCAGCCAUUCUACUCAUGACCGAGCCGCUAUAGCUUGAUAAAAACAUAACCAGUUAUUUACAAACUUUUCCACCCACAAGCAUAAUUGAGGCACACACAAAUCCCAUCAUUUAAGGGUCACCUAAAUUAUUACCUUCCUAAUUUGACUGAACUGAACAAAUUUAUAACAAUUGAAAGAAGCUAUUAAUUUUCAUGAAAAUGAGCAUCUCAUGAAUGAAUGCUUCAGUACAACACCUUCCACCUAGACCAUAGAUGUAGAUUCUCACCACAAGCUGGACCCCAGCACACACUAUCCUGUAAUUGUCGUUGACAAUUGAAAUAGUCUCAACCAUCGAUGACAACAUUAGCAGCGAAGUAAAAAUCUUGUCCUACACGAGAAUGCAAUUGAGCACAUCAAUAAGAUUCAACUCCUAAAGUAUAUAAAUCUAUUAAAUGAGCAUAUUAAUUCUGUAUGAUAUGUGAUUAAAGUAACUCACUGCUGAUUUCACUGAUUAGAUAUGAGUCAAUCAAUUUCCUUGAUUCAUAAUUUAACGCAUGUAUCAAACAAUGUAACGUCAAAAACAUUUCACGGCUUUGAUAUAGGACUGAGUCCCACAAUAAAGAAUAAAUAUUUAAGCAUCACACGCAAAAUUGCCCAAGCAACACACCCAGGGUUUCUUAAGCAUCAUGCCAAAGAUGAAUUGCAUCACACAAUCUGCAAAGCAAACAAUUGCCAAGUUCAAUAACAAGAAACAUUAUUGGAGUAUACGUAAGAUCCUACUAAGCAAGCUUAAAAAAAGAAAGAAAAGGAAAUUUCGUAAAAUCCUAAUAAUACUCAAAUCCUAGUUGAUAAUUUUAGUGAUUAAACUUCAAGAAGAAUCCUGAUCCUUGUUUGAGUUUCAAAGUCAAUCUUCACCAAAAACUUGGUAGUCAUCCUGCAUGAUUUUGUUGGCUGCAUCAGGCUUAGUGGAUGUUUUGAUUGUCUCAUACUCAAUUCUAUGAAUGGGAAUCCAAUUACAAUACUACGUAUAAGAUCUUUGCGUCCUUGCAGUCAAAUGGGUACUCAUUGGGCAAAAGAAAAAUAAUUUGUAGCAAUAUUUCAUGUCUGGAGAUAAUAAAAUUAGUUGAAUUUGAAGUAUCUUUGUGAUUAGUUAUUAUCUAAUAAUUAAUUUACAUAUGUCAUGGAAUACCAAUCUCAAACAUUAUAUCAGAUUUUAUGAUUCCAUUGGAUGAAAAUCACGAUCCACAAUCGAAAGAUUUAAUUUUUUUAUUCAUGACUCACAUUUCCAUGUGACCACUUAGGUGAGGCUACCUACUUUAACAGUUAAUUAAUAAACGAACAUUGUUCCAUGUUCAAAGUUCAAACCGCGAAAGACAGAUUGACUCAUGUAAUCUAUAUAACUAAACGAUAGAGCCAACUUGAUCAACAACCUGACCUAUCAUGACCUGUUUAUAUUUAGUUCAGUAAGUUCUCUAAUAAAAAAUCAUACAUAAAUUUGGUUUCCUUAGUUGUUAGAUAUUAUGAUUUGAUCACACCAUAUAAAUAAAACAUUUCAUGUAAACCUAGGAUUUUGUAAGCUUAUGGCUAGUCCCUUUUCAAACUUAUUUGACAUCGAUGAAGAUAUGCAUAUGGUACAUAUGUCACGUUGGUCAUGUUAGGAUGGGAAUGACCCAUUCAAUUCAAUCAAAUUAGUUAAACGGGUUAUACAUCUCUUGCCUACUUAACAAAUGAGUCAUGUUCAAAUAGAAUUUUCUAAUAAAAUUUUUUGUUAAUCUUAUCCUGCUCAGAUUGACCUAUCUACCAAUCCAUUGUUAACUUGACAUUGAGGGACAUGACCAAUAAAAAUGGAGUGCCACCUCUAUUAGCAGCUGAAUGUUCAGUUAGCAAGUUUGUUAUUUGCAUUGCAUCAUGCAGAUUUUGAGCAAUUCAGAAUAUUUCCCAAGAGAGACUAGAGAAAAACACGUUUUGAUGAUAAAGGAAUGUUUCUGGAGGAAUAUCUAGUUGAGAAGUAAUGAGGGUAACGUUCAAGUAACAACAUAGAAAACGUAGUUCAAGUAACAACAUAGAAAACUUACUUCGACAUCAUGCAGUAAAACUGUACCGUCUUCAAGUCCCAAGACAAAAACCUUGCCAUCAGGACACCGGCAUAAUGAUGUUACACAUUUAUCUGGAGCAGACUAGAAUGAUUAAGAGAAGCUAGUAUUGACGACACACAUUGAAAUGUGCAAAGAAAGUGAAUUCAUUGUAAACGAGAGAGAGAGAGAGAGAGAGAGAGAAUAUUUUGUCCCAGUAAAAUUAAUAGAAGAAGAGGAAAGAUAGAGGAUAGACAUUAACCAACAAAAUGUUAAUCAAAAUUUAUGAAGUGAGGGAAAAUGUAAUAACUGUACAAAAUAACUGAGAGGGAUAUUAGUCACUCGAUAUGGGAUUUCUUUGAGCUAGUAGGUCAUCUAAAGCAAGGGAGUCUAUAUCUUGUUGGCAGCCUCCAAUCCAAUAUCAUCAAAAAACAAACCUUUUUGUUCAAUUAUGGAACCUCAAGGCGAAGUCAAUGCACGAAAAAUUACUUCAGGUGAGGAUUACAAGUGUAAUAGUAUUUACAACUUAGGAUCUUAAGAGAAACCAUUCAAGGAUUGGCUCUAGUACUAUAGUGCACUCAAAACAUUCUCCAUAUCCAGAAGACAAUAUGAUGACCGAAGCAUUGAGAUGUUUCCAGAGAAAAAAUCUCCUCUCUAAAUUUUUCUGGUGAGAAUAGACAUCAAGGACUACCAAGGCUAGGCAUCUAAUUCUAAGUUCUUACAACUUUGAAUUACGAAAAGAUUAAGUCAUAUAGGAACCCAACAUACUUGGAUGUAGCUCCCCUGACCCUCCUAGUCUUUUUGCUUUCUCCAAUUUCUACUCCAUCCGUCUUGACCAGAUUGUCAUACAAGUACGCAGCAUAGCUCGAGAUAUAUCCUAUUCAAAAGUUAGAACUCCCACCAUCAAACUUGAUUAAUCAAACUGACGUGACGAAAUGCCCCCCAGUAAUGACAAGAAGAUAAAUAAAACUUCAAGCAAUACAAAAUGUAAGAAACUUUCUGCCUAUAGUCUAUAUUUCAGUAUCCAAUAAAUCUCUCCUUGCAGGGCAUGCUCAGUCAGUUAAAGAAUGCUCAAUCAGUAAAAGAAGAGGAGUCAGCAGUAAAAUUACACUGUGAGAGUCAUAAUCAGGAAUCUAAGAUCUUUUCAGAUGCCUGAUGACAUUUAGAUAAUAUUCUGCAGUGGCUAAACCUGCCAACUCCAAGUGGUAAUCAAGCAUUUCUGCAUCUGACAGAGCUAGUCAAUCUAGCAUACAUGGCAUCCCCUCCAAUUCACGUUAGUUAUUUUCAUGGACACUUUAACUGGCGUACGAAGAAGGGCAACAAGAAGGCAAUACAGUAGUAUGGUACACUUACGGUCGGGGUAGAUGACUGACCGGCUAGGUUAUGGAAAAAAUCUCGCAAAGGCAACAACUUGGUUGAGAAGUUAAUAGGAAUCUAUGUGCCUAUAAAUAAAAUCCCUUCAUUCAACUAAUACCAGCUUGGAAUUCUUUACUCGCAACUAAGUCAUCUCUAGAUUUCCACUCGCAUCACCAUCAUUCACUCUUCAUUUCUGUGUAAAAGACCAACUCCUUAGUUCGACAGAACCUCCUCAUUUAGACUUUCAACCACUUUUAUCUCUAAAUUCAUCCAAUUAUCCAUCGAACGCAAUUUGAACUAGAUUGGCAUUACAAUGGUCCUAUGGUGAAAAAGGAAGCACGUUUAGGAAAAGCGAAAGAAGUAGAACGAGAUAAGGCCAAUGACUCAAAGAGCAAAGCAAGGCAUCGUAGAAGAAAUGAACACACUAAAUAAAGGAAAAAGGAGAACUUUCUCGAGUCGAAGCAAUACCUAGGAGAGAUUGUCCACAGCCUCUGCCAAUUGAAGCAACGAAGCACCCAAAGCACCCACCUUCGAGUGCUCUGUGACCAUCGCCAGCAAAUCCUUCUCCAGAUUCCACUCACCCCAUCUUCACCUGCCAAUCGGAAAUUGACCAAACCCCUCACGAAACCGAAUCGACCUGCCCAUUAGGUCACCAAAGAAUGCCUAACGGGAGCUGAGCCUGAGAAGCCAGGCGGUUUGUCAAACUGAAGCUGAAACUGAAGCACGCCUGCUUAAAUGUCGAGACGAUGGGCCAAGCUCGAAUUCAACCAAGCCAUUUGCCAUCACCAUAUAAACUCCUAGCGCUCGGCCGAAUGUUAAUACUUGACCAAGCCCCAGUUGGUGAGCUUUAUGCUAAACUCCUGUUAUAAGGUACGCACGUGCAUCAAUGAUACAGUAGGGUGAAAAAAUGAGAUCCAAUGUCUUUCUUUUUCUCUUUUAACUGGAAUUAGACAAUUCACCUUGUUACAAGGUACAGUUUUGCUAUACUAGGAAAAUCUCAUUUCUCCACUUGUGCAUGCAGAGUUAGGGACUUGCAACUGGGCAAAGAAAAUAGCACGCAUAGUACCUCUGCUGCAAGUGAUAAAACCUAAGCACAUCCAACAAUUGAAAAGCAAAAGAAUAAGAUAAUUUACUCUUCCUUCCAAAUACGAUUACAAAAGCCCUGCAGGUAUGUGCUUUGAGAGCUAUUUUGGUUCCCGACUAUAUGACAAAUUAAGCGAUGCCCAAGCUUUCAAUUGUUGAAAUAGUAGAUCUUAUAUACUAAUUCUAGUCAACAAUUGCUUUUUCAGUAUUUAGAAAAUAGGACACAACUACUUUCCAUCAAUAAUUAUCAUGAUCUUUGGAAUCAUGCUUAUGCAAAACUGAGCAGGAAAAAGACUGACCCUAAACCAGCUGCUCUUUCUUUGGUCUUUUUGGUAGUUAUUCUGAAGGCACAAUGGGUAUUUGCACCAGUUGUCAUCAAGCAGAGUUGCAAACGAUGUAAACCAGAUUCCUUGUGCUGAAGUUUGGAAUGAACUUCCUUAACUCCAGGAAAGGGAACAAUGAAUUAUCCAUAAGUAUGAACCAAACGUGUUAAAUUUGAAAUCAAAAUCAAUCUGCUCACCCGAAGGCACAAUUUACCAAUCAAAAGCUUAGUCACAUUCUGCAGCUUCUGAAGCAGCUCCUCAACUAGGCUGCAAUACCCUCUGUAAAACUCAAACCAAUUUCGAACAAAACAAUUAGUUGGCCUUCCAAAAUCCUCGCCUCUCAUAAAAAAAAGUUCAACUCCGCUUCAAUCAAGGAUGAGACUUCCGCUACCAGCUGCCUCAUCAUACCAAAAAACCCUCUCAAACGUAAUGACAGGACAGCAAAAGAGGACUCGAAAUCUCCAAGGGAAAAACCUCAUCAAGUGCAUACCAAAAGCAGCUAUGGACUGCAAUUUCCCUCAAAGUUCUCGAACAAAGCUUGAUGUUUUGCUUCAAACCACGGCAUCCAGCUGCCCUUCAACAUCUCAUGCACCACCUCAUCAGUCACCUCCGAGUCACAGAUGGACAGGGACCUAAGAUUAAUCCAAGCAAUACUCCUACUAAACCAGAAGCUCCGGAGCCUCAUAUGCAGGUUCACGAGCUAAGAGCAUUUAUGAAGGAGCGGCGGUACCGCGAAAUGGCCGGCCAUCUCGCACGGCCUCUUUAGUCACAUCGAAUGAGAGGUCCUUGACGUGGUCGUCGACAGCAAAGCGAAGCCACGGACUGAGCUCAGGCGCGCAACGGUCGAGAAAAUCGAUGUCGACGUGGAAAUUUCUCUAGUCGAAGCAAUUACCAAGGGAGAUCGUCCACAGCCUCUGCCAAUUGAAGCGACGAAGCACCACCGCCUUCGAAGUCCUCCGUGACCAUGGCUGGCCGGCAAAUCCUUCUCCGGAUUCCACUCCCGCCAUCUUCACCAGCCAAUCGGAAGAAAUCGAACCGAAACCUCACAAAAACUAAUCGGAAAAAAAAUCGAAUCGCCGCCGCCCAUUAGGAGGUCGAGAAAGAACGCCCGAACGGGAGCCGAACUGGAGAAGCCAAAGCGGUUCGUCGGAACUUGAAGCUGAAACGGAAGCAGCCCGGCGACCCCCUGCUUCGUCGGUCUCCAUUGCUAGAGAGAAUGCUCCGCAAGCAGCCCAAAAACCACAGGCACCAGCUCUGCCGAAACGAACCGCGAGGAACGUACGGACAGCGACGGAGGCGAUUGAAGAGCGAGACGAAGGAUGGAAGAGCGAAAGAGAGGAAGGUAGGAGAGGAGGUCCCGCCCACUGGAAGAGCGAGAAUUCCGGGCGAAAGAUUGCAGGCAGAGAAAGGGGGACCAAAAGAAGAAAGAGUGGGACAGAGAGAUUUUUUUAAAGGGUCGCCACGGGAUCUAAUGGGCUGGGCUGGGCCAGUCUGGGCCGGGAUGGAGUUUAUAACAAAUAUAUCAUUGUCAAACACUUUUGGGCCCAUGGAGGCUGAAGGAUCUUCGCCCGCCAGACUCGUGGGAAAUCACAUUCACGUCGGUGCAAGUGUGGCGGACUAAUUAUUGAAAUGUAAUUUGGAAAAAGUGAUGCGAUAAUCCUCAUAAACUUUUGAAUUAAAGAAAUAUCCUAAUGAAUUAUUGAAUCUUAUGAGAGCAAAUAUUCAUGCCUGCAUAAAUGUCAUGACGAUAAGCCACGCUCAAACUCGACAAAGCCAUUUCUUUUUCAAUUUGGGGUGAUUAGAUAUCAGACUUGAACAUACAAAAUCAUUCUCUAGUCAAGGGGCAAACUGUCAUUCAUAUCUAUGCUUAUCCUCAUUGCGCUUUAGACAAAUCACUGAGUCCUGUUACCAAUAAACGUCCAAGCCUUGUCCAACCAUUCCUCAUAUAUGUGUCGGAUGUAUGCCCUAAAGUUACUAUGUAAUAGUUAUAUAUUAGGGAUUUCAGUUGUACUAUUAUUAUUAAUAUUUAAUUAAUGGCAAUGACAUAUUCAUUUAUUUGUCCAAUUAUUUUAUAUUUAUGAAUGAUUCCAUAAGAUCAGUUGCAACUAGACCUAUUCUUGAGACGUUAAGAAUAUAUGUGACAGGUUCAUAGUUAGACUGAAUCUUUAAAUCGUUCCCAAUCGAUGGAUUAUUGAGUGGAUAUUAAUAAUCUUGUUGAGACCGGUGUGUUCAUAAUUUCACCAUUAAGUAUUAGAUACUUAAGGGAAUGGUGAGUGAUGCCUGAGUUAAGAACACACGUAUUUGUAUUAGAAAAGUUCACUAAACGUGAUGCAUAGGGAAUGAUUAGCGAUAUAGAAGCUUUUAGCGUGAUCAAUGUCUAAUUGUUUUUUUUUUUCUAGUACCCAGGGAACUUUCGUGUGUCGCUUCGCAGCGGAGUAAACCCAGGAGGAGCAGUAGAGUCACCACUACCCUUACUGCCCCGGAUAAGUCGUGGGUUCCUUUCUUGCAAGGCAGAUGACGCAACGGUUCGAACUCAGAACCUCUUCUGAAAGGAACCUGCGCUCAACUACUACGCCGCCACCACGGGUGGUCAAUAUCUAAUUGUUCAUGCUUUGGUUUUGUGUAAAUAAUCCUUAGACCUGAGGCACAGUGUUAACUUGUAUGUUGAACAACUACGGUUCAUGGGUGCACAUAAUGCUGGGUUGUUGAUCCAUCAUUAUACCUAAUGGUUAUAGUUUGUUCAUAUACGCAGUUGCACGUGUACGCAAUAUGGAAUCUUUCUCCUUGUUACAUGCAAGGUACAAUAAUGAUGUCUUAUGCGAUCUAAUUAUGACACUGCAUUGAAAUUCUCGGCCGGGGUUGUAACCGAGAAUAAAUUGUUUAUGUCUCGAAUAAAAUGCAUGUUAAUUAGAUUUGUACAUAUGAUCGAAUUGGUGAUUUGACAAAUAUUCCAUGGUCUUUAUUUGAUCGGGACAUAGUAAGACAAAGGAAUUAAAUUACACUGUAAUCAAAACUGAAAUGUUUAUUAUAUUCUUAAAGCAUUCACACUGUCUGGGUAGUCAUGACAUAUUGCUAGAUGUCAAUUAUGACUUGUAGGACCCAAAGAUUAAUUGGGACAAUUAAUUCUUUUGGGAGUACUAAUAUGUUAGUAUAAGUCUUACUACCAGCUUAGUGAUGAACCUAGGGAUGUCACAUACCAUAAACAAUUAGGAUAGUGUGAAACAAGAGAAAAAUAUUGUUGCAAAUGUGUUUGCAAUUACUGCAAUUGAAUUGAGUUGAUUUGAAUUAAAUUAAAUGAGAUUUAAUUUAAUUUGUAUUAUAGUCACGAGCCUAGAUGCACACGCAUGCCCAAAGUGGAUACAUGUUAAUGUAUUCCAUUUAUACAUAUAAAGAUUAUGUUCUUUUUUUUUUUAUAAAGGGGAUUGAUUAAUUAAUUAUUUAUUCGUUUAAUUAAUUAAUUAAUUGAAGCUUCACACAUGCACGAAGCAUGAUGGUCAGCGGUUGCACGAAGCAUGGAUGGUUAGCAACCGCUGACCAUCAUGCACAAGAUGGUGCAUGAGCAAUCGCUCCUGCACGAUCGUUUGUGAAUAAGCGGACGAUCAGCAACGGUUGCUGAUUGAACGGUUGUUGAUCAUCCUUUGAUAAGCAACUGUUGCUGAUUGGUUUAUAUUUUUAUUUAAAAAUGCCGGUUUUGCGAUAUAACAAAAGGUUGCUAAAAAUAGAGAAAAAGGUGCGCGUUCUUGUGUUUUUCGAGACGCAAGAAAGAAGAGUGUUCUCUCGUUCGGGCCGUGACUAUAAUACAUCAAGGAUAUGGUGGAUUGUCUCCACGAGAUUGCUAGCACGAUCAUAGUGGUGAUUAUCCGAAAGUUCUCUCUUCCAUUCGACAUCCAUUGUUAGUAUGUCUAAACUAGAGGUCCGACGUUUGUAGGACUCGAACUGAAGAACAUCCGAACCAAUUUAUUUAAAGCGCGCUUCGAGAAAUAAUUCGUUUAACUUUCUUUUUACAUUCAGGUUUUUGAUUAAAACGCACGAACAAUACCUUCGGAGAAUCAUGUAUAAAAUAUAUCAUCUUUGUUUCCGUUGUGUACUUUUGUUAAAUUUUACCUAUACAUGAUUCAUGAAACCCCAACAAUCUGCAAUGCAAAGGAAUUCAGCCUUGUGCAGUACUUUAUGUGCCCCAUCUGAAGAGCAUGGAGAUUGUCGAGUUCCAAGCUUGUUCGUUCAACGAUGACGGAUGUAAGCUCACCUUGUCAAUCUUGCUCUUAUCAAGAGAUUCAUUCCUCCUGGAGAAGAUGGUCAUCAACAUUAAGGUAAGUGGAAGAUGCGAAUCAAAAUCUCUCAAGUCUUUGUCACAAAUGGUUCUACCCUACCGAACAUCUUUUGAAAAAGCUAAGUUGUCUUUAACUAUUUUUAAAAGUGAGGUCCUGUUAGCAACAACAAGAAGUUAAACAACGUAAGAAGAAUUGCGGCGAGACACUCCUACGUAAGGAAUGUACUGAAUCCUAGUUCUUAUUAAGUUUACUAGUCCUUCGCAUGGUGCUUCCCUGCUCAAAUCACAAAGAUAACUAGUCAUAUAGGCACCAUUUUGAAGAUUUUAUCGAAAUUAAAGUUAUAUUGUCACCUGCAAUGAGCUAUGAAGAAAUUUGAAGCCGACUUUAUUUCCCAAGCAUCCUCGGAAGCUAAGGAAUAUCUUUACAAAAGAAGAUUGCGCCGGUGACAUCAAACCUUUCAAAAACUGGAGGGAAAGCCUCUGAAUUUAGGGUUCUCGACUGAGUUGUGGCUUCAGGCAGUGCGAAUUUUUGGACCUCUAGCUAACCCAUCCAUGAGGCGAUGAUGAUGGGGGCUUGCUCAUGUCGAAAAACUGAGUAGAGCUGGUCAAUUGACGAAUCAAAUCAAAAUAUUGAGUUUUAAUCAAUUUGGAAUUUUGAAGAAGACCUAUUCUACAAAUGAACUAUGCUCUCUCUCCUUUGCAAUCAUAGAAAAACAUGUAUCGUUUACUUUUAAAUUGGUUUUUUCCUUGAUAUUAGGAGGCAUGUAAUCCAUCUAACAUUUUUUAUUUUAUCUAAGUUUAAUACCAUUAAAAAUCUCAAAUUAUUGCCUCAUGUCAUAUUUAUUCAAGCUGUCCUUAAAUUGAACUUGCAUUUGAAAAUGCUAAGAAUUUUUUUUUUUUUAUCUGAUGAACAACAAACAAGAGGAUUAGGUUAUUGUAAGCCACUACCAAAAGCAAUAAUCUAAUAGAUUAUCAGUACAAAUGCAAAAGGGCUAUCAUCAAGCACUCAUAUUUUAUCAAGGUUUAGUUUAUGAGAUAGGACUUCAAUUUGAACACAAAAGUCAUAAGAGUUGAACUAUCGUAAUGAUCUAUAAGGACAUGCUAUCCAAAGCAAAUUAUGCGCGAAAGAUAUAUUCUAUAAGUUGUGAUUGUGCAAAAUGAGCCUAAUUCAAUGCACCUUCUGUAAUUCGCCAUAUAGUAGCAUAAGUAAAUUAUACCCAAAGAUGUUUGGUGCAAUAGACACAAGUUGUCUUCUAGACAUUUCCUAUCAAUAGUAAAGCUUCUCCUUGUUUUCCCUAGUCAUAUUUGUUUUUCUGGCCAUCUCUUCUUGUUUUCUCGGUUCUUGAAACUUUUAAUUGCAAUUUCUCCAAAACGAUCUCGUGUAAAACAGCUAAUGGAAUUUAAAAUUUAUAUGAGGUUUGCAUUGACAAUGGACCUAAUAACAAUCAUUUGUUUUGUUGGUAAUAUUAUUAUCUCAUCUUAUAAUUAAUGUUCGAUGUCAAUAUUUCUGCAAUUGCAUAGGGAAAGAUUAAUUUUUUUUUUUUUGGGAAGAGAGGGGAAGAAUACAUUGAAGACGUGAAUAUUUGGAGGGGCAAUAAACAAAAAAGGAUUUAAUUUUAUAAUAAGUUCAGCUAAAGUUCGCAAAAAACCUAUCAUCAUGACAGAUAAUAAACAUAAGAAGUGUCACAUCAGCACAUAUUACAUUCAUACAUUCUUUCUCCUUCAUAUUGGCAAUAAUUCCAAGAAAAAAAAUACAAUUAAACAAUUUUAAAUUCUUGAAUGUUUAUACAUCAUUAAAUUAAAAGACUACAUUAUAAUCUUUAUUAAAGAUACAAAAUCCAUUAACGAUAUUGUGUACAUAAUCUCAUGACGUUUGUUUUUUGGGUGGAAAAUCUUCUUUAUCUUAAACCUACCAUUUAUUUGAGGAUUCCAAAUCUCUGAUAUUGGAAUAUAGCCUAUGUUCUUGAUUGCUACCUUGAAACCAUAUAUCUUGCUAGUCACGUUCUACACAAGAAUGUAUUUUGUCCAUUGGACCAGAUGCAUCACUUAACAAUGACACGUGAAGAAAAUCUUAGGUGAGAGAUCUCAACACAAGAAUGUAUUUUGUCCAUUGGAUCGGAUGCAUCACUUAACAAUGACACUUGAAGAAGCAAGUCAAUCUUGGGUGAGAGAUUUCAACAUUCAAUUGUAGAGUUCGUUAGUCGAGUACACUACCCGAACUAUUCAACCCAAAGUAUAGAUAAUCCAAACCAAACAUUUGGUUCUCUUACACAUGAAAAUAAUGAAGAUAUAGAGAUGAAGCAAAAGCUUGGCAUCGAGCAGGUGUCAGAGCUUACAACAAUGCCAUCAAGACGGUUACCACUAGACUCAGCAUCUUUCGGUCAAUUCUAUCCAACUCAACAAAUAAAACAUAUCCUUUUUACUCCAUUUUUUUUUUCUUUGAUGAAUGCCCACCUAGCAGAAAAGGCACAUGGCAGGUAUAGAUUAAGACUUCUCCAAGAAGGGUGAAGUCGAAGAGCUUCAGUCAGAAAGCCCACAUGCAUUGCUUCUCACGCCAAUGUCUGCAGCUUUGAGUAUUAGAGGUCCACCUACAACAGCAACACAAGCAUAACCACACAAAUUCUUGAACAGACAGUCAUUUCUGAAUCAGAGAUUCCAUCUUCAUCCUCGUCCAGUUUGUAGAUUAGGCCCGCUUUCUUGCAGCUAAAACACAAGCCACACCUCUACUUACUAUUGCCAAAAAAACAUCAACUUGAUUUCAGUCCAGUUUUCCUUGAAUAUAUGGCCAUAACCAACGUGAUGUUUAGCUACCUUUGAUGGGUAAAAGUAAAAGAACGAUGCAUGCAUUAUGCUAAAACAAAGGUGGGAAGCGAACCUUGCAUGCCUAAAGAGGCUAUGGCAUCAUGUAACCAUGAAUGCUCUACAGUAUCGUGCUAUACUAGAUCCCAUGUAGUAUAUACCAUCAUGAACUUGUACCUGGCGGUUCUCAAAUAGUAACUCAGACUGCUAUGCACCUACCAUAAGGGGAUGAUUAUUCUUUUCAAAUUUGUCUGGGGACUAUAGAUUCAUCCUUUUCGAACUUUGUCCUCUCAAUUGAUUUAAGGAAAACUAAUACUUCAGUAUUCUACUUCUUUGACUGAAAAAAUAUUCUUCUUUGAAGCAUAUUUUUGCACCUCUUCAAUCUGUAGGAACAAACAUGAAGUGGUCCAUUAAAGAAGCACAAUGUACCUAUGCCUGUCACAUGUAAACUUAAUAGUAGGUUCUAAGUGGAAAUGUUGUAAAGAGCAUGGAUAGGAUUAAUUCAAUACCACCAUACACCUACGAGAUAAAUUUGUAACUGACACUGGUAAUUUUAUCAAACAUUGAUACAUAAAGGAAAGAGUAUGGGCAACAGUAAGUGUCCAGACAUCGAAAACUGCUAAUGGACAUGGUAAGAAGCUCAAAGAAAAGAUCUUCAGAACUAUGCAAUUGAUGGCAUAGCAUGAAUUGAUCCUUAGCUCGAUAGUAUGACGGUGUCAAAAUGUUCUUACCACUAACUGACUAUGGAGGAACUACAGUACGGGGAAUGCUACAAAGCUUCUCAUUCUCCAUCUCCAGUUGUAAGAUAGGGUCCUAGAUGUGUAGUUUCAUUGGUUAGUGUUUCAUAAGUGAUAUAACCGACCAAAAAUGUCCUCAUGAAAUAGAAUCAAAAAGGGCACUAGUAACUUGUUAGGGCCACCCAAUGCACAUUUCUUAACCUACACACAAGUACAAGGCUCUAGCUGUCAAGAUAUGUUGGAACUUUUGCAGUUACGGUAAGGCAGAAAGUAAAACAUCCUUUGAAAUUGCAAGCAUGUAAUGGCAUGUAUAUGCAUUAUGCACAUGGGAGGAAAAACUAAGCUGUUGCUACUCAUGCUGAUGAGGAGAACAGAUAAAUAAUAAAUAGGAACAACAAAAGAACAAAUGUUUUUCAAACUGGACCAACGGUUCAACAGGACAAAUUGGUAGAACCGUGCUCUACCAAUUUGGCCGAUUGAACCAAUUGCAAGUGAUGUCAUCUGAUAGAAUACUCUACACGUAUUAGAUCACACACUUUCAAAACAAAAGAAGCCCAGUGAAUCAACAGGCACCGUAGCAUCUUAGUAGAUUAAACAUGCUUGAUGUUGUCUUAAUAGCAUCCUGCUCAAAUUUCUGAUAGAUUAGGUCAAUACGGUCAAUAAAUAAAUUAUCCACCACAAAUUGUGGCAAGAAGACACUGGAGCUAAUGGUUGGCACGCUUGUUAGUUACAAGAGGUUGGAGUGCCAAAACCCAACCCAAAUCCAAUAUUACUCCUUUAAAUUUUUUUAAGGCCCAGAGGUGGUCUAGACUAGUUGAUAGGCUUGCUGGGUACCAGUUGACAGGUACACUUGGUUACCGGUUGAAUAGGGUCAAUGCCACUAGUUCUUGACCAACAAUAUUUCUGUUGGGAAACUAGUCUGGACAGGUCUGGUUCCCAGUCCAACCAGAGCCACUUCUUAAAACUCUGAAAAGAACAGGAGUCGAAGGAAAAGCACCAUAUGCUAGUUUUUUCCUCUUGCCAUCAAUGUCUUAAAUAGUGAAUUGACAUGAUCGGAAUAGAACUUUAGAUAUCAUGAGUAAGAAAUCAACAUGCAAGCUCCGGAUCCAUGAGUUACCUUCAAUUGGUAAAAAUUAUCGUGACGAAAGGGUGCCACUACUACUAAAAAUCAAGAUCGAAAAAGUUCAAGAGGAACUUUGGAUCCAAAGAGCUACCAACACACUACCAAAAAAAGAGUACGACUAGGGACUAAGAGUAGUAUACAAAACUUAUUUGAAGAGGAAAACUGUGAGUAUAAUGCAUAAGUAGGUUACAAACACCUAAUACGAAUUUAUCUGUCAUGCAACUUAGUAAAACGAAUUUCACUACUGGGACUUAACAUUUUCAGCAUUAUUCUGCCAAAAAAGUGGCGGUACAUAAAAAAAAAAAAAUCGUGAUCUAAAGAUAUGAUAAAAAAAUAAUAAUACAAAAUAACAAAUUCUCACAUCUAAGUACUAAACAAAUGAUUGCAAAUAGAGGCUUCCAUAGCCAUGGUUAAGCAUAACAGAUUAGAACCAUGUAGGCUCGAUUCACUAUCAUUUGAGCACCCACCAGUUAGUUUUCUGCUAAUUUUCUUCAAAUAGCUGAGUUUUCAUUCUCAUCCUUAGCUUGUUGACCGUAAACAUAACACAGGAAAGAAGAGUUUCACUUACUACAUUGAGUUCAAUGAGUGGAAUUUGGUAAUAUAAAUAAGUCUAACUUCCCCAAGGUUCUAAUAGUAAUAUCAGUAGGUACAAAGAGUUGAAAAUGAUUCUUUGGUACAAAAAUUGACUCUCGUAAUAAUGAGGGAUAUGUGCUUAGAUCGAAGUGGGGAAUAAACUCUAUCCUUUUAAACUGAGAAUAUAUCUCUACACCUGCUAAUUAUAAUGUGAAUGGAUAAACAUUCUAUAUCCAAAUCUCCAUGUAUAGUAUGCUUAAAGCUCAAACUUAGAUCAAGUUCAAGUUCAAAAUAAUUAUUAAUGACCUACAAUUUCCAUUAUACGCUUAUAGUAGAGAUUGUCAACUCGUUGAAUCAGGCUCUAAUCAGAUUUUACUUCACACUUUCCAGCCACUUAAUGUUGGUAAUUCAUAUCAUUGCAUAAGAUAUGUUUGUCUGAAGAAUCAACAUAUGUUCUGAAAAAUAUGGUGUGUCUCAAGAUGUGCGAAUCAUAACUUCCUGUAACAGAUUCCUAUCUCUAUCUAAUCACUAUCAAGACUGUUCUCUGAGAUGCAUGAAAUUUAAAUAUUUGGGAAAAAGGUCAAAUGCAAAGAUAAUAAUGGGCAUUCGCAUAUGAUUCAGGACAACCAGCUGAAGUUCUUUUCCAACACCACAAACAACUUUUGAUACACGCUUCAUACUCCAUCACUAAACAAACAAGCAGACGAAGAUUAUAAAAGCCAACCCAAAAGAACAUAAGUCCUAUAGCAUCGUCAGAGCUUAAAAAAUCAGCCAUACCCCUUCACCCAUAGAAUUAACAAGAAACUGAUGGACUGCAGGACAAGUCCUAGAACAACCAGGAAGACUCAAAAAUUCCUCCUGAGGAGAAGAGUCAAGACCUAGAUAAGCAAACGAAAAUAGUUUUUUGAAGAAAAAUGAAACGCCAUCUACCGCUCUAUAUUAACAGCACCACUUGCCAUGGUUACUAACAAGGUUUGACAGCAAAUCAAACUUCUCAUGAAAUAUGUUAAUGGCAUCAACUCACUGCUCAUGCAUGACUGAUAAUGAUGUCGGGAUGACAUGAAGUAAAUCUUCAAUGUUCAAAGCCUGUUGAGCCACUUGUUCUGCAGACAGAAAGAGAUUGAUAAUCUAAGGAGGCAUUCGGCCAACAAAGAUUCUCAAAAGUCCAUUCUGAUUUCAAUUUAAGGAAAAAAAAAAGACCAGAAAAUGUGUUUGGUAAAACUCCAAAAGCAGCUGAUGCAUAAAAGGAAAACUAUUCUCAAAAUCAAAAUCACAUACUUAAGAUGACUUCAUAGUAUUCUCAUUCCACAUGCAAACAUGGAGAUUUGGAACAACUAAGCCUGCUUUUUGAAUGUGAUGUAACCCGAGCAUAUUGUCACAAUUUUCAUCCCUAAUAACAUGUAUUAUUUUCACUGAACAAUUAUUUUGUCAACAAAACAUCGAAAAUAGUUUCCAUGAAAAUGGAAACUAAAGGUGUCUUCUAAAACUAAGUAGGCCUGAAAACAGUCGAGAACAAAAACGACGUGUGAUCAUGCGACAAUGUUUAAAAAUUUCCAACAAAUUUGCCUCACAACUUUCAACAUCUGAACUUAAUAGAUUUCUAGAGGCUUUAUACUGAAAGAUAGUAUGGAAAUUACAGGUCGGCGUCGAAGCAUGAGGCAUCAUGUUAUUCAGCUUAUGGCGACUCUCGAAAGUUAACUUAAGCAUUUAAAAUUAUCGGCAGGAAAGUUCUUCGAUCACGUAAAUUUCAAAUUUAUUUCUAAGAAAACUACCUCGAAAUUGCUCUACCUUUAACUAUCCAUUUCUUUUUGAAGGAUGAUGAUAAUAUCCUGAGUUAAUACAAGUUUUACUUUCGUUAUGACCAAACAAAAUUAGAUACCGCCAAAACAAACAUUAGUGCACAUGAACAACCUAAUAUAAUCCUAAUAUCAAGUCCAAUCACCACCACAUAAACUAGAACAGAAUCUAGAUUUCCAUUCUUAUCACCUUCGUUCACUCUUGGUUUUUCCUUUAAAACGCCAACUCCUCAGUUCGACAUCAUGUUCUCGUUUAAGACUUCCAAGCACUUCACACGCUGAAUAGAAAAGAGAGAGAGAACUUUCUCGAUUCGAGGCAAUUACCUUCGAGUCCCUCGAAUCCUUUGCUGGAUUCCACUCCCACCAUCUUCACCCGCCAAUCGGAAGAAAUCGAGCCAAUCGAAACUGAAUCAGAGAAGGAUCGAAUCGCCGCCGCGCAUUAGGAGGUCCCGGACAGAAUGCCCGAACGGGAGCCGAACCUGAGAAGCCAAAGCGGUUCGUCGGAACUUGAAGCUGAAUCGGAAGCACGCCUUGGUGACGCCACCUUUGCUGGUCGCAAAAAUACGUCAUCGUCUGUCUUAUGUUCAUUCAUUUUUUUCGCAUUGCUCAUACCUGAUAUCAACCUUUGAUUAAUCGCUCUACAAAUUAUCUAGAAAUAAAAUCACAAAUAUUCUCAGAAUGAACCAAAAAAAAAAUUCGGACAGAACAGCACAGCAACACGAAAAAGAAUAUGAAAGAAAUGAAAGAGAAAAUUUGUAAAAAGCAAAAAUUCCUCACAUGGUCGCUUAAUAAGCGUUUAGGCAUUUCUCUUACGAAAUCCUAUUGCUUUUUACAAUUUUUUUUUUUUUGGUUGCAAACAGGAAUUUUGAUUAGGUGGGUUCUGCCGUUGCAGACAAAAAUGAUGCAAUCUUGCACACUAACAUUCGUCAUCGUUUAUUUAAAAAAAAAAAAGAGGAAAAUUUAUAAGUUAAGCACGGAUCAAGUAAUCUAUUUAUUCAUGUUAUAUUAUCUUCAGACGGCAUAUAGCCCAUGCUUGUAUGUUGAGAUCAUACGAAAUUUGCAACUAAUCAAAUCGUUACGCUUUUAUCUACCGGCGAGUGGGAUACAUGUCUAUCACUCUCGAUUUCUGAUCGAAAAGGUAAAGCCAAGAUCAAUUCUAAAAUAGUGAUCUGUAUUGAAUUGCCAGCCACAACCCCUCGCGGAAAGAAUCUCGUUGUGCACGAAAAUGUUUGAAUAAUUGAGACAUAUUUCAUUGAUUGAUUAUUUCUAACAAUACAAGUGAUAAUUUUUAAGAAGGUAUUUUCUAAAUCACUCUUUUUUUGCAGAACAAAAAAUACCUUAAUUUAUGUCAUUUUACAAAUAAUGUCAUAUAUGGCAUUGUGCUCAGGAUUGUCUGAGACACGAUAUCAUUUGAUUUGGGUCCAUACGUUCAUUGGUAAUCUCGUUGCACGCCCCCCAGUAGAAUGAAGUGGCUUCACUCUGUUCCAACAGAGCUGGUACAGAACCAUUGGAGGGCUCAUGGGACAUCACAUUGAUGCAAAUGUAAUUUGUCAAAAAGGAAUGUGAUAAUCCAUCCUCAUUUACUUUUGAAUUAAAAAACAUAUGCUAAUGAAUUCAAAUCAACAUCUCACGAGAGCGAACAUUCACGCUUUGCUUGAAUGUUGAGACGACUAGCCAUGCUCGAACUUGACUAAACCAUUUGCCAUCACCACCCAAGCUCCAAACAUUCGGCUAGAUAGAAAUACUCUAACCGCAUCAUUUGCCAUCAUCGCCCGAAACCAAAUCCCUUCCCGCACACCAUUUUUUAUUUAUUUUCCAAUUUGUGAUGAUUGGGUAUUGAAUUUGAACAUACACAAUCAUUCUCUAGCCGACUGGCGAACAUCAUUCGUGUUAUGCUUAAUCCUCAUCACCACUUCGGAUGGAUCACUAAAGUCUAGCUACCAAUAUAUGUGCAGGCCAUGUCUGAUCCAGCCACCCUCAUGUCUGCGAUGCAGAGGAAUUUUGCCCUCUGCAGAACUCCUGCACUCGGAAGAAGUAGAAGGUGACGGAUGUAAGCUCGCCUUGCCAAUGCUGCUUUUAUCAAGGGAUGCACUCCUGCUGGAGAAGGUCAUAAACCUCAAGAGCAAUGGAAGACACCAAUUGAAAUCUCUCGAGUCCUUGCCACGACUGGUUCUACCCUAGAUGCAAUCUUUCCGGUAAAGUCUCACCACAAGCUGC
rnacentral:lncRNA from 1 species